UAUUGGGGGCGUUACAAACUCCUCAUGUUUAGACCAUGACGUCCUCGUCGGGUCCAAAUAAGAUCACAGAUAGACAGACCAGAACUAGAAUUACCAGGCGAUGUGAGAUUCUAGAGGACCAGAACCAGAAUUACCAGGCGAUGUGAGAUUCUAGAGGUGGCUCCCACCAAAUCGGGAGGUAAGAAUUACUAGGCGAUAUGAGAUUCUAGAGGACCAGAACCAGAAUUACCAGAUGUGAGAUUCUAGAGGUGGCUCCCACCAAAUCGGUUGGUGUAGCACUUUGUCCCGCAUAGCACUUAGCUCUCACACUUCCGGCUGGUAUUCGUCUCUGAUACCAAUUGCAACGACCCGACCCGCUAGCAACAAUAACUCAUUGGGCCCAAACCACCGACCCAAAAUGCUUAAGCCCGGUUGUAGUAUCCAUAUUUCUUUAUCUUUUCUCUUCUUUUUUCUUUUUAUUUCUUUUGAGUUGGUAAGCUAGCUGGGGAUAAGGAUGCCACGUGCACCUUACCCCCAAGCAUGCUUAUCAUCUUGAUACAUGUGCAUUGUAUAUAUAUAGAUCUUGAGCCGUACGUAGAGGAGGAGCUCGGGUGGUGUGGAGUUUCGUCGACGUCGCGCCGCGGUGCCGUUCGAGCGUGUGUUCGUCGUCGUAGCAUCGCGAGGGGGGCCGGGCGAGGGUCCGAUUCCGCCGUUUUUGUUGUCGCGCCGGAUUGUGAUUAGCGUUUGAGGUGGGUUACAUCGGCUUUACUCCUAAGUUCGUAUUGGUCGACAUGUAUAGAUUUUGAUUUCGGUAAUUAAUGUUAGCUCAAAUUCAUGGAUUAAUUGUAGAUUGUGAAAUCUGAAUUUUGGAGCAUGUUUUAUAAAUUAGGUAGAUUAUACAUGUUGGACUUGAAAAUUGAAUUAGGAGAAAACCUGCGAUUUUGGCCUGUCACCUGUAUAAACUGCUUGAUUUAGCUCUAGGAGCCGUUAGAAAAUUGUACUGUCGCAGUUUCUUCGAGACGAGUACUCCAGGUAGUUUAGAAUGUAUUUACACUCGUGCUGGUUCGCCGAGUGGAUUUUUACAGGGUCGUUCAGGUUGUUCGGACUGUUGGGUGCCGUCAGAGUUGACGGUGGACCCGUAUCGCCUUGUUGGCGUCAGACUGUGCCGAGGGCACGUUACCUGUUAGUUGUUAGAUCAGUUUGAGUUGAUUACUUGACUUUGGCUAGUUGGAGCCUGAUUGAGCUCGACAGAGAUACGCUGCAUACUCGGUUGGGUAGCGCCCACGAGUGCCACUCCGGAGUCAGGCUUUGUGCUUUCGCGUUGGUGUCGCUCAUGCCAGUUGGACUUGCUCUCCAUGGACCAGUUAGUGUGGAUAGAGCCUGAUAGUCGCAACGGGGCAGGGACGGGUGUAUUCACAGUUCCGGGGACGGGUAUGCUUACAGUCCCGAUUGGAUUGGGUCAGAGUUGACAUUUCCUACAGUUGGUUAGUGUAGAGCAUGAUAGUGUAGUGAUCGAUAGCGGUAGAGUUUAUUUUCUGCUUUUCUGACUACUCUUGCUCCCUUCUGUAGACUUAGUGGGUGGACCGAUGUUGUUUUGGGCGGUAUCCACUGAGGACUACUUGUUUUUAUAGUAGUUCUCACGCCCAGUUGUUACCCCUGUUUUGCAGAGCCACAGGUUUCGGCUGCUGCGCCUUUCGCGGAUCAGGAUCGAGGCAAGGGCGUCGCGAGUUAGAGCCCUACCCGACUGACAGAGCUAGAGGCACCCUACUGCAGGUAGUUGUUUUACUUCGAGCUUAUGUACAUAGUACUUAACUCGCCAGUGCGAGUAACGCUGUAUUUUGGAUUUGGACUAUGUAUAUGAACUCAGUUUGUUUAGCUUCUGUUUUCUCUAGCAGCUCUCUACUACUGUUCGUAGUAGUGUUUGAUUUACAGGUACAGCUGUCGCUUCGUAUACAGGAAAAAUUUCUUUGUAUACGGCGGAUUUGUCGGCGUGCCCGGGGAAGGAGACAUCCGGGGCGUGACACCGGUUAUUAUUACUAGCGUGUACGCCUCAUAUAAACUGAUCGGAAUCAGUAUCCCAUCCGAUGUAGGAUUAUUGGGGCGUUACAAGUUCCUUCAGCUCUACUGCUUAUUCGGUAGAAAGUGAAUGGCAUAAAAACUAAUUUAUACAUAAAUAAUAAAUAACUUAAUAAAUAAUAAAUUAUAAUAUAAUAAAUAAAUAAUAUAAUAUAAUUAUAUUUCUAUAUAAUUAAAAAAAUGUAAUAUGAAAAUUUAAUGAAAAAGAUACUAAAACUUAAUUACUCAAUUUCCAUUACAUUUUAAAGAUGAAAGCUAAAUAAAAGAGUAAUUUAUACCUUAAUUAAAUAUAUUUAAAUAUAUCUAGUAUUAUUUUAUAGUAUUUUUGUAUGUAUUUUUUUCUUUACCUUUCUUCAUCUGAGUUUGCAUGGGCUAAUUUCGACUAUAUACUAAUUAGUUAUUACAACAAAUCAAACGGUAAAAAUGACGUCGAACCAAAUAUAGAAAUUAUUUGCAGCUUCAAGAGGUCCUAGCUAUCUCAAUCAUGUACGCUUAGUUUAUUUCGCUUAAUGAAUGAAACAGGUAGCUAGCUAUCUAUUUCUCAAAAAACAUAAACUAUCUGCAGUAGAAAAUAGAUUUAUCCUUCUCCACUCUCACCCAAACAAAUAGAUCCGACCGUUGAGAUAUUCCCUCCCUCCCUCUCUCUCUCUCUCUCAGAUGAGUUUCGAUUAUAAUUUUAUUAUAAUAAUUAAAUAUAAAAAUUAUUUGUUUACAGCUGAAAAUGGAUUUAUCGUUGUUCACUUUCACCCAAAUAAAUAACCCCCUGAACGUUGAGACUUCUACCUUCUCGUAAGUGAGUUUCGACUGUAUUUUUUUACAUCAAACUAACUGUAAAAAAUUUCUGUUUACAGCAGAAAAUGAAUUUAUCUCUCUCCACUUUUAUCCAAACAAAGGUUUUUUUUUUUUGCAUUUGGUCCUUUCAAAAAAAUUAUUUUUACAAAUAGCUCAAUUAAAUUUACAAUUAUAAUUUGAUUCUAUUCCCGCUACACAGGUAUCACAUCAGUACCACGCGGGCUUGCUGGAAGGGAGUGGAAUAAGUUGAACACGAUGAAUCAUUCACCGUAUUUGAACACGAUUAAUAAUUCACCGUUUUUAAAUAUGGUAAAGUCUAAAAACGGUGAAUCUAUUAGAUACCAUAAAUGAUUCAUCGUGUUCAUACAUGAUUAAUUAUUCAUUCACAGUGUUGAGAUUUUUACUCUCUCUCUCUCUCUCUCUUUCCAGCUAACCGCCAGAUAAGUCCCGCCUCUGACUUCACUCUCCAACUAAAACAAAAUAAACAGAUAAGAACGAAAACUGCUCCUAACGUUGUGUCCCGCUCGAUCUCGUCAUCGUUCCCCUCCCCACUCUCUCUCUCUCUCUCUCUCUCUCUCUCUCGAUCAUUCGCUCCUCCACGCAAAAAGGAAACCCUAAACGGAAACCCUAAUUUAUUUAGGGUUUUACAUGAGGGAUUGAUUGAGGGGAAAGAAACAGAAAAAAGACAGUAUAUAUAUAAGAAGAAAAAGAUGCGGCCGAGUUGGUCGCAGAGCUCGCUAGGUUUUCUUCUCAAGUUCUUGAACUAUCUCCAGAGCUUCGUUGGGGUCUCCAUCGUUUUAUACUCCGUGUGGCUGCUUAGCUUGUGGCGUCGCCGCAGUUCCGAUCUCCAUGAGCCUACAAUCCCAUGGUAUCUUCUUCUUUUUCAAGAACGGAUAGAACUUAUCUGAACUAUCGAUAAUUUUUUAAAAUUUUGCUUUUAUUAUGCAAACAAAUUAGUCAAUGAUGCAUUGACUUUAAAAUAUAAAUGCAUCGUUCGUAUUUACGGAUUUAGUUCGUAUGUUUCAUAUAAUUCUCACAACUAUAAAUUUAUUAAAAAAAUUUAUUAAGAUAAGUAAUUAGCUUAAAUUUCGAAGUCAAAAUACUAUCGAUCAACUCAAAUCAAACUAAUUGAAAGGUGGGGGUACAAAAUAAAAAUUUUUAAAGUUUAAGUAAACGAUUCAAAAUAAUCUAUAGUUCUAGUAAGUUGUGUAUAUUUUUUCCUUUUCAUUUCAAGCUUCUAAUUUUAGUUAGAUUCAGGACGAAGUUAGGAUUCAAUCACAAGAGAGGCCAAAAUAUGUACAAAUAAAAAUUUUGGCCGAUAAAUAUGAUUUUACCUAUUCAAAUUUUUAAUAAAAAAAUUUAGUCAUUAGAUAAUUAAUGUUAAAAAAUAUUAAAUAAAUUUCUUUAAUUUACACUCGCUUAACAUCUAAUUAUUUUAUUUGCAUUAUUCCACCCAAAUAACUUUAGAAUUUUACUAAAUCUAAUAGUAAUUUAGUUAGAAUUUAAUUUUUUAAAAUUUUGUUGAUAAAAUAAUAAUAACCAAUGACUUAUAUCUAACAGAGCUAUUAAAUUUAGCAUACUAUUUUAUUUAGUUAAAUAAAUUAGCUCAUCAAAAAUAAAAAAAGUUAAGAAUGUAUAAAUAAAAUAUUUAAAGUUGAAAGGACUUAUUUCAAAAUGCACUAUAAUUAAGAGGUUCUUAGUAUAUUUCCACCUAUAAAACACAUAAGAAGAGAGAGCUUUAUACUAGCUUUAAAAUUUUUUUACAAGAUAGGCUCAUAUAUUUUAAAAAUUAACUAAAAAUAUAUAAGCUACCAAAGGACUAUAAAGUAAAUAUUGAAAAGUUGAGGGGGGCCAUGGCCCUUUUGGGUCUAUACAUGGCUCCGUCCCUGGUUGGGUUGUGCAUGAAAGGAAAUGCUUGUUGGUUUACUUCGUUUGCCGCAGCUUGUUUGCACUUUACUGCCAUGUGGUUACAAGUGUAGCAAUUUCUCGUAAGACGUAUCCCGAAGAGAUCUCAUGUUUUAUUAACGAGAGUAGUAACAUACUAUAUUGCACAGCUCUGAUUUUUAUUAAAAAAAUGUGUGAUUUUAUUAUUUUUAAAGGGGGAAACUAAGGGGCCAGGUUGCUAAAUAUUGGGCAUAGGGUAGUAAAAUGUAAAUGUGCUCACUAAGUUUUCCCUUUUAAUAUUUUUGGAUGCAGGCUUGUGUGGACUUUGAUGGGUUUUGGAAUUUUGGUGUGUUUGAUCACUUUUGUGGGUCUAAUCUCUGCAGGAGCAGGCAAUGGUUGCUUCCUCUGUUGUGUAUCCUACUUGCUAUCUCUCUCUCUCUCUCUCUCUCUCUUAUCUCUCACUUAAAUAUUUAGAUCAUAAGCUAGCUUUUGUCUUUAUUAGUAUGUUUGCAGUCGAACUAAAAGUCUGUUUAGCUUUACUUCUGCUUUUUCUAAGCGGCAAUUACACAUAACAACGUGUUACACAAUUUCAAAAAGUCUAGAGCUUUUGCUGCAGCAGAAAGCAGAUAAGUGAUCUUGAGAUCUUAAAGUAGAAGCUCUGAUUUAGAGCUUAUAGUGCCGUUUUAAAGAGAAGCUAUUGGGAGAAAUUUUAUUUAGUGCUUCUCCUAGUAGUACUUCCUAAAGAGCGCUUUCAUUAAACAAUACUACCUACUCUUUAGUGACUUCUGUUUAUACCAUAAAUGCAUUUGAAUGCUUUAACAGAUUUAAUUAACUGUCUCAUGUGAUUCCAAUGGCUCCAUUCUCAUUUAAAGUUCUCUUUCAAAAAAAAAAAGAAAAUUUGUUGAAAGUUGAAACAAAUGGUGCACCCAAAUUCUAUAAAGGAACAACUAUCAAAUGAAUCAAAAGGUUGACCGGCAAAUCUGAAGGUUGGAUAGUCAUCUCCAAAUGAGUCAUAGUUAGUGUCGGCUUAAAGGGGUCAGCAUCCUGUCCUUUGGUGGGAGGCCCAGUUGGAUUGUCAAGCCACGUUCGAAAUAGUGGGAGGCUCGGAUGGGCCGAGUCACAAUCGAGAUCCAUGAGCGCGGUGUUUGUAUGCUUUAAGUGAGUUGGUUGUAUCUUUCUAAUAACUCGAGCUUUUAGAAUUAAUGGUUAGAGCCAACGAUCCGACACUCAGGUCAAUUCUAUACUUUUUCACACUAUAUGCUUUUCUCCUGCUCAGAUUUACAUGUUUUUGGUGGUUUUGCUGACAUUCAAAUCUUUGAGUAAUGUCCUUAAGCCAGACCAAUUUCAGUAUGCUGCACUGAUAGUUACACUCAUUCUACUAGAAGCAGCUUCGGUGGGUUGCAUAGUUUUCAACAAACAAUGGGAACAGGUAAGUUGCAAUGUUCAGUACUAGUUUCUUGAUUUCUUUUUCCAGUGUUGUUCAUGAUUUGAGUUUCAGGCAAGUUUUACCAGUGUCCUUUUACAUGCCUCACAGAGUUUUCCCCAUGAUGCUACUGGAGAACUGAAGAGAAUUCGCGCCUUUAUCGAUGACAAUCUCGAUUUCUCUAUCUGGGUUUCUGUAAUUGUGGUGGUUGUUCAGGUGUGCGACUGCCUUUUUGUUCAUUUAGUUCUUUUUUUUUUUGAAAAAAAAAUGGGUAGCUUUAUGUUCUUAGAUCAUUUGAUUGAGGUGUUUUACUUAUUAUCUGGUUGGUUAGCUCUCUUGCUUUUGCCUCAACAACAAAAAUUUGCAAGCUUAGGCAGUUGUUUGGUUCCUCGAAAAAUUGUGGAAUAAUAUUUCUCAAGAAAUUAGAAAACAAAAAAGGAGACUUCUUCGUGAAAUUCUACUUUUUCUGGAAAUCAAAGGGACGAAAAAUACUUUUCUAGCCAGAAAAUUGUUUUCUGGAAGCACGAGUGUUUGGUUGAUGAAAAGUGAAGGAUAAAAAGUGGGACUUUUAGAAACUGAAUUUGCUAUGAUUAUUUGGUUAAAAAAAGUUGAUCGUAUUGCACUUCUUUUAAUAAGAAAAAGUGGGAUCUUAUUUUUAUAAUAGGAUUCUUUUCACCCGACUUUUCGUCUACUAAGAUAAAAACUCAUAAAAAGUGGGGUAACGAGUUAUCACGACUUUCUUUAUUUCCCUCCCUCCGCGCAAUUAUUCCGAUGUUCCCUCCCUCACGUCAAAAUUUAUUACCUUUGUCUCGCUGCAUCAACUUUCUUCUUCCGUCCUAUUUUUAUUACUUCCUCCCCGCUGUUAGUGUAGAUUGUAAUAGUGGAAGUGAGAUUGGUGAAUAGUUGUGUCUGUUCAUAAAGUAAUUAUUCUUAUGAAAGGAUUCGUCUCUUCAUUUAAUAUAAAGAUAUGUCUCUUCACGCAGAGAUAUGUUUAUUCACGAAGAAAUAUGAACCUUUUGUGAAAGAGUAUGUCUUUUCGUUAUUCGUGAAAGGACGUGUCCUUUUGUGAAAGGAUAUGACUUUAAAAGUUGUGUCAUUUCAUCGUAACCAUUCACCUCCUAUAAAUGAGAGAUGUUUGAAGGCUUCAAGGGCAACAUAUUCAAUCUUUUUUCCUUCCUAAUUUUUCAUAUUGAUGCUUAAGAGAGAAGUUCUUAAGGAAAAGUCUUCAAAAGUGUUGUUUGCAGUCUUUCAGCGGUCUUGUUGUAUCAUAGAGGUGAUUUGCUGGUAACCCGACAGCAUACAUUCAAGUGAGGGCAAAUAACACCUUAAAGAAAGUGAACUUACACGCCUCAAGACUAUAAUUUGCUUGAUCUCCAUUCAUAUUUCCCCAACACCCGCCACAUCAACAUUCUUCUUUCGCCCUACAGCAUCAACUUUCUUCCGCCGCCCGAUCUAAUCAAGGUUCUUUCUCUAUCUACCCCAACACCCCACACUUACCCACCUAUACCCAAACAUAAGAAGUCAGAAAAGUUUGAAAUUCUGUUAACCACUUAUUAGACAAACCAAACAAGCGAAGCUCACUUUUUAUGUACCUAUUUUCUCAAAAGUAGCACUUCUGAAAAGUCUCACUUUUUUCUAUUGUUUUACAACCAAACAAGCUAAAGUUAAGAAACUGUGAGAAAAAUACCCUUAUAGUUAGUAUGUCUACACUUCUACUUUCAUUAUUAUUUCAUGAUCAACUUUAGGAUCACAGAUUAAAUUGUUGAUGAUAUCUUGUAAUUGCGAUUGGAUUAAAUUAUGAAAUUAUAAACUGCUUCUGUUGUAAUCUUUUCCUUCUAUAUUGAAAAGAGAAAAAAUCAUUCUUAUUCGAUGUAGGCGCUUUCGCUUGUGCUGGCAAUGCUAUUGAGAAACANUAGUUCUUUUUAGAGGUACCAAUAGAUAAUUGAAAUUACUUAGGUGUUACAAAGAACGGUGCACCGUUCUUUGGUAAGUAAGAAUCCAAUUAAUUAUCUAUAUCUAUUAUUAUUUUAUUAUUGGGUAAACUCGGUUUAGUUAAGAGAUUUAGAAGGAUGGCAAAGAGAAAGGUAGAGAGAAUGCAAUCUAAAUUUUCAAUAAAAUUAAAAAAUUAAUUACACUUAAUUUCAUAGAAGAAGGAUGUGGAAAAGAAGAGUAGAAAGAAUAAAAAGGGAGAGAUGACUUGGCUGCCUUAAUUUGUAAUUAGUUCAUUCAAUGUGUAAGUAUUUAGUAUAACGAUUAACUAUUAAAUCUUCUAGUAGGCAAUAGAUUUUAAAUUAAAACUUGAAAUUAACCCCACUAAUAAUACCUCUUAAUUAUUGUUUACUUAUUCUCCUUAACUACCCUUCUCUUUAUCAACUCCUUUUUUUUGUCCCUUAUCAUUCUAUUUAGUUUACCAUUUACAAUUAGGAAUAAGAAACGAAAUUAAAAAAAUACACUCAUGAGACAUUUAAAGUUUAAAACGUAUUAAACUUUAAAAAAAUACUAAAAAAUAAUGAAAUACACUCAAAAUAUAAAAAAACCAAUAAGACCUGAGCUACGCAUAUAAAUUCUAUUAAAUUACUUCUACUUAUAUAAAAUAAAAAAAGAAAUGACUAUUAAAUAAUAAAAAUUUAAAAUUGAAAUUGUCAUACAGUGCGGGGCCUACAGAGUAAGAGGCCCGUGCGGCUGUUUAGGCGGCAUAUGUUUCUUUAAAAAGGACAUAUGCUUCGCUGUCGACAUGGACAUUUACAAUAUUCCUUUUUUUAAGUUUUGAGAAGAGUUGGUCAACUUUUAUUUGUGAUUUGAUUUAUACCAUUAUUUUCUGAAAAAAGAAAACACAUAAUUUUGGAUAAAUGUGAACCUAAUUCUCCAAUAUUUUGAGAUUGGUGGUCUAGGAAAAUUAUUGAUGAUAUCAAUAUAAUUUGGUAAAUAUUUUGUAAUCAAAUAGAGAAAAAGAACAUGGCCAUACUCAUAUUAUUGAUAUAAUCUAAUGUAUUUUCUCAUAUCUUUUCUUAUUAGGAGUUUGCAAUUAGGGUAAAAAGCUUUAAGCUGUCGUUUAUUCACAACAUUUUCAAGUAAAAUGUUAUGAAUAUGCCAAGAACGUAACUCAUGUUACAUGGAUUUAAGACAAUUGUGUUGUCUCUAACCUAACUGCUACAACCAAAGUAGAUAGGGUACACUUUUUUCUCUUAAUUGUGAUUUUGAUCUUAUUUCGAGAAUCUUUAGUGUGUGUCCAUGGGUUGGAUGGUUAUAUAUGAUUUUUGAUAAUUUCAAAAUUUGAUGAUAUAGAAAGUGAAAGGCAAUAGUAAAGAAUAGGGUACCCAUCUCAAGAUGCAAUAUAGCUUAAGCAAGAUCUGAUUGUUUCUACCUUUUAUUUUUCUGCUGUGUGAGAGUAAGAAACUAACAUUUUAGCUUGCUUUGUAAAUAUUAUCGGCAUUGGACAUCCAUUGAUGAAUUACUGUAGAAAUUUUUGUCUUUAUAUCCGAUUACAACCGCUUACCUCUAUAAUAAAGGUAGUUGCUUUUUCCCCCAACUAUUAACUAACAAAACUAUUAAUAUUAAUAUAAUAUUUUAUUCAGUUAAAAGAAUAGGUCAUCCAAAAGUUAGGAAUGCAUUAACCAAAAUUUUAAAAGUUGAGGGGCUUAUUUCAAACUGCCUAAUACCUAAAAGUUAAAAAGUUCUUAGUAUAUUUUCAUCAAUAAAAUAAAUAAGAAAAGAGAUAACUCUAUGUCGGCACCAAGGAGUUUUUUAAAAGAUAGUCAUAUAUAUUUUGAGAUGUACUAGAAUUUCAUUCUAUAAUUCUUUAUUAUCUAUGAAAUAUUAAGCAAAUUUUGAAACAUUGAGCGGGUCAUGAACCUGAGGACUAUUAAGUAAAUUUUGAAAAGUUGAAGGGUACUAUGGCUACUUUGGGCCUAUACAUAGCUCUUUUUCUAAAUAAUGACAUAGGAGGUAUUUGAGCUCACAUUUGGAUGAUAUUCAUGUCUUUAUUGAUCUGUUUAAAUGUGGACGUCCUUCUUUGUUGAGCUUUUGUGGCUAUUUCCAUUUGAUCCUAUACCUAUAAGUUUCCGUCCAUCUCAAAACUCGAAAAAAGUUGUUCGCAAGUAAAUUCAAUUUCAUUCUUCUUAACAAUGAAAGUUUGAUUAAUGCAAAUAAUGAUCAUCGAACACACACACUCUCUUUCUAUAGUCUACAAAUUUAUGCAUGUUUUGAACCUCAGUAGCUUUACGGUAGAAAAUAGUCUUUUCUCAGUACAUACUUAAUAUUCCUCUAUUUUUUAUUUUUUUGACUUUAUCAUUUGUAAUAAAUUUUGCUUUACUGUACAUGAGCUCAUGCAAUUUGAUGCUCUUUUGAUAUGUGCUAUAAUUGUUAUAUAAUUUCUAUUUGAUUUGUGAUGUGAAACAGUAAAAACUAUUGUAAUCAUAAAGUUUUGCUUGAUACGUGAGUUCUCUUGAAUAUUGUUGAUUAGUUCUCUAGGAAUAGUUGAUUUUUUCUUAUCAUAAUUUAACUUUUUUAAAAGUAUUUUAUCUAUAAUGUGAUCUUUAUAUCCUACUCUUUUUUGUGAUAUUUUAUUUUUGGUAAAUUUUUAUUUCAGCAGUAUAUACCCGCCGCAAUGUGCGAGGUCACCACACUAGUAAGUAUUAAAAUCAAACUCUUAAUUAAUAAAGGGUAUAGUUGAAUUUUACAUAAAGUAACCUAUUGAACAGGUUAACUGAUUUGAAUUAGUUAAUAUGCCAAUAUUGGAAAAAAAUUAGUAGUAUAUACCAAAUUUGUUAACAUCCUAUAAUAUUAAAUAUUUUAUUUAAUUUUUUUACUUACCAAAUUAGAUAAUACUGUUGAGCCAAUUAGGCGCGAACAGGUAGUACGCCGGUAUUCCAUUCAAAGGCAUCAAUCUUGCUGUACACCGGGAGCACCGAAAGGGUUUAAAGAACAAACCGUCGCGCCAAUUAAGGGAGGUUACAGUAACCGCAAGCAGUUGCAAGCAGUUCCGAUCGACUGAAUGUGGGCUGAAAAUAGCUCGAAAAAUUAGGAGUAAUGGCCGAUUAUGCAUAGAUAAUAACUGAUCACAAGGGGCGAUCUAUAAAUAGGUCAAUAACAUCCUAAAAAGAGAUCUUUUUCCUGUGAACAAAAGACCGCCCUUAUUUUCUCACAAUUUUCUGCAUUUUCUAGGAGUAGUCUACUUGUAAUUUUUACUUUCCCGCAUUUACUGUUUUUCCUAGGAGUAGUGUAUUAAAUAGAUCACCCGAGUCUGCAUGCCAUCCGGCACACUCAACCCCUGUACUCCUUACCAAUUAAUAUAAAGGCAUUCGGCUAUUCAAACCGACCAAUUCCUGUGUUCUUUAAUCUUUCGGCUCCUCGGCCGACUUCAAUUCUUGCUUGGUCCGUACAUUCGGCUCAUCCAGCCGAACCAAAUUUAUUGUAGAGGUUUCGAACCUGGCUGAUCCGAUCCCUCGUCAGCCGAAUCGCUUGAUCAAUCGAAGGGCGCAAACUUCGAUGGUCACCUUCCGAAGCUGUUUUCAUCCCGACACGCUUCCCGAGGAGGAUCUUUGAUCGAAUCAAGGGUCAUGGAAUUCAGCUAGCUAACAAAUACCCAAUUUGUUAAGUAUUCAACUCAAAAAAAUAUUGAAUUUAAAUUUAAGUUUUGAAGUUGGUAUUGUAAUGUAAAAUUUUAAUUUCAAAAUUAAUAUUAAACUUGUAAAUUUUGAAUCUACAUUGUACUUUUAAUUUGAAAGCCAAAUUUUAAUUUUUGAUUUAAAUUAAAAUUUUGAAUUUGAACUGAAAGUUUUAUUUUAAAUUUGUGUUUUAUAUUUAAAAGUUGAAUUUGAUUUAUAAUUAAGUUUUUUAAGUUGCUUUGUAUUUAAAUUUACAAUUUAGUUGUAAUUUGAAUUCCAACUAUUGUUGUAGGUAUUUGAGAAGGUUGUAGUAUUCUUAGUUGGAUAAAACCGAUUUUGUAGACUAAAAUAUUUUUCUAAAAUCAAAAUAUCUUUUAAAUAGGUAUCUGGUGAAUGGUACCCAUACCUAAAUAGUAGGUCGCAUCUAGAAUCAUAAUAUAUCUCAUCGAUUUAUUUAAAAAAAUAAAUGGUCAAGACUUACACAAUAUAUUGAACUAUUACUCAAAAAAAUAUAUAAUACGAAAGAAUGGAGCUUCAUGGAGGGCUUUUUUAUAAAAUGACCCUCCAGAAACUCAAAUUUGGCAAAAUGAUCCUGCCAAAAUUUUAUUUGUAAAACUAACCUUCCUUUUGCCACGUGGGCGCCACGUCAGGAUUUCUCACAAAGACGGUGAAUCGUUUACCGUCUUUGUAAUAUUUGUUGUGAAAGCGGUGAAUGGUUCACCGCCUUCAAAAGGCGGUGAACCAUUCACCGCCUUUAGUAUAAAAUCCCCCUUUCCCCCUUUUCCCCCUUUCCGCCCUUUCAAGUCCGCCGUUUCUGUGCCCUCGAGAAGACGGAAAACGAUUCACCGUCUUAUCAAAGACACCAUAUUCUAGACUUGAAAAGAUUGACGCAUCAGAGUAGAGAUUUGUACUAAAAACGGUGAAUGAUUCACCGCCUUAUGAAGGCGGUGAACCAUUCACCACAACAAAUAUAAUAAAGACGGUGAACGAUUCACCGUCUUUUUGAGAAAUUUCUGACGUGGUGCCUACGUGGCGAAAGAAGAAUUAAUUUUAUAAAUAAAAUUUUGAUAAAAUUGUGUUGUUAAAAUUGAAUUUCUGGAGAUUCAUUUUAUAAAAAAAAAAAACCUUCAUGGACAGACUCUAUAUAGGGUUAUUUGUUUUCCUUCCUUUAUCGAUUCCCUUCCCGCUUUCCACGUUGUAACUUUUCGGGCAUUCAUCGCCGCUGUCCGGCGGAACCAAGGAGGCUCUUCUUAAGCCGUUUUUAAAACCCUAAACCCUAUAAUAGUAGUAGAAAGCUUGGUCUCGUCGCAAUCGAUCGAUCCGUCCGUCUCUUGUGGGAGCAAUGUUCUCACCGGCGACGAGGAAGCCGCAUCUCGCCUCUCCCCAGAGGGGGAAGGAGAACAAGGAGAAGGGGCACGACGAAUCCCCUUCCACUCCCCUCCCCCUCCCCCUCCCCCUCCCCCUUCCUUCCAUCCCCAACCGCCCCCUCACCGGCACGCCAGCCCCCUGGUCUUCCCGCCUCUCCGUUCUCGCCAGGUACUACUCCCCACACUCCUCUGCAGCUCACAGCAGCAGUUUAGUUUCUUUACUUGGUGCUCCGUAACGGCCUGUUUGCUUGCGAGAAUCUACCAUUGUAGAAAGUGAGCAGCACCAUUAGGUUUCUUUGGUAAGAAUAUCACAUUCCUACCUUCUAUGGCCUAAUUUGAUAGCUUACACUGUUCGUGAAUUGGUCUUACAAUUACUCGGUUGCUUAGCUCAUGCGAGAUGAUUUAAUGAUGCUUUAAUUAAACCUUCAGUUCUCAAAACUUUAAACGGCUUAUGCUAUUUACUGGUUAUUCUGAUUUACCCUUAGGGCAUGUUUGCUCCACCUUUUUUAGACUAUGGAGUCGGAAUUGAAUUCAUUGAUUCCGAUAGUUGUCGUUUGUUUUAUAGGAAUCGGAUUCCGGUUCCCAUUCCACUCCGGAAUGGGAAUGGCCAAAUCCAUUUAUGACCCAAUCCGGCUUUGAAUCCCAGAUUGGCCUAUUCCAAAGUAAACUAUUCAAAAUUCUCUUUCACCAACACCUGCCUCAUCUCCCUUCAUCAAAUUCCUCUCUCCUAAUCAAAAUCCUCUCUCAAAAAUUCCAAAUUUCCAUUCUGAUUUCCAAUCCAAUAAUGAACCAAACAUUUUUGCAUGAUUUGUCAUUCCAUUUGCCAUUCCGAAGCAAUCCAAUUUCAUUUCCCAUUCCUAUUCUAAUCAUGAACCAAACAUGCCCUUACUUCUUAGCGAUCCGUGUUAGUUAUAAACAUCCUGCAGAUUGUAUCUGAUUAUUAAUACUACCUCGUAUUUUCAGAAUUCCAACAGGGAAGAAAGCAGAUAAAAGUGAUGAUUCUAAUCAGAUCCAGCCUGUUUUUGUUGGAGAUUUUCCACAUAUCGUUCGCAAUGCUCAAUCGAAUCUUCUGCAGAAGAAUUUUACUGGUAGUUAUGAUCAUUGCUCAGUCAGACUAGUUUCUUGACCCUAUUAGUUUACGAUUUACAAUCACCUGUAACAGUACUGACCUAUUAUCUUUUAUGCAGAUAGUACAGCAAUUGCUGGUGGUAUGGAUAAAGGUACAUCCCUUGCAUGGAUGGUAUGUGGAAGCGAGCUGUUUAUUUGGAGCUAUUUAUCUGCUUCAGUCUCAAAAGAUUGUAUUGUACUUGAGGUCCCACUUGCUGUGAUCGGAAAUAAUGACUUACACAGUGAGCCCCUUUUCAGUAAUCAUUUGAUGGUUUGUAUGGUUAGAUGGGACAUUCCAUCAUCAACAUCCUGUAAUAUCAUGUUAGAGCAAAGCAGUUCUACUGGUGUCAUUUUAUUCAAUCAGACGACUCAAGUUGUUGCAUAUUGGCAUGACAUUUAUUCUGAAAGGGGAAGAAUUCCAAUUAUUAGCUUUCCAGCUCUGAACAAUAAUGAUGGUGGCUCGUCAGAUGAUCGCACAAAUGCUGUCAACAGGAACCAUAAGGACGGUUGUAUUGGACAUGAACACUCGUCUGAAAAAAAAUUCAACUCCAUUAUUGCUGAUGCUGUUCCUGAUAGUCCUUAUGAAUGUAUUGCAAUAGCUUGCCAGUCAUAUGGUGCAUUAUGGUUGUUUCGAUUUAAACCAACUGAAAUACAUCGGAGACAACUAUCCGAAGUUCUAUUUGGUAGUACUUCUACUAGGCAUUCUCAAAGCGAUAAAGGUUAUGCAAGGUCGCUUAUCUGGCAAUCAAAGCAUUCUUUCGCAGAAAAAUCUGAUCGGAAUUUCCUUCUGCUAACAAAUCGUGAGAUUCAGUGUUGGAAUAUUAUGCUUGCACCAAACUUAGAAGUUACAAAACUUUGGGCUCAUGAAAUUGUUGGCAAUGAUGGUGAUCUGGGUAUUAAAAAGGAUUUAGCUGGUCAGAAGCACAUCUGGCUUUUGGACAUGCAAACAGAUGACCAUGGAAGAGACUUGAGUAUUCUUGUUGCUACCUUCUGUAAAGAUCGUGUGAGCAGUUCAAGCUACACUCAGUAUUCUCUUCUGACAAUGCAAUAUAAUCCUGGUCAACAUUUUUCGUCUAAACAUAAUGGGUCAAAGAGUGAAAGAUUUUUGGAGAAAAAGGCUCCUCUUCAGGUCAUAAUUCCUAAAGCUAGGGUGGAAGAUGAAGACUUCCUUUUUGCCAUGAGGUUACGUAUAGGAGGUAAGCCAUCUGGUUCUGCAAUUGUGCUAUCUGGUGAUGGAACUGCAACAGUGACUAAUUACUGGAGGGGCUCCACGAGACUCUAUCAAUUUGAUUUGCCUUGGGAUGCCGGAAAAGUUUUAGAUGCUUCUGUUUUUCCAUCUGCUGAGGAUAAUGAGGAAGGAGCCUGGAUUGUCUUGACUGAAAGGGCUGGCUUUUGGGCUAUACAUGAAAAAGCAGUUUUACUUGGUGGGGUUGAGCCACCAGAGCGAAGUUUAUCACGUAAAGGAAGCUCUAAUGAAGGAGUUGCAGAAGAAGAAAAAAGAAGUCAGGCAUUUGGCGGCAAUGUUGUUCCCAGAAGGGCUAGCUCUGAGGCUUGGAGUGGUGGAGGUCGACAAAGGGCAGCUUUUUCUGGCAUUGCACAGCGAACUGCACUCGAUGAAGAGGUUGAAGCGUUGCUAGGUCGUCUGUUUCAUGAUUUUGUUUUGUCUAGCGCAGUUGAUGGUGUUUUUGAGAAGCUUCAAAUGAAAGGAGCAUUUGAGAAGGAAGGUGAGACAAAUGUAUUUGUUCGCAUGAGCAAAUCUAUUGUUGAUACGUUAGCCAAACAUUGGACGACAACAAGAGGUUCUGACUUCGUGGCUUCAGCUGUUGUGUCAUCCCUUCUCUUGGACAAGCAGCAAAAACAUCAAAAGUACCUUCAGUUUCUUGCUUUAUCUAAGUGCCAUGCGGAACUGUAUUCAAAGCAAAGUAAGGAUCUGGGUCGCUUUUUCUCUACUUGUCAUAUUUUUUGUCAUUAACCAACUAUCCAAUCCAUUUUGUAUGCUGAAGGCAUGAUUAAUUGUCUUGCUUUGGCUUUUGUAACUACUGUUUUCUGUUUGAUUUUGCUUCUUUCUAUUUGGCUUUUUUUGUCCCCUGUAUUUUCUCUUUGCUUUGUGGGUGUGGAGGUUGUGACAUGGGGACUCUGUUUCUGCGACUUUCUUUACUAGUUUCAAAUGGAGCUAAAAUGUUUGCAAUGUUAUACUCUCUUAAUUCGCACAGCUUGUGUGCUGCAUCUGCUUUCUUUCUCUAUUCGUUCUUCCAGAUGGUUCCGAACUAGUUGGUAAAAGUAUUCCUUCACCAUUGAGGAUAUAGCAAACACGGUUUCUCUAUUCAUUCUUCCAGAUGGUUCCGAACUAGUUGGUAAAAGUAUUCCUUCACCAUUGAGGAUAUAGCAAAAACGGUUCACAUUGGAUAUGAAGGCUUCAUAAAAAAGUUAUCUUCAGCAAAAUUCUAAUAAGGAUAUAAUGCUUGUGUUUUCUUUUUUUUUUAACUCUUUUUAAUCUGUCUUAUGUGUUCCCAACAGAUUUAUUUUCCUCUCUUUAUUUUAUGGGAAAUGUUCUGUAAUUAGAAGAAAAAUAGUUGAUUGAGGUUAUCAGUUUAAAUGAUGCCAUUGAAUUCAUGUUUCUUCAUAUUUUGAUGACCUGUUAACUUUUUAAAUUUGAUUGUCUUCUUCACUUGUCUCAAACUCGACGAUGCGUGAUAGAAAAUUUUCUUUAUACUGAUAUUCUACAUCUUGAGGAUGUUGCAAAAGCUAUUUUAAAAAGAUAACCUGAUAGGUCUUGGUUGAUACUUGAUACAUUAUGAAUUGGGUUUAGUUCUUAUAAACGAUUUGGUUGAACAGUUUGAAGAGUCUCAAAUCUGCUAGAGAUAGAUAAAAUAUUUUGCCUGGUCGUAGAUUGUCAUUUGGGAACAUAUUGCCAUGCGAAUGUCUUCCAGUAUGUAUUUGAAUAUUAGCACUGACUGACUGUUGACGAAAGCUCUUAAUGGUCUAUGUACCUUUAGAUCUUCUGAGCUACUCUCUAACAGGAUUGCUUGGAUGUAACAUGUAAAGUGGAAGUUAUUGUAAUUGAUGAACAUAAUUUCUCUUUUUUUUUUUUUUCCUAUGGUUAAUUAUGUCUCUUAACAUCAAAUAUCUGUCUAUGUGAACUGCGUUUUAUUCAUAUGCCUCUUCAUGUGUCUAAGCUGAAUGCUUAAAAUGACAGCAGAUGCUCAAGUCUACUCGGUCAUGUUCUUUUUCCACUUUUAGUUAUGUCGCGUAUCAAGAUAAUCAGAUACUAUGCAUAUUUGUUGAUUAUAAUGGUUUUUGUGGUAUGCUAAUUUUUUUAUCCUUUGUUUUGUGGGACAUUAUGUGUAUUUUCAAUGUUAGACAAUUGUCUCUUUUCCUUGUAGGAAUUGCUUUGCUUACCAUCUUGGAAAAUGGAGAGAAGCUUUCUGGCAUGAUCCAGUUGAGGGAGCUACAAAAUGUGCUUAGCCAGCAGCGAUUAGGCACAGCCAACUCUUCGUCAUCUCAGUCUUAUAUUCACACCGCUGGUUCUCUAUGGAGCCUCAUUCAGCUGGUUGGUGAGAAAGCUCGCCGGAAUACUGUUCUCUUAAUGGAUCGAGAUAAUGCUGAAGUAUUCUACAGUAAAGUUUCUGACAUAGAGGAAUUCUUCUAUUGCUUGUCUCACUAUCUUCAGUAUAUAAUUAAUGGAGAGAGUUCCUUUUUUAUUCGGAUGGAGCAAGCAUUUGAAUUAGCAAAUGCUUGUACAUUGUUAAUUCAGAGUGCUAUGCGCUAUAGAGAUGAGCACAAGAACUGGUAUCCUUCUCCCGAGGGAUUAACACCUUGGAACAGCCAGCCUGUUGUCCGGUCAGGUUUGUGGAGCAUAGCGGCUUUCAUCAUGCAGCUUUUAAAGGAAUCAGGAGAAGUGGAUAUUUCAGGCAAAUCUAAACUGUGGUCUCAAUUUCAAGGUCUGACAGCUACUCUCUUGGACGCGUAUACUGGUUCAAUCAGUGCUAAAAUUGAACGUGGGGAAGAACGAAAAGGACUACUUGAAGAAUACUGUCGACGAAGAGAGGAGCUACUUGGUUCCAUGUAUGAAUUUGCCAAAAGAAUUGUGGAAGCUAAAUACCAGGUACCUUUGUGUGGUAUGACAUUGCUGACUAUUUUUUUCUUAUUAGAAUAUUUGCUUGUUUUGAUGACCAUGCCUUGUUUUUCAUCUAAUCCUUGUUUGGUCACUAUAUCAUCAACUUGUCUGUUUCCUUUUUAUCACGAGAUGUACAAGAUAGUAGAUUAUAUUGAAAGGUAUAUGGACUUAGCUGCAACAAGGUGUUUUGGAGAGGGGAGGGGGAGGAGGGGUUUCCUGUGGUUGGUUUUUUCUGUUUGGUGGUGGUGGUGGUGGUGGUGGUGGUGGGGAGGGGUGGGUUGUAAAUAUGUUAGCAAUAAUUGUGUAAGUUUGAAAACUUGCCGAUUGACUGGUAAGUGGUUUUGCAUGUCUUAGGUAGCUUGAGAAUAGGAACCAACUUUUUUCUUGUCCAUACUGAUAGACCUGAGAAUAUGCUGCCUCUCGAAACUAGAAUUAUAGAACAUUUACCUCGUGAAGAUAUUCUAUGAGGAGUUGCAAAACUGUAAAAAAAAACUCAGAAAUUGUCUGUUUUGCCCUUUUCUCUUUCAGAUUUUAUGUGUUAUAAGUGAAUCUGGUUUCUCGAUGCACCCAUAUCAGAGUAAUGACAUAUCUACUUGUAAUCUUUACUUUCCUUGAUGCAGUUAAUUAUAGCUUGCUGCAUUGCUCUGUUUCUCAAUUUGUUGAAUUUAGUUGAGUAACAGAACAAAUAACCAUGCUUUCUUUUUCUUUUUCCUUUUCUUUCUUUUCAGGAGUCAUGUAAAGGUGUUGAUGACAAUGAAACAAAAGAAUCCAUAUAUAGAGAGGUUACUUCACCCAUUCUUUUAAUUGCUAAGCAGCAUGAAGGCUAUCAAACUUUGUGGCAUAUAUGUUACGACCUUGGUGAUACAGAACUCCUCAGAAACCUUAUGGUAUGAGAACAUUCCUUUUAUUCUGAAUAAGUAUUUUGUAAGAUUUUGCUCAUUGAUAGGAUAUUUAGAUGCACAGACCAAAAAAACUAGAGUUCAAAUCUCAUGAUCCAGCAUCGGCACUCAACUUCUUUUCUCCUUUCAAGAAUUGCUAUUUGGUAGCUAAAUGUGGCUUAUUCAAAUAAUAUUUUAUGUAUUUCAAUACGCCGGGUCUUUUUAGUUUGAUGUAAUGUUAUAAUGCAGCAUGUAGGGCCUCAUGGAGGAUUCAGCUACUAUGUCUUUCAGCAGCUAAUUAAGAACCAACAGUAUGCUAAGCUGUUAAGGCUUGGAGAGGAGUUCCUGGAUGAGCUAGCAAAUUUUCUCAAGGAUCACAAAGAUUUGCGGUGGCUUCAUGAGAUAUUCUUAAGUCAAUUCUCCUCUGCUUCAGAAACUCUUCAUGCCUUAUCUUUGUUUGGCGGUGAUGAUUCUGCGUUGGUCAGCAAGGAAAAUUUUGAUCUUACAGAGGUGAAGAGAUUGCCGUCUCUGGCUGAAAGAAGACGAUUACUUAAUGUCUCCAAAAUUUCAGCUAUGGCAGGUUAGUUUUUUCUUCAAUUAAUAGUUGUUUAAAAGUAAAUUGUAGCAACUAUAGGGUAAAGUUUGUCAAACAGGCAGUAAAGAGGGCAAGUUUUGGUACAGCGAUCAACCCAAUAAUAUUCGCUCUUCUGGUUCAACGGAGUCAAGUUUAUGACUUCCUUUUGGAUAUAAAAAUGGUUUAAUAGAUGUGAUAUACACUCGUUUGGAGUCUGGGAGGUACCACUAACAAUCGUGUGGAGUUUGGGAUUGUCAAACGAGUGUUAGUUCUUUCUCUUUAUUAUUAGCAUUAGUUGCUGAUAAAUUACACUUCUAUGGAAUAGGUAAAGAUGUGGGUUUUGAAAUGAAGAUUGCCCGCAUAGAAGCUGAUCUGCAGAUUCUUAAAUUGCAGGUGACAUUUCUUAAGAGUUUGAUACAUUCCUUGACGUAAACUUUUCCAUUUCAAUUUCAAAACUUAAUUACAACAUUCUGUUUAUCUAAUCACAUUGCUUAGCUAUCACCUCAAUAAUCUGACAAAGCGAUUUGAACUGAAAACAGGUAUUGUCUGUUCUGAUAUUCUUGGAGUGGUACAUUAAGUUUAUAUUUCUACAGAAUUGUGUUCUACUUAUAUUUUAGUUUCUGGAACUGCUACUUCAUAUUAUAUUUAUAUACACAUGAAGAUAUUUGCCUACAAUUGCAUCCUGAUAGUGUUAUUUGGAACCCCAAAAAAAAAGGAAAAAAGCUUUGUCUUUUAGCGCUUCUGAGAUGAUGUUGCUUAUAAAGUGUAGAUAGCUGCAUUGGCCAGCCUAUGAACUCUAGCAUUAAAGGAGAAGGUGUUCUCGUGAGGCUUAAGACCAAUUCCUGUGUAGUAACCUUUUUUUGGCAUUCUUUACUACCAUGUAAAACUGCUCACAAGAUUAUGAUGAUUGGAGGUGAUUGACAAGAUUGCAUUAUCGGUUAUUUGUUAGACAUAGGCGUGAAAACUUCCAACCUUUCUACCAUACUCCAAGAGCCUUUUUGUGCUCAUUCUUAACUGUUUGCAUUAAGCUAUGCAGUUAAAACUGUAUCUUGGAUGACUACCUACACUAAUUACUAUAGAACUUUCUGUCAUAUUGGUUUCUGAUGCCCAUCUUUGGAGAUAUGAUAGAAUGGUGGUGGUGGCUGGUUUGCUUUCUUUUCCAAAGCCACCUUAUUCUCGUGUCCUGAGAACAAUAAUUAUAGAUAAAAGAAAAUAACAAUAUUAUAAUAUUUAAAUUCUGAUAUGUUAAUGUACUGCUUAAUGUCAUGAUGAUAGUUGUUGCAUGUUUGACUUCUAUUUUACAGGAAGAGAUUGUCGCAUACUUUGUAAACAUUGGUGAAGAGGACAUUAGUAAGCCACUGACUCCCACAGAACUGAUAGAUAUGUGCUUAAGAGGGGGCCGAGAUAUUUCUCUGAAAGUAUUUGAUGUGUUUGCUUGGACGAGCGCAUCCUUCCGCCGUUCCAAUGUAAGCACUCUGGAGGAGUGCUGGAUGAAUGCAGCCAACCAAGAUGACUGGCUAUCUAUCUGCCAGGCAUCGACUGUAGAAGGUUGGAGUGAGGAAGUCCUUUUAGAAGCUCUUAGAGAAACGGUGCUCUUCAAUGCUUCAAGUCGGUGUUAUGGGUCCGGAGCAGAUAUGAUGUACGAUGGUAGCUUCGAGGAGAUACUGCCCCUUAGGAAAGAGCAUGUGCAACUUUCGAGCCUAACUCUACACAGCACUAGUUCUUCUUCCGUGGAGGAAAUCCUGAUGAAGCAUAAGGAUUUCCCUGAUGCAGGUAAGCUGAUGCUGACUGCAGUCUUUAUGGGCAAGGAAGGGAGCAAUGUUGUAGCCGUAGCUGAGGAGGCGGACAUAAUUCAUGAUGAUACGUGAUUCUACUGCUGACUUUUUUUUUUCUUGAACCCUCAGAUUUUGUUGCCUUGCUAGUAUAAUGUUCAGUUCAUAUCGUAGGUGAUUUGAUUCUGUUGAGGCCUAUGGUUUCAGAUUUUGUUGUUGCUGGCUAGUUCACACUCGCCGGUUUAGUAGCACAACCGGCCAUCAGAGAAAGCUCUGCAUUUUGACAGCUGGAUACGUGGAGAAUUUUAACAGUGCUAUGCUGUUCAUCAGAAUGCUUAACGUCUAGCCGAGUACUGUGAUUUUGUCUCAAAUCUGCGAAUUUGUACCUUCUGUGCUUUUAUUUUUACUUUAUAAUUACUUUCUUUUUUAAGAAUAAGGUUUGAAGUAUGUAGUUGAAUGGAUGGACGGCUCGAAAGGAAGCGGUUCACAGAUUGACCUGAAGGACUGGGUGCAGACAAUAACUUCUCCCAUGUGACACUGUAGUGGCAUGUAGCGCACUGACGAAUACAGUUUGGUUACUGCAUAGCUUCCUCCCAUGUACUGAGAUUUUUGUGCUAAAGUUUUCAGUUCAUUGUUAAAUACAGUAUUGGUUACUGCAUAGCUUCCUCCUAUGUACUGAGAUUUUUGUGCUAAAGUUUUCAGUUCAUUGUUAGGCUUCACUGAACCUUAGCUGAUUGAAGGCAUGCAUACUCUUUCCAGUCUCUGGAAUAACGCAAAGAAAAUGUUGGGCAGGGAAAUUCGUAUCUUGCGCUAGAGGCAUCUUCCUUUUAACUCUGGUCCUCAAAACACUUUCUUCUUUUUUUUUUUUGUAUCACACGCUAGGAAUCUGAUCCUUGGGCAACUUUUCCGUCAGGAUCCAUUAGGUUGCUUUAGAUAGUCAAAGAACAAAUAAAAAUCAAAUACGUGCCAGCGCACCUUCGGCGCUGUUACUUGGGAUAGGAUUAACUGAUAAUUAAACAAUUAAAUGCGAGAUUACAGAAACAGUGAGAUUCGUUGCUGAGCAGCCGCCGCAUCAAGCUGAAGCAAAGCAAAAUAUGAAGAAGCAAAGCAAAGCAAAGCAAUACUCUUCUUAUGUAGAAGGUAGUAACCGGUCUCUACAACAAGCAAGUUUCUUAUUAGGGUCUAGGAAAAAAAGAAAAAAAAAAUGUUAUCCCACAGCCCCAGAAACAUGGGAGACCUUCUCUGGGCUUUGCAGAUAAUCCAGUCCGGGGACACAGAACUGGAGAGUAUUUCCUUCUAUCAGACCCAGUCCACCUCGAACUCGUAUCAAGAAACAGAGAAAUCGGUGAGCAUCAACAUUGCCAGAAACGACAUCAGUACUCAAUUCUUCAGUCGAUUUUUGAAUGAGCUUGCCAUGCAAAGGGGCAAUUGGAAAAGUCUAACAAACUUGUCAUUUCAUGGAGUGGAAUGGCAGCAGCAGCUGCAAUUGCAAAUCCUAUGCACGUGGCUGAGCAGCAGCAACUCUGGUGUGAAGCAGCUUGAAUUUCAAAAGAAUACUUUCGGCGUAGAAGAUUAUCCUAAGCUAUCAGAAAUGCUCAAAAGAAACACUACAAUCAAGGCGAUCAUUUUCUCCGAGUGUAACCUUCAGUCUACCGGAGCUAGGCACCUUGCUUCUGCAUUGGCAGAAAAUGACACAGUGGAAGAAUUGCAAAUAUGGGAGGACUCUGUCGGCUCGGAAGGUGCAGAGGAGCUUUCCCGAAUGAUUGAGAUGAAUUAUGCACUGAAGUUACUGCUGAUACUGGACAAGGAUCCCGUCACCGCAACUCCUUUGAUAUCUGCGACUAUAGCAAGGAAUCGAACCACGGAAUUGCACAUAUGGGGCGGAGAAUCUACGGAUAGCAAGCGCUUCAAAGUAGUCGAAUUCAUGCCUGAGACGAGCACACUUAGGAUUUACAAAAUUAACUCUUCAGGCUCUCGGAGAGUAGCUUGCGCCUUGGGAUGGAACAUAACAGUGGCCACCCUUGAUAUGACAGGCAUCCCGCUGCAAUCAAAGUGGGCUAAAGAGUUUGCAGGGGCUCUAGAGCAAAACAAGAGCCUCAAGAAAGUUAAGCUGUCAAGAACUUGUCUUAAAGACAAAGCUAUAGUAUACAUCGGUGCUGGGCUCUUCAAGAACAAAUCUUUAGAGAACUUAUGGGUGGAUGGGAAUUGGUUCGGUGGAGUCGGGGUAGAGCAUUUACUAUGUCCUAUCAGCAGGUUCUCACCGCUGCAAAGCCAAGCCAAUAACACCCUAAAAUCAUUAACUUUCGGGGGAGGGAAGACGAGAAUAGGUAGAUGUGGCAUAACAGCAAUCCUGCGCUUGUUGGAGACGAAUCAAAGCAUGGUCCAAUUAGUCAUUUGUGAGGACAGAAGCAUGAAACCAAAUGAUAUUGCUAGAAUCUUCAGAAGCUUGGAAAGGAAUGCAACCAUAAGGUUCCUUUCAUUGACAGGUUGCACAGGAGUAGAAGGGGAUGUAGUCUUACAAACAAUCAUGGAAACAUUGCAGGUCAAUCCUUGGAUCGAAGAAAUUGAUCUCAGUGGAACACCUUUGCAGAUUGCAGGAAAGGCAGAUGGAAUAUAUGAGAAGCUGAUACAAAAUGGAGCGCCGAUUCCUGAAAAUGACUUGCUAACUGAUCUGCCUCAAACCAUGCCUACAUGCUGCCGAUUAUUCCUCUGCGGUCAAGAACUUGCAGGUAAGUUUUCACUACACUCGAUUACCUUACCUUAUUUCUAGUCCCGCAUAUGCUCGCAUUAUGAUGUUAACAAGUAGCAGUAAACUAUAUCAUGAAGAGCUCAUACUAACCCUAUUACUUCUAACAUUGUGUAGCCGAAUUCUAGACAUGAAAUUCAGCUAACAUAUUUGUCUCAUAUCCUUGAUUGAAAGAGAUCUUUUGUUCACAAAAAUAGGCCGGGCAAUCAUUACAUGUAAUAAAGCACUGAAAUUGAGGUGAUAGCUGAACUAGUGCAUGUGCAUGCAGGAAAAACCACUCUUUGCAACUCCAUAUAUCACAACAUGAAUGCAACAGACUCACAAUACAUGGAUCGGAUAAGGAGUCUAAUAGAGCCAGUUGAGAAAAUUGCAGGCGCGCCUGAUAUCAAGAUAAGGACUAUUCAUGAUGGUGACAUGACAAUUUCAAUUUGGAACCUUGCUGGUCAGCACGAAAAUUGUGCACUGCAGGAUCUCAUGUUUCCAGGUCAUGGAAGUCCUUCCUUUUUCCUUAUAAUAUCCAGCUUGUUCCGAAAGCCAGCAAAUAGGGAUCCAAAAAGCCCAACAGAGAUCGAAGAAGACCUGCUAUACUGGCUCAAGUUCAUAGUCUCAAGUUCAAGGAGAACGUUGUCACGAAUGCUCCUACCACAUGUCUCCGUGGUUCUCACUCACUCCGAUAAAGUGUGCCAUCUAUCAGGAGACCUGCAUUCAACUGUUGCUGCAAUCCAAAGGCUAAGGGAAGACUUUCGAGAUUACAUCGAUUUCUACCCAACAGUUUUCAGCGUGGAUGCCAGAUCAUCAACUUCUGUAAGCAAACUCACUCACCACAUACGAAAGAUUAGCAGAACUAUCGUGCAAAGAGCUCCUCAAGUUUACCGGUUCUGCAAUGACCUAAUAAAUCAUUUAAAUGACUGGCGCUCGAGGAACUAUGGUAAACCCAUAAUGAGAUGGAAUGAGUUUUGUGAUUUAUGCCAACUUAAAGUUCCAGCCGUAAGAAUCAGAUCAAGGCAUGAUAAUAUGGAGAAGCUGAAUAAUCAAAGGCAUGCACUAGCAAGCUCGCUACACAAUAUGGGACAGAUAAUUUUCUUCGGGGAUCUUGGUUUUCUAAUCUUAGAUUGUGAGUGGUUCUUCAGAAAUGUGCUCAGCCAGCUUACAAACUUAGAUGCAAUAAGAAUUACCCAAAAUGAAAAAAAUGGUUUCAUCAGCAGGAAAGAAUUGGAGAAAGUUAUAAGACUACGGUUGCAAAAUCAGGUUCUUACAACUGGUCCAAAAGUUUUUGACAAUUUAGAAAUUAAUGAUCUAAUAAAUAUGAUGCUGAAGCUAGAGUUGUGCCAUGAACAAGAUCCUGGUGAUCCAAACACUCUACUUCUAGUACCAGGGAUUCUACAGGAAACAAGAGGAAGAACACAAAAGUGGCAAUUGAGCACUCCUGGGUGUGUUUAUGUAGGAAGGCAUUUAGAAUGUGACGAUUCAAAGCAUAUGUUUCUGACAAACAGCUUCUUUGCAAAACUACAGGUAACAAAUUUUUGGUCUAUCCUAUUUACAUAUUCCAUCAAGUCUUUUAUCGGUUCCAUUUAAAAGAUCUACCCUGUUAAAUAAAAUGUUGACCCAAUCACUACAUCAAGUCAGAAAAUUACAAGAAUGCAUCUUUUUACCAUAUUGUUGUAUGUUUUCUUAUCCCAUUGCCAAACAAGCAUGUGACGAAAAGACCAUGGAGAAAUGUACUUUAGAAGUUUUAUUUGUAUGAUAAACUAUCUAGCCUAUGCGAAAAUAUCCUUUACAGUACCAAUAAUACUUAUUUUUACUUUUUUAAAAUGCAGUCCUAUUUUUCUCAUUCAAAACUCCGGUUCUUGUAGAAUCAACAACAUAUACAGCUUUUAUGUAAGAACUUCCUUUUAAACUGUACAAUAUAGGGUGAUUCCCUGUGAUGUUUAUUAAAGGAAUAAAAAAAAUACAAGAUAUAAACUCAUAUUUCUGCACAAACACUACCUUGAGGGUCAACAGCAAACCCAAAAACAACCUAAUUAAAUAGAAAAAAAGUACAAUCGAACAACUAUCUAAAUCAAAGUAAAUCCUCACAUCAGGCAAACAGCUCUAUGCAAAUAAAAGCACACAAAUGCUACACCACACAUAAGCAAGACGACAAGCAACAACUCAAUCCCAGAGUAUUAGUAACUCAUCUUUCAUCUAACGUGCUAUACUUUAACAAUUAAAAUCGCGUACAACAAAUCAAUGUUAUGCAGGCCUGUAAUCAAGACUAUUAAUAAUGAUUGUGACCAAUCAAAUGGUGACCCUGUGGUUAACAUCUGAGGCCAAAAAUAAGAUUAUGACAGUACAUGUGUUAUCAAAAUGUGGUUUUUAUGACAAAUUGUUAUUAAAGACUUGGAUCCCAGAGUAUAACUAAGGUAAACAUAUAGAUUCUAUCAGAAUUACUACUAUUAACUUGUUCAGCAUUUCCACCUAAGUUCAUUUCUAAAAAAAAAGUGAACGAAGAAGGCGGCAUGCUACCUUUCUCUCUCCUUCAAAAAAAGUAAAAAAAUUAUCUUCUACUCACAUUUUAGGUACACCUCUACAACAAAAUUCUGCGGUCAACAAACCAACAAGGUGCAACCUACAACCUGGAGAAAUACCUAAUCUACGUAGUCAUCAAUGGAAUCCAUCUGAGAGUGGAGCUCGGAGGCCAGCUUGGCCACCAUAUCGACAUUCUUGCAUGUUCCACCAAAACCAUCAGUGAGAUCCUAAGGGUCUUCCACCAGCUCAUUAUCCCAACAAUUCUAAGUUUGUGCCCGAGCAUCACCUUCAUCGAAAGCAUUAUAAGACCAGAAUGCGUCAAGCACCUAAUACCACCGAGAUUCAGAAGAGCUCAGCAUGUGCCUCUUCAACAUCUAAAGCAGAUUCUACUUUCUUUGCCAGCGGAUAGCAUGUAUGAUUACCAGCACACCUGGAGCUCAGUGGAAAAUGAUUGCAAACUUAUCUUGAAGUCAGCCUCUGAUUAUGGUAGAGAUCUACUUUCGGAUGAGGAUAUUCGAGAAGUACUACAUCGACGUUAUUACGAUCUACAUCAUCUAGCUAUUGAGCUUGCGCUGCCUCAGGACAAAUUGCAUGAGCGAGAAAACAAUGUUGCUGCUGUGGACGUAAAUAGCCAUGAACUAGACACUAUUGAACCUUCCAUAUUGGGCAUUGCCAAGGGUGUUGAGAUAGUCCUGCAGAGACUGAAGACUAUAGAGCAAGGGAUCAAGGACCUGAAACAAGAGAUUCAGGGGUUGAGGUAUUACGAGUAUCACCUCCUGACUGAGCUUCACAAUAAAGUGGAUUACUUGGUGAACUACAAUAUCGAACUACAAGAACGAAAGGUGCCCAAUAUGUUCUAUUUUGUCCAGGUUCAAGAUUACUCGAAAAGGCUAAUUACAAGAUUAUUUUCUGGCAUGGCAGCAUUAAGACUGCACAUGUUGUGCGAGUUUCGGAGAGAGAUGCACGUCGUGGAUGACCAGAUAGGAUGUGGCCUCAUUCAAGUAGACAACCAAACGGUCAAAUGCUUGCUUCCUUAUAUGAGCAAGUUUAUGAAAUUGUUGACAUUUGCCCUCAAGAUAGGAGCACAUUUUGUUGCGGGAAUGGGAGAAAUGAUACCUGAUCUCAGCAGGGAAGUUGCUCACCUACUGGACCCUUCACUUGUUUACGGUGCCACAGCUGUCACUGCAGGGGCUUUAGGAGCUGUGAUGAUUGGAAAAGUAGGAGGAAACAGACUAAGAAGAAGGAAUUUUGACAAUUCAACAGGUGAUAUUGCGCAAGACAUGAAAGCAGCUAGACAGUGGCUUGCAGAUUUCUUGAAAGGCCAACGAAUUACUACUGGGACAGACAUAGCAGAGAGGUUUGGUUUAUGGAGGGUGAGGUAUACGGACAGUGGGCAGAUCGCAUGGAUUUGUAGGAGACACAUUACAAUGAGAGGAAACGAAGUUAUUGGCGUACCUCUUUAAAUCACCUUGCCCACACUGUCAUGCAUCAUUAACUAUAACCUACUGAAAUGCACUUGAAAAACCUCCAAAAACUUCUCUCUCCUGACGGCGGAAAAGAGUUGUCAAUACUACCUUUGCCUAAAUAAAUAACACAGUUAUAAACUGGUCUGCUUAAAUUGAUUACUUUCUUGUAUUUAAUGAACAAAUAAUACAUGCUUCCUAUUUUAUAGAUAAUCAAGUAUACACAACUUAAUGCUUCUCAGCUAGAUAUCAUUGUGCAUUGACACUACUAUUUGUGAGAUAAUGCAGUCAAUGUUAUGAAAUUAUGAUGAAAUAUGCUCUUCCUCUUUAGGCUGUAAGAUUAUGGUGAUUCCUUAUGUAAUUCAUUAAUAAGGUAAAAUAAAUUUAAAAGCAUGAGUAUGAUGCAUCAACUUAGUCACGAUUCUAUUCAAUCGUAUUAAAGCAGCAAUCAUGAAGAUGGGAUUACUUUGUUAUGUUUAUUGCUUGUCAACUUCUGUUAGUUCUAACUCCUAGUUUGGAAUAAAAAAUGAACUUUCACAAAUUGCUAAGCUUUCUUGUACGAUUUUCAAUGAUCUGAAUGUAUAACAUAGGAGAGUGAUAAGAAGUAGAGUUCAACUUUAUAUAAAAAACAUCUACAGGUCUGGUUCUUAUAAUUUCCUAUAUUGAUGAUCAUUCAACAAAGAAAGACUAAAUUAACCUAAAGAUUAACCAAAUUUUCAAUGGUUUACUAAAUGAACUUAGUUCUUGAUCUUAUGCAAUUCUACCAAGUAUCUCUUUGGCUCUGCUGCUACUUUUUCGCUUCCAACCAUACUGAUCAUCUAUAGUAAAGCUUUUGGCAAUAAGAAUUCUGAAGCUUCGAUUACAGUGAACCUACGGAUCUCUCACCAUCAGCUUGGCCACCUCUUGCAGAUCUUCUUAACUUACAUCAGAAUUAAGACUGAAAGAUGGAUGGCCACAAUUUGACUUAUAGUAAGCUAUACAUGGAUCUGCUUAGGUGAUUGGGUGGUACCCCCCUACCUAUCAUUGCCAGAUUCAAUACUGUCCAGAUUAUGUGUUGAGAAUUACAAACACGCCACGAAUAGAACCCAUGGAAAUGCAAUACUAAAGUAAUUAUGAAAAUGUGGACACCUAAGAGAUAAGGUAAUAAAGGCGAACACCAAUGAAUGAGACAUACACAUGGAUAUAGAGAUCCAAACAUGUUUUUCAAAGAAAAACACAACCAAGAGUAACAAGCAAAGUUUAUCCACUCUUCUAUUGAAAAACUCUAGAUUGAUGGUCAAGGCGUAGGGAUGUGCUGUAGGAGCAACGGAAGGUAACUAGGCCAUCAGUGUAUAUGCACGAAAACAAGAAUGUAAAGUAUUGAAAAGAGCUGCUAAGAAUUCAUACAAUCACAGUAACUUCAUGCUGGCGACGAUAGGCUUCUGCAGAAGCAGUCCCAUAUCAAUUAAUCCAUGUCCUCGGGAAGAAACUUUUGGAUUUUGUGCAUUUAGCCCACAACUGUAUGAUCCCUCACCAAAAUUCGGUGGAUCACUGCUCGAAUGCGAAACGCUACAUUUAACUUCUGAAUGGUGGAAAAGUUUUGUGAAGAUUAUCAGCCAGGAAUCAUCAACAUUGUGUGCAUGCACAAAUGUGCAUUCGUUAAUCAUCAACCUCUAUAUUAUUUGCUCACAUGAUGAGUGGACUGAUUUUGCGUUCAUACGAUGAGCAGAAUGAUUUUGCAUUAAUAUAAAGGGAAAACUUCAAAAACCCUCCUGUGGUUUCACACUUUUUCAUUUUAGUACCCUGUGGUUUAAAGUUUAUCAAGUUAGUACCCUGUGGUUUCUCACUUUAUCACUUUAGUACCCUGUGGUUUAAAGUGUAUCAAGUUAGUACCCUGUGGUUUUGCACUUUAUCACUUUAGUACCCUGUGGUUUUGCACUUUAUCACUUUAGUACCUUGUGGUUUCACACUUUAUCACUUUAGUACCCUGUGAUUUAAAAAACUACAGGGUACUAACUUGAUACAAAUUAAAACCACAGGGUACUAAAGUGAUAAAGUACAAAACCACAGGGUACUAACUUGAUACACUUUAAACCACAGGGUACUAAAGUGAUAAAGUGAGAAACCACAGGGUACUAACUUGAUACAUUUUAAACCACAGGGUACUAAAGUGAAAAAAAUUGAAACCACAAGGGGGGUUUUUGAAGUUUUCCCUAAUAUAAAAGCAGCAGAUAUAUCCUCAAUUGGACUUUUUUACAAAACAACCCUCUAAAAUUUUGUUAUUUGCGAAAUAAUCCUACCAAAAAUAUAUUUGGAAAACUAACUCUCUUCUUGCCAGGCGGAGCAAUUUUCUCUUAAAGACGAUGAAUGAUUCACCGCCUUCCUAAUUUCUCACAAAACCGGUGAAUCAUUCACCGUCUUUCACUUAUUUACUGUUUCUUCCUACAUCCUAUAUAUAAUCGUAACAACCACAUAAAUAUUUCAACAAAUCACAUAUAAUCUUAACAACCUGAAAAUUCUAAUAAUCUAUCCAUACAAUCCUAACAAUCAAAAAAAUUCUAAUAAUCUAUCCAUACAAUCCUAAUAAUCAAAAUUACAUAUAAUCUUAACAACUUGAAAAUUCUAAUAAUCUAUUUAUACAAUCCUAACAAUCAAUAAAAUCCUAAUAAUCUAUUCAUACAAUCCUAACAAUCAAACAAAAAUUCUAAUAUUUCACACACAAUCCUAACAACCUCACUUUUUUUAUUUCUCGUAUAAUCUACGCACAAUUUUAACAACCUUAUUUUUUUUUCUCUUUCCCAAAAAAUUAUGAAGAAGACGGUGAAUUGUUCACCGUUUUAAUGAAUGCGGUGAAUGAUUCUCCGCCUUUAAAAGACCUUAGAGACUUUCAGAAUGCGGUGAAUGAUUCACCGCGUUUCGAGGAUUAGUUUGCCAAAUAUAAAUUUGAUAGGAUUAUUUCACAAAUUAUAAAAUUUUAGAUGGUUAUUGGCCAAUUUGCAUAAAAAAUCCACUAGUUUUGCACUUUUGCAAAAGUGGGCCGCCUUUUUCGAUUUUGCAGAUUCGGGCCGGAAUUUCAGCCGCCUGACCAAAAUGCCCCUCGUGUACAUCCGCCUCUUUUGUAUUCGGUGAGAUACGUAUACUAUAACGUACGGUCCUGGCGGGCAUUAAAUGUGCCUCUUGCGCUUUACGCAACCUCGCUCUCAUCGGAACCCAUACCAAAUCAGCCUCGCUAUUCGCCAGCCCCGGUGUUUGCUAUUCGGCUUUAACAAUUUAAAUAUGCCGAAGCUACAAGACGAAAACUACACCCUCGGUAAUAGCAAUAAUAGUGCAACGCGAAGGAGCAAAGCAAAGAGAAAUGGUGUAACAACCCUUCUAACAGUGCAUCUUUCGGCUGGUACCAGUGCAAUAUCCACCGCUCAGAUGUGCAACACUGGCAUUCAACCUUCUCUCUCACCAGAGCAACCUUCCACUCCCCCUUAAGGAAGGCAGUCUUGUACCUAAACCGCAAGAAGCGUAGAGGCGUAUAAUCCAGCACUCUCCCUCCUCCAUAGAAGCUUGGCAGUUUAUUCUAUCACUGUCUGCCGACUGCUGCGCUUGCAGAGGAGAAGUGGAAGAAGCGUCGGGGAGGAACAUGGCUUAAGAGUAUAGUUACGAACUGGAGAAGAGAUGAGGCAGGAGGGAGGAGGGGAACAAGGCGGUCACCAGCAAACCGCUACCAAAAGGCCCAGCAAGUAGCGCAACAACAGUGCAAGCAUGUACAAAAAGAGUGCAAAUUGUUAUUUGUAACUGGCGCUGCCGCCCAGUAGUAGUGCAAAAAAAGGAACGAAAUGGUGUAAUAUUCACCCAAUUAGUGCAAUUCUUAAUAAAAAAUAUGCCUCGCCCCAAACCCGAGGCGUAACAGACGCCGCAUACAUGCUAAACUAGCAAAUAUGCAAGGCUACGAAAUCAGACGGAAACUAGCGAAAAGAUGAUUACUAAUUUUCCACUAAAUUCAGAUAAUCAUAAGGUGAGACUAAGAAAUUAAAUUUUAACUAAAAUUAAAUGGAAUUCUAACAUCUAUAAAACUAAAGCUUACUACGAAACAUAAUAAAUUCGGUCCACUAAAUACCAUAAUUAACAAAGGUAGGUACGAAUAAAUAACGAAAUAAAAGCAGAUAACAAACGAUCAUUUACGAAGUCCAAAAAGAAAUAUUCACAUCUAAAUAUGCUAGGCAUAAAACAAAAAGGACUAAAAUCAAACUCUAGCUAUAUCUAACGCUCACUCGGUCCCGACCCCGCCUUGCGAAUCAGUCUGGAAACCUGGGUAAGCAACCAUACACCACAUUAGUCGGAUUAAGCAUACAAAUAAAUAAAUAAAUACAAAAAUAAUUCAAGAGACUUGUUUUUAAUUUGCAAAAUUUCAGAAAAUAAGAAUUAUAAAACUUAAAAUUCAGAUCAGAUUGAAACUAUAACUUUACAAAGCAUUUCUCUUUAAGCAAAUAACGAAAUAAAUAUUAAGUCUCCGGCAACUAACUAUAUCACAUGAUCCGUUGGCGAGAUCCAGAGGCACCCGAAGGCACAAACAGAACAGAGGCACCCGAAGGCGCAAACAGAACAGAGGCACUCGAAGGCGCAACCAAAACAGAGGCACCCGUAGGCGCAAACAAAACAGAAGCGUGAAUAGGCGCGGGCACCCAAAGGCGCGAUGCAAAGACGAAACUCGCUUCUAUAACAAAUUACAUGUCGACAUGGCCAACAUUGCAUAGCAGAAUACCAAGAGACAUCACAAUUCAAAAUUUAUCCAGUCACUAAUUUAUAGAACAAAUUAUCAAAUUUUAAAAAUUAUUUUUGCUAAAAGAACUUGUCAAUCACACUUGAAGCUCAAUUUACAAAAUAUUUAAUAAUAUGCUUAACCCUUAAUUUUAAAAUCUACAAAAUAAGAUUUUCACACAAUCAAAGUAUUUUCCUAAAUUAUUUAGCAAAAAGCUAACGGGUGUCCGGUCGCUUACCUCAAAAGCGGCUUCUAAGCUAAGAAGCUAUCCAGUCGAAAAUUGCACGAAAAUCAAUCGUCGGAACCUAAAAUAGAGAUAUGCGAUUCUCUAUAAGCUAACUAAAAAAUAAAAUUACAAAAAGGAUAUAUAUACAUUUAGAAGGCAAGCUUACACAAAAAUCUGAAUUCGGAUAGGUUCACAUAGGUCGACAAUGUCGGCUACCAAUGCAUGCAAAAAGGUCAAGACGGAGCACGAAAGAGAUUUAGAAUAAUACAUUCAACGAAACUCAAUUAGCAAUCAAGAGGAUGAUGAGUUUUAAGGAUUAGAAUAUUCAAAGAAGCAAGAUAAGAUGAAUGAAGUUUUAAAUAAUAAACAAAGGAUCUAAUGCUCGAAAAGAGGGUUUUCAGAUGUUGAAACAUUGAUUUGCAAAUCAAUAAUUAGAUAGAAUCAAAAUUGGAAACAAAACAAUAUAUGCCUUCUUUUUGGCAUUUUGUCGAACAUGUAAUGGACUCUCAAUAACUAUGUAGAAUAUGCAUAAUUUAUAUACCUAGAUUACAUAGAGAAUACAUGGUAAAAAAAUUUAAUAAUACGAUCAAUCUAUAUUUAGGUAUAUAGCAAUCAGAUUUGAACGAUCUUAGAAAUAAUCAUCAAAGAAGAACACCUAACAACAAUCACAUAUUUAUCGAUAAAAUUUAGAUGCUUUCAAGAAUGGGUGUAGAGACGAAAAUGAAAGGAAUAAACCUUCUUAAAGAUAGAAACGACGACGAUGAAAUGUCGUCGACGGCGAAUCAAAAAUGCCGAUGGAUGAGGAUUGCGGUGGUGGCCGCGAAUGACGGCGACGACGACAGUGACCGGAACGACGGCGCGGGUACGGGAGAGGGAAGAGGCUGUACGGACGUGAGGAGAAUAGAGUCGCUAAGAGAGAGAAAGACGGAGAAGAGAGGUGGGUGGGUGGCUGUUACGAAUAGGAAACAACAUGAAUUAGGGAUUAGGGUUAAUUUAGCACAAUAUGCCGCCGAGUCCCUCAAAAACUAGUAUUUACGAAAAGGUCCGAAUUUUAAAAGAAUAGGAGUCAAAAUAAAGGAAACAUAAGUGUGGGGUGUUACAUCCUCCCCUCCUAAAAAGAAGUUUAGUCCUCUAAACUUAACAUAUCUUAGCUCUCGAAGGACUAAGGAUACAUCAUUCUCGUCUGCUCUUCGAGCUCCUAAGUAGCUUCCCGUUCAGAAAGAUUGCUCUACUAGACUACUAGAAUAAAUCUAAAUAUUGUAUACUCAGACAAUGCUUUUACAAAUGCGGUCAAUCACAAGCUCAUCCCCGAAAGGCGCCCGACGCAUAAAAUAUAAACAAAGGGUUCGGAGGUUGACAAAUGAUUUCAAACAAAAGCAAAAGAGAUAAAGAAAUAAGUAGUUCUAGAAUCAAAGAGAACACGAGAAGAAAUAGAAGCUAUGGGAAGAAUACCAGGGACUACAGCAUUAGAUGCCCGGACAUCCUGCUGGGAGAGAGCCUGAACAUGACCUUGCGUCCGAGGUCUUCCACCUCUGGACUGAUCGAUAGGAGGGGCAUGUAUUGGAUUUUAUUGGGUUUGUUAUGAUUUAAAACUUGUUAAGGCCUCUUGAGAGCCAAAUAAUUGUUAAUCGGCGCUUGGGGAGCCCAACUAAAAUUUUCAUGUGUUAUGUUUAGUCCCACAUUGGAAACUAAAAGGGUGUUUGUUGUUUUUAUAUAUUCCCUUGUACUCAAGCUAGUUGCUUGGAAGAAAAUGAGAGUAAUGCUCUCGUUUAAAUACACACACGCACGGCACGAGCCGAGCCGGGCGGGGCGGGGCGGCGGCGCUCGCGGUCCAUACACCUGGUUUAUUUUUAUUUUGUCGGUUUUAUCUUUAUUUUAAUCCUUAUCUUUAUCUUUAUUCUAAUCCUAAUCCUUAUCCGUAUAAUCACAGGCUUAUCUUGUUCUACUCGGAUUUGACGCGUUGGAGCAAGAUUAUCGCCUUGAUUAUAAAUAUGGGGCGAGGUUGCACGAGUUGAUUAAUAACCCGAGCAUACCUAAAGCCUCUCGUCUUUUUCUACUUUCCGGAUUUUCGCCGAGUUUUCUUUUACUCGAUCUGAAGCUGGUUGGGUUCAUCUUGCACCACCUUGGAAACGUGCCAACGGGGUGGAACGUGGUCGUUGUAUCGCUAGAAGUAAUUGCUGGGAAGCCUCGCACGUGGAGGGGCAAUUUCGCUUCUAGGACAAUGCUCUGCAUGCCUCGAUCCAUAGGCCUUAUCUAAACCUUUUCUUUACCGUAUUUGUUAUUUAAUUUCGUUUCGGAAUUUUCCUAAACUUGUAAUUAAAUUUUCGAGUUGGUUUUUAAAGAAUAUUGUAAUAAAAGAUCAGAAAGAUAUUUUCCAACAAUCUAGAAGCGAAAGUUUUUAAUUAACUUAGUCUUUCUGUUUCUUUUAUUAUAGUAAUUAAAAUAUUUCUUUUCUACAAAUUAACAUAUAUCUUACUGUUACUUUUCUGAAAUUCAAAACUGUUUUUUGACAUAACAGUAGAAUUAAUUUGUGAACAGAUUUUGUUUUAUUAUGGAGGAUUCGACAAAACCGUUUACUUUUGAUGGUCAUAAUUUUAAGAGGUGGCAGAACCAAAUAAGGUUCUGGCUGACCACACUUGGGCUUGUUUUUGCUAUCUCGGAUUCUGCUGUGAAUGCCAGUGGAUCUGCACCUGUAGGUGCAACCCAGAAUGUGAUUAAUAGACCGCUUACUCGAAGCCAAGCCCAGACUGGAUCCACUCCUCCCACUUCUGAAACUGCAACUACAUCUGCAACUACAACCGCACCUCCCGUUGACCAUAACAUGAUCAAUUAUCAUUAUUUAAACCGAAUUCUUAGUACCCUAUCUGACAAAUUAUACGACAUCUACUGUAGUGCUAAGACAGCUAGGGAACUUUGGACAUCCUUAGAAAAUAAGUAUGGUCAAGUUGAUCUUACUCAGAAGAGAUACCAAGCGUCUGAUCUAAUUAAAUUUAAAUUGGUAGAUANGAACUUUGGACAUCCUUAGAAAAUAAGUAUGGUCAAGUUGAUCUUACUCAGAAGAGAUACCAAGCGUCUGAUCUAAUUAAAUUUAAAUUGGUAGAUAAUAAGUCCAUGUCUGACCAGCUUCAUGAUUUUGAGCAUAUAGUUGAGCAGCUUAGAUUUAGUAGUGUAGAUCUUGAUGAAAGUUUUUUAGUUGCCGCCCUUAUAGAUAAGUUGCCACCCUCUUGAUCGAACCAUGCAAAUGAUCUUAACCACAAUCAGAGAGAGCUAUCCCUGAAUUAUGUCCUAAGAUCCAUUAGGAUAGAAGAGUCGAACCGGGCUAAGGAUAAGAAGCCCAAUGAACCUACAAUCCAAGCCAACCUAGUAGAGAAUCCCAAAAAUAAUGGUAGAAACUUCCAGCCUCACCGAAACUUUAAGAAGAAGCCUUUCCACCGUAGAAAGUUCAACCCAAACUUUAAGAAACCUAAACCUGAGGAAAGUGGAGGCAAUUCUGGUUGUUUUGUGUGUAGGAAGAUGAAUCAUUUUGCGAAGGAUUGCUAUUUCCGCAAAAAUUGACCUUUCGUACCUAAGAAAAAGAAGGAAGCUCUACCUGAGCGCCAGUUGAAUAUGUUGACUGCAGCGUCUGACCCUUCUGACUCCACUAUCAGGUUAGGAUCUAGUUCACCCAAUGUUAACCUGCCCUAUAGUUCUUCUGAUUGGUGGAUAGAUACUGGAGCUAAUGUUCAUGCUCAUUCUGAUCGUUCGUGGUUUUCCACAUAUCAGGACUCGUGUGGAGAAUCGGUGAAUAUUGGGAAUGCAGCCUCUUCUCACGUGCUAGGGACAGGUCGAGUGGACUUGAAGCUGACCUCUGGGAAGACCUUAACCUUGCACGGAGUCCACCAUGUUCCCGACUUUAGGAAGAAUUUGAUUAGUGGUUCUCUUUUAGUUCAACAGGGUUUUAAGUUAGUUUUUGAAUGUAAUAGGGUAGUUAUAACAAAAGGAGUGAAUUUUAUUGAAAAAGGAUUUUUGAGUGAUGGUUUAUUUAAAUUAUCUGUAUCUUCUCCUUUUAUUAAUGAAAGUGCUCUUGUGAUGAAUGUUAUUUCUCCUAAUAUUUGGCAUGGAAGAUUGGGACAUAUGAAUUUUAAUACUAUCAAAAGAUUGAUGCAUCUCGAUUUGAUUCCUAAAUCUGAUUUAUCUGAUCAUAGAUGUGAAAUAUGUGUGCAAGCUAAGGAGCCUAGGAAACCUUUUAAAUCUGUGGAUAGAGAUUGCAAUCUAUUAGAAUUGAUGCACAGUGAUGUUUGUGAUGGAAGUAGACCUAGUAGAGGUGGAAAUAAAUAUUUUGUGACAUUUAUAGAUGAUCAUUCAAAAUAUUGUUAUGUUUAUUUGAUCAAAUCAAAAGGUGGGAUUUUAAACAUAUUCAAGAUUUAUAAGGCUGGAGUUGAAAAUCAAUUAGAUAAGAAAAUCAAGAUUUUGAGGUCUGAUUGAGGUGGUGAAUUUACUUCAAAUGAGAUGACUGCUUUCUGUCAAGAGUUUGGAAUUGUGCAUCAAGUGACUGCUCCUUAUACAUCUCAAUCUAAUGGAGUUGCUGAACGUAAGAAUAGAACUUUGAUGGAUAUGGUAAAUUCGAUGAUUAUUAGUUUAGGCGCACCCGAGAACUUGUGGGGGGAAGCUUUGAUUUCUGCAUGUGUGAUUUUAAAUAGAAUUUCCCACAAGAAUUCUAAUGUGUCUCCCUAUGAGCUUUGGAAAGGUAAAAAACUUAAUCUGAAUUAUUUUAAAGUGUGGGGGUGCCUAGCUAAAGUGAAAAUACCUGAGAAUAAGAAGAGAAAGAUUGGACCUAAGACCGUGGAUACAGUUUUUGUGGGUUAUGCACAAUAUAGCAAUGCAAAUAGAUUUUUAGUGGUGAAUUCUGAAAUUAGUGAGAUUUCUAACAACACUAUUAUUGAGGCUAGAGAUGCAGUAUACUUUGAGGAUGCUUUUCCUUUUAGAACUAGAGUAGAUAGACCUAUUUCAGCUGAGCCUAUAGGUAAAGAUGUCCGUGGACCGGGUCGGGUCUGGAUAAUUAAUAUACUGUACCCAUACCCUAAAAAGAAAUGGUUAUAAAAAAAUAUAUAUACCCUACCCAUUUAACUUCGGGUCGGGUCUGGAUCUCGGUACUAAAGUUACUAAUAUACCCAUCGGGUCUAUUUGAGCGGGUCUGGGUAGUGACUACCCGUAUACUACCCGUUCAAGAUCGGAUAUGGAUCGGGUUUAGAUCGGGUACGGAUAUCCGUAUUAAUAUAUUUUUUUUAUAAACUUUAUUAAAUAGUCAAUAGACAAACUAUAAAGCCCACCAUAAAAAAACUUGCAUUCUAAUAAAUUGUACCGUCCAAUAAAAUUCAUUCAAAAGAAAUAUUGUCGCUGAUGAUGAUGAUGACACUGAUGAUGAUGAUGACAAUGAAAUAUUGUUGGCGGAAAUGAAAUGAAAAAAAAGGAGUAGAAAACAAAGAGUAAAAAAAUUAGAAAAAAGUAAUGAGUAAAAGAGACGGCUAGGGUUUCAUUAGGAUGAAAAUACGUAGUGACUCAUCAUCUAUAAAUCAUAUUAAAAUUGAUCCUUCAACUUCAAAAGUUUAUUUUUUUUUAUUUACUAUCGGAUAUUUCAUCGGGUCCGGGUCCGGGUCCGGAUUUGAAAACUAUUCCGGACCCUACCCCUUUAAAAGUUAGGUUCGGGUCGGGUCCAAAUCGGGUAUGGGUAUAAAAUAUCCGGACCCAUACCCGAAACUUUAAUGGGUAAUUUUUUUUAUCCGUAUACUAUUCAUUUUUUAUCGGGUCCGGUUCGGAUCCGGUUCGGGUCCGGAUAGGGUCCGGAUCGGGUAUGGGAUAUCGGAUAUUUUGGACACCUUUACCUAUAGGUAGUUUUAGCAGACCUAGAAUUAGUGAACCUAUAGAAGAGACUGAACCUAGGAGAAGUAAGCGUCCUAGAGUAGCGAAAAAUUUUGGAGAUAAUUUUUGUGUCCUACUAGUAGAAGAUACUCCAUCUACCUAUGACAAAGCUAUGACGUCUGUAGAUGAAUCGUUUUGGAAAGAGGCUAUUAAUCUGGAGAUGCAAUCUAUUCUACAGAAUCAUACUUGGGAGUUAACUGAUUUACCUUUAGGAUGUAAGCUUGUAGGUUGUAGGUGGAUUUUUAAGAAGAAGUUGAGACCCCAUGGAUCUAUAGAUAAGUAUAAGGCUAGAUUAGUGGCACAAGAAUUUGCACAGAAGUCUGGGGUAGAUUAUUUUGAUGUUUAUGCUCCUGUUGCUAGGAUUACUUCUAUUAGAGUGUUGAUUGCCUUGGCCUCCAUCCAUGGUGUGGUUGUUCAUCAAAUGGAUGUUAAGACAGUUUUCUGAAUGGUGAUUUGGAUGAAGAAAUUUAUAUGAAGCAACCUAAAGGUUUUAUAGUUUCUGGACAUGUGAAUAAAUUGUGCAAGUUGAAUCGAUCUUUAUAUGGACUUAAGCAAGCUCAUAAGCAGUGGCAUUUGAAAUUUGAUUCUUUGGUUAUAUCAAAUGGUUUUCAUGUGAACAUGUUUGAUGAAUGCGUGUAUUCGAAAGAGUAUGAUGGACAGAUAGUGAUCUUAUGCUUAUAUGUUGAUGAUAUCUUGAUUUUUGGUACUAAUAUGAAUGUGAUAUAUGAUGUGAAGAAAUUAUUAAAUGAAAAUUUUGAUAUGAAAGAUCUUGGGCAAGCAUAUGUUAUUCUCAACAUGAAGAUCAUUAGAAAAUCGAAAGAAAUUAUUAUGAGCCAAUCCCACUACAGUGAACAGUUAUUGAAAAAGUUUGGAUACUUUGAUGUUAAACCUGUAGUGACACCUUAUGAUUCUAGUGUGCAUCUUCAAAAGAAUAGAGGAGAUCCAAUAGGUCAAAAUAGAUACUCAAAGAUUAUUGGAUCUUUAAGAUAUCUGGUAGAUUACACUAGACCAGAUUUGGCUUAUGCUGUGAACCGAUUGAGAAGAUAUACUCAUAAUCCAAAUAGAGAGCAUUGGAAUGCCUUAGAAAGAGUUUUGAGAUAUCUGGAGGGGACUGUAUCUUAUGGAUUACAUUACACUAGCUUUCCUGCAGUAUUUGAAGGAUAUAGUGAUGCUAAUUGGAUUAGUGAUACUGUUGAUAUAAAGUUGACUACUGGAUUUGUUUUUCUUCUAGGAGGAGCAGUUAUUUCUUGGAAAUCAACUAAACAAUCUUUGAUUGCUAGAAGUACUACGGAAUCUGAACUCAUAACCUUGGAUAUAACUGUAGCAGAAGCUAAGUGGAUUAGAGAGUUUCUUUAUGAUUUACCACUUAUGGAGCAACCUUUAGCACCUAUAUGUAUUCAUUGUGAUUGCAAAUUUGCUAUAGAUAAGUGUGCCCAAGAGAAUGUGGAGACGAAGAUGAAUAGAUUCAUGAAAGUAAGACAUAAGUUCAUUCGGCAAAAUUUGAAGGAAAAUGUGAUUGGAUUGGAAUUUGUGAAAUCUACAAAGAAUUUGGCUGAUCAGCUUACGAAGGGAUUAUCUAGGACAGUGAUCCUAGAAUCGUUGAGGGGGAUGGGGCUUAGCCCACAAUAGAAGUUACCGGCGAUGGCAACCCAACCUGUUGCAGGUUCAAUGGGUAGAAACAAGUCGAACAGGCAGCUAUGAGGAGCACUGUUUUUAUACCUCAUCCCUAUGACGAUAGUGCUCAUAUCUGCAAGUGGAUAGGAAGGGCAUUGGCUCUGAAUGGCUCCAAGACCUAUAAGGCAGGGUGUGACUUUGCAGAUACCCUUUGAGGACCUACUAUAUGUGUGGAGUCAUGAGGCCGCGACUAUGGGAAGAGGGUGGUUCCCUAAAACACACACGAAGCGAUACUAGCGCAUGGCCAUAAAAGCGCUCACCCGUUUAGAACCUAAACAGCUGUACCAUGUGUGCUAUUCGUGGAAAUCUGAUUCACCGGUCUUGGUUCAAGGCGUAGUCCACCAUUGUGCCCUCGGAUGUACAUUGACAAGCACUAAGUGAAGGUUCAAACCCGAAAGGUACCUUUACCGAAUACAUGGUAUAAAAGAUCCAGCAUUCUUUUGAUUUAUUUUGAAUUUCAGUUUAUUUGCUUUCUUUAUUUCAAGUUUUAAAUCAUGUGGGGGAAUAUUGGAUUUUAUUGGGUUUGUUAUGAUUUAAAACUUGUUAAGGCCUCUUGAGAGCCCAAUAAUUGUUAAUGGACCGCUUGGGGAGCCCAACUAAAAUUUGCAUGAGUGGUCCCACAUUAGAAACCAAAAGGGUGUUUGUUGUUUUUAUAUAUUCCUUUGUACUCAAGCUAGUUGUUUGGAAAAAAAUGAGAGUAAUGCUCUCGUUUAAAUACACACACGCAUGGCACGAGCACGAGCUGAGCCGAGCCGGGCCGGGCCGGGCCGGAAGGUGGCGCGCGCAGUCCAUACACUCGGUUUAUUUUUAUUUUGUCGGUUUUAUCUUUAUUUUAAUCCUUAUCUUUAUCUUUAUCCUAAUCCUAAUCCUUAUCCGUAUAAUCAUAGGCUUAUCUUGUUCUACUCGGAUUUGACGCGUUGAAGCAAGAUUCUCGCCUUGAUUAUAAAUAUGGGGCGAGGUUGCACGAGUUGAUUAAUAACCCGAACAUACCUAAAGUCUCUUGUCUUUUUCUGCUUUCUGGAUUUUCGCCGAGUUUUCUUUUACUGGAUCUGAAGCUGGUUGGGUUUAUCUUGUGCCACCUUGGAAGCGUGCCGACGGAGUGGAACGUGGUCGUUGUAUCGCUAGAAGUAAUUGCUGGGAAGCCUCGCACGUGGAGGGGCAAUUUCACUUCUAGGACAAUGCUUUGCACGCCUCGAUCCACAGGUCUUAUCUAAAUCUUUUCUUUACCGUAUUUGUUAUUUAAUUUCGUUUCGGGAUUUUUCUAAACCUGUAAUUAAAUUUUCAAAUUGGUUUUUAAAGAAUAUUGUAAUAAAAGAUCAGAAAGUUUUUCCAACAGCAUGAUCACGACCGGUUGGAGCAAUAGAUUUCUCCUGAGUCUUGGAUCCAGUGCCAGAGUCAGUGCUAAACACAGGGCAUUGAGCUAUUCGAUGGUUCAAAUCUCUACAACUGAAACAACCACCAGUGACGUGCCAGCAGUCCGAAUCCUUAUGCCAUCUACCACAAACUGAACAUUUCAGCUUCUGAUCUCGAUUUGGUGGUUCACCACGAGGAGCUGGUGUAUUACGCGACCUCCCCGAGUCAUUAGAUCUGUCAGAUUCUCUUGAAUUUCGAUCUCCUUCUCUGAAAGAAUCUCUAUUCCUUUUCUUUUGAUUUGCCUUUCGCUCUUCUUGAGUCUGCCUCCAUACUAAAUCCAAAGAUUUCGCUCUGGAAACGACAUCAUCAUAUGCCUCAAGGUGUAGCGGUGCGAGACCAGUGCGAAUAUGUCCAUUCAAUCAUUCCUCAAAUGUCUUAGCUCGUGACUCAUCAUCAUUUACCAGUUUUGGGGUGAAGUGGGACAGUCGGUCAAACCCAGCCUCGUACUUCUCCACAAACAUCGAACCCUACUUCAAAUCCAGAAAUUGUCUUUCAAGCUGGCGAAGCUUGCUCCUUGGAAAGUACUUUGCAUAAUCGAAAAUCCUUCCAUGAAAGGGCUGCUAAAUUAUUGCCGAGAGUUCUCAACUAGCUUUUCCACCAAUUAUUUGCUCUGCCUUGAAACAUGAACGUCCCGAAUCUGACUUUCUCCUCAUCUGUGCACUACAUGGCCGAAAAUGCCUUCUCCAUCUCUUUGAUCCAAGUUUCUGCUUCAUCCAGAUUUGUAGUGCCUGAAAAAGGUGGCGGUGCAGAUUUCUUAAACUCAUUGAUGCUCCUCUCUCGAACUCUGGAAUUCGACUCAGCGGCACUAGGAACGGGAUUCUGCUGCAAAUUCUGUUGCUGAGUCUGCACUAGUCCGACAACAGUUUGUAUCAGGGUGGCAACCAGGGGAUCCAUUGUGGUGCUCUGCGGUAAAGUGGCGGAGUGGGUGGGAAUAGUGGUUUGUGACGGAUGCGGAACGAAAUCGGGAAGUGUAGUCGACGGCGCAAAUGGAAUGGUAGUGGGAACAGUUGUCGAAGGCAUCCCUACACCAGUAGCCUGCUGCGGAGGUGGAGCAAAAGCCGAAGGAUUUAUCUGAGGUGCUGUCGUCGAUUGUAGCGGAUUCUGGAUAGUAGGUGGAACAGUGGUCUGAGGUGGAACAGCUGCCGAGGAUGUGGUAUGCAAAAGUGAGACUAAGGUGGUGUUCAGAUUUGCAUCUCCGGAUCUAGUUGGAGGUGGGUUCCUCGGUUGCUCAUUGUUGGUGUUGCUACGGCGGGACGGACGCACCAUCUUAUUAAAAGAGGGAUCACAAACACAUAAAUACAGGAUGUUAAUCAAAACUACAAAGUAGUAGCAAAACAAAUUCAAAUAUACGCUUACUUCUACCCAACCUCACACGUCCUAAUAAGCUCUCACAAUCUUAUACCUUAAAAGUUCCUAGAGAUCUUAAACCUAUUCUCUGAUACCAUUUCUCUGUCACGACCCAAACUCGAGGCGUAAUUAGACGCCACAUACCUGCUAAACUAGCAAAUAUGCAAGGCUACAGAAUCAGACGAAAACUAGCAAAAAGAUGAUUACCAAUUUUCCACUAAAUUCAGAUAAUCAUAAGGUGAGACUAAGAAAUUAAAUUUUAACUAAAAUUAAACAGAAUUCUAACAUCUAUAAAACUAAAGCUUACUACGAAACACCAUAAAUUCGGUCCACUAAAUACCAUAAUUAACAAAGGUGGGUAUGAAUAAAUAACGAAAUAAAAGCAGAUAACAAACGAUCAUUUACGAAGUCCAAAAAAAAAAAAUUCACAUCUAAAUAUGCUAGGCAUAAAACAAAAAUGACUAAAAUCAAACUCUAGCUAUAUCUAACGCUUACUCGGUCCCGACCCCGCCUUGCGAAUCAGUCUGGAAACCUGGGUAAGCAACCAUACACCACAUUAGUCGGAUUAAGCAUACAAAUAAAUAAAUAAAUACAAAAAUAAUUCAAGAGACUUGUUUUUAAUUUGCAAAAUUUCAGAAAAUAAGAAUUAUAAAACUUUAAAUUCAGAUCAGAUUGAAACUAUAACUUUACAAAGCAUUUCUCUUUAAGUAAAUAACGAAAUAAAUAUUAAGUCUCCGGCAACUAACUAUAUCACAUGAUACGUUGGCGAGAUCCAAAGGUACCCGAAGGCGAAAACAGAAUAGAGGCACCCGAAGGCGCAAACAGAAUAGAGGCACCCGAAGGCGCAACCAAAACAGAGGCACCCGUAGGCGCAAACAAAACAGAGGCGCGAAUAGGCGUGGGCACCCGAAGGCGUGAUACAAAGACGAAGCUCACUUCUAUAACAAAAUACAUGUCGACAUGGCCAACAUUGCAUAGCAGAAUACCAAGAGACAUCAUAAUUCAAAAUUUAUCCAGUCACUAAUUUAUAGAACAAAUUAUCAAAUUUUAAAAUUCUUUUUGCUAAAAGAACUUGUCAAUCACACUUGAAUCUCAAUUUACAAAAUAUUUAAUAAUAUGCUUAACCCUUAAUUUUAAAAUCUACAAAAUAAGAUUUUCACACAAUCAAAGUAUUUUCCUAAAUUAUUUAGCAAAAAGCUAACGGGUGUCCGGUCGUUUAACUCAAAAGCGGCUUCAAAGCUAAGAAGCUAUCCAGUCGAAAAUUGCACGAAAAUCAAUCGUCAGAACCUAAAAUAGAGAUAUGCGAUUCUCUAUAAGCUAACUAAAAAAUAAAAUUACAAAAAGGAUAUAUAUACAUUUACAAGGCAAGCUUACACAAAAAUCUAAAUUUGGAUAGGUUCACUUAGGUCGACAAUGUCGGCUACCAAUGCAUGCAAAAGGUCAAGACGGAGCACGAAAGAGAGUUAGAAUAAUACAUUCGACGAAACUCAAUUAGCAAUCAAGAGAAUGAUGAGUUUUAAGGAUUAAAAUAUUCAAAGAAGCAAGAUAAGAUGAAUGAAGUUUUAAAUAAUAAACAAAGGAUCUAAUGCUCGAAAAGAGGGUUUUCAGAUGUUGAAACAUUGAUUUGCAAAUCAAUAAUUAGAUAGAAUCAAAAUUGGAAACAAAACAAUAUAUGCCUUCUUUUAGGCAUUUUGUCGAACAUGUAACUGACUUUCAAUAACUAUGUAGAAUAUGCAAAAUUUAUAUACCUAGAUCACAUAGAGAAUACAUGGUAAAAAAAUUUUAAUAAUAUGAUCAAUCUAUAUUUAUGUAUAUAGCAAUCAGAUUUGAACGAUCUUAGAAAUAAUCAUCAAAGAAGAACACCUAACAACAAUCACAUAAUUAUCAAUAAAAUUUAGAUGCUUUCAAGAAUGGGUGUAGAGACGAAAAUGAAAGGAAUAAACCUUCUUAAAGAUAGAAACGACGACGAUGAAAUGUUGUCGACGACGAAUCAAAAAUGCCGAUGGAUGAGGAUUGCGGCGGUGGCCGCGGACGAUGGCGAUGACGAUGGUGCCCGGAACGACGGCGCACGCGGGUAUGGGAGAGGGAAGAGGCUGUACGGACAUGAGGAGAAUAGAGUUGCUAAGAGAGAGAAAGACGAAGAAAGAGAGGUGGGUGGGUGGCUGUUACGAAUAGGGAACAGCAUGAAUUAGGGAUUAGGGUUAAUUUAGCACAAUAUGCCGCCGAGUCCCUCAAAAACUAGUAUUUACGAAAAGAUCCGAAUUUUAAAAGAAUAGGAGUUAAAAUAAAGGAAACAUAAGUGUGGGGUGUUACAUCGUAGUCGACGACACAAAUUGGUAUCAGGGCCGAAUACCAGCCGGAAAUGUGAGAGCAAAGUGCUAUGCGGGGCAAAGUGCUACACCAACGGAUUUAGUGGGAGCCACCUCUUGAACCCGUAGGAGCCACCUCUAGAAUCUCAUUUCGCCUGGUAAUUUUGGUCUUGAUCCGUCUGUCUGUGAUCUGGUUUGGACCCGACGAGGACGUCAGGGUCUAAACAGGGGGAGUUUGUAACGCCCCCAAUAGUCCCACAUCGGGUGGGAUACUGAUUUUCGAUCGGUUUAUAUGAGGCAUACACGCUAGUAAUAAUAACUGGGCUUAAGCAUUUUGGGCCGGUGGUUUGGGCCCAACGAGUUAUUGUUGCUGGCGGGUCGGGUCGUUGCAAAAUAUUACAACAAGUCUACAAGCAGUGCAAAAAAAAAAAAAAACUCCCCCCUUAGUGCAAUUUGUAAUAUACACCAAACUAGUGCAAAUUUUUCUAUAUAUUUGCUGAUAAUAUGAAGGUAAUUGUGCAAAUAUGUUCGUAAAUGGUUCUACGACAAAAAUAAUGCAACAAUCUUUCAUAAAUAGUGUAACAAGUCCCUAAGCAGUGCAAAUUGUUCUCUAUAUUUGGUGCUUGCAUGAAGUUGUAGUGCAAACAAAUGUGUAAAUGGUGUAACGAAGACGAAAAUAGUGCAACGUUCUUUGAUAAGUAGUGUAAUCAUUCACUAAGCAGUGCAACUCCAUUAUUUUGCAGUCGUCGUAUGUUCUCAUCGUCAUCGUCAACUGUUGCUUGGGUAGAACCGGUACAAUUUCCCAAAUGGUAGAAAAUAGAAGCGAAAAGAAUAAGGCAACUGGCCAUCUCGUGCUCGAAAACAUAUUUGUAUUCAUCUAUGAACGCUUCAGCGCUCUCGGUGUUUGCAAAAGAUAAGUCGAAGAAGUAUAGCAGCAUUGAGGAGGAAAGGGGGUGUAACUUUGACUUAAGAACUGCAAUGAAGUAAUGCUAAUGGUGUAACUUGUAUAUAAUGCUCACUGUAAACGGUGUAACGAAGACUAAAACACUGUGUAUGCAGGAACGAAAAUAGUGCAAUGUGCAAAAACGAAAGCCUACAGUAAUGCAACGGAGGUAUUAGUUGUAUAUCCGGUAAGUAAUAGGAGAAAAGACUCAUAUUAUCUUUGGGUUCUGUAGCACCGCUUUCCAUUACCGAGGAGUGGUGUAAGAACAUACCUCGGGGAAUGAGCGUAAGCGUAAUGAUUUUGCUGACGUCUUAUUCGUGUAUGGUUGAAAAAGUAAAAACUAUAAUCAAUGCCAGUAAAAUUAUUCGACAACAGUUUGAAUUAAUAGUGCAAUAUGCCUCAAAUUAGUGUAAGACAUGUUGAAAAUAAUGUAGUGAGCGAACCAAAUGGUGUAACUGACGCCGAGGUGUUGCAACGACGGUCGGCGGGAGAAGGCCGUUACCAAUUUGCCACCAUCUCAGCAAUGUUGUAAUCGUAAGCGAAUUAUAGCGGGAACGGACCUUCUGUUUCCCGCCGUAACCAGAAAAGUUUUACUCAUCUAAUCGAACUAGAUCAUAUAUGUAUACACAUAAGCUGUUGCACUAUCUGCACUACUUGCACCUAAUACUAUUUCUUCCAACUCAUCCUCAUAGAGAACGCUGAAGUACAAGUUCACUGUCAUUUUAAUGGCUUCUUCGAUGAGGAUGGAGGAAACGUGAGGUACGUAGGAGGAAACUGCCGCCUCGCUUUUCUUGGUGAAGGGGAGACUGUUAAGGCCUUGGAAGCGUGAUUCUUCAAAUGCAUGAAUACUUCACAAGAGAGGUGUAAGAUCCAAAUUAUGCUUAGCUACGCUGGAAAAAUAGGUAACCUUAUCGAUAUUGUAGACGGCGAUGAUGUCCGAAGCAUAUUGAAACUGUAUAGCAACCACACAUUUGCACUUAUUGAGCUAUAUGCGGUGAGCAACAGAGCUGCUAGAGAGGUUCCUACUUGUGAGCCUGACGAGUUAGAUGAGGCGCUUACUGACGAACGAUUGCAAAUCUUGAUAAGUAGCCGGUUAGCAGAAGAUUGUUCGCCUAUACCAUCAAAUGUUGAACCGGUUGGAUCGUGAGUUGCACGUUGUUAAUCAAUUGCACUGAUACUCCUAUUAUGUUGCACAAGUAAUCUUACUAAUGUUACACUAUUCUUGUAGAAUCUUGCACUCUUUUAUCUUUACAUUUCAUUACAUUGCACCAUUUGUGUUUUAACUAAUUCAUUGUAUUGCACCAUUUGCAACUGUUCUGCAGAUCCUGUCAUCCUAUUAUCAUCGACGAGGAGACGGACAGUGACGGUGAUACUUGCCUCUUUGAUAUGAAAGAUGACAUGGAAUCUGACGACAGCCUCCGUAUUGUCAUAUCUCCGUCGAUUGACUCUCACCGGACGUACAACGCUAUUGAUGUUGUCCCGUUGAGCCAAUAUGAAGAAUUUGAUCCAGAGGCGUAUGAAUCCAAGCUGGAGGAAUAUCUCGUGGUCAACAGCGCUACGCCGGAGGCUGUCCGAACUGUCGUUGAUGUGGAUGAUGUCCAUGAGGGCCAGAUUUCCAAUACGCAAGCCGAUUUCAAGAGAGCUAUUAAGUCCUAUGCCAUGAAACGAGGUUUCGAGUACGCCCCCACAAAAUGCAACGAGUUUAAAAUAACGGUGAGAUGCCAUGUCACUGAUUGUCCGUAGAGAAUCAAGGCCCGUCAUUUUCCAGGACUGAAUCAGUGGUGGGUGAAGAAAUUUGAUUCCAAGCAUACGUGCAGCAGGGCAAUAGGAGGUAUAGGGCAUUGGAGUUGCGAUAAGGAAUUUAUCACCUCUGUAAUUUGGGAGCAGGUCAUGGCGAACGAGAAUUACAUGCCGAAGAUGAUACAAACUGAGAUACAACGAUCUUACGAUACAAGAAUAUCUUAUUGGAAAGCCUACCGCACCAGAGAAAGGGUCCUUCAGACGGUCCACAGAGAUUUCGAGGGUUCCUUUGCUGCAUUUCUAGCGUACAUGCGAGAGCUCAGGUUGGGCGACGCAAAUGCAUGCAUUCAGCUAGAAUACUACGAUGAAGGAAGUUUCCACCAGUUCUUUUGGGCAUUUGGUGCAUUAUUCGUGCAUUUCGGAAGAACUGCAGGCCGCUUGUUGGACUGGAUGGUAUGAACUUGCACAAUUAAGCCAAAUUUCACACCUUUGUAUAUAGUAGUUGCACUAUUUUCUCUACAUUUGAUGUGAAAUAAAUUGUUUUGCAUGAUUAUGACCUAACAUACACUGUUUGCCUUACUUCCAGGUACUUUCCUAACUGGUAAGUAUAGAGGUGCUCUGCUGACGGUUUCGUGUAUCGAUGAAAAUAACUAUAUACUGCCAUUGGCGUGGGCAGAGGGAGAAAAUCGAUAUUCCUGGCGCUGUUUUCUAGAAUGGAUGCGGGAUAAUAUCGUUGUGAACCGUGAACUCCAUGGACCAAACAGUGUCAUUACAUUUAUUUCCGACUGUCAAAAGGGCCUCAUUAAAGCGGUAGGUGAUGUUUUCUCGAAACAUACCCACGGUUACUGGGUAUACCACCUAUCCACUAAUCUCCCGCACAGGUCGAAAAAUACCCCAGCGUGGAGAAGGUUUUGGCUGUUGCGGGUGCUUACACCGCCUCAGAAUUCAAUGAGGUAAUGGAGAAGAUAAAAGAUUUGAACCCCAAAUAGUUCAAGUAUGUGUCAAAGCUUCUUUGACACAGGUGGGCUACCCAUUGCUUUCUUGGCAGGCAUUAUUCAAUGCUCACUUCCAACUAUGCUGAGACGAUAAACAGUGCGAUACGACGUUUAAAGAGGCUUUCAAUUACAUACCUCGUGGAGAAAACGCGAAAGAAAAUGGCAUCGUAUUUCUACCGGAGAAAAGUGGCAGGGGAGCAGAUGACGAGCGUUUUAACGCCCUAUGUAGAGAAGAUCAUAGAGAGCUCAAGGGAAGUGUCUCAUUUCUACACCCUAAACCCAUCGACAGAUGUCCUUUUUUAGGUUUUAUCAUUUUAUUUGCACCAUUUUAAAUUAUAUUGCAUUACUUUAGUAAUUUGUUGCACUAAUGUUGAAAGGUAUUGAAUUAUAUCAUAGCUAUUUGCACUAUUGCUAUCACAGUUUGCACUAUUUCUUAGACAUUGCACUAUUUCUUGCAUGUAUGCCAGUGCCUUAUGUUUUUAUAUGAUAGGUAAUCACUCUGGCCACCAUGGAGGUUGUGGAUCUAUCUAAGUGGACAUGUUCGUGCAAGCGCUGGGACAGUGACAGCAUCCCAUGUACUCAUGCCAUGGGAGCAAUCUCAAUGAGAAGGUCCGAUCCAUACGAUUUUGUUGAAAAAUGGUUUAAGACUACUACCUUUCGAGAAACGUACAACGACUACGUCCCCCCGACAAGAGGCAAAGAGCACUAGCCACCUCUGCCAUCCACCGUCGUGCCGCCGCGGCCUCCGAACAUGCACAUACAACCGGGAAGAAGGAAGAUUGCGCAGAGAGAGCCGAUUGCUAAUGGCUUCAUUAAAAAGCAUUGCUGUAAUUGCCAAAGGUGGGGUCACAACAAGUGAUCAUGCAAGAACCCUCCUCAACCCAGAGGGAAGCAGCCGGUGGAGGAAAUUAAAGCCGUCAUGGCUGCAAGUGCGGGUGGUCCCCACGGCGGCGGCGGCAGAAGGGGCGAGAGGCAAGUCAGUCAUCGACAAGGAGGCGGCUGUUGUGACGGGUACGAUCUAGCACAUCGGCGUUAAGAUUGACUACCAUUAUGUGGAGUGCUUCAGUUACUGCGAGCCCAUUAGUUCUCUUCUCUUCAAGUUUCAAACAUUUAUUCAGGUUUGCUUAUGUUCUCAUUUAUUUAUAUUUUUUACUCAACAAUGAGCCUGUUUUCGACCAUUGUAGAGCGGUGAUCCAAAGGGCUCGGAGCAAUUGAAGCGCUUUAGGUAGUGCGAGUCGAUCUUAAUGCUGAUCUGCUUGGUCCUACCCUUCCCAACAGCAUCCUCCUCCUCGACCACUCCUUCGCCUCACUCCCCUUCUGCAGCGGCCGUCGUCGACACGACCACCGCUGCUAACCACAAUGACUUUAGUUUCUGCCCCCUCGCAACCACUGGCUGGGCAGCUGAAACAAAUGUGACGAGAAAGAGUUGCGGACGCCGCCGCAGCCGCAGCCACAGCGACUUGGGAUGAGAAAUACGACGACCCUCCUCCUCCGCCGCCGCAUCGCUUGCGUUUGGUGGGGACGCCCUUCGUCGCCUUCACCUCCUUGACUAAAAGUAGUGUCGCCCUGUGCAUGGAAGUGCAAAAAAUGCCAGAUGAUCUCUAUUAUUUUGUUAAAUGUUUAGAGAAAACGGUAUCUUGUAUACAAAUCCUGUCUUUUAUGUUGUAAAGUACUAUAAAAUAGUAUAAUUUGCAUCAAAUAAAGUGUAAUCCUUGCCCUAGAUUAAUAGAGUGCAUUUUCUAUUUCAAUAAUUAAUCUUCUUCUUAUUCUUUUGGCUUCUAUUUUCUACCCUUUGAGAACUUGACUCUUUGCACGAUUUCUUUUAAACCAUUGCACUAAUUAGGAAUAUGUUACACCACUUAGAGCCUUUUUUUGCACUACUACCUUCGUGAUAGCACAACAUACAGAUAACAAUAUGCUCUUUUUUAGACAUGGUUAAAACUAUUGCACUAAUUAGGUAAAUGUUACACCGCGGAACCCCCUCCUUUCUUCUCUCUCCUCCCUCCUCCACUUCCAGACCCUAAGCCAUGUCCCUCGGCCACACUUCUUCCACUUCUCCUCUACAAACAAGUGUUGGAAUGAACUCCCCUACGCUUUUUACGGUUUGGGAAGAAGAUAGCCUGAUUGCCUUCUGAGGGAGUGGGAUAUUGCCCUGGUGAGGAGAAGAUUGAACGCUAGCGUCGCACUAUUAAAUAUGGAAGUUUCACUAUUAGAAAGGUUGCUGCACCAUUUCUUUUCACGUUGCUCUUUUGAGUUGCACUAUUAUUCUUAUCGCCGGGCGUGUAGUUUUUAUCGUGUAGCUUCAGCAUAUCUAAUUUCUAAAAGCCAAACAGUAAACACCGGGGCUGAUUUGGUUCGCAUUCCGAUUAGUGGGAGGUUGCGUAGAGAUGCUCGGGGCGCAUUUCAUGCCCGGCCAGACGGCGUGCAUUAUGGUAUACGUAUCCGAGGGAAUAUGCGAGAGGCGGAUGGAGACAAGGGGCAUUUUGGUUAGACGACAAAAAAUUCAGUUCGAAUCUGCAAAAUCGAAAAAAUGGCCCAAUUUUAUAUAAACUCAAAACUAGUGAAUUUUUUAUGCAAAUUGGCCAUGAUUAUUUUAUAAAGUCCGAAAGAAAAUAAGAGAGAGAGAGAGAGUGAGAGAAAAUAAGAGAGAGAGAGAGAGAGAGAGAGAGAGAGAGAUGGGUUGCUUUUUUUGCGCCGGCGAGAGAGAGAAUCCGGAAAACAACAAGGAUCAGAUCAAACCUUUCUCCGCAGGUAUUCCCACUCCCCUUCAUGUUGAUCGCCUCCUCCCAAAUUUCAUUUUCUCUUUUUUUUCUUUUUCCUUUUCAUAUUUGGUGUUUCUUUUUUUUUUUUUUUUUUUUCUUUUCCUUAGUGUUUCUAGAGCUAUUUAGAAUCGAUUCAAUCGAUGUUUUGAGGCCUCCCCUCCCAAUUUUCUCUUCUGUCGGUUUGGUUCGGAUUCAAGCUAAUAAAUUGGAUUUUCUUUCUCUUUUUUCUUUGUAAUCACAAUUUUUUUUCCCCUCCCUUAUUUCUAAGGAAUUUUCUAUUUUUCUUCCUUACUGGAGACAUGUUUUUAGUUAAGUCUAUGGAAUAGUAAUUCAUAUUUUUAGGUUUAUUGUGGUUAGAUAUAAAUCAAAUCUUUCUCUAUUGUGUUUAAUGGACUUUUUUUUGGAUUUGAUUGUAGAUAGAUAAAUUUUAUAUACAAUAUUAAGUCCUAAUUGUGCUAGAACUUGCAAAUCAAAUGGUAAGAAAUGAAAUAUUGUUCAUUAUAAUUUAUUUUAUUGGUAACUCUUUGUAACUCAAGUAUGUAAUUGCUUCAGCAGACUGUAAAGGCUUUCCUGUAAUUCUUUUCUCCUUCCUCUGUUUUAGAAGAGAAGUCCAAAUCAAAUUUCCAACUGAAUGUGAGGAAGCAGAAUUCAUUAGAGCUGAAGAGAGGGCCUUCGAGUAAUGGAUCGGAACGCGCGGUGCAGACGUUUACUUUUCGUGAAUUGGCGGCGGCGACUAGGAAUUUCAGGGCUGAUUGCCUUCUCGGGGAGGGCGGAUUUGGGCGAGUUUACAAAGGCCGCUUAGAAAGCAUAAGCCAGGUUAGAUUGUUAAACUUUGCCUUUUGGCCUUCCAUAGUAAUUAUCGUAUUGUGCCUAUUUGACUUGACUUCUGAAACAACUUUUCUGCACUAAGAAGCAUAAGCUUCUAGAAACAAGAUUGGAGAUUGUGUCACCUGGAGUUACUGUAAGACUUUUGUCUAUGGUCUUGCAGCCCACUCUACUAGAUACUAGUAUGAAACUUUUGCUUUUCCGGGAAGCUGAUAACAUGAGCUUUUUGGGCCUUGAAAGCUGUUAGUUCCAAUUUGAAGCCUUUUUGUUCUGUUGUGGCGAGAAGUUGCGGAGGAGAUUUUGAAUGAAGAAGCCUGUAGAUCUUCUUCAAACAGUUCACGUGUUUUGUGUUUGAUUAUUUCUUCAUGUUUUAAUAUAUGGAAACUAGAACUGAUUAGCAAGAGUAUUUCUCAUGUAAUUUUGUAACAUUUUGUUACCAUGAUUUCUCCACUUAUGCUCGCGGUAGAAAGCGAAGUUCUGAAAAAUAUAUGUCAUUUUGUAACACGUAGCGUGCUCACGGCCAUAUGUUUGUUUCUUACCAUCGUGAACAGAUUGUCGCCAUAAAACAGCUCGAUCGAAAUGGAUUGCAAGGGAACAGGGAGUUCCUUGUCGAAGUCCUGAUGUUGAGUUUACUCCACCAUCCUAAUCUCGUUAAUCUAAUUGGUUAUUGCGCUGACGGAGAUCAAAGGCUUUUGGUCUACGAGUACAUGCCAUUAGGAUCAUUAGAAGAUCAUCUUCAUGGUAUCCUUGUCACAGCCCUCUUUGUUGUUACCAAUUUUCCAACAUAAUAUUUUCCCUACGAGGGCUUUUACACGUAUAUAUGUACCCCUUGAAAGUGCAUCUUCUUACAAAAAUAGCUUUAAGUUAGGGAAUCAUCCAAUUUGCAGGGACAAGUUGGUUUUAUUUUAAUAAAAGAUUUUUUUCGAAGAGGAGCAAUAUAAGAUGCAGGAAUAUGUCUAAGAAUUGACGAUUUUGUCAGCAGGGGUAUAUGUUUUGAAGAUAAUUUUGUUGGGUUGUAUGUCUAAAUAUGUUUUUGUUUACAAAUUACAUUAUUAAAUAUGCUGUAUUACCUGCUUACAAAUUUUGUUGGUUGCAGACCCUUCUCCAGAUAAAAAGAGUCUCGACUGGAAUACUAGAAUGCGAAUAGCUGCCGGUGCAGCUAAAGGAUUGGAGUAUCUCCAUGACGAAGCCAAUCCACCCGUCAUAUACCGCGACCUAAAGUGCUCAAAUAUUUUACUCGGAGAGGGAUACCAACCCAAACUCUCAGAUUUUGGUUUGGCGAAGCUCGGCCCUGUUGGGGAUAAUACCCAUGUAUCCACUAGGGUCAUGGGUACAUAUGGCUAUUGUGCGCCAGAGUAUGCUAUGACCGGACAGUUAACCCUAAAGUCCGAUGUUUAUAGCUUUGGGGUCGUUCUGUUGGAGCUUAUCACCGGGAGAAAAGCUAUUGAUAAUUCUAGGGCUGCGGGGGAGCACAAUCUUGUUGCAUGGGUAAGAAAACCUUCUAUUAUUUUCUCUCUUAUGUUGGUUUGAAAUCAUUUGAAGUAUGUUACCCAUGGAGAGGAAAGCAGUUUUGGGAGGUUACUUUGAGUCUCCUUUGAGUGUUUUAUUCUACUACAAGAUACAGAUUGAAAUGAAAUUCUUCGGUAUUCUAUACUUGUCGGCAUAUAUAGUUUAACUGCCUGGUUGGCUAAUGGUUAAAGCAGAGAUUAAGCGCUAGGAAAAUAAAAGCACAAGCUCUAAUUCGAAAUUUCUACUUUUGCUGUGGUAAGAAGCUGUGAAGAAAAUUUUAGUGGACAAGCUAUCGGCGUGGCUUCUCCGAAUAGCUCUGAAUCCCGAAUGCUGAAAAUAUGUUUUCCGCUAGGCUUAUAAUAGUUUUGGACAGGUUAAUGCAAUAAAAAAAAAAAGUCAUCUUGUUCAAAUGCACUGCAUCCCUAAUGCAAUAGCUCUUGAAGUACUAUCUUGUUUACUUCUAUGUUAUGUGUAUACGAAUGCAUUACAACUUUAAAUUGCAGGGACGGCCUUUAUUCAAAGAUCGAAGAAAGUUUCCUCAAAUGGCUGAUCCGAACCUUCAGGGCCAAUACCCGGUGAGGGGAUUAUACCAAGCCCUGGCCGUCGCAGCCAUGUGCCUUCAAGAGGACCCCGCGCUGAGACCUCUGAUAGUCGAUGUCGUUACAGCACUUACUUAUCUUGCUUCGCAAACUUACAACCCGGAAACUCAACCCACCUCAAACAUGCCCCGUCUCUCGUGGCCGGGUACUCCCCCGCAGGCGAGGAGGGGCGUCGAAAGGAAAAUGAGCGGCGGAUCAGAGAGACAGCGAAGUCGAGUGGAUUAAAUGAGGAUUUUGGAGCAUUGGGGGUUGUAAAAUUUUGGUCUUUUGGCUGUCAAUCUGGUGUCUGGUGAUCAACAUCGGUAUUCAUCUUUGGAAAGACACUUCAAGACUAUUCAGUAGUACUUUCUGUUUCCACUUUUGUAUAUGUUGCUCUGGUCUUUGUAUGUAUGUUGUGUUAAAACUCUGAAUCUAAAUUCAUAUUAUUAUUACUAUAAUUAGUUAUUAUUUAUUUUUUUUUCCGAAACUCAUAGCAUAUGUUGCAAGUGAUGUCGUGUUUUUAUUUUUGUGAUAUUUAAAUAUAAAAUUAUUAUGUUAUUUUUGAUUAUAUCCUCUGCUGUCUUAUCUGGCACAACAAGAUCAGUUUGGGAUAUAUUUUAUGUGAUAUGGCCAUUACAAAAAGAGACAUUUUUGUUUUUCCCUUAGAAUGACACUAAUAGUUUGAAAAGUGCCUUAAAGCAUGAACCAAUCGACUUGUGCCAUGUAAGAUUACCAAGAUAUGGAUGACUUGGUUAAUGUUGUUGGGCAUCCUUAAUGCAGGCCUAAGGGAAACUAGGAUUCAAACUUGGGUCUUGGGUACCAACCACCAUGCCCCUUGCCACUUGCUCUAGAGACGGUCGGUGUCUUUCUUGCAACAGUUAUUACAAAUAAGAUAUCUUUCAAACUAUUCAUAUUUUGUCCGAGUGAGAUAGAGCAAAAUCCAAUAAGAAGCAAAAUAGAAUUUGCACAUUAAGAUAAUGUUUUAAUUUUUUUGUAUCUUCAUGUAAUGUGGAGAUAUUUGAUUGGACAAUCCAAAUGCCAAUCAAAAUGAUUUUAAUCCCUACAAUCCCUCAUUCAAGGGCGGUAGGGUUUACUAACCCUUUUUUUAUUCUUACCCAAAAAAAGUAAUAAAAUUUUUAGAGAAAAGAGCAGUGUUAGCUGUACAUCCUAAUCUGGAGUGUACAUCUUACAAUCAACAAAUCAGACGGCUACCAUUAUUUUAAUUAUUUUAUUCAAAAAGCAAUUGUUAUCCUUACCAUUUAUUGUAGAGAGAGAGAGAGGGAGGGGGGGAGGAGGGAAAUAAGAAAAGCAGUGGGUCAGUAAAAUAGAAAGUGAGAAUUAAAACUCAAUUUAAAUUGGAUUAAUCUGAAUCAUCUCUGUUUCCGCUGUAAAAUAUACAUCCCAAACUGAUAUAUACCGGUAAACCUUUCCUUGCUUAUAUAGUAGUCGAUCACUUAAAUUAUAAAACGCAUAACUCUUGGCUUUUUAAAUUUUAAUGUAUUGUAAUUUUUUACUGCAAUCAAAUUUUACAAUGCAAAGUAAUUCGUCAGAUAGUGAUGUGCUGCUGAUGUGACAGUAAUUUAGUAUUUUAAUCAUUCUCACAUUCUCAACUAUAAUAUUACUAUAUUAGUGGUACAUUACCAGCACAUUAUAUAUUACUUAAUUAACUAAAAUAUAAUCUAAAAUUUUAUUGUUACAAUUUGCAAAAUUUUAAUCUAAAUUUAAUAAAUUAAAAUUUAACGAUCGAAAUAAAGAACGAAUUCCAGUUUGAAGACCGAGGGCACCUUUUAGCAAAGAGAAAAGAGAAAGAGGAAAAGAAAAAGUUUGACGCCGGUUGGGAGCAAUAAUUUGGUUUGGCUGUAGGAGAGAAGAAUCCAGCCGGCACGGAAGGACUUGUUUGAAAAGCAGAGGUCGUACGUCUGGCGUGCUAAUCAGGAAACAGCAUCCGCACGGAAAUAUUUGGUUUUGUUUUGUUUUUUUUUAAUGACAACGAAAUUUUGAAGUUGGAUAAAAUUUUGGAAAAACUUCAAAUAUUAUUUAUGUAGUUUCAUAUUUUUUUACUCUAGUAUUUUCUAGUUUAAAGUGUAUCAAUUUAGUGUCUUGUAGUUUUAUUUUUAUUUUUUUAUUAUCAAUUUUAUUAAUUUUUUUUGUUAAAUCAGUAACAACGUUAAAACUAAAGAGUACUAAAAGCGAAUAUUUGAUAACCCUAGAUGGGGUAUCUGAAGUUUUUUGUAUAUAAUUUAACAAAAUAUUAACAAACAAACUGACGAAAAGAUAAAAAUGAAACCAUAGGACACUAAUUUGAUACACUUUAAACCACAUGGUAUUUAAGUGAAAAAGUGUAAAACUAUAUGGAUGGUAUUUGAAGUUUAUGCUAAAAUUUUAAUUAGAAGCAGCUAGAUGAUAUUUUGAAUGCAUCAUGAUUUCAAUCUAUACAGUUUUAUAAAUGAUAUUUUAUAGGAGCUGUUACAUGUUCUAGUGUGAUAAGAUAGGCGGUCUAUUCUUUAAUUUGAUUGCACCCUUUUUAAUUUUAUUGUUCAAUUUUAUUUCUUUUUCCUUCUUAUAUAUUUAUUUUCAUGCUCCAUGUUAAUGUACAUAACAAUUGACUAAUUAGAUAAAACUAAAGGUAUAUAUAAAGUUUACUCUUUUCUCUUGAUUUGUUUAUUUUCUCAUCUAACUUUUUUGCAAUUUUCGCUCCAAAAAAUUAUUUUUUCUAUAAAGUAUUCUCUUUUCUUAUCAUUGUUUUUUUUUUUUUUAUACUUUUUAUCUCAGAUUUGUAAGUUAAACUACUUUCUUUUGGUGAUAGCUUUUCAUAUUAAAAGUUGCUGUAAUACACAUAAUUAUAUAUUUUUAAGAGGCAAAAAAUGUAGUAAUCUUAUAAAAUCUUAUAUAAUAUAAUUAAUAGCAUAAAAAAAUUUAAAAUCGAUGCAUUCAACAAAUAUAAGAGAUACAUGUAUAAUGAGUUGUACAACAUCUUCUAUUUCUAUCAACCGUCCCUAGAGCACGUGGCAAAGGACUUGGUGGUUGGUACCCGAGACCUAAGUUCGAAUCCUAGUUGAUUCAUAUUUCCAGCUAAGUUUAUUUUUAAAUGAAAUAAACGAAGCGGGUAGCGUGCUACCUAUCUCUCAAAAAAAAAAAAAAAAAAUCUUCUAUUUCUCAACAUAAAUGGAGGGAUUGCUGAUAAAUCUACUGAAUUAGUUCAGUUAACAAAAUUGAUCCAAGAUUAUAGGCCUCAAAUAACACAUUUGGGUGGCAGUAAAUUAAUGCACCAUUAACCUAUUAUAAAUUGGGAGUAUUAGAUUUAAAUCCUAAAAUCCAAAUUUAGAAUCCUAUUUGAUUCAGAUUUAAUACCAAUUUUUUACAAUUAUUUAUAAUUCCACAAAAUAUUUAAUUGGUUUCAAUCCACAGUGAAUUCAGUAUGAUCUUGAAGAUUGAUUUAACAAUCAGAUGUUUGUUUAAAUGACUCUUGAGAUCAAUUUAUUAUUCAGACUGACUUCUUGAACAGCUUCUAUACUCUACGGGCGCGUUUGGUUCAAAAUGAAAAAAAAUAGAAUGGGAAUGGGAAUCGGAAUGGGCAAGAGUCGGAAACGGAAUGAUACAACCUCCUAAUAUGUUUGAUUCAGUAUAACAAUCGAAAUCGGUAUAGUUGAUUCGUGCUUUUAAUAUUUGAAAAUUUUGAUUAUAAAAAAACAAUUAAAAUAAAAUUAAAAUAAAAUUAAAAUACAAAAUAUAAAAAUAAUUUAAAUUUAGUUUGCACCUCAAAAUAUAAAAUUAAAUUUAUAAUUUAGAUUCAAACUAAAAGUUAAGUAUUAAAAAUUUACAUCAAAAAAUUGAAAUGAUAAGCCGAAAUUUUAAAUCUAAUUUUUUAAAAAAAUAAAAUUUAAAAUUGAGCGGACUAUUCAAAAUAUAAAACUAAUUUUUUAUUUGAUUCAAAUUCAAAUUUACAACUAAAUUUACAUUUAAAUUUAUAGAUCAAAUUCAAACUGCUUCAUUGAAUUUAUAUAAAAUUUAAUUUAAUUUCUAAAUUAAAAUAUAGAAUCAAAAAUUUAAUUUCUAAUUUAAAUUUAUAUUUUAAUUAAAAAUUAAAAUCAAAGAGUUAAAUUUAACUUUAAAUAAAAAUAUAAAAUAUAAAAUAUAAUUGAGAUAUUUUCGUAAAGUGCAUUCUUUCCGUCUAAAUUUAAGGCCAGAUUGGAAAAAGAGAUAAUUGGGAGAUUCACAUUCAUCUGAAAAUUGAAAUCCGAAUGGGACUCUCACAUACUAAAUACUUACAAAUAUAUUCGUCUAUUUCAAUUUCGAUUCCUGGAUUAAAAAAAAAAAAAAUUCAAAUGCACCCUAAAAAUAACAGUUCGUCAUUUAGCAAUCAACAGUUCGUCAUUUAGCAAUCAAGAUUAUGGACCGGCUGCCUAUGCUAAGAAGUAAAAUAAGGUCCUAGUCCUCAAGUAUAAAGUUCCAAUGUCAUGGUAAAAGAAAAUUAUAAAAUACUAAUUAAGUAUACGUGCAAAUGCUAACAAAUAUUUUAAUAACUACUUCAAAUUAAUAUAAAUUUACACAUCAUAUUUAUUCAAAUUUAUAACAUAAAAUUUAAAUUUUAAAAAAUAAAUUCAUUUAUUAUGUACUAUUAGAAAAUGUCUGUCAUAUUCUAACUCAAAUUUAAAUAUUUGUCGUCAACAAUAAUUAUAUAGUUCUUUUUUUUAUUUUAUAAAAUUUAUAUAUAGUGUAGAUAUAGAUAUACAUUGAAUUUUUUUUUAUAUUUUCUAAUUUUGAUAAAUUUAAAAUUUAAGUAUAUAUUUUAAACUAAAAUCAUCAAAAUUUAAAAGUUAUUAUAACAAUAAAAUAUUAGUAGAUAGAAUAGCGAUAAUAUAUAAAGAUUUAUCUUAAAAAAGAAGAUAUUGAAUGAUAAAAAUAUUUAAUAAAAAAUAAAAUAUUAAUUGUUGGAGAAAAAAGAGGAACUAAAAGUUUGUUUUCUUAUGUUAUUUAUUUUGUGUACGUGAAAAGAUGAAUUUUGAAAUGAGUCUGUCCACGAACUGAAAUUUGAAAAAAUAUUUUUUAUUUACCUUUCAUUCUACUCAAUCAGGUUUUUUUUUUGAGAGAUAGGUAACAUGCUAUCCGCUUUGUUUAUUUCAUUAAACUUAGCUGGAAAUGUGAAUCAACUAAGAUUCGAACUUGAAACCUCGGAUACCAACCAUCAAGUUCUUUGCCACUUGUGCCUGAGAUGGUUGGUUACUCAAUAUCAAAAAGUCAUAACAAAAUGGGUUUUUUUUGCAAUUGGACCCCUGAAAAAAAUUAUUUUUAAAACUAACCCCAGCAAAUUUAUAUUUACAAAAAUGGCUCUGCCCCUGCCACGCAAGCGUCACGUCAGCGCCACGCGGGUAGAGCUGGGGGCGGUAGUUAAGUUAAACACGGUGAACCAUUCACCGUGUCACCGUGUUUAGAGUUAGUACGUAUUUUUUGCAAUAUAAAUAUUAAAAAGAGAAAUAGGGAGUAGAAAUGUCAAUGGGUAUGGAUAUCCGAAAUAUUAUUCGAACCCAAAUCCGAAUAAAUUAUAUAUAUACAUAAUUUAUUUUUAUUUAUUUAUACAAUAUAUAAAAUAUUUAAUAAUUUUUAUUUCUUAGAUCUUUAUUCAACGGUAUAGAUUUUUAAAACCCGCUGGGCUCAGGUUCGGGUUUCGAGUUUUUGGUCGGAUAUGGAUAUGGGUAUGAAUUUUUAAAAUCCGUUGGGUUUGGGUUUUAAUUUGAUUUUCGGGUUCAGAUUUAGAUUUUUAAAAAAGGGAAAAAAAAUGAAUACAAAUAUGAAACACGGUAAACCAUUCACCGUGUUCAAACACGGUGAAUGGUUUACCGUGUUCAACUUAACACACUGGUCACAGCCCUGCCGGUGUGGCGUUGAUCUGGCGCCUACGUGGCAGGCCCAGAACCAUUUUUGCAAAUUAACUUUUGAUAGGACUAUUUUUAAAAUAAAUAUUUAUCAGAGGGCUAAAUGUACAAAACCCCCUUAAAAUUAGGUACUAGGUACUUACCUGUACACAAACACUUCUUCUUUUCUAAAAGGAACAAUAAUCAAUUUUGUUGUCAAUGUUUAGAAAAAAAAAAUCUAAAAUAUGAGUGUUAUCACAUUAUCUAUAGCUCUAAAUAAUCAAGUUUGCUCAUAAAAUUUACCAUCGCAUCAUGAUUUUUUUCUUUAAAAGAAAAUUGUUGUGCUUUUGCUCAAAAUAAGAUAUCUAAUUGACUUAAACAAAAUUAUAUAUAGUGCCACUGCUGUAUAAAAGACCAUCUCAGUAUUUUGAGGACUUAUCUAUUUUGUUAGGGUUUUUUUGUAUUUAGCCCUCUAAUAAAUUUUUAUUUUAAAAAUAGCCCUACUAAAAUUUAAUUUGCAAAAAUGGCCCUGGGCCUGCUACGCAGGCACCACGUCAACGCCACGUGGGCAGGGCCGGGGCCAGUGUGUUAAGUUGAACACGGUGAACCAUCACGUGGUUCACCGUGUUUAAUCACGGUGAAUGGUUCAUCGUAUUUCAUAUUUGUAUUUAUUUUUUUUCUCUUUUUCAAAAAUUUAAAUCCGAACCCAAAAAUCAAAUUAAAAUUGAAAGCGGACGGAUUUUAAAAAUUCAUACCCAUAUCUAUAUCCGACCAAAAACUCGAAACCCGAACUUGAACCCAGCGGGUUUUAAAAAUUUAUACCAUUGGAUAAAGAUCUAAGAAAUAAAAAUUAUUAAAUAUUUUAUAUAUUGUAUAAAUAAAUAAAAAUAAAUUAUGUAUAUAUAUAAUUUAUUCGGGUUUGGGUUCGAAUAAUAUUUCGGAUAUCCAUACCCAUUGACAUUCCUACUCCCUAUUUCUCUUUUCAAUAUUUAUAUUACGAAAAAUGCGUACUAGCUCUAAACACGCCCAGCCCGCCCGCGUGGCGCUGACGUGGCGCUUGUUCACCGUGUUUAACUUAACUACCGCCCCCAGCCCCGCCCACGUGGCGUUGAUGUGGCGCUUGCAUGGCAGGGACAAAGCUAUUUUUGUAAAUAUAAAUUUGCUGAAAUUAUUUUUAAAAAGGGCUUUUUUUGCAAAUAGCCCCCUGAAAAAUUUUAUUUGCGCAAAUAGCCCCGUGUAAAAUUUAUUUGCAAAAAUGGCCCUGACUCUACCACGCCAGCGCCGCGUCAGCGCCACGCGGGCAGGGCCUGGGGCAGGUGUCUAAGUUGAACACGGUGAUUGGUUGGUGAACCAAUCACCGUGUUCAUUGUAUUACUCACACCCCGCCGGGGGUGUUAGUAUUACAUUAGACACGGUGAUUCGUUCACCGUGUCUAAACACGGUGAGCUGUUCACCGCAUUUAGACGCGGUGAACCAUUCACCGUGUCUAAUGUAUUACACACCCUCACGCGGGUGUGGGGUAAUGCAUAUAACACUGUGGGCGGGUGUGGGGUAAGGCAUGUUAUAACCACGGUGAUUGGUCACCGUGUCUGAACACCCGGUGAUUGGUUUCACGCGUUAGACACGUGAACCAUUCACCGUGUUUCUCUUUAACACAAACCCCCCUCCCCCGAACUACUGCUGUGUCAUGUCUCGAUCUCUCCUCUCUCAUCAUUCUUCUCUCUCUCUCUUCUCUCUCUCUCUCAUCUCUCUCUCUCUCCUCUCGCUCGUCUCUUUUCUUCCUCUUGCUCUCUCUUCCUCACCUCUCUCGGCCGACCGCGCAGGAUGCCGCCGUCGCACGCUUUUGCACCGAGGUACCUCCUUUCUUUCGUUCUCUCUAGCCUAGAAGCAUUAUCUCUCUCUUUCUCUCUCUCGUGACUCUCUCUCUCUCUCUCUCUCUUCUUCUCGAUCUGUAUCCUCUCUCUCUCGUUCUCGCCUCGUGCCACCUCGGCCAGCCACGCGCGAUGCCGCCGCUUCCCACCCCCUCUGUGAGGGGGGGACUUCUCACACGUGAGUAAGCCCCACCCUCCCCCCCGUCCCCCACCCUGCCCCCCUCCCCCCGCCCCCCCCCCGCCCCACCCCCGCCCCCCCCCCGCGCCCGCCCGACCCCCUCCUUCCCACCUCUUUUUCCUUCGGCUCCUGCCGUCGCCUGCUCCCUGCCCCCUCCCCCCCCGCUCCCCACCACCGCCCGCGCCCCCCCUACACCACCCCCCGGCCGCCCCGACCCCCCCCCCCCCCCCCCCCCCAGGGGGGCCCCCCCCCCCCACCACCCCCCGCCCCCCCACACACUUCUUGAGAAGGUUCAUGUGAGACCCCCCUCCCCUCCCCUCCCUCCCACUCCUCUACCCCCAAACAUGUGAGAAGGUUCUCUGCCCCCCCGCCCUGCACUUGUCCCCCCCACGCAUUCUCACAUGGAUGCCCUGUGAGCUCUCACGGUGAGAAGACCACUUGAGCUUCUCAUUGUUGAUGAACACCCCUCCCCCCCUGCCCCAAUCACUCUCACAAGUGGCUUUCACAGUGAGAAGCCACUGUGAGAACACCCCCCCUCCCCCCAAAGCAUAUCAUAUGGCUUCUCACAGCUGAGAAGUCUUUCACUGCAACCCCCUCCCAUGUUCAUGAUUGUCUCGAUUUCUUGUCACAGAUCAUUCUGCGUCUUAAUUGGCAAAGUGAGUCACGACGCGACCGGUGCUUGACAAUAGUUAAUUCCAUCUUUUACAGUCGCUUCUUUUAUAUGUUAGAAAUGUGAUAAUGUCUUGAGUUAAUAAUUUUUCUACAUGUAAUUAUACUACUUUAGAACUUAAUCUGGCUCCAUUUCUUCGUAUAUACAUGGACGGAAUUUUGUCGGAGAACAAUAAUUACCACGAAUAUUGGUGCCGUAAGAAUUGGUUGCGUCCGACUCAAUAUCUCAUUUUCUGGAUUUAGAGAUGAAAUAUACAAUGUACUAAUUAUGAUUGAAGUGAGACCGUCUACGCCCACGGUAAAAUGUCAAUGGGAGUGAAUGGGAAUUUUUAACGUAUCAAAAUACAGAUCCUACUAAUCUAGCGUGCACUCUAAGGUCGGAUAUUUUUCGUUCCUGAUUGUAUUCAAAAUUAUACGUGACGCAGAAGAUGCGGUCGCGGCACCACGACGUCUCCAUAAUAACCGAUUUUUAUCAACUAAAAUGCGUCCUACCCGCAAUGAUCAAAGAAUACGUCCAAUUCGACAGAGGUCGUAACAUCAAGGUAUCAAAGCUAAUGAAUCUUUAUAAAUCUUUUUCGUGAUUUCUCAUUAGUUUAGAUGUCGCAGCGAAAUUUAAUUAACUUGCUGUAAUGUUCAAGAUUUGAGUCCAUCUCAAGCCAGUUAUGCAGCAUUGCGUCUCGUAGAGUGAUGAUCGUUCGUUGUUGAAUCAAAAUGAGUGUGUAGGUGAUUCUAUGAUUUAUGUUACAUAAAAAAUUAAGUGAAUAGUUAAAUCUUAUUAUAUCUUCUACAGGUCUACUGUCCCGUCCUUAUCAAAAGUCCAGACCAUCAUAUAUAUUCAUGAAUGGUAGAAUUGGAAAGUCAGAACCCACUAUCCUCCUUAUCAAAAUAAUGUCUCAAUGAGGUUUCAUCUAUGGCGGGCUUGCGGAAGUAAGAAAAUACUAAGCAACUCCUCUAUGUGGAUGGAAGGUUCCAGUGAUAAUCUAAGUGUUAAUGAAUAUCGGUUGGAAGUAAGAAGUACUAACCAUCCUUAUGUAGAUGAAGUUCCAGCGACCAUUCAGUGUGUUCAUCAAGGAUCGGCUUGGCCAAGAAGAAAUACUAUCCCUCCUUAUCAAAAUGAAGGUCCAUAUUCACUCAUCAUGAAUGGACCAAAUCGGGGUAGAUUGACUACAAACUGAUCUAUUGGAUCGUAGUAGAAGCUGUAGAGUGGAUAUAUUAGUGAAACUGUACGAAGAGAUCAAGGGCGAAUGAUGCUGAAGUCUAGUGGAUGCGAUGAGGAAUCCUUUGUUGGUGUUCUUGAUCCUGAUCCAUGACAGGUGCUUAAAUGCCCUCGAUACGCUAUUCGAGUAUGAAGGUCUUAUUGGAUUGGAAACACUCAAAUCUGUUAACAACGAAGAUUGUACCAGAUCCGGUGCGAAUUCGUGGAAUUUGAAGAUCAAUCGACAACGGUUUUGGCCUGUGUAAGAAGUUAAUUAAUCAAGCUUUAUAAGCAUCUACGGAACCAAAAUAUUAAUCAGGAGUCCUCAAGUGAUGAAUCAUGAGCUAAUCGACUUUUUUGAUAAAUCAUCGCUGAUAAAGGGCUUGGACAUUUGGCAUUGCACAUAUGUGCCAACUUAAAGUUGUUUAUGUCAAAUAAACUAUAUUAACUUUGCGACUAUGUGUGUCGAUCUUACCAUCGAGUAUUACAUGCUCUCGGACAGAAAGAUAGUUCAUUUUUAGAAAACUUAUAAAGGUCCACACACUUGUUUGGUUCAAUUUAAAUACAAUCAUCGGAAACGUGUACAUCAUCUUUUAUAUGUCAAUUAUACUACUUAACUGAAGGCGAAGGCUUACAAUGGUCCUAUGGAAAUUCAAGCCCGCGCUUCAGAGCGAGUUACACAUUAGCAUAUCAUAUAGCAAGGCUUGCGCGGCACAGAAAUAAAGCACUACAAAUUAUAUACGCUAGUUGGGGAAUCGAUACUGCGGACCUUCCUCGAUACUUCUCUACGUUGGAAUGCAAACAAUCCAGGACAACUAUUACAAAGAUGAAUUUAUAUUAGUGUGGCAAGCAAUACUGAGAAUGUUUUCACAUGCUUUCUGGCACUUUGGGACAGUCGAUUUAUGAUUGGAGAGUAUUGCCGGCCAAUUACUUAGUAAUCAAUGCUACAUCUGUAUGGAAAAUACGGAGGCCACGCUAUUAAUUGCGCCACAGUGUGAUUGGCCAAUGGUGUUUCAAUUUCCGCUAGUUUCGCCAAUUGGUGAGAAGAAAAAUGUCUCGAGUUAGGAGUUUUUCUUAGUUGCCUAAGAAGUAUUAACAGAUCCAGUUAUUACACUAAUUUAGAUCGUUUUAAAGGCCUAGCGAACCGUUGCACUUUAUUUCCACCAUUAAAGGUCAUGCGCGCAUUGAUGGUGUUUACGACAUAUGAGGCCAAUGUGAAUAUCAAUUUUCAAAGCCAGAAAACACUUACUUAAAUUUCUUAUCAUUGGGAGUGCUCAGAAGAACGCCAAUAUUACGCAUUAAAAAGAAGAAUUGCAAGCUGUGGAUGAGAAGUUGAGCGUUGGGAUCACAAAUCGUUCAUAAGAUUGAUCAUACCGGGCUAAAGCUUUUGAUGUGGUCGACGAUAUCGGUAUUAUGACAUACUAACCAUUGAAUGUUUAAAUGGGUGUUGAGGGGAGUUCGCGCCUUUCCAAAUAUCACUUUAUGUGAUUGGCAACAUUUCAUCAAGUGGUAGAAUUCUUUCUAAAACAUCAGGGGAGGCGUGACAAUUGUCUCGCAAUUUGUAUCGAAUGUUGAAUAACAAUAUCAAUAGCCCGGAUGAGAAGUCCUAGAGCAUAUACAGUUCGACGUUUGCAUUUCACCCAUGUUCGACGAUACUUACUGGCGGUGAUGUUCAAUACCAAGUGAUUAUCAAUGAAGCAUUCUAGCAUGUCCAUGUAUUGUGUUUGCAACUCACAGAAUCACUGUGUCAACACAUUUUGUCAUUGUAGUUCAUCACACCGAUCGAACAUAGUAUUUAUGGCCUUAGUUGCUCUCGAGGUUAUACCUGGUUCGCAUCAUAUGUAAGACUUCGUAUGAACCGCAGUUCAACUCACGUACCGAUCGUCGUUAUUAAUCGUGUUAUAUAUUCUCUAUAGUGCCACCACGGGAGAGUAAGAAAAAAGCUGAUGACCCAGUCGUAACGUAUCCAUAAUUUAUGGAUGAAGCAGUGGAAUAGAGGCAAGUGAGUAUGUCGUAAAUAGCCUGGACAUUAUCAAAAGCACUUGUCCUGAAAAUAAGCAAAAAGAACCGAGAGCGUCGUCGAUAAGUUUUUCUAUAUGAAUAUGACACUUAAACUUCUUAAUCUAUUAUACUUACGCCACUAAUGUUAUCAUGUUUCUAACUCAGUUUUUUUUUUUUUAAGCCAAUUCAGAGACGAUCAUGACGAAGCCGAGACCCUAUUAAGUACAUCUGCUUGCUGACUGAGCAAGCACGACCAAUAGUAUUACAUUGAUCAGAAGGUCGGAAUUUUUUAAAACAUUUCAAAUUUAUUAGAUCUUCUUUAUACUUAUGUAUUAUUUUGAGCUGGCUUUUGGACAAUCAUGCACGGAUGAUUCUCCUGUCAAUUUACGGGAGUCAUGGACGUAAAAUUGAACAGAUGGCAGUGCGAGCAUCCUGCGGUGUUUGAUUAUUGCGGACGAGCAGUAUUUUAUACGUUUCACGAUGCGUCGCUACAGCUCGAAUCAUGUCAUUUUGGAGCAUUAGUGAAGAGUGGCCUGAGAGAGCACAAAGUUUCUCCUAUUUGCAGACAUGGAGAGAUGAGAUUACAUGAUGGACGUUCGCAGUUAUUUAGGGAUCUCCCGUCGAUGCGGGGCUGCUGACUGGAGGGGAUCCUAUCAGUGGGCAGCAGCUCUGGUUACCUUCUGGGUGGAUUCGCAGGAUAUUAGGCCGCGGUGGCUGAGAUCAAAAGACUGUAUUAUUCAGUUCAGCGUUUUUCCAUGAUAUCCCCUUAACGCACCUCCCGCUAUUGUUAGAGCUACAACGAAUCGAGGCGUGAAAGUCAUAUACUAUUUCAGAUAGUGUUUAGUUUGUUUCCAUAAUCAAGCGGGAAUAGGGUGCAUUUGAAUAUGGCUGCCAAUCUGAGGAUUUUUUGACCUUUGGUGGGGUUGGCAUGGGUGCAGCCGCGCUAGCAUCUUUAUCGCGUCUCCUAGGAAUCUUCCUUAGGGAAAGGCUCGAGUGUUGUUGGUUUGGGACAUUACGUUCAUUAUACAAUUUGACGACACGACCCUACAAUACUUCUACUUAAGUCAUGGUUAUUCUUUCCAUUGUCUAACUAGAAUAUUUUUUAAUAGAUAUGGUAAUGGGACCACCUUGACAUAUGGCGUCCUGAGGGAGUAGCGACCACAGCCUGGCUUGUCGGACAUGCCUCUAGGGGUCGCUAAGUAAUUUUUCAUCUUAUUUUGUAUAUACUUUUAUUCUAUCAACUAAUAUUGAUAUAAAUGAAUCAGGGGCAUACCAGGCUGGUUUUCGGGACAAAUGUCAGGACUACUGACUUAGUUUUAUCGGAUCACUGGCACAGCCAGAUUAGAGUUCAGGUAAAUAAAAGUUACUCAAACUGUCGGAAUACAAUGUUGAGACCCAGAUAGCCUAUAUAUAGAAUAUAAUAGGCUAAACCUUAACUCGGUUAAGCAUUUUGGUGGUGCAAGCCAAGAGGUUAAGAGAGUUAAGCGAUGCUAGGACGGUAGCUCCUAGGAGGGGUGACCCCUGGAAGUUGGGGCGUUCAACAGAUAGGUAUCAGAAGCCAUUACACCGAAGUGAGUAUGGAGUCCGUUAAGCCAGGGUCUGGAUGACGGGCUAGCGAGAUGAGUCUCACAUCGCCUGGUACUUGUGAGUCUGAGCCUGACGAGGACGUCAAGGCUUAAAGGAGGGGAGAUAGUCCUAUAUAUGAGAUAUAAUAGGGCUAAACUCUUAACUCGGCUUAAGCAUUUUGGGUGGUGGCAAGGCCUAAGAGGUUAAGAGAGUUAAGCGUGCUAGGACGGGAGUAGUCCUAGGAUGGGUGACCCCCUGGGAAGUUGGGGCGUCACAUCAAUAUAGUUUAAUUUUUAUUCGAAACAUGAGUCACAAUAUAGUUUAAUUUUGAUAACUAAUCAUAUUUAUUUUUCACAAUAGAUUACAUGGAGGCCUUAUGACGACACUGUUUUAGAGACGCUCCCACCUUUUUGUCUGGCCGGGUUCUACGUUUGGCGAUCGAGGACUACCUUAGUUUGCUUCCACAUUAUUGAGCUCCAUCAUCCCGAUCGUGUGCUGUGACAGUUUGGGCUAUUACAGUAUAUACCUGAUGCAGUACUUGCCAUACAUCGCAUUAAUUCACGAGGUGGAGCAGAUGAGGAUUGGGCGGCAUACCAUGCGUCAUACAUUCAGCGUUGGAAUGAUAGAUUGAUAGAUAUAGCAGAGAUGGCCCUAGAGAUAGAUCCAGAUCCGAUACGAGCUACCGCUGUUUACAUGCAGUGGUAUUGGACGAUCACCAGGAGGUGGAUCUCUACACCUGUACAGCGGCCACCACUCGCGUAUCAGCCACGUGCGCACGUCGAGAGAGUAUUGGUAUGAUUGUAAUAUAUAAUAUCUUUUUAUAUUAAUUUUUAUAUAUACAAGAAAAUUUCGUAUAAUCUUUUUUUAUUGUGCUUUUAUUUCAGGUCGAUAUCGUGCAGAGAUCAUAUUAUACAAUCAGACGUGUCCUGCCCGAUAUUUUAGGAGGUGGAGUCUUAACUACCCCAUCACAGGUUGCAGAUCAGAUGGAAGACUUUACCUACGCUUCCACACUAUGUACCUCCAGGACCAGCAGACUAUGGUGGAGCAUCGACGUCCGGCCAUGCACCCAUAUAUAGUCCACCGAGGCCAUCAUCACCUAUUGAGGAGCCACCUUAUGCUGAUGUUACAGACCCGGCACCAGCACUCGGAUCCAGCUCGAGCAGGUGAUAUUGCUUAUUUUAGGCGUCGACGGCGAUCGAGGUCUAUCCGUACAGAUCAGCCCUCCUCUUCAGCUCCUCCACGGCCAGAUCAGCCCUCCUCUUCAGCUCCUCCACGGCCAGAUCAGCCCUCCUCUUCAGCUCCUCCACGGCCAGACAUACUACCGACACAUGCUACUGCUGUGAUUGAGCCGGUUAUUGAGGGUGCUGCUAUAGAGCAUCUAGACCAGUUGGAGAUCUUGGAGCCUUUUGAUGAGCAUGAUGUUGGUCGUGGUCGCGGACGUGGUAGGCGACGUGGUCGAGGGAGUCGAGGGAGGAGAACAUGAUAUUAUAUUUGUAUAUUAUUGUAUAACUUGCAUUUAUUUUGUAUAUUCUGUUUUGAUUAUUUGGUAUUGAUUAUAUUAUUGAUAUUCUAUUGGUUGUGAUGUUGUAAUGUGUAUUGAUUUUGUGAUGUUGUGAUGUUUAUUACUUUUGUGAUGUUGUGAUGUGUUGUGAUGUGUAUUGAUAGGUAUCUGUAUUGUAUUCUUGUAUUGAAUCUUGUAUUGAUUUUUGUGCGACAAAAUAUUUGCUCGGGCAGGCAGUUGUAUUGGACACAGUGAAUGGAUCACCGUGUCCAUUUGUAUUGGACACGGUGAAUGGUUCACCAUGUCCAAUACAAAUGUAUUGGACACGCCCCGAAAAUGGUUAAGUCCGUGUCCGAUACAACUAGUUAGGCCGUAUUUGGCCAAAUAUAGAAGUAAAGGACACGUGAAUGAUUCACCGUGUCUAAACACGGUGAACUGUUCACCGUGUUUAGACACGGUGAACGAAUCACCGUGUCUAAUGUAAUACUACCACCCCCGACGAUGUGUGAGUAAUGCAAUGAACACGAUGAUUGGUUCACCGUGUUUAGACACGGUGAACCAAUCACCGUGUUCAACUUAGACGCCUGACCCAGGCCCUGCUUGCGUGGCGCUGACGUGGCGCUAGCAUGGCAGGGCCAGGGCUAUUUUUGCAAAUAAUUUUUAUACAGGACUAUUUGCGUAAAUAAAAUUUUUCAGAAAACUAUUUGCAAAAAAAGCCCUUUUAAAAAUAAUUUUUUUCACGAGUCCAAUUGCAAAAAAAAUCCUAAUUUUAAGUUUGUCCCUUGACUAUAUCUUCUAAAACCAGGCGUAAUUUUGAGGGUCUCGAGGUUGUGUACUUUCUUCCUUAAUUUCUUCCGCUGUAAGACUGCUCUCUUGUCUCAUUGUCCGAAGCAGACUUCCGUACCUUGAUGUUAAAUUUUAUAAAAAAUUAAGAUUGUAGUUCUGUCGUUAUUUCAAUUUUUAUAUCCGGACUAUAGAUGACGAUUCUCUUUUGUUAUUCGUUCUCAUUCACGAUCUGCAAAGAAAAAAGAUGUUUCGAGUCUAAUUUUCUAAUCUCCAGUGAUAUAGUCGUCACAGAAAAUUAAGAUUAGAAUUAGACCGAAACUACCGUAUGUUACAUAUUUAUAGAUAACUUAAUGUAAGGAUGUUAAAUCACGUCAGCUUAUCAAAACGUGUCUAGAUACAUUCUAAUAGUUAAAUCUAUCGUAUUUUUUUAUAGAUCGACUCUAAUAGACCGACUUAUCUUUAUAGAUCGUCUUGAAUAAAUCAAAUGAGCCACAUCCAACACUUGAAACAUUUUAAAAAAUAAAAAUCUGUUCCUUGGAAGUUAGAAUUUAGGGCGUGUUUGGUUCGCUUCUUUUUUUCUCUGGAAUCGGAAUCAGAAUGGAUGAAUCCGUUUGUGGGUGUUUGGUACGCAGGAGUCCCAGUCCGAUUCCAAUUUCCGAGUGGAAUGGAAAUCCCCCAAUCACCCAAUUUUUCAAUCCGGCCUAGGAGGCCGGAUUGGAAGUUGAAUCCGGACGGAAUGAAUAUUUAUUCGGAUUAAAUUUAUUUUUUCAACUUUUUUAAUUAAAAUAUGAGUUAAAAUAUAAAAAUUAAAUAUAUAUUUUUAAAUUUUAAUUUGAACUUAAAUUAAAAAUUAAAAUUUAAUCAAGUAUUUCGAAUCUAAUUUAUUGAAUUUGAAUUUAAAUUAAAUUUUAAUUUAUAUAAAGUUUUAUUUAAAUUUUAUUUCAAACUUAAAUUAAAUUUAUGGAUUCAAAUUAAAAUUUAAAUUGUAAUGUUAAGUUUGUUUGAAUAAAUCAAAAUUUAGUUUCAUAUUUUGAAUUAUCCAUUCAACUUCAAAGUUUAAUUUUUUUAAAAAAAAUAGAUUUAAAAUUUUGACAUUAUUUCAAAAUUUUGAUGUAAAUUUUUAAUAUUUAAUUUUUAAUUUGAAUUUAAAUUAAUAUAUUAUAAAGAUAAUGUUAGUAUAUUAAUUUGAUUACGUUUUUUUAUAUCUACCUGAACCAAACACCGACAAUGAAAAUGAUUUAUUCCGAUUCCGAUUCCGAUUCCGAUUCAGGUGAUAAACAAAACAGAAUUAGGUAAUGAGUCAUUCCGAUUUCGAUUCCAGCUUAUUUUGAUUCCGAUUCCGAUUCCGAUUCCGACUCCGACUUCGACUUCGACUUCGAACCAAACACGCCCUUAGUUCUUUGGAUGUUAUGAAAUUGUGGUAAAAAUAUUCAUCUCACUAGACUACAGAUUUUUAUCACAGUUUCAUGGGCAUCAGAUUGGCCAAGGUAACGCCCUAUUUUAGUUUUCCGGAGUUCUAAAGCACAAAAGUACAUAUAUUUGAAAAACAUAUUGCCAACCUAAGCCUAUGAACAAGAGAGAAAAAAAAAUGCAACAACAUUAAAGCAUAAUUAAAACACGUAACGAGUUUUGAUUCUAAUAAGUUUCAAGUAUUCUAAAUCAUUUCUAGCUGCAUGAAUUUUUAAUUGGGACGCAUUAAUGUUAAUUUUGAAGAUAAAAAUAAAACCAAAAAUAAAAAAAAAAUACACUCUGAACUAUUCUUGAGUGGAGUCUAAUCCCGCUGCUAUUACCCAGAUAUAUAUUAAUUUUCUGUUUAUUUAAUAUAUCCUUAACCAAGUUGAUACAAGAAAGGGUAUACGACACUAUUUAGUUGGCAAAAUAGUCUUCUUUUUUUUUUAAUUCUCAUUUUUAUAUUUUUAUCAGGCUUUAUGCUUGAAGUGUAAUUUAAUAAGGAGGUGUAAGAUAUAGAUUUUAUUUUUGUAGUGCUCCUGGUGUUUAGCGGUCUGAGUGAUGUCAGCAUCUGAGGCUUGUCGACACGUCUGGUAAGUGUCGGGACAAGUCGAAAUCAUUUUGGCGUGAAACGGACGCAAAACGUACUCAGCGCAGCGCGAGAGUGGAGUUCUGACACUGAAAUCUACAAAGUGCAGGAUUUCAGUAUUGAGUACUGGUACCUGGGGAGAAGUACAGGUACCCCAGUGAGUUUGCAGAACUGGAUGCUCUGGGAUUUGCACGAGGCUGAUGUUGAGUACCGAUACCUGUUGUCAAGUACCGAUAUCGAGCUUGGGUAUCGGUACUGUAUCGGGCUAGUACCGAUACCUAGUGUGCGAGACUGCAGGUUGAGAAGCCGAGUAACCAGUAUUCAAGUAGGGUACCGGUACUCCAGCUGGAAAAUGAGUUGGUAAGGGGUAGUUUGGUUUUUUGAUGUGUCGUUCUUUCCUAUGUUAACCCACCCUGUAUAGAUAUGCGCAGGGUGUUUAGAGAGGAGAAUGCUGUUUCUUUUCCUCUCUCUCUCUAGCUGGUGGUAGCCGUGCGUCUGGAAGGUCGGGGGCUCGAGCUCAUUCGCAUUCGACGUUCCCCGGAGGACCGUUCGCGCGCGUGGGUGUCGCGAUGAGCCAUGGAGAUCGGGCAAACAAGUGGGUUCCCUUCUAUCGACUUCUAGCCGACGUUGGACGAGCGCUCGAGGUGGGUUGAUGUUUACCGAAAUCGUCGGAUUUCCUUCUAAGUCCUAGAAAGUGUCAGCAUGUAUGGUUUUCAUGUGUAGUAUCAUGUUAAUAGCUCGAAUUCAUCGAUUGGUAUAGUUGUGUGCAAUCUGAAUUUGGAGCCUCAUUGUUGGAAUAUUUAUUUACAUGUUGAACUUGGAAUUGACUUAGGAGAAAACUCGUUAAACCUACACCGUUAUAUUUUCAAAAAGUUACCAGAUUUAGUUUCAGGAGCUACUGUACUUUUGUAUCACCGCUGUUAGUGCGAGGUGGAUACCCAAAUUAGUAUAGGCUGAGAUUACGCUCGUGCUGAGAAGACAAGCUCAUGUUACAGUUGAGUGUAGGCUGUUUCGUACUGUCGGGUGCCGUCACGGUUGACGGUAGACCCAGAUUUCUGUAUCUUGCAUCAGAUUGUGCCAAGGGCACGUGAGCUUUGGUUGUUAGACCAGUUUAGACCCAUCUGCAUUGACUACAGCCUGUAAGAGUCUGAUUGAGCUCAGCAGAGACACGCUUGCAUACUCGGUUGGGUCGCGCCCACGAGUGUCGCUCAGGAGUCUGACUAUCUUGCUUUGCGUUGACGUCAUAGUAGUCCGGUUUGGACCUUGCUCUCCACCGGCCGCCCAUGGGGUGGUGUAUGGUGUAACUUAGACAGGCGGGGCGGGCGUAUCGCAGUCCCUUGUGAGAUUGGGUUAGUGUGAUACAUUUGUUUAUUUACAAAUAGAUUGUGUUGGUUAGCAAUAGUAUAGGGGCAUGUAGCUGUAGAGUUAUUUCCAACUUUCUUUACUAUCCUUGCACAUAUUUCUGUAGACUUAGUGGGUGGGCCGUUGAGGUCGGUGGCGAUACCCACUGAUGACUACUCUGUUUUGCAGUAGUUCUAGCUCAUACCCAGUUGUUGACCCCUUUUUGCAGAGUCUUCGUCUGCGGCUGCUGCUGUUGCUGAUUCCGACCGCGGGGAGGGAGUCGCGAGCUAGAUUCUUCCUAUCCUUGGUUGCUGUGCUAGCGGAGUACCCGUCAGAGAUAGUGGGUUUUGUUCAUGUACAUACUCUAUGUUCGGUUUACUCGCUUGAGCGAGGUGUUUGUGUUGGUUCGAAGCUUUGUAUGUACUACGAAUCUUAUGUUUUAUAUACACAUGUUUCUGUUUAGCAGCUCUAUACUUCUGGUUGUAGCUAUGAUGAGAUUACAGGUACAACUAUCGCUUCGUAUACAUCGAAAAUUUCUAUGUAUACGGUGGGUCUGAAGACGCCCGGAAAAACGUAAUAAUCUGGGGCGUGACAAUUUUGGAAUGUACAUGUAGCAGUGCUCGUAACUUAAACCCUAGACCUAUUGCUCGAGAGGAGGACACUUGUUGACGACAACAGACUAGACCUUUGAAUUAAAAUCUUAUAAAUUCUAAAUUGCUUAAAGCCCGAGAACUUUGACAUUAGAAUUGACGCAGCCGAAAAGCUACGUGAUACAGAUGAAGAAGCAUAACGAUGAGAUAGAAGAAUAAAGAAUCUCUCCCGAUAGAAAUCAUUAUUAUUAAACUCCAAAAUAACUCUCCUUCUACAAUAGGCCUCUGCCGUAUUCAUACUAAAUUUAAUAUAAAUUUAAGUGCUGCUCUAAAUCAAAUCUUAAGAUUUUUACUGUAACAUAUAGAACCCAAGCCAUACGAGCGAACUCUUGGUGAGGGGUAAUUGGUGAAGUCAUUUAGAAAAAUGAUUUCAUAAGAGUUAACAAAAAAGUGUAAUUGAGAAAAUAGACCCAAAAGUUAGAAUUUCGGUGAGAUCUUUUGAACUUUAGAGUAUUAAUGAUAAUGACGACUAAAUAUUAGAUUUAAAGUGUAUGAAGGCUAUGGAAAGGGAUUAGAAAGUAUUUGAGGUGAUUUGGUGAAAUUUUGAAAGAUAACAAAUGCGAUAGAGAAGAGUUGUGUUGGAAUUAGAGGACAGCGAAAACUUACAAACUAGAUAGCUAACAUAUGCAGGUAUCGAAAUCGAAUCAGGUUGCUUAUUUUACUAUUCUUUUUGAAUCGUUCUUGUCGUGAUGCAUCUGGAUCUUCCACGUAGCUUUUGAAUCUUCGACGUAACUUUUGGAUCUUCUAUGUAUCUCGCCUUCUCCUAUGCAUUGCGGAUCGGAUGCGAAGAUGGCUAUUAGAGUCCUCUUCUUUAUCCGUGCUCCAAAAAACCGAGAACUUUAGAGUAAAGCCCAAAGAGAACGUAGAGGGAAAGGAAGAAGAAAUUCCUGUUUUAUUCGAAUGUACAAAAUUCGAGAGAAAAUAGUAUUUAUAGAUUAUUAGAACCUUUAAAAUAUCCUGAUUCUAACAUAAAUAUUAGAAUUAGAAUAUUUAUAAUGAUAUAAUAGAUAUUCAUUAGGAAAUACACUUCUUAACUAAUAACAAAUAUACAAAUUUAUCCUUAUCCUUAUUUUAUUAGGGUAAAUCCUAAUUCACAUCUUAUGUGGAUCGGAUUGAAUUAGAACUAGCCAAUGUGGACACACCACAUAGCAACAAUCUCCCAAGACCCAAGUUCGAAUCCUAGUUGAUUCACAUUUCUAGCUAAGUUUAUUUCUAAAUGAAAUAAACAAAGCGGGUAGCGUGCUACCUAUCUCUCAAAAAAAAAGAAAACCAAUCUCCCACUUGGCCACAAUGGCCAAUUUUCUCUCAUAUUGUUACGCUCCGAGACCGCUACCAAUUUGGUCCGGCUCGGGCACAUCGAACAGACGCCAAACGGACAGCACUUCCCUCGUCCGCCCAAGGUUCAACAACAAAUCAAGUACAAUCAAGCGCUCAGGAAAAUGCUUAAUAUACAUACAUGAUCAUAUACGAAGCACCACAAGUGCUAACAAGUAAGAGCAAGAUACAAGUAUACGGUACAAGUGAAUAAAGAGAGAUAAUCUAGCUAUUACAACCAUUCAUCAUAAUUUCCUUUAAUUAUAUUUCCAUCUCCAAAAAUGUAAUACAAGUUCAUCUCCAAUAUACACAAAUAGCUCCCAAAAUACAUCAUAUAUCUCUAGCACAUGAGGGUACUCUAAUGCAAAAUAGGAAAGUUACUAUCUACUAUCUACUCUAGCGCACUAUGCCCUUGCCGCAAUCCUCGCCCGGCGAACUCGUACUCGGCCGUGCAACAAAGUGGGGUGAGAACUAUAUAAAUAUAGUUCCCAGUGGGUUCGACCGCCGACUCCGCCGAUCUUCCCACUAGGUCUAAGCAGGCAUAAGCAGAUAGAUAGAUAGAUAGAUAGAUAUGAGCUGCAACAAUAAUCUACCAUGCCUUCGAUGUCAAUCAAUGCAUGCAAUGUCCAUUUUGCAAUAACUCUACUAUUAUGCUAGUAUCAUGUUAUGAAGGUAAGUGUCACAUAGUCAUGUAAUCUGCUAACAUAUACUAUGUCUACUCAAGAUAUGAAUGCAAUUCUACUAUGCUAUUCAUGCUCUUUCUUUAAUCACUCGGCUAACCCGAAGGUUCGCCCCUACUCACUCUCAAUCUCAUAGGUGAGGAGAAGCUACACUCGCACACCGAGACCGUCUGCGGGACAACUACGUCUACCCCUAUGGUGAAGUACUCCAGAGACCACUACUUGAGUGGAGCGACCACCUCAAGUGUAAACAGAUUAGUGAGUAUGAUCCAAUCCCCACAAGAGGAUACCCUGUCUACAAAGGUCAUAGUGCCUUUACCGCACCGAUGCAAAUGCAUAAUCCAAUAACCGGGAACACUACUAUCCCUAGAUUCAUGUCACCAUAGACCACUACACUAGAUUCGAUGCCACUCGUUCAAUCAAUUGUAGUCAGUGUUCAACUAGUUUAGAUGCCACUCGUUCAAUCAUUCGUAGUGCUUCUACUACACUAGUUCGAUGUCCAUUAUCAACGUCUUCUCAAGUUCAUGUCAUCACUUAUCUUGCCAUUAUAGGUUCAUAUGUCAUAAGUCUAAUUCUCAUGUCCCUAGGUUCUUGUGUCAAGCUCUCCAUGCUACACUACUAUGGAACAUGCAAGGAAAUAGAAAUAUGCUAUACAACAUCCUAUAAUGCAUAAGUGCAACAUGAAUGUACAUGAUUAAUGUAUAUACUCAGACAUAAAAGAAAAUCCGGUUGCUUCGGGAUGGAUACCCCCCACCUUCUGGUGAUGUCAAGAGGUCUAGACUCCAGUUUUGUGAUUUUUGGUCGCUUCCUCGGCCUUCCAGGCGGAAACGAAGCCAAAAACACCUUUUUUCUCAAUUCCUUUGCGUAGCCUCGACGAAUCGUCGAACCGACUUCGCCAACGCGUCAAAGUACCUAGCAAUUUGGUUUAGACAUGCUCAAUUGAGAUCAAAACCCAUCAUGAGCAAAACCCCUCUUUAGAACCCUAGGUUUCUACUCAUGAGAAAUCUCAUGCUACAAUCUUGUGAUUCAAGCUCUAAUCACCUAUUUAGCAUGCUAGGAUUCCUCCAAAACCAUUUCGAGUCAAAGCUUCAAACCCUAGAGAGCUACCAUGAGAGGAUAUAGAAGCUUACCUCUACCAAGCUUCUACUCCAAGCUAAGGAAGAAGAUGGCAAUGGAGAUCCUCUCCUUGGUCUUCUUCUCCUUCCUCUUCUUCUCUUUCUUCUUCUUCUCCUUCUUUUUUUUCUAGAGAGAGAGAGAGGGAGAGUGUGAGUGUGUGUGUUGGAGGGAAAUGAGAGAAAGAGAGAGGGGGAAAUGCCCACUUAACCCCUCUCUUGCUACAAUAGCCAAAAACCCCCUCCAAUUUGCCUCUUGUGCACUGCCCAGACUGGGCAGAUUUCGGGUGCGGGGACCUGUCUCCCUAUGGAGGGACCGGUCCCCAAGAGCAGCCUCACGCGCAGAGUCCUCUGCCAGCCCCUUUACGCGCACGGGGUUCGGUCCUUUGCAGAGGGACUGGUCCCCGAGAGCACAGUUCUGCGCAGAGCCCUCUGCUCUGCCCUACACGUGUACGGGGACCGGUCCUCGCCCGAGGGACCGGUCCCCGAGAGCAGGAUUUCGCGCAGAAGGCCUUUUGCCAUUCCUACGCGUACGGGGUCCAGUCCCUGGCCGAGGGACCGGUCCCCAAGAGUACAAAAACUGUAGUUUGUAGAUUUUGCUCCAGCUUGUUCUCGUGACCCCUCCUCAAUGCACUUUUCGCAUUUGCAUAUUCGACAUCUUCGGCCUUUCCGAAGCGUACCAACACGACCCUUGGUCGAUUUUACACGAAGUUCAACUCUCGCAUUUCGAGAAUUCACUUCCUUACACAUACAUUCUACUCUUCAUACGGAUAAUGGAGCAUGCGACUUAACGAAAAAAUGCAAUGUAGGAGUGCUAUAUUAAGUUACCACUCAACUAACAUAGCACAUUACUAACUAAAUUCGUCUAUGCCCUAGACGUUUCAAUACACACCGGAUCAAGCAUCAUAAAUCCCUCUUCCGUAAUAAUAGGGCUCGACCCUAUAAUAAUUUUUCAUACUCAUGAUCAUCUCAAAUGGCACAACCGAGAUAACCACCCAAACAAUAAGUCAUAAGGUUUACGUGGUGUGUUAUUAGAACAUCUUGUUCAGUCCCUCAUGUUAAUCUAUCUCAAUUCAAACACUUGGUAUGUUCUAUGAGAUCGUAUUUUCUCAUGAUCCUGAGAUACAUGCUAAGUUAAUUACAUCGGACCUCUAUUUCAUAACAUAAUUCUAAGUCAAGAGAAUAAAAAGGUUAGUGCUUACAUAAUGAUAUAGAGGGCAGAACUUAUGUCACUACUAACUGGUUGAUAAGCACAUCUAUAUAUAAAUUGAAUCGAGAGUUUUACUGUGGCCGACGUGGCCGCUUCUCCGCGCUCGCGAGGAAGAGAGGAAGAGAGAAAGGGAGAGGAAGAGAGAGAGAGGGGGUCCUGCGCCGCGUUUGGGGGGGCCGGUCGAGAGAGAGAAAGAAAGAGAGAGAACAGAUGAAGGGAGAGAGAGAGAGAGAGACCAGACAUCCCCCCGCGUUUGGGGGGUUCCGGUCGCACGAGAGAGAGAGGGACAUGGAGAGAGAGAGAGAGAGAGAGAGAGAGAGAGAGAGAGAGAGAGCAGGGAUCCCCACACCCCCCCUCCGGCUCUCUCUCUCCCCCAUGUGCGCGGGACCCGCGCCAGGCGUGUGCGCGCGCCCCGCGCCAUGCACGCGACCCGCGCCCGGCGGAUGCGUGGGCCCCCCUCUCUCUUCCACUCUUUUCUUCUCCCUCUCCCCCUCUCCGGUUCUCUCCCUCUCUCUCCCUCCCCUACUCCCCCCCGCCACCCAUCUCCCCUCUUUUCCUCUCCCCCCCGGUCUCUCUCUCUCUCCUCCCCUCUCUCCUUUACCUGACCGCGAGCGCCGGCGCAGUGGCGAGCUCCGCCGCUAACGCGGGCGCGGGCCAAAGGCCUCCUUGCGGGCGCGGGGGGCGGACGCCGGCACGAGGCGGCAAACAGGGCGGGCGGGCACGGGCGCGGACAGGUAGCGCAAGAGUGCCGGGCUCGACGCCGCCGUGGGGAGGAGCGGCGCAGGCGCGGGCAGGGUGUGGCUCGGGGGUGUGGGGAGCGGGCGACGCGGGCGCGCGGGGCGGGGCGCGGCGCGGGCAUGCGGGGCGCGGGCAUGACGCGAGCACUGGGUGAGGGGAAGUGGAAAGAGGGACUGAGGGAGAGAGGGGAAGAGAGAGAGGAAGAGAGGCGCUGGGAGAAAGAGAAAGAGAGAGAAAGAGGGAGAGAGAGCAACAGAGAGAAAGAGAGACACAGGGGGAGAGAGAGAGAGAGAGGGAGGGAGAGAGAGAGAUUUUAAAAUUUUAAUUUUCGAAUUUUAUAUUUUUAUAUUUAAAUUUUAAAUUUAACUGUUAACAUUUAAUUAAUUAAAUUUAUUAAUAAUGUUAUAUAAUAUAUAAUUAAUUAAUUAAUUAAUAAUACAUAUAAUAAAUUGUGUUUUAAGUUUCAAAUUUUUUUAUCCUUCCAUAUUUAAAUAAUUUUUUAAUUUUUCUUUCUCUUUAACUUUUGAAUUUGGGAAUUUAAAAUUAAAUUUAGAAAUUAUAAAAUUAAAAAAAUUUGUUCAAAAUAUUUUAAAAUUUGUAUAAAUAUCCCGCUGCGAAGCGCGGGCCUUCACUCGUAUAGUAUGAUAUGUUUGUUAUGACGAAGCUCCCACCCAAUAGGUCGUAUCACGCUCUAAAAUAUCAUAUGAACCUUGUUCUAGCUACCACUAUAGUAUGUAACCACUAGACAAUUCAAGUCAUCUAUAUAACCCGAGUACGUAGGUUUUGCUGCUAUACAACUCGAUAUGGUAUUUUAUAGAAGAACUUUUACAUCCAACUUCUCAGUGUUCAUCUUAAUUAUUAUUAAUAACAGUGUUCGUUAUUACCAAACUAAUGUUUGGAACUUUUCGGACUUCACCGAGGUGGAAGUUCAAAGCUGUUUUCUUCGCGAGCAAUCCACCUCUAAGGAAGAUAGCUUGCAUCUUUCCUUUCUGCAUUGCUUCGCCAAUUUUCUUCUAACAAAAAUAAUUCUUCUUUAGGACGGUCAUCACACAACCGUCCAAAAUAUGGACCUUUUUCUUCCUCACCAUCAUUUUUGACGGGAUCUGUGUUGACUUGGGAUAUAUCAUUACUUGCCACAUGUUCGCCACCGCAUCACCUACUUCUCGCUCGCUUCCAUAUGACUCUUUGCUCACCGUUGUCCUAGAAUUUGUAAUUUCGAUCUUGAUAGAAUAAGGCCGAUGAAGCACCCCUCUCUCGUCAAUACGGACACUUUAAUUUCUUAAUCAUUGGAUUCAAGAAAAAUUGCUAUAGAAAUUGGAUAAGAAAGCAUGUGCCUGGUCAACCCGAAGAGCAUAGUGAUUGUCUGCCGCCACAAAAGGCCUGGCCUGCCGUAGGACUAUCUCCGAUAAGUGGUCAUUCAUGGUACAUACUAGAUUUGUUUAAGUUUAAUUUGGAAUCAGAUUUAUAGUUUCAUGGCUUUUAGUAGACUCAAGAAUCUGCUAUUAAUUAUCCCACACUUGCAGUGUUAAGGAACCCUCGAUUAAGAGGCCAAAUUUAAUACCGUUGAAGGGGUCCAUUUUAAAAUAGACCUACAGAUGAGAGUUCUUCAUACACUUUUAUUCACCAAUAAUUAGAUACAGAAAUAUCAUUUUAUCUCAUUAACAUUAACCGAAGCAAAUAGAGGAUGAUGGCAAGGAUAUUCAUGAGAAUUUAAAAAGUUUUUGAGAGUAUUAAUGAUAUUUCAAAGUUUUGACGGUUACCUAUGAUAUUUUUAAAGUCAUGAAAUUGCCCUCUUUUUUUAAUUAAACAAUUUAACUAAAAAACAAAAAAUAAAAAUUCCGUUGCCGGGACUCGAACCCGGGUCUUUCGGGUGAGAGCCGAAUAUCCUGACCAGCUAGACUACAACGGAUUGCUGGAAUUUCAUAAUAAUUGUCAUAUAUUUAUACCUGAUAAUUUACUGCUUGUAUUUAAAUUUAUACUUUAAAAAUUUAGAUUUAAUAUGUUUUAAAAUAUUAUAAAGAUAAAUAAUUGUUUCGGGUUCAGAUUCCGCAUUUUUGGUUGGAUUCGGAUUUGGAUAUGUACAUUUUUGUAAAAUCCGUCGUAUUCGAAUUCAGAUUCGGGUUUCAGGUUUGAUAGUGAGAUUCGGAGUUUUAAAAAUCUGCCCUAAAUCCGACCUCUUGACAUCCCUAGAUAAAAAGUAGGAUAAUAUUAGAAUACCUCCAGCAGCACCUAAUACUCAAUUCUUUUAUGUAAUACCAAGCUCUUCUUCCGUGAGAAUAGCAUCUCUUGAAUAUCAACAUGUCAACACAUAAAUAACAACUUUUCCAGUUCAAUUUUCAGUUCGGCCUUCGAGAUCAGUUAUGUUCAAGCCUUUCAAACAAACAUGAUGCUGCUGCAGAAUAAAGAGAAUUUCUCUAACAGCUUCUUACUGUAGCAGAAGCAAUGCCUCCAAAUUAGAGCAUUCACCAAUCACCACCAUCGCAUUGCAGCUUCUUACCACAGCAAAAGCUCCAGAACUUUCUUUUUACCACAAGUUAAUUUUGUGCUUUCAAAAGCCACUCCAGCAGUACUUAUGUGACAAUAAUUGAAGUUUUGAAACCCUUACUAGUGUUUCAGAUGAGCGUCACCAAUCCUCCGAUUGUAACUCGACCAAAAAUUGAACAAAACAACAUGAAAUUAUUCCCUAAUGUGAGAAAUACAAAACAAAGAAAAUGAAAAAGAAAAACAUAAUCCACAACCUAUUAAUACUUUGUCCAUGUCUUUUACUCUGAAACCAAGGAAUUAGUAAAAGAUCAUCUCAUGACGAGUGCGAAUCAGAAUACAAUAACUCAUAGCUGUAGUAGAGUGAUAUAUUUGAACAUUCCAUACCAUUAUUAUACAAGCGCCAAACCAAGUAUAUAUUUGCAGUAGCUAAAAUGUUUACCACCCAAAAUAAAUAAAUAUUGGGUAGUUAAUGAUGGGUCUAAAACAUGAAAAAGAAAAUAAAUCCAUCUCGAAUGAAAGAUGAUUCCAGUGCGAAGCCCCAUAAGUCGAAACAGAAAUAAUUGAAACUAACCAAGACAUCAUCAAUGUAACUGUAGCCAAAUGUUAUCAAUGAGUUCAUUCGCCAUUCCAUCUUUUCGCCUGAUUUUUACCAUGUAGACCUGCUCAAUGAAUUUAGAGUUAUACCAUGGUAUUUAAGCGCACAAAAUUAAAAAAAGAGUUAAAAGUUACUUAGUACCUAUUUUGGCCUGGCUUCUGUAAAAGUACUUUCAGAAACUAGGCGUUGACAGACAAAAAGUCUAGAGCUUUUGUUGCAGCGGAAAUUGAAAUGAGCUCUUAGGCACCAAAAGCAGAUGCUCCAAUUUCAAGUUUCUGCUUAGGUCACACUGAUAUGCCGUUUAGAAGAUUUAUAGAAAAAAAAAAAAAAAAAUCCUCUUUGUACUCUUCCGAACAGCUAUACUAAAACAACUCUUCAGCAAGGACCUCCAAUCAAGUUAAACAAAAUACAAUUUAAAUAUAAUAGCACAAGAAUUACCUAAACCAAAUUAGUGCCAAGACCCAGAUUUUAAAUCACUAUUCUUUUUCUGAAGAGUCGGAUUGACACAGCAAAAGAGAGAUCUUUUCUUAGGCUUAUUCCCAAAUAGAAAAGUCCUCAAUGGUACUCUAGUCUUUGUUGGGUAAUGCUUAAAUUGGCCAUAAUUGUUGUUUCUCGACAUAGACAAACUGAAAUUCUCAUCUAGCUUUGAUAAGCUCUUCUCAAUUUCUGCUUGAAUUUCGCUCAUAUGAUCUAACCCAUCUUGUAAUUUACUUGAAAUUUUGUCAUUCUCCUGCUUCAUGUUCAGUACUUCUCCUUGAAACCUUGCAGCUUGAUAUGAACUAAACUGUACUCCUUUUUCUAUACUUGCAUUUAAAGCUUCUUUAAUCUCCUCUUGGAUAUUGUUAAGAGAUAAAUAUCUAAAUUUCAAUUCCCCUUUGAGCAAUUCAUUUUGUUCUAUCCACACUCGAAGAUCUGUCUUAAGCGCUCUUAGCCUCUUUUCAAGUAGCGUAGAAUCAGUGGCAGGAUCAGUCAAUUCACCAUUAUUUGACAUUUGAGCCUUGUCAUAUUUCAAUCUUUCAAUGUCACCUCGUAAUUCUUGAUGUCUCUUCUUCAGUCCUUGAAUUCGGUGGAAGCACGCACAGAAUCUUAACCAAAACUCCAAGUUAUCUUCUAAAAUUGCAUCAAUUUCCCUUCUUAACUUCUCUUCAGUAGGUGAAUUAUUGGAGUCAUCUGUUUCAUGGAUGGUACUUGCAUUUAUAUCCUUUAAUUUCUCAGAACUAUGGGGGUCAGAAGAGGCUUCAAUUUUAUCAGAAAUUACAUUUGUAACCACAUCAGAAUGCAUAUUUGAAGAGCUUAAGAGUUCUCUAAGUGAUUGAAUCUCUUCAUCCUUUAAAGUAUUGGCAUUUCUUAAUUUCCUUACAAGUUCGUUUGUCUCACAAAGAUCAUCUUGGUUUUUGUUUUCUAGUUCAGUAAGCCGCCUCUUUGUUUCUUUGUAAUUCCGAAGAAUCAAAGUGUACUCAUUUAGUAAUAUCUUUUCUCUACCUUCCAGUCCAUCUAAAAGGACUUGUUGCCAGCUCAGCUCGUGAUCUUCAAUUUGUGUUGCUUUUUCGUGUGAUUCUUUUUCUCCGACUUUUUCUUCAUCUUUUAUGUCAGAGACCUUUUCUGAACCAUUUGAUGAAUCCAUUGAAGCCAAUUCCAAAGCACCAAGAGAAACAAGAUUAAAUUCUUUUGAUGAGUCUUGAUCUCGAAUUUCUUCUCCUUUUCCGAUGCCCUGUUUGAUUUCUGAAUCAUUGAGAGGAAUCUUUUGACCUUCGUGUGAUGAGUUUUCCUGCUCAAGUUGAACUUUUGUAUCAAAUUCAGUAUUGAAACCCAUUUUCGGUUCAAUAUCAAGAUUAGAACUAUCAAUCUGCUCUUGCACAUUUUGAUUUUUCGCUUCCGCCACAUCCUCCUUUAUCUCACUGAUCUCCGCAGCUUCUAUUCCUUCCUUCAAAACUGAAGUCUGCAAUUUUUCUGAAAUAUCAUUAAAAUCAUCACAGACUUCAGUAAUAUUCGUACGAAUAUUCCUUGCUUCAUCCUCGACAGAACGUGCCAGAGUUUGAACCUUUUUCAGCUCUUCUUCUACUUUCUUUAAUCGGCCAGUCAGUUCAUUUGAGUCGCUAAUAAGAACCGUCUUCUCUUCCUCUAAAUUUUGUAAAUUUUUUUCAAGCUCACUAUUUUCUGAACUUAACUGAUUUAUCUGUGCAGUUUGUGUUGAGACAGUGAGCUCCAAAUUCACAACUUUACUCACAAGUUCGUCGAUUUUUCCCGCAAUUUCUUCGACCGAGCUAUCAGAAUUCAUCUCAAAGUGCUUCAUUAAUUUCUCACAAAUUGAUUCCAACUCAAUUUUCUCAUUUUUUAGAGAGAAAUUUUCUUCCUUCUCAACACUAUUAUCCCCCUCCAAAACUUCAUUGAAUUUAAUUGGGGAUUGACCAAACUCAACAUUGAGAGCAUUGAGUUUCUCUCUAGCUGACAUAAUUCUUUCUUUCUCUACACUCGCCAGUUCAAUCGACUUCUUUUGCUCUUCCUUUAAGCUUAAAAUGGCUUCUUCGCAAGACUUAAGUGCAGAAGCUGUCAUCAAAGCUCGUGCCUCAUCAUCGUUGAUAAUGGCACUCGCAUUAAACUCAUCUUGGUAAUAACAGACCUCCUCUUGCAUAUCAUUGAUCUUCUUCUCAAUCUCCCAAUACUUUGCAAUUCCACUCUCAUAUGCAUUUUUUACGAAUUCCUUCUCGGUCUGAAGAACUAAUAUCGACUUCUGAAGCUGGUUUAUCUCUUCUUGCGCUCUCUCUUUGCUCAUCUGAGGACUGCCUUUUCUACCCUGUUUCUCCUUUAUGGCUGCUUGGGAUUCUCUUCUCCUCUUUAUUAAGCCCUCGACUGUAGGUUUAUUAAUUUUACUUGAAUCGAUGGGUGUGAUUGCUUUAGGUAAAUUGUCAUCUUCUUCCUCAAGUAAUGCGUAUUGGACUUGGUCAGGAAAAGCGGUCGCUAUAGUGUGGUUGGCUCUGUGAAGCUCUCCUGAUAUAUGAUCAUAUCUUUCAGCUAAAGCUCUAUAUGCCCUGUAGGCUUCUUCAACAUCAACUAUAACUUCCGGCCUCCUUUUAUAGUACAUUUCUGCUCUUUUACCAAAGGAAUCAGCUUCUUCUCCAAGCAGUUUGAGCAUAUGCUUCACCUUUUCCUCCAUCUCUGAACAUAACAGGAAAGAGAAAAGGAAAAAAAAACCAAACACACUGUAAAUGUAUGUAUCUAUAAAUAUUUUUGUUAAGGGAAAAAGAAUUGUAAGGUUGAAAUUUUUAACAAAAGGAACUUUCUCACUAAUAGAAAAUGAAAGGUCUCUAUCUGGCAACAAGAUUCAUCUCUAUGAGGUAUCACAACUCCUCUGGCGGCAUAUAAGAUAAGAACACUAGAAGCAUCCAAGAUGUAUUAAUGUAUUAAUUUAUGUUUAAGAAAGUUAGAUAUUCUGGCGAGAUAUGCACCAUGGAUUUGCGAAAUAAUGUGAUAUAUAUACACAGGUAGAAUACUGAAGUCUCCCCACUCGGUAGUUUGUACAUGGCUACAUGUAAUAAUAUUCUGAUGCUAAGAAAUGAAAAUAACCUAAGGUAAACAGAAUCAUUGACAAACGGAAAAAAGAUAAUUCGGAAAUGCAGAGUUGCUUAACCAAAAAAAAAAAAAAAAAAAACCAGAAGAGCUUGUGCUGUAGACCAUUCUUUGCUUAAACUUAAUUGUAGAGAUGUGGUAGACCAAUCACAACCCUUUGUCCAUUUAUGUGAACAUUAGAACAUAAUCUAUUUUUACCAAAGCCAUGUUGUUAUCAUAGGCUAGACAAAAAACUCUGUAUACUGGCAAGGACCAGAUGACAGAUGACGCGCAUUUGAUUCCGGUGAAAAGGAGAAAUCCCUAGACUUGGUUUCUCUUUUGCUGAAAAAGAACUUGUGCUGUAGCUAGAAAACAUUAUCACAGUACACCUUUAUCCAAAUCGGAUAAUCAAGGCAUAAUCCAAUUUCCUAAUAUGUUCGUCAGGAAAAAAGAAAAGAAAAAGAAAGAAGAUAGUAGCUAAAAUACAGUAGCAGCAUGAAAUUGUCGGAAAAUAUUAGUGCUUCAGUCAAAUGUAUUACAGAACGAUAAAGAACAGUUAGCAACUCACAAAAUCCACCUUUCAAUAUAGGACAUUAUAAAGAUUAGCAAUUGCCUCCACACAUAGCUUUUAGAAAUACCGGAAUUGGUACAUACGAUUUAUAAAGAGGAAACUUAUGAUUUAGUUUAAUUAGAUGACUUAAGUUGUUGUAAAAUAUUGGCGUACCAGACUGAUAAUAAAACUCUCUUUAUUACACACAAAAUAACUCUCAUUCACAUACACCCAAAAGACUACAAACCUCACACACUACUUCACUACUAACACUACACCUCACAACACUUCCUCACCUCACACCACCACUCACACCCUUACUUCACUAUAUCUCACUCUUUACUCUCACUCUUACACACUCCCACCCUUUCACACCACCUCACACUCACUCACACUUGGUGUGGAGGCCUCACACCUAUUUAUAGGCCUCCAACCUACCUACAUAAGCACUCUAGAAUAUUCUAGAGUACUUGCUUCUAGAACUCGCUAAAGUGCUCUAUUAGCAAGUAGAGAGCACUUUGUUCCUACAGUUUUCUAGAAUGCUCCAUUAGCUAGUAGAGAAUUGGAAAGGGAUAGAGCAUUCUAGAAUGUUCUAUUAAAGAGAGAGGGAGAGUUGCCUCUUUCAAUACUCCCCCUCAACUCUAACUCUCUCUUAAUGUUGCUCUGCUGAGCAUUCCUAAUUGCUUCGGAACUCUUCUUUGCGGUGCUUAGUCCUUUGGUGAAUAUGUUGGCUAUUUGCUCUUCUAUUUUGAUUCUGCUUCAGCACCUGGAUCUCUCCGUCCAUCGUGUUCCUCCACUCCUUGCUUGUAACUUCUUCUUCGUAGGAGGUCGGCUUUUUUGGAGUCUCUUCUUCUUCGGCGAGAGCAGCAUUUGCAUACUCAGGAUUAGGUUUUCUUUGCCUAGAAGAUCUUCGUGACUGUGUACCUGUAUCUUCAAGUUGGCUCGAUCGAUCUUCUCCCGGGGUUUGAUAAUGUACGCCAAUUCGCCAGGGUUCUGGAGACUUCUGGAGUUGCUACUCGUCACCGGUUGGCUCUAUUGAAGGUUGACCGCUUUCUUCUUGCUCUGACACAGCCUUUUCUCCUUCUUGUUCUUGUUCUCCAAGCUUUUUUUGUAGCUUGAUUUCUAUCUCUUUAUUAUCUGGUAGUAUCACUUCUUGCGAGGACCACCAGGAUGAUGCUUCAUCAAACACAAUAUUUCUCGAUGUAUAGCAACGACCGGUUGUUGGGUCACAACAUCUCCACCCUUUUCUUUCACUGUCGUACCCGACGAAGAUACAUCGUAUCGCCUUCUUGUCGAAUUUACUUCGAAGAUGGUCCGGUACGAACACAUAGCACACGCAUCCAAAAACUCGAAAAUAACUUACUGUGGGUUUGAUUUUCCAUAGUACUUGAUAAGGUGAGAUGAAUCCUAACUUCGGUUGCGGCAGCCGGUUGAUGACAUGUGCUGCUGUUCUCAUACAUUCUGCCCAAAUCUGCCUGGCACAUUCUUUGCAUGCAGCAUGCUUCAGCAAGUUUCUGCUAGAUGUCUAUUCUUUCUCUCAGCUAUACCAUUUUGUUGCGGAGUGCAUGGACACGUAAGUUGUCUCCUUAUUUUGCACUCUCGCAGAUAAGCUGAGAACUCUGCUGAAGUAUAUUCACCUCCAUUAUCCGUGUGCAGGCAUCGUAUUUUAUAACCGGUUUGGCGUUCAACUUUUUCUUUAAAUUUUUUAAAUUUUUGCAGCACUUCAGAUUUUUCUUUAAUAAAGUAUACCCAGACGUACCUCGAGUAGUCAUCAAUAAACGUCAUCAUGUAGCGCAUACCGUAAUUGAUGUUUGCUUGACUGGUCCAAAAACAUCAGAGUGCAUGAGCUCCAGCGGUACCUUGGCUCUAUAUUUGGAUUCAGUGUAGGAAAGUUGAUGAGCCUUACCAAACUGGCAUCCUGCGCAGAUUGUGUCUCCUCGUACUUCAAGUUGAGGUAAACCCUUAAGCAUACUGCGCUCCAUCAUGAUUUUCAGUUUGUGAUAGCCCACAUGUCCCAGUCUUGCAUGCAACAAAUCAGCAGUCUCACUUUUUCGAGUCUUUUCUAUGUAUGAUGAUUCUGCAGACAUUACGUAUAUAGACUCUACUUUCUUUCCUUCCAUGAUUUGUAUACCAGAUAUCUUGGGACUGCGAAAGACCUUGACAUCUUGUGGCCCAAAUACUACAUAAUUGCCCGAUGCAAUCAGUUGUGAUACUGCUAAGAGGUUUUUCUUCAUACCUGGGACAUGGUAAACGUUCUGUAGUUGUACUUGAUGUGAGCUGAAUCGGGGUGUGAUGAUUGUCUUUCCUAUGUGGGUGAUAGGCAACUUCGAGUUGUUAGCUGUCACCACUACUCUUCCUUCUUUAUAUUCUGUUGUGCUGAUUAGCUUGUCUUUAUCACCGCUCAUAUGAUUGGAACAUCUAGAGUCGAUGAUCCAAUCUGUACUGUAAUUCACCUCUCUUGGAUUUUCUAUUGUUGUUAAUGCAUAUAUUGGUACCUGCUUUGGUAGCUUUUCCUUCUUAGCACCUGGCGUUGCCAUAUUGCCUUGUACUUGUUUCUUCUUAUGCCAACAGUCUCGGGCGAAGUGUCCUUUCUUGCUGCAAUUGUUACACUCUCCGCUUCGCCGUUUGUCGCCUUUAAACUGCCAGGUAUUUUGCUCCUUCUGGUUGUGGACUCCCUCUGUAAGGUGGCUCUCUCCCGACCUUUGUUUUGCCCUACUGAACUCCUUCAGCGGCUUCACAUUUCUUGGCCCUCCUGUUGCUCGACCUUUUCUUCUACUGCUGAAGAGUGCCUCCUCUUCAGUUUUCACUGAGGCUCCAGCCAUUUGUUUGGCUAGGGCCUCCUGAUUAGCGAAUAAAUUUUCUAGCUCCACCAACGUUGGUUGAGUGAGCCAUCCUCGAACAGCAGUAAUGAACCCGUUAUAUUCGGGUUUUAGGCCGUGAAUAAUAAUUCUCUUCAUCCGCUAGUCACUAAUUUUUGACUCUGGAUCUAAUUGGGAAAUUUCACGGUAGAGAGAUUUUACCUUCAUGAAGUACUAGUUAAUCGUCAUGCUACCCUGAGAUAUCGUCAUCAGCUCAUUCUCCAGAAGUUGAAGUCGAGCAUCGUUCUUCUUUGAAAAUAACGAGGCGAGGGUGUCCCAUGCAGCCUUGGGUGUAUCUGCUUCUUUGAUAUGCUCCAACAGCUCUUCUUCGAUUGUCAUCUUCAGAACGAACAUCGCCUUCCCUGCCUUGAUACGCCACUUUCUGAACACCUCUGCAUUCUCCUUUGGUGGUGGAGUUGUUUCAGCACCACCAAUUACCUCACACAAAUCCUACCCUUGUAGGUAAGACUCAAUGCAGGUUUGCCAAUAACCAUAAUUAUGGUUAUUUAGCUUCUUAAUUCCCCUAGUUGUACCAGCAAGAUUUGCCAUAGUGACUUGGUGAUUGCCCAGCAGUCAACCAAAUAAGUCUGGUCCCAGACUAACCAACUUCACAGUCCCAGACCAGACUAUGCACCAGCAGAAUCUCUGCUUAUAUCGGUAUUUAACUGCCUGGACUGGCAGAAUUUCACCGAUUUAACUAGCAGAAUAUUUCCUACAAUCUGGCUCUAAUACCAAAUUGUAGAGUAUUGGCGUACUAGACUAAUAAUAAAACUCUUUUUAUUACACACAAAAUAACUCUCAUUCACAUACACACAAAAUAACUCUCAUUCACAUACACCCAAAAGACUACAAACCUCACACACUACUUCACUACUAACACUACACCUCACAACACUUCCUCACCUCACACCACCACUCACAUCCUUACUUCACUAUAUCUCACUCUUUACUCUCACUCUUACAUACUCCCACUCUUUCACACCACCUCACACUCACUCACACUUGGUGUGGAGGCCUCACACCUAUUUAUAGGCCUCCAACCUACCUACAUAAACACUCUAGAAUAUUCUAGAGUACUUGCUUCUAGAACUCACUAAAGUGCUCUAUUAGCAAGUAGAGAGCACUUUGUUCCUAGAGUUUUCUACAAUGCUCCAUUAGCUAGUAGAGAAUUGGAAAGGGAUAGAGCAUUCUAGAAUGUUCUAUUAAAGAGAGAGGGAGAGUUGCCUCUUUCAGUUGUUACAUAAUCAAAAUGAAUGGUGAUUAUUCGAUACAGCACAUAAGCAUAACCAGCUCCGGGACCUAAUUAGAUGAUUCUUUUCUUCGUUUGUUUGUUUCUUUUAAGUGUCAUACAGCAUAAGUAGAAAUUUUCAUGGUUAUGUUACGAAACAGAUAAAGAUGAAUGAUAAUACUAAGGCCUAUUGAAAAGAUAAAAUAAGAAAUGGUUUUCUUUUUCCUUUGAAAGGUAACAUAAGAUAGAGGAGAAAGACGAAGAAAAAAAAAAGUGCACGUAAAGAGAAGAAGGACGCGAGAAAUGCUCUGUUUAUUAUUAGAGAAUCUUGCUUAAAACAGAGCUAAAUGGAAAAGCUGGACCUAUUUUCGAUUAAAGGCUUAGUUAUUACCAUUGUUCAACUUGAAUGGUACACUAUAAGAUAAAUUAGUACUGCAACCAUCAUUUCAAAUCACCUUGUGCCAUAAAAUUUCGGGUUUAUGAUUUUGCAAACUCUAAGCAAGGAUUUAAGUACCAUGAUACGGGGUCAUGCCAAAACCUUUUUGCCGGCACGAUAUAGUAUGGUGCGUGCUGGGUUGUACCGAUGCGUGUCGGUCACAAAAAAUAUAUGUGUGCCGAAAUAUAAUGACAUAAAAUAUUUAUUUUCUGUAGCAACAAAAUAUUCUAAUUGCUUAUUAAAAUUACAUACUAAUUUCGAGAAAAGAGAGUUUUAAGUUGUGUCAUCGGUAGGGGAGCUGUAUCGUGCCGAUAUUUAAUGGCAUGAUACGGCAAGAUAAAUAUGGCCCGUGCUGACAGAUACUUAAAUCCUUUCUCUUAAACGACAAAUCCUUUCUCUUAAACAACAAAUCCAAGUAUAUUAAUUAGUUUGUAAAUUAAGGCAACCAAAGGUAAUAUUCUUUCUAUCUGCGCUGCAAACUACAAAUCUCUCUCUUUUUGUAACUUUGAUAAUUAAAAUUAUGCUUCAAAACACAUGAAAUAUAACGAAUCCCUACAUAUCUUGGCCCAUGAUUAGGAUCGGCACAAAGAUCACAAAGAGACUAGUACCCAAAUAGCGAAAAUCGUAAUCCUAUAAAAUCAAUUAACUAUUUGAAAAGAAUUCAACAUUGGCAUAAAAAGAAAGGAAACUAUGCUCAUCUGCUUCAUAUCCAGCAAUCUCAAUUCGCAAUCUUAAACUACGCCAAGAUUACUCCAAAUCGAAUCAAAUCAAACAAUCCGAAUCAAUCCACACAAGAUUGAACAAAGAGCGAUUGCGAGUAACCCUAAUUCAAGAAAAAACCGACGAACUAAUUAGAUUAAUAGGGUUAAAAAAUCCCAAAAAAUUCCAAAAAAAAAAGAGGAAACAAACCCUGGAGGUUGUUGUCGAGCCAUUUGGAUUGCUUGGUCCGAAUGUGGCUUGCCCACCACCACGAGUACGCGUUGUUCGCCGCCCUCUGCAACAUCAUCUCUCCUCCCUCUCUCUCUCUCUCUCUCUCUACACCCUCUCUCUUUCUCUCUCUAGAACCGAAAGAGGGGGACAAUGGAGAGAGAGAGAGAGAGAGAAUAAUAGGCUCCCUUUCUCUCUCUUCGCUAUUGAGAGAGAGGGGGGAGGAGGGGUGCGGUGGUGGUGGUGGCCAUGAUGAUGUGGGUAUGGGAGCUUCUUUUUUCUUGCUAAAAAAAGAAGAGAGAGAAAAGUGAGAGAGAGAAAGGGAGGCCCUCUCCGGAACAUGUGGGGGGGAAUAUACAGUACUGAUUCAUCGCGGCUUUAGCUGGCGCUGCUACGGAAAAAGAAAAAGAGAGAGAAAGAGAAAUGUCCAGAAAGAGAGAGAGAGAGAGAGAGAGAGAGGAAGGAUGGCGGUGCGGGUGCAGUGCACGUCGGGGAAGACCGGCAGAAAGGGCGGGUAAUUGUAGCCGUUAGGUGACAUGCAGUCUGGGCGCUGGAAAGUGGAAAAGUAUGAGGGAUUAAACUUUGGGCUGGUGGGCCUUCUUAAAGAAAUGGAUCUUUUUUUUUCAAAUUUUAUGUUUGAUUAGAACUUCCCUUUUGUGUUUUUUUUUUUUUUUUUGAACUUUUAUCUUCAAACUUAAUUGAAUCCGGCUACAGUAGUAUCAACAGCACCAAGCUCAUGGUGCUACCAAAUAUUUUGUUUUUAAAUUUACCCCUUUGACCAUUUUUACCCUUUAGAUCAUACUACCACUGUCAUCCUAACCGCACGUUCUUUUAUCCAAUGGCCGAAAAUUUAAUAGCGCAACAAUUUGUUUAUUAAUAGUAUAGUAGCCUAAUCCUAUAUAUAUAUAUAUAGAGUCCGGCUACUAUACUCUUAUGAGUACGAUUGCCCUCGUACUCAUAAAUUAUUUUCGAUGAUAGAGCUUCCGAAUCGACGAUCCAUACCGUUAAACAUUAUCUAAAGUAUUUAAAACUUCUAGAAAUCAAAUUUCAUAAUUUUUCGACAUCAUUUACCUUACGAUCAAAAGCUCACAAAAUUGAUAAUUUUUAACGGCCGGUAUAAGAUACUUGUUAGUUUAACGGUGAAAAAAAAUCAAAAUCGGUUGAAUUUUUGAUAGAAAAUUCUAUUCACUACAUAGAUAAAGAUCAAUAACUCCAAUCUUAAAUUGAAGGAUCCGAUCAUCCAUUUUUAGGACGUCGUUCGAUUUCGACCGUUCAUUUUAUGCCCACUUGAUGGACUUUAUUAUGAUUUCGAAAAAUUACGAAAUUUAUUUUUUAGAAGUUUCAAAUACUCUACAUAUUUAACGGAGUGGAUCAUCGAUUCGGAAACCCCAUCAUCAAACAACUUAUGAGUACGAAGGGCCUACUACUCAUAAGAGUAUAGUAUUCCUACUCAUAUAUAUAUAUAUAUAUAUAUAUAUAUAUAUAUAGAGAGAGAGAGAGAGAGAGAGAGAGUUGAGCUAGAAUUAAUACUCUCAAAAGCACCAAGGAGGUGGUGCUUUUGAAUUUUUAACCAUUGGAUAGNGAAUCGUCGAUCAGCUCCGUUAAACUUGAUCUAGAAUAUUUGGAGUACCUAGAAAAUAAAUUUUAUUAUUUUUCGAUAUCAUUUGCUUAGUGAUCGAAUGGGCUCAAAAUCAACAAAUUUCUAUGGCCGUAGUGAGCCGUUUGCAAGUUUAACGGUGUAGAAAUAUCCAAAUCACGUGAAAUUUUGAUAGAAAAUUCUUUAUACUAUAUAAAACAAGAUCAAUAUCUUUGAUUUAAAAUUUUAAUGUCAUAUUAUUACAUUUUGUAAGAUUUUUAUUUUCAGCCGUUGAUUUUGAGCCCCUUCGUUCACUAGGCAAAUGAUAUCAUAAAAUCAUAAAAUUUAUUUUCUAGGUACUUCAAAUACUCUAGAUCAAGUUUAACGGAGCCGAUCGACGAUUCGAAAGUCGCAACAUCAAAAACGAGCUGGAAGCACGGAAGGCUCCGUGCUUCCGAUAGCAUAGUAGCCUUACUCUAUAUAUAUAUAUAUAUAUAGUAGAGCUAGAAUACUUGUAAAAAUAUCACCCAAGUGAUACUUGUGUGUUUUUAGCCCUUGGAUGGAGAGAUGUAAGGUUGAGAUUAUGAUGGUAGGUGGUGGUAGGUGGUGGUAGGUGGAAUAGUGUUUGAUCCAAGGACUAUUAGUAAUCAAAAAGUAGAUCCAAUGGCUAAAAACACACAAGUAUCACUUGGGUGAUACUUGUAAAAGUAUUCUAGCCCUACUCUCUCUCUCUCUCUCUCUCUCUCUCUCUCUCUCUAUAUAUAUAUAUAUAUAUAUAUAUAUAUAUAUAUAUAUAGUGGGCUGGUAUGCUUAUGAAAGCACGGAGGCCUCCAUGCUUCCAAGUUGUUUUCGCUGUUCGGACUUUCGAAUCGACGAUCGGCUCCGUUAGAGUUGAUCUAGAGUAUUUGAAGUACCUAGAAAAUAAAUUUUGUGAUUUUUCGAUAUCAUUUGCCUAGUAAUCAAAGUGGCUCAAAAUCAAUAAUUUUAAUGACCGUAGUGAGCCGGUUGCAAGUUUAACGGUGUAGAAAUAUCCAAAUCACGUGAAAUUUUGAUAGAAAAUUCUUUAUACUAUAUAAAAUAAGAUCAAUAUCUUUGAUCUAAAUUUUUCAUGUCAUAUCAUCACAUUUUGUGAGAUUUUUAUUUUUAGCCGUUGAUUUUGAGCCCCUUCGAUCACUAGGCAAAUGAUAUCGAAAAAUCGCAAAUUUUAUUUUCUAGGUACUUCAAAUACUCUAGAUCAAGUCUAACGGAGCCGAUCGUCAAUUCGAAAGUCCUAACAUCGAAAACAACUUGGAAGCACGGAGGCCUCCGUGCUUCCAUGAGCAUACUAGCCGCACUCUAUAUAUAUAUAUAUAUAUAUAUAUAUAUAUAUAUAUAUAUAUAUAUAGAGAGAGAGAGAGAGAGAGAGAGAGAGAGAGAGAAUUAUACUACUAUACUAUCAAUAGUACCAAGCCCUUGGAACUAUUGAGUUUUUGAUAGUUGGAUGAAAGGAUGUGCGGUUAGGAUGAUAGUGGUCCCCUCUAGGGUUGAAUGGGUGGUUGGUUUAAUAGUAUAAUCUAAUGGGUGGAAAUGAUCAAAAAGUAGAUCUAAUGGUAAAAAACUCAAUAGUACCAAGGCUUGGUACUAUCGAUAGUAUAGUAGCGAACCUAGGAGAUUACUAUCAUCCUAACCGCACAUCUUUUUAAUCCAAGAGUCGAAAAUCUAAUAACACCAAGCACUUGAUACUAUUAGUAGUAUAGUAGCCUAAUUCUAUAUUUAUGGUACAUCUGUGAUUUCAAAAGCAUGGAGGCUUCCAUACUUAUAAGUUAUUUUCGAUAAUAGGACAUCUGAUUCGAUGAUCGACUCCAUUAGGCAUGAUUUACACUAUUAGAAUUCUUUAGAAAUCAAAUUUCAUAAUUUUUUAGCAUCAUUUACCAAAUGAUCAAAAGGUCUCAAAAAGAACUAUUUUAAUGACCGAUGUGGCAUAUUUGUAAGUUCAACAAUAUAAAACAAUCCAAAUUACGUGAAACUUGAAUAAAAAAAUUUUACUUAACAUCAUGAGCAAGAUCAACGCUUCCAAUUUGGAAUUUGAGCCUUUUAUCACUAUUUUUUAUGAAAUUUUUAUUUUGACCAUUCAUUUUGAGGCUAUCCGUUUACUAGGCAAACGAAGUCAAAAAAUUAUGAAUUUGGUUUCUAGAUAAUUCCAAACUUUAUAAGUCAUGUUCAACUAAACUGAUUGCCGCUUUGAAUGUCCAUUAUUGAAAACAAUUUACAAAUAAGGAGGCCUCCAUACUUUUGACAGCACAAGAGCCUAGCUUUAUAUAUACUAGUGAAAAGACCCGCGCUUCACAGCAGGUAGAAACUAUAGGAGCUACCAAUAAAAAAUAAAAAGUAUUCAUCAAUAGAAAUAAAGAAGGUGUCGUGAAUGGGGCGAUUGGCGCGUCGGAAUGCUAACCCUCACCUCUAACCUCUAUUAAUGGUAGAGUCCUAUACUGCUGCAAUCGCAAAAGGCUGCGUCGCCGCCACUGCCACCGACAUUGCCAGGAACCUUAUUCUCAUUCUAGACUACGGAUUUCAGUACACCACCCAUUAUAUCCACCAACUCUUCUCCUCUCUCUUUCCCUGCAUCUUCGGAAACUCUCCCAUUUCCUUCAUCUCCAACAAAAAAAAAAAAAAUCACAAAAGAGAGAAAGAAGCGAUUAAACGAAGCAGACCUCGACGCAGUCAUUUACGACGGUGAUGUGGAGUGUAAAGAGGAGGUCGUGGAUAGUGGUGUGGCGAAGGAGAUCAGGAUCGACGUAGAGGGAGGAGCAGACGGCAUUGGCGCCCUUGACUCGGAUCGCGCUGAAGAAAGCAUUAGAUCAAUCAAUCACCACUCCACCUUUUGGUGAAUCUACAUUGAAAAAAGCAAGAUAAUAAAGAAAACGGCAAGGAAGAAAGUAGAAGAAAAACCACAACAUAUGGAGAAGAGAAACGGUCACAUAGAAAAGAGAAACGAUCGUGUGAGGAAGAACAUGAAUGUCCAACCACUAUGGGGAAGAAAAACGGUCGCAUAGGAAAGAGAAAUGGUCAUAUGGGGAAGAGAAACUGUCACAUGGGGAAGAGAAACGGUUAAAGGAAGAUAAAAGGCCGGGGAGAGCAAACUUGAAGAUGGAGCCCACUCCCAACCUUGAAGGUGGGUUUGCCUCGUGGAUUCUUUUUGGGGAUUAUAUAGAGUUAUAGAUAGUCCGGUGACUAUACUCUUAUGAAUAUGAUCAUCUUCAUACUCAUAAGUCAUUUUUCAAUAUUAGAAUUUCCGAAUCGACGAUCCAUACCGUAAAAAAUGAUGUAGAGAAUUUGAAACUUCUAAACAUAAAAUUUCAUAAUUUCGACAUCACUAACCUUACGAUAUAAAAAAUCUUAAAAUUGAUAACUUUUAACGGCCGGUACAGAAUGCUUGUUAGUUUAACAUUGUAAAAAAUCAAAAUUGGUUGAAAUUUUGAUAAAAAAUUCUAUUCACUAUUUAGAUAAAGAUCAAUAACUAUGAUCUUAGUUGAAGAAUCUGGUCAUCCAUUUAUAGGAUGUCGUUCAGUUUUGACCAUUCAUUUUAUGCCCACUUGAUGGAUUUCACUAUAAUUUCAAAAAAAUUACGAAAUUUAUUUUCUACAAGUUUCAAAUGCUCUAAAUCAUAUUUAAUGGUGUGGAUUGUCGAUUCUCUAUCAUUGAAAUAACUUAUGAGUACAAAGAGCUCUAUAUUCAUAGGAGUAUAAAGGCCCUACUUUAUAUAUAUAUAUAUAUAUAUAGAAUUAGGCUGGAAUACUAUUAAUAGUAAAACGCUCUUUUUGCUAUCAAGUUUUUAACCCUUGGAUGAAAAAUUGUAGGGUCAGGAUGAUAUUAGUCGGUUAGAGUUGAGUGGUCCCCAUAGGGUUGAGUGGUCCCCACUGGGUUAUAGUAUUUAAUCCAAUGGUUAGAGAUAAUGAAAAGAGUUGAUCCAAAGGCUAAAAAACUGGUAGCAACAAUGGGAUUUUGCUACUAAUAGUAGCCCAGUCCAACUCUCUCUCUAUAUAUAUAUAUAAUAGAGAGAGAGAGAAAGAGAGAGAGUCCGGCUACUAUACUCUUAUGAGUACGAUCGGCUUUGUACUCAUAAGUCGUUUUUGAUGAUAAGCUUUUAAAUCGAUGAUUUAUACCAUGAAACAUUAUCUAAAGAAUUUAAAGCUUCUAGAAAUCAAAUUUUAUAAUUUUUGACAUCAUUUACUAUACGAUCAAAAGAUCUCCAAAUUGACAAUUUUUAACGGUCGUUAUGGGAUUCUUGCUAGUUUAACAGUAUGGAAGGAGAGAAGGUGAUGCUAGAGACAGGGACGGAGAUAGCGCUUGAGCGAGGUGCGAAGUUGAACCUCCCGAGAAGGGUAAUAGGGCAGGAGUCGGCAGUGAAAUUCGCGACUUUUAUGUAAGCCAUAGAGGAGGAGGAGGAGGAGGAGAGGGACGUGGGUGCAAGGUUGUCUUCAUUGUGUUAAUGAAUGGUAACUUAGAAUGCAGAGAGAUAAGCUUAUGUACAUUUAUGAGAUAAUUGCCUAUAUAUCUCUCAAAACUUCAAAAAUAUCUUAUUUAUGGAUAUUUUUUUUUCUUUCCAAUAUACCCCUCAUAUGUUCCCCCGUUAUUCUAAAAUACCCCUGCAGUUACAACCCAUAAGUUAAUUUGGGUUAAACGUAAGUUUAAAUAUUUACUAGAAUUUAAAAAAAUCAAAAUACCUAUUUUACCCUUAAUUUAAGGGCAAAUAAGAAAUGUUAGUGAUGGUAGAAGGGUAUAUUUGAAAAGACCAAGAAUCAAAAUACUUUUUCUAUCUCUAACUUAAGGGUAAAUAAGAAAAGUCGGUGAUGAUGGAAGGGUAUAUAUAUGAAAGGGCAAAAUAGUAAUUUCAUAUAAAUAACAGUUGUUGCUAACAAUUCAUUAACAUAAUUUAACUCUAGGGGUAUCUUUGAAAUAGGUUGGAACGUGAAAAGGGUAUUUUCAAUAUUAGCCUUCUACGAUGGGUAAAUCAAAAAGUCGAAAACUUUUGAGGGGUAAAUAAGCAAUCGCCGCUAUAUUUAUAUAUACAGAGAGAGAUACAAUUCAUAAAGUAUAAAUUUUGCACUUAUCUAUCAUCAUAACAAAUCACUUUAUCCAAGAGCCGAAAACCUAAUAGAACCAAGCGCUUGGCCUUACAUGAUGACCUUUCCAAGAGAAGAUAUAUANNNNNNNNNNNNNNNNNNNNNNNNNNNNNNNNNNNNNNNNNNNNNNNNNNNNNNNNNNNNNNNNNNNNNNNNNNNNNNNNNNNNNNNNNNNNNNNNNNNNNNNNNNNNNNNNNNNNNNNNNNNNNNNNNNNNNNNNNNNNNNNNNNNNNNNNNNNNNNNNNNNNNNNNNNNNNNNNNNNNNNNNNNNNNNNNNNNNNNNNNNNNNNNNNNNNNNNNNNNNNNNNNNNNNNNNNNNNNNNNNNNNNNNNNNNNNNNNNNNNNNNNNNNNNNNNNNNNNNNNNNNNNNNNNNNNNNNNNNNNNNNNNNNNNNNNNNNNNNNNNNNNNNNNNNNNNNNNNNNNNNNNNNNNNNNNNNNNNNNNNNNNNNNNNNNNNNNNNNNNNNNNNNNNNNNNNNNNNNNNNNNNNNNNNNNNNNNNNNNNNNNNNNNNNNNNNNNNNNNNNNNNNNNNNNNNNNNNNNNNNNNNNNNNNNNNNNNNNNNNNNNNNNNNNNNNNNNNNNNNNNNNNNNNNNNNNNNNNNNNNNNNNNNNNNNNNNNNNNNNNNNNNNNNNNNNNNNNNNNNNNNNNNNNNNNNNNNNNNNNNNNNNNNNNNNNNNNNNNNNNNNNNNNNNNUCAUAUUUAUAAUAUUUUGCACUUAUCUAUUCAUAUAACAAAUCACUUUAUCCAAGAGCCGAAAACCUAAUAGAACAAGCGCUUGGCUUACAUGAUGACUUUCAAGAGAAGAUAUAUAUAAUAUAUAUAUAUAUAUAUAUAUAUAUAUAUAUAUAUAUAUAUAUAUAUAUAUAUAAUAUAUAUAUAUAUAUAUAUAUUAUUCUUUAUUUUCUUUUCUUUCGCCCUCUGUAUUUGUUUUCGCUAUCGUGCCCCAUCUCUCGCCCUCUGCUGCAGGAUUCCACCCUCGCCCGACACGCUCUCACUCCUCAUCCCUCCUUAAAUCUUGCCGUACCCUUGUCGUCGUUGCUGUCCAUGGCCACACUGUUACGCCUGCAAGUAUAAUUAGGAGGUUAGGAGUAGAUUAAUGGAGGUUAGGAGAGUAGUAAGCAAUAAAGCAGGAAGAUGAAGGCUUAGCUUUAUCUCUGAUCAUGCGGGGUUGAGAAGCUUCGACCUAUAAAAGUUGGCGCGGAGCGCUUAGAAGUGGCAAGCGCGGAAAGGGAAAAAGAGAGCGAUUAGGGCGAGGAAGAAGAAGGGCGAACUGGCAGGAUUUCGAGGGCGAAUGUGCGAACCGACAAGGCACCCUAUUAGUUCGGGUGUUUGGGGCGGUUGGGCAAAUGUCGGCCCAGUAUGCUACCAAGUGAAGAUCCAGAUCUACACAGCCCAAACCACAAGCUGUGGGCCACUGAUGAAGGAUUGGAAGCCCGUUUAGGAAUUAGGGUUUAUUUUAUUCAAAUUCGUAUUAUAUAUAGGAGGCAGUGUGUAACUCCUAGGGUUUUUUAAUGGAUGAUUAAUGAAAAUUCUCCGUCUUCUUAACUUCUCUCUUAUUCUCUCUUAUUCUCUCUAUUCCCCCUGAUCCUUUUCCUCAAUCUAUCUUUUCUCUUCUUUUCCUUCUUCUUCUUAUUCAAUUAUUAUCUACACAUUAUUCCGAUCUGUAUCGCGAAGACAGCAAACCGAAACCAUCAUCCUCGACGCCGUCCAUCGUCUCAGCGAGAUCUCAUCAUCGACGGGUUGCGCCGAGUCAGGUACGUAACAAUUGGUAUCAGAGCGGUCCGAUCCCAGGGCAUUGAGUGGUAGAAUCGCUUCCUAACUCCAAUCUCGGCAUUGUUGAGUUUAAUCGCGAGUAAGAUUUCUGCGCUGCCGAGUCUAAACCGAGAUCAGAGUCGGACAAAAGAAAUCACCACAAAAUAACCCUGAAAUUAACCGCAUGAUCAGAGGACAUUCCCUCAAUCAUCAGAUCGACAUUAUCACACAAGCACAAUAAACUAUCCGAGGAUAUAUCAGUCGAGGAAAGUCACAAGAAAUUUAUCCAUCCAGUCUGAAGGACCAUCUUAAUUGAGGCUUACCGACACGCCAAAAUUGGGGGAAGGCGAGGCAACAAAUUUAAAUUUAAUCCCAAAGAGUAUCUGGAAGAAUUAGAUAUGGCGGAAGGGACUCGACUAAGAGAUAUUAGUGAUCAUAUCCAUUCUUUAGAAGAAAAAUUUCAGAAGUUAGAGGCCGAACAUCAAUCCAGAUUAGGGAUACUUACCGAGCAGAUGGCGGAGGUACGAGAUUCGGGGCAAAAACAGUACGAUGCAAUGCGGGCUGAAGCUACCAAGCGUCAUGAGGAGCUGCUGAAACUGUUGACAGCCCAGCCACCUAUCACUCAGACUCAAGGCAGAGCAAUUACUCCUGAGAACAAAAUUCCUUAUGGCGGCAAACCAGGGAGUAGCAGCACCCCACAUGUUAUCAGGGAAGAAAAGGGAAAAGGGAUAUUACCCACCCCUAGAAAGCAACUCGACGUAGAGGAUGAUCAGAUUUCACCGUGGACUAACAGGAGUUUUAAUAAUCACCAACAUUUUCCAUAUCCUCGAUUGGAUUUUCCCUCAUUUGACGGCGACGACCCUAGAAAUUGGAUCGAGAAUUGUGAGCAAUUCUUUGAGUUGUAUCAAAUACCCCAACAGCAAUGGUUGAGCAUAGCCACUAUGCAUUUAUUCGGCAGGGCGAAAACGUGGAAACAAGGAUACUUCAUUAACAAACAAGUGGUUUCUUGGGAUGAAUUCACUGAGGCAGUGUGCAAAAGAUUCGCCCACGUAGGGGAGCGGUAUUUAAUUCGAGAAUUUCGCAAUUUGAAACACACCGGAACAUGCGAAAAAUAUCAAGAGAAGUUUGAGGAGUUAAGAUUUCAAUUACUCUAUUACAACCCCCACUUGUCGGAAGAGUACUUUAUCGCGUGUUACAUUAAUGGGCUCAAGGAAGAAUUUUCCAUUUCUCGACAUCGCUCAUCCAAACACAUUAGAGGAGACAUAUGAACAAGCACAGCUACACGAAAAGGCUCUAGCAGUGAUUAACAGAAAGAAUCGAUUUAUUUCUAAGACACCGAUGGAGACCAAUCAACGAGACACAUCAGAUAAGGGCACUGAAGGAACCGGGCAACAGUACCAGAACCAGAACAGAACUACAACUGGUCAAUAUACUGCUAACAAACAGUUAAUGGAACAUCGUCGAGCUGCUAGAUUAUGCUUUCGAUGUGGAGAAAAGUACCAUCCUGGGCACGUUUGUGCAAACAAGUCAUUGUAUACAUUACAAGCUACUGAGGAUAUUAUGGAAGUUUAUGAUGAAAGUUGUUUACAAGCAGGAUCAAACGACGUGACAGUCACGGGAAAGGAAGGAGAGGAGCCAGAAGUUGUACCUGAAGAAAAGAAUCCGCAAGAAAUAGGAGUGUCGGUUCAUGCAGUAAGUGGAGGGAAACCCCAGGACACCAUCAAAAUACAAAGUGAGACAAACAAUCGACUUCUCACCAUUUUGAUAGAUAUGGGAAGCACGCACUGUUUCAUCGACCUGCAAGUAGCCAGAGAGAUUGGCGCACGAAUAGAAGUCGCUUCUCCCUGGGUAGUGACAGUAGCGAAUGGCCAUAAGGUUUUGAGUAAACUAACAUGCCCUGGUUUCACUUGGAUCAUGCAAGGACAUACAUUCCAAGCAGAUUUGAUGGUGAUCAGAUUGGAAGGCUCAAGUAUUAUAUUAGGAAUUGAUUGAUUAAAAUCUUAUGGACCAGUAACCUUUGAUUUCCUAGCGAAUUCAGUUGCUAUCACCAAAGAAGGUCAGAGUUUAGAACUGAAAGGGAUCGAGGAAAGAGCUAAAUUAAGGUUGAUAUCUGCAGCCCAAUGGAGACAGGACAUAGAGAAGGGUGAAUGCUAUCUCCUCAGACAUCAACCUUUAACAGAAGAAGAUAAACAAGAAGUAGAGGUACACCCAGAGAUUCAAGAGGUGCUGGAUAAAUUUCAGAAUGUGUUCGAAGGGCCCAAAGAGUUGCCCACACCCCGAAUUUUGGAAUCGAAAACAGUGAAGCGUGAGAACAGGGCUGUGACUGAGGUGCUGGUUAAGUGGACAAACCCUCCAAUGGAGAGCGCAACGUGGGAAGAUUACUGGCUUCUUAAGAGUCAGUUUCCAUCUUUUGAUCCUUGAGGACAAGGAUCGCAUUAAGAAGGGGGGAUUGUUACGCCUGCCAAGUAUAAUUAGGAGGAUUAGGAGCAGAUUAAUGGAGGUUAGGAGAGUAGUAAGCAAUAAAGCAGGAAGAUGAAGGCUUAGCUUUAUCUCUACAUCAUGCCGGGGGUUGAGAAGCUUCGACCUUCAAAAGUGGCGCUGGGAGUCGGCUCAGAAGUGAAGGGCGGAAAGGGAAAAAGAGAGCGAUUAGGGCGAGGAAGAAGAAGGGCGAACUGGCAGGAUUUCGAGGGCGAAUGUGCGAACCGACAAGGCACCCUAUUAGUUCGGGUGUUUGGGGCGGUUGGGCAAAUGUCGGCCCAGUAUGCUACCAAGUGAAGAUCCAGAUCUACACAGCCCAAACCACAAGCUGUGGGCCACUGAUGAAGGAUUGGAAGCCCGUUUAGGAAUUAGGGUUUAUUUUAUUCAAAUUCGUAUUAUAUAUAGGAGGCAGUGUGUAACUCCUAGGGUUUUUUAAUGGAUGAUUAAUGAAAAUUCUCCGUCUUCUUAACUUCUCUCUUAUUCUCUCUUAUUCUCUCUAUUCCCCCUGAUCCUUUUCCUCAAUCUAUCUUUUCUCUUCUUUUCCUUCUUCUUCUUAUUCAAUUAUUAUCUACACAUUAUUCCGAUCUGUAUCGCGAAGACAGCAAACCGAAACCAUCAUCCUCGACGCCGUCCAUCGUCUCAGCGAGAUCUCAUCAUCGACGGGUUGCGCCGAGUCAGGUACGUAACACACACCUUGCAUUGUAGCCUCACCUUUGUGAUCUGUACUAUAUCCGAGCUAGCAUUGUCGAUCGCUACUAGGGUCAGCGCAGGUAUGGGCAAGGUAGGAGAGGAGAGUGGCGUCGAUGUGGAGGGAAUGGAUGAGGAGGAGAGAGAGAGAAAGCGGAAGGAGAGAGAGAAGAAGGGAUCACGAGAACAAAGGAGCUAGAGGAGGAUGAAGGAGAAAAACGAACUAUAAAGAAAGCAGAGAGAGAGGAAUAAGAAAAUUUUGAUCAAUUUAAUAAAAAUCUAGGCCUACUUUGCACAAUCUAAAAAGUGGCCAAUAUUUCUAAUUUUUUAUGUAAAUUAGUCCAAAAAGUUUUAGAGCAUUUUAGAAAAUAGAUUAAUUUAACCCGUUAUUUUGUACUAGAAGAUUGCCAAAUGGCUGCAGUCCUUUUAAAAAAUGGUGAGCACCAUGGAUCACGUCUAGGCGCUGGUUGGGCCAGGACCAACCUGACUUCUGUUUAAGGAAAGUUUUUUUUUUAAAAAAAAAUACGUCAACUUUUCUAACUUUGACGAGAUUAGUUUACUCAUCCAAUUCUUUAUUUUUUUUAAAGUAAACUUAUAAUUUAUCCAAUGUGGUUUAACUUAUUUCCUUGCAUGUAUAGUUUAAAAAAUUGCAACUUAACUAUUUUGUGAUUAUGGUUAUAUUUAAUCUAAAAAAAUUAUUAUCAAACAGGAUUCCAAAGUAAGAUUUUUGAUAAUCACAUGAUAGUUAAAUGUAACCUUUUAAACUAUAGUACGAUAAAGUGAAAAAUAAAAAUGAGUUAAACUAAAUGAGAGCAAUUUGAAGGUUACCCGAAAAAAUUAUAUAAAUUUUAGAUUUUUUUUAAUUAACUACCCAGUCUCGAUGUUUGUUACUUGUGUAAUAAAUUGCAGUUCGCACAGCCGUUUAAUCCUUAAAAGUUAAUAGUUAAACUUUUGCGUAUAUGAAUUAAGAAUAUUUGAUCUUUAUAAAAUUACCAAUUCUUAAAUAAAAAAAAUAUUAGAAUUUGGAUUCAAGUAUUUAAUUGAAAUGAACUAAAAAUUCUUAUAAUUAUUGUCAAUUUCUAAAAUUUGAAUGAGAAAUGAUUGUAGGACCUCAUUUUUUGAGUAUCCUAUUGUGUUGUUAAAAACUUGAUAUAUAUAUAUAUAUAUAUAUAGAGUUGAGCUAGAAUACUCUCGAGAGUAAACGAGCCCGUUUACUCUCGAGUUGUUUUCGAUGAUAGAGCUUCCAAAUUGACGAUCGGCUCCGUUAAAUAUGAUCUAAACCAUUUAAACUACCUAGAAAUCAAAUUUCACACACUUUCGAUAUUGUUUUAUAUCCAUCUAGGUGAAGAAAAAAUGAAUGGCUGAAAUAAAAUAUUCUUUUAAAAAAUGAUGAUAGGAGUCUUGUAAUCAAGAUCAAGAGUAUAGAUCUUGUUUUAAAUAGUCUAAAGAAUUUUCUAACAAAAAUUCAAUUGAUUUAGAUAUCUUUACACCGUUAAACGAGAAAACGUCUCUUAUCCACUAUUAAAAUUACAAAUUUUGAAACCCUUUGAUCAUUAGGCAAAUGAUGUCGAAAAGAUUUGAAAUUUAAUUUCUAAACACUUCAAGUGUAUAAAUCAUGUUCAACGGAGCGAUCGUUAAUUUGGAAGCUCUAUCAUCGAAACAACUCGAGAGUAAACGGCUCGUUUACUCUCGAGAGUAUUCUAGCUCAACUCUAUCUAUAUUAUAUAUAGAUAGAUAGAGUUGAGCUAGAAUACUCUCAAAAGCACCAUGAAGGUGGUGCUUUUAAGUUUUUGCCAUUAGAUGAAGAGAUGUGAGGUUGAGAUGAUGGUGGUAGGUGAAAUAGUGUUGUAUCCAAGGACUAUUAGUAAUCAAGAGUAGAUCAAGGGCUAGAAACUUAGAAGCACCAAAAGAAUAUUCUAAAAGUAUUCUAGCCAAUUAUAUUAUAUAUAUAUAUGCCGGCUACAUACUAUUAUGAGUACGAUCGCCCUCGUACUCACAAGUUGUUUUCGAUGAUAGAGCUUCCGAAUCGACGAUCCACACCGUUAAAAGUUAUUACAAGUUUAAACUUCUAAAAAUCAAAUUUUAUAUUUUUUGACAUCAUUUACCUUACGAUCAAUAGAUCACAAAUUUGACAAUUUUUAACGGCCGGUAUGGGAUACUUACUAGUUUAACGGUGUAAAAGAAUCGGAAUUUGUUGAAUUUUUGAUAGAAAAUUCUAUUCACUACAUAGAUAAAGAUCAAUAACUCAGAUCUUGAAUUGAAGGAUCCGAUCAUUCUUUUUUAGGACGUCGUUCGAUUUUGACCGUUCAUUUUAUGCCCACUUGAUGGACUUUAUUAUGAUUUCGAAAAUUUACGAAAUUUAUUUUCUAGAAGUUUCAAAUACUCUAAAUCAUAUUUAACGAAGUGGAUCGUCGAUUUGGAAGUUCCAUCAUUGAAAACAACUUAUGAGUACGAGGGCUGCAAUACUCAUAAUAGUAUAGUAGCCAUGGCCUUUAUAUAUAUAUAUAUAUAUAUAUAUAUAUAUAUAUAUAUAUAUAUAUAUAUACUAGUGUAAAUACCCGCACAUUGCUGCGGAUAGAUACUAUUAAAAUAAAAAUUUACAAAUAAAAAAAUUAUCAAUAUAGCUAAAUAAAAUAUUAGUAGACCAACAAUAAAUAUCAAGAAUUAUAAACUUUUAGUAGAUAGAUACUACUGAGGUGAGGUGGUGACAUUUGCGACCAAAUAAAGACGGCUAUAUAGUCAAUAUAUAGCAAGCAACCCAAUAGGAAUAUGUAAGAUAAUUAGUUAACAAAUCUUACUCUUGAGUACACAAAAAUAUAAUAAUAUAUAUACAAUCAUUCACAAAUCACAAUAGAUUAUCUAUCUAUCUACUGGAGAAUUUUCUUUGUCAACGCGUGAGUAGAUAUUGAGGUAAUCAAACCACAGAUUCCACUGUACUUUGACUUUUUUAACCUUCGUAAAUAAGAUUUUUCACUUAGAUGUCCGGUUUUAGUGUGCAACCUCAAUUUGGAAAUAACUUUCGAGAUUUACGCAUUGAACAACAAAGCAGUUCCGCCUAAGUUUGGGACCCAAAUUCAAUUUUUUAGGUCUUUUUUUUCUAUGCCUUCUUCAUGAAGUUGUUAAAACUCAUAUCUGAGUCCAAUCGAUGCACUAUAAAGUUCAGUAUAAUCAGCGGCAACAGCAUCAACAGUAUUGUUAAAUUUAACAUAUUUUUAUUGAAAUUAGUUAUUCUGAAUAUUUGUAUGGUUGAUGGAACGAUGCAUUCUAUCAACUGUGAAUUGUUGGUAGCUAAUUAACUAUUGAUUUCAGUGAAUCUUCAAAUCAAUUUAGAAAUUUAUAGGUGUCAAUGAGAAAAUAAAGAUUGGGUGCCAAUUACAAAAUGGCCAGUAAUUGAAGGCAACAGCAUUAGCAAAAAAGUAGUGGCAUCAGCAGCAUUAGCAUUUGCAACAUCACCAUCAGCAGCAGAAUCAACAGCAGCAGCUUAGGGAGAAGAAACAGCAGUAGUUACAUAACAAUGAUUAGCAGCAGAAAAAUGCCGAGAAGAAUUAAAAGAAAAAGGAAGAGAGCCAGAGCAAGUAACAGUAGUAGUAGCAGUAGCGGCAUUACCGUCAUUAGGAACACGAUCGAUAGUAGCAGCAGAAAAAGACAAAGAAAGCGUGAGAUGUAGACUACUUAAUAUUGACUUUAAUUGGUUAAUUUAGAAGAUUAUUACCACAAACAAACUACACUCCCAAUUAAAGAGAAUCAUUGAUAUUUACAAUCCCAUUAAAAGAAAAUCAUUGAUAUUCAUUGAUAGGUCCUAAAGUACAUCUAUUGAUCAACCAUGAUAAUAAUAAUAAAUACAAACUUAUAAAAUAUUUAAGUAUAGAAGAAGGCCUUGACUAACAAAUAUAACAAAUGAGUCCCCUUGGAAUUAGGGCAAAAUCUAACAGCAACACUUUCAUGUUGAAGUGUAUUUAAGGUUUUUUUUUACCUUAAUUUUUGCAAUAUAGUUCUGAAUGGCACAUAUAAACCUUGGAUAGCUUCAAAAUUUGUCUUUGAUGCAGUCGGACCAAAAUUAAUACCUAAAAAGCAUCGGCAAAAAAUUGAUAAAUUGGUUUCUUUUCUUUGUUUCAGGAUGGGCAAAAUGUGGGAAAUGAUGUACUUACUGAAAAACACAAUAAUUUAAGGCAUAUUAGUGAAAUUUAAUUACCAAUUAGUCUAGAAAUAAGAAAUAGUUACAUGAAGCCUUACAGGUUAAGCAUAAAGGUAAAAAGGAACAAAAAAUAGAAUGAUUGCAACACGGAAAAGCCAUACGAUUCCUGAGGAGAAGACAAAAACACUGUUAUAAGAAAAAGAAAUUCAAUAUAUUAGGCAAGAUUUCAUAGAUGCAUUAUAUAGGCAAAAGCAUAGCAGCGAGGAUGAGGGAUGUAACCGCAAGUAGGGCAUACGAAUCGGCGUGGAGGGUAGAGGAAUUGAUCAAAAACGGUUUGAGCAUCCAUCAUAUGUAACGGAUUAGGGAAGAGGGGAGAGGCCAUACGAAACGGAGAGAGGAGAGGGAACGACGCAGGAAGAGAGGAAAGAAAAUGCUCCAACAGAGAGAGGAGGUGGACUCGGCGGAGAGGAGAGAGAAAAUGGCGAAACGCUCCCUUUCGUGCGAAAAAACAGAGAGGAGAAAGGGGCGGUUCAGUUCAUUGGUUCAGAGAAGAGUCAUGUGGGUUCGGUUCGGUUCAUUUGAUUGAUGAGGGGAAGACAGGCGCUUCAGGUCGGUUUGGUUCGUUGGUAUGGUUUGGUUUAGAAAAACUGAAGAGGAAGAAGGGCGGUUUAAUUUCUUGGUUCAAAGAAGGGUUUUGAGGGGAGACAUGCCGUUCGAUUCGGUUUGAGAGAAAAGGGACGGUUCGGUUUCAGAGAGGGAACGAUGAGGAUGAAUUCGCUUUGAUUUUAUUUAGAGGUUUAGGGAUGUAAUGAGUGGUCCGGUUUAGAGAAUAAGCAAGUAAGAGAAAGAAGGAGCGGUUCGGUUCAGAAAGAUAGCUCGGUUCAAAAGUAGUAGUUCAGUUCAAUAGAGAGGCUGGUAAGGUUGAGUGGUUCAAUAGAGAGAAAAGUGGUUUAUUUUAAAGUGGAGUUAUGAGGAUGAAGGAUAAGAUGCCAUGUGGCAAAAAAUAUUGUGGCUUCAUAUAUGUUUAUAGAUAUAUAUAUAUAUAUGGCAGGGCUGCUGUGCUCUCAGGAGCACGGAGGCCUCCGUGCUCCUGAGCCAUUUUCGAUGAUGGAAUUUUCGAAUCGACGAUCGGCUCUGUUAGACUUGAUCUAGCGCAUUUGAAGUUUCUAGAAAAUAAUUUUUGCGAUUUUUCGAUAUCAUUUACCUAGUGAUCGAAAGGAUUCAAAAUCCAUAAUUUUUAAUGGUUGAUAUCUGCCGUUUUCAAGUUUAACGGUGUAGAAGUAUUCAAAUCAGAUGAAAUUUUGAUACAAAAUUCUUUAUACUAUCUACAACAAGCUCAAUAUUUCUAAUCAAAAAUUUCAGUGCUAUAUCACCACUUUUUAUAGGAUUUUUAUUUUUUAGCCGUUAAAAAUUAUUGAUUUUGAAUCCUUUCGAUUGCUAGGUAAAUGAUAUCGAAAAAUCGCAAAAAUUAUUUUCUAGAAACUUCAAAUACGUUAGAUCAAGUUUAACGGAGCCGAUCGUCGAUUCGGAAACUCCAUCAUCGAAAACGGCUCAGGAGCACGGAGGCCUCCGUGCUCCUGAGAGCACAGCAGCCCUGCUCAUAUAUAUAUAUAUAUAUAUAGAGUUGUGCUUCUAUACUAUCAAUAGUAUAGAAGCACAACUACUAUAGUGUUUUAAACCCUUGAUCCUUUCUCAAGAUUCGUGCACACAGGUGGGUGAAUUAAGUGGGAUGGCAACAUUUAACACCGUUAAAGGAGGAGAGAGAAACCCACUUAAAAACCUUACUCUCCCACUCUCUCUCUCUAUCUCUCUCUCUCUCAGGUUCCCCCCCAACCCAACCCAUCUCUCUCUCUCUUUCUUUCCCAUUUCUCCCAUUUCUCCCACAGGGCCUCAUCUCUGGCUCUUCUGAACUCACCCCGCUCCUUCCCCUCGCACCCAUCUGCCGGCUCACAACCCUAGCCGAGCGACACUGCCACCCGUCGGCGCCGCUCGUGGACGCUCCAACCCUAGCCACGCGACACUAUUCCGCGAAGCCCUCCAAACCCACCUGCGGACAUUGUCUGGACGCCGCUUCAACGUUGCUCCCUGACACCCUCCAAACCCGGGGACACCUCAUGGACCACAACAACAACAAUGACCAGGUUAUUUUAAUCCCUAGUUAGUUAAAAUAUUUUUUUCUUUAUAUUAAAUGGUUGAUAGAAAAUUAUUUAUUUCUUAAGUUAUAGAUUCAUAGUUGUUGAAUUAAUUACAAGUAUUUGUUUUUUUUCUUUAUGAUUUUUAUUGCAAGUAAUAAAUAGAAAAUUUGUUACAUUUUUUUUUGGGGGAUAAAAAUUUAUUAUCUAUACAUUUUCUCUUUAUGAUACUUGUUUAUGGCAGUAAAUAAAAAAAUUUUAAGAAUCAUAUGAGAUGGAUGAUGCUUAAUUUUAUAUUCCCUGUUUAUGAUUUUAAUGUUAUAGAUGGAUGAUGCUUUUCAAUCUGAAAAUAUUAGAAGAAACGGUGAGAAUAUGAAUUUAGAUGGUUUAUCUAUAUGUGGCCAAAGCAAUGCUCCAGAAAAUAUUAGUGAGAAUAUGAAUUCAGAUGAUUUUGAUGCCGAUUUAGAUAACCAUGAUGAACCAAACAGUUUGAUGCACGAUAGGGAUGCAAUGGAAGUUGUAAGUGAUGACCCCUAUAUUGGUAAAGAGUUUAACAGUGCUGAGGCAGCACGGACUUUUUAUAACUCAUAUGCAUUUCGACUCGGAUUUAGCAUAAGAAAGGCUAGUCAAUAUAAGGCAAGGAAACAAGAUGGAAUGAUGACAAGUAUGCUCUUGACUUGUUCAAAAGAGGGUCAAUCUAACGUCCGAGACUAUGACAAGCGUAGUAGUACAACUACACAAGGCCAAGUCACACCAACAAAAGAAUUUGCACACAAACGAUCAGGAUGUAAAGCCCUUAUGAGAGUAAAGAUGAUAAAAGGAGGUAAAUGGGUGGUUACAAGAUUUACAGAAGAGCAUAAUCAUGACUUAAUUGCAAGCCCAACAAAAACACGUUUUUUGCGUUCUCAUCGCUCUAUCUCCAAUGAGCAAAAACAAGUAAUACAACUGUUAAGAGAUCAAAAUAUUUCAACAAGUCAAAUUAUGUCUUACAUAGCAGCAAGAGAUGGGAGCUCACAAAAUAUCAAUUUUACUAUGAAAGAUUUAAGCAAUGAGAUUGUGUCAACAAAUAGGGGACUUGUUGGAGUUGAUGUUGCAAAUGCUCUCAAUUAUCUUCACGCAACUCAUGCCUCGGAUCCUUCAUUUUUUUACUCAAUUGAGGUUGACGAUAAUCAUAUGACAAAAAACAUAUUUUGGAUAGAUGGGAGAUCGAGAUUGGCAUACCAACUUUUUAAUGAUGUUGUGACAUUUGAUACAACUUAUAUGACAAACAAGUAUACAAUGCCAUUUGCUCCAUUUGUUGGUGUUAAUCAUCAUAGACAAUCAAUCUUUCUUGGAUGUGCCCUCUUAAGGGAUGAAACUGCCGAUACUUUUUGUUGGUUGUUUCAUACAUGGUUACAGGCAAUGUCGGGAGUGCAUCCAAAAGCAAUUAUUACAGACCAAGAUCCGGCAAUGAGAAAAGCAAUUGGACAAGUUUUUCCCACUCCUGUGCAUAGAUGUUGUCAAUGGCACGUAAUGAGAAAGGCAAGAGAACAUUUGGGAGUAUUAUAUAACAAAAUGGAAGGUUUCAAGAAUGAGCUAAAAUCAUGUAUUAAUUAUAGCUUGACAAUAGAAGAAUUUGAAACUAGAUGGAAUGAGAUGCUCGAUAAAUAUGACUUGAAUAGUAACAACCACCUUCAAUUAUUAUGGAAUACUCGGCAUCAAUGGGCUCCUGUAUUUUUUAGGGACACUUUUUUCGCCGAUAUGUCUACUUCACAACGGAGUGAGAAUGCAAAUGCUAUGUUGAAAAUGUUGGUGGAUUCGCAUACAUCAAUCUAUAGAUUUGUACAACAAUUUGACAAAAUAAUUCGAAGUCGAUACGAGAAAGAAGAAGAGGAGGAAUUCAAAACAACGGAUGGAGAGUCAUCUUUAUGGUCAUUAAAUCCCAUAGAGAAACAAGCACGCGAGAUCUAUACUAAAGUCAUAUUUUCAGAUUUUAAAAAGCACUUGAGAGAUGCUACAGGUUUUGGAGUUGUUGAAUUGGAGCAAUACAAGUUGUACCAAACAACCCUUUUGGAAAAUAUUUAUACAUUAAAACAAGGAUCAUGCUCAUAUAAAGUUGCAUCGAAGUAGAAACUGAAAAAAUUGUUGCAAUUGAAACAAAUUUGAAUUCACUGGUAUCUUAUGCCCCCACGCACUACGUGUGAUGCAACAUGUACGAAUGAACUUUAUUCCUACAAGUACAUUUUAAAGAGGUGGACCAAAAAUGCAAAAAAAAGGAAUGGAAGAUGGCAAAAUUAAAACUUUUACUAGUCAUUGUGGAUCUUCGAAUGGUACUGCACAUUGUAUGACUCGCUGAAUUUAAAGUCACAGUUUGUUAUGAAGGAUCAAGAAAUUGGAGGCAUAGGAGUUGGCUUGCCAUAAGAUUGAUGCAGCUAUUGAGGAGUUGAAGUCACUUAAUCAACCAAUGGGGGAAUAGGAAAGAAACUACGAAAGAAAAACAAGGUGAUUACCACGACGUUAUUUUAUCACAAGUCUACUCAUUAAGGACAACUAUGGAGGAAUGCAUUGUUAAAGAUCCACCUCAAUCUAAUUGCAAAGGUAAAAGAAAGCCUCAAAGAUAUAAGCCACCAGCUGAGAUGAAAGCCAAAAGUCUAGACUUGUGCAAAUUGCAAAAAAAAAGGACAUAAUAUUAGAACUUGUAAAGAGGUAAGCUAAAUUUUUUAACUCAUUUUUUACAUAUAUUAUUUAGUAGCUAAUUUCAAUAAUUUUGUUUUGAAACUAAUAUAAUUUUUUUAUGGUUCUAUAAUACAGGGGCUUACUGUUGCAGAUUGUCUAGAUGGUGAAUCAGUGAAGUCAUCCAGGACAAUAGUAGAGAUGCAUCAGAGGACUAAAAUUGAGACAAAUGUUCAAUGUGAAAUUAGUUGAUGUACUACAUGUUGUGUGGAAAUUAAAUUGUAAUUUUUCUUCAGUGGAUAUUUUGAUUUCUAAAUUCGGAUUCUAUUAGAGUGUAAUCUUGUCUUCUACUAGAUAUCUUUAUUUCCAAAUCAAUUGUAAUGUAGAAUGUUGAAUGUGGAUGAUUAAAUUACAGUGGUCACUCUUAAUUUGGAUUCCAUGUUAUUGACUCUUUAGAUUCCCCUCAUUCUUUGAAUUCUUUGAACAAUAUUUUAUGCAACUGUAGCACUGGGGCUUUCAUUACUAUGCAUCUAAUAGAGGAUCCGCGGUCGGGGAGAUGUUACACGGAUUUGGGGGAGCAAUAUCUUUACGCAACUAUACGAAUAAAUAAAAACACCAUAUAGAUUAUGUCAUAUAAAUUUAUUUAUAAAAUCAGAUUACAUCCAAAAUAACUCCAUCAGAUUAAAGGUAUUUAAAAUGAUUAAGUAUUACACAAUGCAUAAAACAAACUAGAAGAACUUAAAUAUUACACAGAGAAAAUUACAAUAAUUAUGAUAAUGAACAAUUUCUCUCUGCCUCUGUGACCCUUGUGGAGAGCUCAUCAAUUCGCGCCGUUAGAAUACCAAUUUGUUUAGCUGUUUCAUUCGAAUUUGAUAUAUAUGUUCAAACAGCCAUUCAUCUGAAUAUUUUGCCGGCGAUGCAGAACGUUGAAAAAACAUACUCCUUUCCACUUUUGAAGAGUUAGCGCUAUCUUCUUCAGAUAUAUCUUUGUCUCUCCUUAUAAUUUUAACAUCGCACCAUUGAAAAAAAUCGCAGUAAUUUUCAUUUUCUUUCUUAUAAUUAGGACACCCAUAAAAUGAUCUUCCACUACAAUUUGGUUGAGAGGAAACUCGUAAAACAGCGACUUCAUUGCAGUUGCAGCGAACAAUCCGCUUGUUGAUUGCGCUUCUCAUAUAAAAUGAUAAUAAUUACCUACAUGAAAAAUAAAUUUAGUUAGAAUAAAUUUAUUUUUAAGGAAGCAUACAAAUAUUGAUAAAUUUUUCUUUAAAAAUCAGAACAAAAUUAAAAAUUUUAGCACAAAUCUUGUACUUUUUUUUUACAUAAUUUUUUAAAAUAAAAUUAUAAAAAUAUUAGAAAAAAUAAAAGAAAAUAAUCAUUUUCUAUAAUUGUAAAAAAUUGCAUAUGCUUUUCAUUUUAUUUUUUAAAUAAUUUAAAAAAAUUUAAAAAAAUUCAGCUAAAAAUAGAAAUAAAUAUGUGGGAACACAAUAUUUGACCAAGUUUUGUCGAGGAGUGGUGUCGUUUGGAGGGCUUCGCGGAAUAGUGUCACGCGGCUAGGGUUGGAGCGUCCACGAGCGGCGCCGACGGGUGGCAGUGUCGCUCGGCUAGGGUUGUGAGCCGGCAGAUGGGUGCGAGGGGAAGGAGCGGGGUGAGUUCAGGAGAGCCAGAGAUGAGGCCCUGUGGGAGAAAUGGGAGAAAUGGGAAAGAAAGAGAGAGAGAGAGAUGGGUUGGGUUGGGGGGGAACCUGAGAGAGAGAGAGAGAGAUAGAGAGAGAGAGAGAGAGAGAGAGAGAGAGAGUCAGGUUUUUAAGUGGGUUUCUCUCUCCUCCUUUAACGGUGUUAAAUAUUGCCAUCCCACUUAAUUCACCCACCUGUGUGAACGAAUCUUGAAAAAGGAUCAAGGGUUUAAAACACUAUAGUAGUUGUGCUUCUAUACUAUUGAUAGUAUAGAAGCACAACUCUAUAUAUAUAUAUAUAUAUAUAUAUAUAUAUAUAAAGAAUUGAGCUCCUAUGCUUUUAAAAGUACCAAGUCAUUAGUGCUUGUAAGUUUUCGGCCCUUGGAUUAAAGGAUGUGCGGUUAGGAUGAUGUGGGCCCGCUAGGGUUGAGUGGGUGGUUGGUUUAAUAGUAUAAUCUAACGGGUAAAAAUGAUCAAAGGUAGAGAUCUAACGGUAAAAAAUUUACAAGCACCAAGUGCUUGAUACUUUUAAAAGCACCAUAGCCGGACUAUAUAUAUAUAUAUAUAUAUAUAUAUAUAUAUAUAGAGAGAGAGAGAGAGAGAGAGAGAGAGAGAGAGAGAGUCCGGCUACUAUACUUUUAUGAGUAUUGGCUCUCUUAUACUCAUAAGUUUUUAGCCUUUAGAUUUAUUCCAUUGAUCAUUUCCACCCGUUAGAUCAUACUAUUAAACCAACUACCCACUCAACCCUAUGGGACCACUAUCAUUCUAAGUGGGGACCACCUGUUGGCUUAAAUGGGCCAGCAUCCUGCCCUGUGGCGGGAGGCCAUGUGGGCCGAGUUAUGUUCGAAAUGGCGUGAGGCUGGGUUGGGCCGAGUCAUGUUCGAAGUGGCGUGAGGCCAGGUGGGCCGAGUCACAAUCGAGACACGUGGGCGCUGUUUCUGUACGCUUUAAGUGAAUUGGUUGCGUAUUUCUAACAGCUCGAGCUUUUGGGAUUAAUGGUUAGUGCCAACGAUCCGACAAGUGGUAUCAGAGCCAGAGGUCACGGGUUCGAUUCUUGCAUGCUGCAAAUGUGUGCAGGUACUGGAGGGGAGAUUGUUGGCUUAAAUGGGCCAGCAUCCUGCCCUGUGGCGGGAGGCCAUGUGGGCCGAGUUAUGUUCAAAAUAGCGUGAGGCUGGGUUGGGCCGAGUCAUGUUCGAAGUGGCGUGAGGCCAGGUGGGCCGAGUCACAAUCGAGACACGUGGGCGCUGUUUCUAUACGCUUUAAGUGAAUUGGUUGCGUAUUUCUAACAGCUCGAGCUUUUGGGAUUAAUGGUUAGCGCCAACGAUCCGACACCACCAUCAUCUUAAUCAUACAUCCCAUCAAUCAACGGUUAAAAAUUUAUGAGUAUAAGGAGGUCUAUACUCAUAAGAGUAUAGUAGCCCCAGCCUAUAUAUAUAUAUAUAUAUAUGGGGGAUAAUUGUCUAUAUACCCUUCAAAACUUCGAAAAUAUCUCAUUUACUCCUACUUUUUUUUUUAUUUCCAAUAUACCCCUCAUAUGUUCCUCCGUUAUUCCAAAAUACCAUUGUAGUUACCACUCGUUAAGUUAACUUGGAUUAAACGUGAGUUAAAUAUCUACUACAGUUAAAAAAAAUUAAAAUACCACUUUUGCCCUUAAUUUAAAGGCAAAUAAGAAAUGUUGGUGAUGAUAGAAGAGUAUAUUUAAAAAGACCAAAAAGCAAAAUACUUUUUGUGCCGCUAACUUAAGGGCAAAAACGAAAAGUCGGUGAUGGUAGAAGGAUAUAUAUGAAAGGGCAAAAUAGUAAUUUCAUAGAGAUAACAGAUUUCAUUAACAGAUUUUAACUCUAAGGUAUAUUAGAAAUAGGUAGGAAUGUAAAAAAGACAUUUUCAAUAGUAGCCUUCUAAGAGGGGUAAAUUAGAAAGUCGGAAACUUUUCAGGAGUAUAUAAGCAAUUACCUCUCUCUCUCUCUCCCUCUCUCUCUCUCUCUCUAUAUAUAUAUAGUCCCGCUACUAUACUAUCGAUAGUACCAAGCCCUUGGUACUAUUGAGUUUUCUACCGUUAGAUCUACCGUUUGAUCAUUUUCACUCGUUAGAUUAUACUAUUAAACCAACCACCCACUCAACCCUAGGGAACCACUAUCAUCCUAACCGCACAUCCUUUCAUCCAACGGCCGAAACCUCAAUAGUACCAAGGGCUUGAUACUAUUGAUAGUAUAAUAGCAUAAUUCUAUAUAUAUAUAUAUAUAUAUAUAUAUAUAUAUAUAUAUAUAUAUACUAUUAGUAGGGCUGCUGUGCUCUCAGGAACACGCAGCCUCCGUGCUCCUAAGCCGUUUUUAUGAUGGAAUUUUCGAAUCGACGAUCGGCUCCGUUAGACUUGAUUUAGCGUAUUUGAAGUUUCUAGAAAAUAAUUUAUUAUUUUUUGAUAUCAUUUACCUAUCAAUCGAAAGAAUUUAAAAUCAAUAAUUUUUAACGGCUGAAAAUAAAAUCUUAUAAAAAGUGUGAUUAUAGCACUAAAAUUUUCGAUCAGAAAUAUUGAUCUUGUUGUAGGUAGUAUAAAGAAUUUUGUAUCAAAAUUUCAUCUGAUUUGAAUACUUCUACACGUUAAACUUGAAAACGGCAGAUAUCAACCAUUGAAAACAUUUAUAUAUAUUUAUAUAUAUAUAUUAUUAUAUAUAUAUAUAUUAUUAUAUAGAGAGAGAAGAGAGAGAGAGAGAGAGAGAGAGUAGGGCUUGAAUACUUUUACAAGUAUCACCCAAGUGAUACUUGUGUGUUUUUAGCCAUUGGAUCUAUUUUUGAUUACUAAUAGCCUUUAGUAAACACCUAUUCCACCUACCACCACCUACCACCAUCAUCUCAACCUCACAUCUCUCCAUCCAAGGGCUAAAACACACAAGUAUCACUUGUGAUACUUUAACAAGUCAUUCUAGCUCUACUAUAUAUAUAUAUAUUAUAUAUAAUAUAUAUAUAUAUAUAUAUAUAUAUAUAUAUAUUAUUAUAUUAUAUCAUAUAUAUAUAUAUAUGUAUGUAUAGAGUAGGGCUACUAUACUCUUAUGAGUAUUGCGCCAUUCGUACUCAUAAGUUAUUUUCGAUGAUGGGACUUCCGAAUCGACAAUCCACUCCAUUAAAUAUGAUCUAGAUUAUUUGAAACUUCUAAAAAAUAAAUUUCGUAAUUUUUCGAAAUCAUAAUAAAGUCCAUCAAACGGGUAUAAAAUGAACGAUCAAAAUCGAAUGACGUCCUAAAAAUGGAUGAUCGGAUCCUUCAAUUUAAAAUUGGAGUUAUUGAUCCUUAUCUAGGUAGUGAAAAGAAUUUUCUAUCAAAAAUUCAACCUAUUCCAAUUCUUUUACACUGUUAAAUUAGCAAGUAUCCCAUACCGGCCGUUAAAAGUUGUCAAUUUUGUGAGCUUUUGAUCGUAAGGUAAAUGAUGUCGAAAAAUUAUAAAAUUUGAUUUCUAGAAGUUUUAAAUGCUCUAAAUAAUGUUUAACGAUAUAGAUCGUCGAUUCGGAAGCUCUAUCAUUAAAAACAACUUAUGAGUACAGGGGCGAUCGUACUCAAAGAGUAUAGUAGCCGGACUCUCUCUCUCUCUCUCUAUAUAUAUAUACACACACACACACGUACUAGUGUAGUAAUCUGUGCGAUGCGACGAAUAAAUAAUUAAAAAAAAUAGAAAACGACAACAAAGGAACAGGAAACAGCGAUAGAAGAAGCAACAAUAAAGGAUGGAAUUCAUCUUGCCCCUGAAAGAAAGGUAACAACCGAAAGAACUAAAGAGGAACAGUUCAACCCUAUGCAAAGGUGUGACCCGAUUCGGUUCAAGCAAAAAAAGAGAAAAACCUAAAUUGGUUCAAGUAAAGAAAGAGAAAAAUAUAUAGAAGACUUGAGAUGAUUUGGGGGAGCCCACACUCACUAAUGAAGGAAUUGUUGACAUGUGGUAAAUUUUGAAGAAUAAUGUAUACUAGUGAAGGACCUGAGUGUUGCGGCCAAACGAUUCUGCAGAAAUAAAUAUAUAAAUAAAAUAAAUAAUAGUAAAAAAAAGAGUCAAAAAAUUGUAUAAAAAAUAACUAAAAAAUAAACAACUAUUGCUGUAAUAAAAUUAUAAGAAAGAUUACAAAAAAUAAAGAUAAAAAUCAUACUAAUAAGAAAUUAUAUAUAAUUAUAUUUAUACUUAUAUAUAUUAUAAUUAUUAUUAUAAUUAUAUAUAAUUUUUAGAAAAUUGGAAUUAUAUACUAAAUUUUUUAAAUAUUUAAAAAAAUUAAGUUAGAUUUAAAAAUAAAUAAAAAUAUUUUUAAAUUUUAUAUAUUUAUUAAAAAUUUAUUCAAUUUAAUAAACAUAAGUUAUAUUUAAAAUUAAUUCGAUUAUUUUCUUAAUAAUUUUUAUAUAUUUUUUGUUAUUUCCUUUAAAUUUUUACUUUGUAUUUUUUUCAUUUUUUUUUUAUUUUUAUUUUCCUAUUCUAUCUAUUUUCUUCUUAUCUCCGUUUUACAUUCUUGUUAUUUANNNNNNNNNNNNNNNNNNNNNNNNNNNNNNNNNNNNNNNNNNNNNNNNNNNNNNNNNNNNNNNNNNNNNNNNNNNNNNNNNNNNNNNNNNNNNNNNNNNNNNNNNNNNNNNNNNNNNNNNNNNNNNNNNNNNNNNNNNNNNNNNNNNNNNNNNNNNNNNNNNNNNNNNNNNNNNNNNNNNNNNNNNNNNNNNNNNNNNNNNNNNNNNNNNNNNNNNNNNNNNNNNNNNNNNNNNNNNNNNNNNNNNNNNNNNNNNNNNNNNNNNNNNNNNNNNNNNNNNNNNNNNNNNNNNNNNNNNNNNNNNNNNNNNNNNNNNNNNNNNNNNNNNNNNNNNNNNNNNNNNNNNNNNNNAGAGAAAAUAAAAACGUAAUUUCAUACAAAAGAAUUUAAAGGAUAUAUGUUGUUAAAAAUAAGAGAAUAUUAAAAAAGAAAGUAUAAGAAAGAAACAAGAGUAACCUAAUAUAAAAGUAAGAUUUUUUUAACUUAAAUAUAAUAAUUAGUUAGUUUAUACUAAUAAAAAACGAUAUAUAAAUGCAAAAAUAAACAUAUAAAUUAAACAUUAAAUGAUAUUAAAAAUAGGUGGUGUAGCGUUUAAGGAUGUGAUCAUAAUAAUAAUUUAAAAUUCACGUUAGUAAUAUUUGUGAUUUAGUCAAGGAGACAUAGACAUAGAUAUAGAUAUAGAUAAAAGAUAUGGAUAGAUAUUGUAUGUACUUAAGAGUCAAAACCUUGUCCACCGCUCGCACCUCCGCGCCCGUCCCCGCUCGCGCCCCGCGCCCGUACGCCCGCGCGUACCACCCCGCGGUGCACCGCGCACGUGUGCCCCUCGCCCGUGCGCCCCGCGCCCGUCCUUCGCGCUCGGCCGCGCCCCGCGCCGCCCUGUCCACCGCCAAGAAAAAAAAAAAUGUUGGGGUUGCUUUCGUUACUGGACUAAUUAUAACGGGUUCCAAUUUCUUUUUUUCUAAAGAAAAGGAAAGUUAAUAAUUAAAAUAAAAUAUAAUUAUGAGAGAAAACAUAGAUUUUUUUUUCUUUUUGAGAAAGGAAAAAAAUAUUUUUGAAUUCAUAGAAAUAUAAAAUCUUACCUAAAAUGGACUCUAGAUUCGUAACUUUUUGAUUCAUCAUCACCUACUUCUUCUCUAUAUUAAGUCAGAUUAAAAUUGUAAAAAUUAAUAUUUAGAAAUUAUUGUAUAUAAUAGGUGGUGGGAUGGGAGGAAGGAGAUGGGAGACCGGGGGUUUUUUCGAGAGAGCGGGUUGGAGAUAAAGGGAUGUAGUAGGGGGGGAUGGGAGACCGAGGAUUUGAGAGAACGGGUUGGAGAUAAAAGAAUAUAGUAGGUUGUAGGGUGGGGGGGAGACCGGGGAUUUUCUUGAAAUAGCGGGUUGGAAAUAAAGGAAUGUACGGUGGAAUGUGGGGGGAAGAAGGGAGAGAGGGAGAUGGAGGGACCGAGGGUUUUCUUGAGAUGGCGGGUUGGAGAUGAAUAAACAUACGGUGGGAUGGGGCGGGUUGGAGAUGAAGGGACGAUGGGUUGGAUGUGAAGGGACGUACGAUGAGAGGCACACUUAUAAAAAGAAAAAAAAAAUAAAAAAGCUCCAAGAAAGAAGGUCUUGUUAUAUCAACUAUUGAAGUUUAGUAAUUAAUGACUGGGGUGAAAUAAUGAUAUAUUGUCAAUUUGUCAUAUCACUAUCUUAUACUUAUUAGGAUUACUUGUAGCAGCACUCAAUUCGAAUACGGAAUACCUAGCGAGUAAACAUGUUGACCUUUUUUUUUUUUUUUUGUCUUUCUCAUUGAAAAUCCAGCCAAGAGCCCAGAAUCGGGCCCAAAAAGGACGCGACCCUCUCUCAAUACCGGGCCGAAGGACCAGACAUCGAACCGGACCGGAGUGGCAUGGAUUCGUUUCGUACGACUAGACCCGGUCCAACACCCGAACCUACACCCGUUUCAACUGCCCGGUGCUUGUGGAUCCAACUGCCCCCACUCCCACUUUCUAUAUCUAGGGCUCCCGGAAACCUCGGAGCUCCGACGACGAGCUUCGCCCUUCUCCUUCGUCCCCACGCCCUCGCCUCUAUGCGGACGCUCUGACCCCGUCCUCCUACUCCUCCACCGCCCCCUCCCCCUCGUGUUCGUCUUCGACCUAGCGAUCGCCAUUGAGAUCCACCUCCGAAGUUGCUCCUCCUCCUCCUCCUCCUCCUCCCUUUCUUCUUCGCCUUCGCCUUUGGAGAUCGAUCUCUGAGGUCGCUCCUCGUCGCCGCCCAUGUCGUGGCUCAAGAACGCGGUGAACAAGGCCGUCGAGGUCGGCGGGAGGAACAAUCUCACCCGCACCGUCAGGAACUAUGCGGACUCCGUCGUCCACCACGCCGGCCAGGCGGUCGCCGGCGGCGCCCGCAUAUUCCAGGACCGCAUGGUGAGCCCCUUUUCUAUGCGGGAGUCUCGUAUCGCAUGCGUUUACUGGGAGUUGAUUCCUCUUGUGUCCUCUUUUUGACCUAAUUAGAGAUGUAUCGUUGAUGAAAAGGAAAUGGAGUUUUGCUUUGAGGAAUUUUUUUUUUAAUUUUUUAAAUUAUUUAUUAUUUUUUUAUUGGCAAUUGGAUGAUGUUAACAUUAUUAUAUGUGUUAAGAUCACGUUAAUGUAUGGGAAAACAAAAAUAUAGUCCAUUACUUCUGUAAAUCUUGGGCGAAAUGUAUCGGUAGAUCCUGUCCUAUCCCGAUAAUUGACCCUGUUCUUUUUGCUGCAACACGUAAUCCCUCAAGUUUUACAUAUAUUGUGUUCUACGCCCUGAUUUUUGGAAAGAUCAUUUUACCCUUUACCUACAAAAUGGCUCACUUAUUUCGGAUUUGUUCUGGUAAGGUAAAAAAUAUCAUCUUACAAUAGAACUUAGACUUUUUAAUGGUCAAGACUAAGAUGGAGUAUAUGUGAAAGUUAAAGGAUGAAAGCGUCUAAGUGAAAAAUACUAGGCACAGUCAGAAAGUUGGAUGAUAAAAAUCCUAUCCAUAUAUUAUCUGUUAAUUUGUUUUUCUUUCUGCUGUACUUUUUUAUCAGCUCAGGAUUGUUUUUGCACAUUUGAGUAGGAGAACAUGAAUUGUUACUUUUUCACUUUUGAUGAGAUUAUGGUAAAAGUGGAAGGGACAAAUUUAAGUUGGAAGUACAAAUUUAAAAUGCCGUUAGCUGUCAACCAGUUUCAGAACAUUAUACUGGACUUUCCAAUUCCUUGCUAUUCUGUGAUACUUGCAUAGGUGCAUCCUGUCUUGUUGCUUAUUCAGUAGACACUUCAUAAUAGCAGAUAGAGUUUCUAGCUUAAACAGAUCAUAAUAUACUGUCAUUUUUUCAUUUCAGUAGUUAAUAUUGUUAUAUUGGCUUCCCUUCCAACUUCCAAUAAUAUAUGAUCUUGUUUUGGGCAAAUUGAAAUGGAACAAUAUAUACUCAUCGAAGUUGAUAGAGAAGUUCUUUUGGUAUAAUUAAAUGAGGGGAAAAGUAAAAUAUAUACACAAGUGGAUGCAGGUAUUAAUUUUUAUUGGAUCAUGUCACUUGCUUACUUCUGCAGGGUAUUCGCAAUUAUAAAAGCUUCAAGCACACCUUGAAAAGAUUAGAAGAGGCUGCUGUUUCUUGCAGGGGAGAAGAGAGAGUUCAACUAUUAAGAAGAUGGUUGGUGGCCUUAAAAGAUGUUGAGAGGGCAUCAGGAGAUUCAGUAGAUGAGAAAACUUUAGAGCAGACUCAAUCUCAUGAUGAGCCCAAUACAUCUCCUCGAAAUGCUCCACUGGUUAGUGUAUGGAAUGCUUCACUUGUCAUAUAGAAGUACAUUUUCGUUAUCAUUGUCGUGUAAAUAUGCUCUUGUUUUCUUUUCUUGACUUCUAAUAUAUUUUACCAGUAUGCAUCACUUUGGAUAAAAGAAGAUAUUCUACAAAAUGAGAGAAUCUGAUUAUAAAAAUGAAAGUAUAAAUCGAACAAUACAGUGCACUUUUUCUAUCUUUCUCCAUCGUAUGCUUUUAUCUGCUGGUCAGAAGUCUGUUAUUGUAAUAUAGUGUAUAGCUAAUGUACUUUAUCUGCAGAAUUGAAUAAAAAGCUAUCUGAACUUAUCAUUUACUGAUAAAUAGCGCAGGCAACAUAUUUAGUUAAUUGGCUGCUUAUCCUGACAAAUAAGUGCAACAAGUUCAGUAAUUUCCUUUUUAUUUUUUGCAAAUCCAGUUGUAAAUAUGUCUUUUUUAAUCACUCCAGAGCUCUGUUUUCUUAAGAAUAGUUUCCUGACCUAUGAAUAACUCAAUGCCUCGAUUUGUCUAGAAACCUAGUUCUGAAGUUACAAUGAAAUUUCUCAUCCAUGCUGUGAAGUGCGGUUUGCACACUUUUUUUAAUGAAGUUUGUUUAAUUUGAUAGCCAACCCACUGAGAAUAAAAAAAAUAUAUGCGUCUGACAUUUCCUUUUUCAUUCUCUCAUGGGAUUCAUAACAUGAUGGAUUUGGCUUCAUUUGAAUUCCAUUUAAUAUGAACUAUUGCUUUGUUGAUGCCUGUCUCGUGUGCUUUUGUCACCUUCGACUUUGAUGUAAUUGUGGUAUGAAAGAUGACCUAAAGUUUUGGUUGUUUGCAUCAAUGUUUUCUAGGUUUAAAAGGUUGUUUCUGUUGAAGGGCUUACCUAUAUGUUGUCUAUGUGAUAGUAUAUCUUUCACCUCCGAUAACACCUCCAAUAAGUGGAAUAAUAUUAUUUGAAUGUUGGAACUUCGAAAAAUUUUGUAUCUUAGCAUUCCUUUGUAAAUUACAUGUAAAUACUUUCUUUACAUUUUGUUCACUAGCAUAAGUUAACCUAGUUUUCAGAAGCCACUGCUACUUUAUGAAAUUUUACCGUAGUUGGUAAUAGAUGACUUGGCAAUAUUUAACAAUUUUUACCUUUAUUUCCAAUUCUUGCAUGCAGGUUUUAUUUUUUGAUCCUGAUAUUGGAGGCGAGCCAAUGAAUUUCCGCGAUGUGUUCCUUUAUAGCCAAGCACUUGAAGGCAUCACAUUGUCCAUGGUGAGUAAAGCUACAUUUUAAGGUUGUGUAAGCCAUUCUUGUUCUGGUUAACUGAUCAGAAUAUAUGUAGAUAGUUUAGGCAACAACUGGCUAAAAAGCUAGCAAAUAAGCAUAUCAGUUGGUUGGCAUCUCCUAAUUGAUGCUUGCAUCAUUUAGCAUGUUGCUAACCAUUUUACACUUCAUUUUUAGUACUCCUAGGUGUAAUACAGUCUAUUGUUUUUUCAUAUUCACUUUAUAGUUCUUAUGCACUGGUGUUUUAUGAGGCAGUGUGUGUGCUCAUUCCCUUUAUUUUAAGGGGAAAGUACCAUUUUCCCCUGCUAGUAUACUUAAGCAUGGUCAUGUGCAAAUCAGUGUUAAACAUGGAAUGGACAUGCUGUCAGGAAAUGGGCUUGGUUUAGACUUUAGACCCACCUUAGACCUAGUAGGUAGUUGGACAUGAGACUCAUCUAAAAUUAUUCAUGCUUUAGUGCUUUUCCUGUUCUUUGAUGUCAGGCUUGAGAAUCUUAGGGCUUGUUUGGUUCAAGAAUGGAAUUGGAAUGGAUAAUGGAAUGAGAAUGAAUUGGAAUGACAAUUGGAUUGGCCCACUCCCCCAAGAUGUUUGGUUCAUUCCUGGAUUGGAAAUCAGAAUGGAUUAUUCCCAUUCCACUGUUUGGUUCAUACAAACUAAAAAAUAAUAGAAUAACAUAAUACUAAUUUUACUUUCAAAUAUAAUUCUAUAAAACUAUCUAAAAUUUAUAAAAAAAUUUAAUACUAUUCUCAAGUUAGAGCUAUGCGAAAAAAAAAAUUUUGAAUUUAUUUUAAAAAUUUUUACGCAAGAAAUUACAAAAAAAAUGCAUAAAUUUUUUUGAAUAAAAUUAUAAUAAAAAAUAAUAUAUCAGCUUUUUUAUUUUAAUAAUGAGAAAAGGAGGGAGGAGAUCGGUACAGGGAGAGAGAGGAUGGGUGAGAUGGAGAAAUGUGGGCUGGGCCUUAGGAAGAGGUGAGUGUGGGCUUGGGAAUGAAACGUCAAUCCGGGCUUGGAGAUCGGAGUCAAUUUGCAAGUUAUUGGAGCAUUCCCAUUCCGGUCCAGAAUGGGAGUCCCAAACCGAUUCCUGUGAACCAAACAAAAUUAACCGGAUUUUAUCAAACCGAUUCCCAUUCCGGGUCCAAAAUGCACGAACCAAACAUGCCCUUACUUUCUUUCGAUUCUUGUAAUCGCACGUUAUGGAUAGAAACCCAUUAUUUUUUGCAUUUAAACAACAUAAGAAACUCCGAGCAUUGCUGGGUGAGGACAACCAUCUUAAUACAGACAAAUAAAUUCGACAAGUGCAAAUUUGUAUUUUGGUCCAGUAACCACUUAGGAAAUUUUGGUUGUUGAAUGCUUGAACUUUCAUUCGUUUGAUCUGAUUCUUAGUCUGGACAAUUGGGGUUUACGUUGUUUGGAAUAUUAGGGCUUGCAGCCAUUUUAAUUGAUGCAGGCAACAAAAUAUAAUCAUGCAUGAUUGGGACACUUGUUUGACUGAGACUACUUGACACUUGUUAAGGAAUCUAGCGUCUGAACUCCAAGAAAAUUUUUUUUGUUUAUGUCUUAGAAAAGUAUAUUAAAUUUUACGCGACGUUAAUAGAUUUCCAAUAGCUGAUCAGAGCUCCAUAAUAGGGAGGAUGGUUGUGUUUGUUAGUUUUCACAGUUCAUUCAAACUUUUCUUAGGGUCCGUGUGGCCUGCUUCAUCUUAAGGGGGCCACUCUUCCAUUCUAAUUAUUGCCGUUUGGCACAUUUGAACCAACCCCAUGUUGCGUAAUCCAGACAUGAUAUGUGCACACACCAAGUUAAAUGCCGAAGCCAGAUUUUUGAAGCUUCUGCGAUACAAAAUUGGAUGCGUUCCCAUUUUCUCAUUCCUCAAUACUGUCAUUGCCCUUCCUUCCCACCUGUCUUUCAUGCAUACAACAUGCUCCCCAUGAACAAAGAAAAAACACUUAGCAGUAGAUAAUGUUAUGCUAUUAACAUUAGAUUUAUUAUGAUUACAAAUGAUUCAAAAUCUUACUUCUUCUGUAGUAUAAUUUUUACCUUAAUUUGGCUGUUCUUCUCAUUUGAUAGUCUAAAACUUUUUGUAAAAUAUGUAUGGAGACCCCUUAACUAUAUGCCAUUUUGCAACAGACCCUUCAAAAAUAUUUUAUUUGAUUAACACUCUUCGAACUUAUAAUUCUUUUGAUUUAAAUUAUUUAGUUACUUUUAUAAAUUAAAUCGAUAGUUUUAUUAAUUUAAUAGUAACUUUAUUAAACUUAACUAGCUUAACACUUUGUCAAUCAAUGGAACUAUGGAUUUCGUUAAUUGUUAAUGGUUGAUAUCCAACAAAGCAAGGUUUUAAGUGCCCGUCGGCACGGGCCGUAUCCACCAUGCCGUACCGUGCCAAUAAGAUACCGGCACGAUACAAACCUUGUGCUGAUGGCACAGCUCAAAAUCCUCUAUUCUUUAAAUUAGUAGGUAAUUUCCUCAAUAAAGUUCAAAAGAUGUGAUAAAAACGCAUAAUACAUAGGUAGAAAUAUUUUGUUGCUAAAGAAAAUAAAUAUUUCAUGCUAUUAUGUGUCGGCACACAAGAAUUUUUUUGAUCGGUACGCAUCGGCACGGCUCGGCACGCACCGUGCCGUACCGUGCCGGCAAGUUUCUGGUACGACCCCAUGCCACGGCACUUAAAUUCUUGCAACAAAGUCAUUAAUUUGAGUGAAUUCCUAAUCAAUUAAGGAAAAUACCUCAAAUAAAAACGAAUUAAUAAGUUAAAAAAAGUGUAGCAAAAAGAAAAAUAGUUGGGAGGUUAUUUUUAAAAUGGCCAAUAGUUGAAAGGGUCUCUUUUUAUAAAAAUUUCAUUUUCUUAUAAAGUAAGAGGAAUGGAUAUUUUGGUAAUGUCAAUACUCUGUAGCACCGGUUAGCACUUCAAUUAAAUCUUUGCCAAACAACUUUCAAUAGCCUACAAUACUUUCAUAACUGGAUCAACCAAACACUGCAGCUUUUUCCUACAGCAAAGUAUCAUACUUAACAGGACUUCUCUAACACCACUACUCCCAACUGCUUGGCCAAAUUGGCCCUUAGGGAAGUACAUGAAUGCACCUCAACUUAGUUCCCAUUUCCUCUGUAUCUGUUUUUUGAUUACUUUCAGGAUUUCUACAGCUAGUUGCUCCAUAAUUGGGAGUAUGGUUGCUAUAAGACUUGGUAGCUUUACAGCCAAGUAGAACAUUUGUGAAAAGAGCACAGAUAUGGAUUACUUCUGAAAUACAUUCUUUUUUCUUUUCUCUUUUAUAAACUGAAAAGUGAAUUCUUCAUUAUAGAAAUGGAAGAAAUAAGUUAUUAGCCAACACAAGCAGUUUGGACCUUGAGUAAACAUAAUACAGCCAUGUUCUUGUUGUUAUAUUUGCAUCCUUGAAAAACUCGAGAAUUCAAUGCAAUGUAUGUUCUAUUAAGUAAACUUUAGCAGCUAGGAAGUCAAGAGUCCCAUGAAUUAUAUUAAUAAUAGUUGAUUUAUCUAAGCUGGUCUGUCUUUUAACAAAUUUGAUACUCUGGCAGUUUGUGACUUCAUGGUAUGGGAAAAGUACCUUUCGGCAUAUUAUUCUGAAUUGGGGAACCUUAUCUCUCUGAUGUUCACAUAUCAGAUGGCAUAUUAAGUUGUGAAUUGUUCCUUCUGAUCAGAAAGGUUAACCGCAGGUUAAUUCUUUCUUUUCUGUGACUCAGAUUCUUGAAGCUCCUAAUGAAGAAGAAGUUACACUGCUGUUGGAAAUUUUCAGGUGAGGAUGUUGUUUGUUUUAAUAAUCACUGUUCUUGUUUUGUUGUUGUUUAGUUUUUUUUUUUCAAUUAAGAAGCUAAUUUUACAUCAAAGGAAUUGUACUUGUCUCACCGCUUAAAAUUGGUUGAAUUAGACAUGGAACUUUCAUUUUUAAUUCUUAAAUCUAUUUUUUCUGUCUAUUAUUUGCAAACAUACUUACAUUGUUUUGAAUAUCUUGUGUUGUGUCUUAAUAUGAGAUCUACGUAAUUUUAAAAAUUAUUAUUUGGUGGAAGUCUUGCAGUUUCUAUGGCAUAUUCAUUUUACAGUAAAUUAUAUAUGUGGUAAGCCUUGAACUUUUUAGUUUGGUUUGCUCCACGGUUUCUUAUACUUAAAAAUAUAAAUAUGUUUUCUCACAUGAUUUUUCCAUUGUCAUCCUUGGGUUCAUUUUCUGUCUGAACUCCAAAAUAUAUAACCUUUCUUGGAACAUCCUUUCCGUGUAAUCAUAAUGAAUCUUUGAAUGUAAAAUGUACCCAUCAUUAUUGACUGACUUGGUUUAGAUUAAGGUUAAUCAAGCCAUUACAUGGUAGAGGUUUAGAUAGGAUAUGAAGAUAUGCAUGACAAGCUAGAUAAGACCAUGGACUAAUUUGUAUACUAAAAAGUAAUGAGAAAAUAACAGAAAGUUAGAACUUCAUUGAUCACUUAUCUAUGACUAGUUAUGACUAGCAGUUAUUAAUAUUUACAGCUUACUUUUGAAGCUUUUCUUCAGACAGCUUUAAACAGUAAUUGUAUUUCCUUUCUCUAGCUUAUCCCUAAUGCAAUAUUUGAAUUAUUCAAAUAUAUUGAAAUUUUACAGAGAAUUAUUACCAUGCACCUUAAUUCUCUAGAAUGUAUGUAUUGCUUUUCACUAGCGUUCAAUGCUAUAUUGCACCAUUAGGUAAUUGGAUAUCUUAAACUAUCGUAGAAGUUACAGAGAACAAAAGGCCUCUCACCUUUCUUUGUUUUUAAAUGAUGUCUUGCUCACUACUCUGACAGUUGAUUUCAGUUCAAUGAGGAUUUUUGUCUGAAGUUGAUUUUCUCCCUCAAGAUUGUGUCUUACAGGAGGCAAAGAAAUCCAUAAUGCGAUUAUGAGUAGCAUACAGGACUUGGCAAAAGCAUUCUCAGGUUACCAGGAUGAAGUCUUGGUAUUUCUCUUGCCGGUUUAAAACUUUCAUAAAAUAUGCUAUUUUCUUUUCACCUGCCAUAUAUUUCGGUCUGGUCUUAGUUGAGCCAUGAUUGUGGUUAUGCUUGAAUUGAAUUUUAAUUGCUAGCAUAUGAUAAAGUCAAAUAUUCAUUUCAGGUGAAGCGUGAGGAACUACUUCAGUUUGCUCAAAGUGCCAUCUCUGGACUUAAAGUAAAUGCUGAUCUGGCAAGGUAAUUAAUAUGGCAAGGUGCCAUCUCUGGAUUUAUGUGCAUAUUGGUGGUGGCUGGUGGUGUAGUUAUAAUCAAAUUGGGUAAUAUAUUUCAGACUAAUACAAAAGUUACGUUCAUGGCACAAUUUUGUCCUAUAUAUCUUGCAAACAAAAAGGUCGUAAUUUUAAUUGCUAUGGAUUAUUUAGUAACGCUCGCAUCUUUAUUAGUCAUGCAUUUCAGUAAUAAUUUGAUAUUCAAGGAAAUGAUGGUACGUAAUUGUUUUUCCAGAAUUUCUGUUUUGGACCCAACAUGCAUCUUGUGUAUCAGAUAACCCUAAAAGUACUGUUGAGAAAAACAAUGAACUAAUCUUAGUUACAGUGUUUACCUAAAAUCAUCUUCAAUUUUAUUUUCUAAUCUGUAUCUAACUUCAGGUUAGAUGCAGAAGUCGUAAAACUGCAGCAACAACUAGAUGGAUCCAAAGAACUACGAGCUCCUGCUAAUGACAAUCAUGAUCAGACUUCUCUUUCCACCGUGGAGGUAAGCCUCUCUCUCUCUCUCUCUCUCUCUCUCUCUCUCUCUCUCUCUCUUGGAAAGAGGAAAGCCUAAUCUUCCAGUCUAUUUUCUGAAGAGAAGCUUUGAUUGUUUAAAGUUUUGAUGUGCUGGUCAUAGAAUAAGGCGUAAGUGUUUAAUGCGCGAGAUACUGCUGAAGAUUAAAGUCAUUCUAAUUCUUAUUUGCACAAUAGAUCUUGUUAUAUGCAUAUGAACAAAGAUCGAAUGAAUUUUUUGUAACACUAUUUAGAAAAGAAGAUAUCAUCAUAUUGCAUUAUCUUCAAAGAAAUAUGGGCACUCUGAACGGGUAAAGACAAUAAGAAUUGCUCCUUUGUUAUGUGGGCUCAAACAUUUUGUGUAAAUUAAGCACAAAUUUCUUCUUGUAACUUUAGUGUUGUAGAGACUAAGCAGCACUUUUUACGUGGCUUUGGUUGCACUCUUGCUAUUUAAGCUCUGCUAGAUUAUAUAUUAAUAAGAUGCAAUGGCCUAUGUACCCCUCUAAAGUAUCCGCUUUUCAAAUUUACCUCUCGAAGCUUUAAGUGAUGAAAUCUACCCAUCUAAAGCUCCAAUUUCUUUCAAAUAUACCUUUAGAGUUAAGUUCUUCAGUCUACCGUCAAAUAUAGCUGUUAACUCUACAAAAGACUCAUUUGGCCUUUCAAAUUUGCCCCCUAAAAAGUUUUAGGUGAUGAAAUUUACCCUUCUAAUGUUCCAACUUAUUUCAAAUCUAGCCCCAUUUUAACUGGGGUUAGAUUGAGGAUGAAGUUUACAUGGGGUUAACCUGAAUGAGCUGAUAGAAUAGCAUACAUAAAUAAUAGAGAAACUUUAGAGUGGUAGAUUUCAUCACUGAGAACUUUUUAGGGGUAAAUAUGAAAGUUGGCUACUUUGGAGGGGUUCAUAGGUGAUUAUCCUUACUAAUUAGUGGUCGCUGGUAACUGGUCUAUCUAUAGAAAAACUUUUGUUGUUUAAAUACAGCUCCAUAGUGAGCGUGACAUCUCAUGCCUGUUCAAAGUUUCACAAGUUCAUGCCUACGUGCAUUUUAUAUGUUGUAUAUAUGGCUGGUGAAAUUUCACUUGGCUCUGAAUUAGCGCAGCUUUAUUUUUUCUGAGUAUGCAGGUCCUGAAAUAUGCACUCAGUGAAGUCCGUCUAUGCUCUAGAAUGGAAUCGCUUAUAUUAAAGAAGAAAUCCAUAAGUAGUGGGGAUUCCAUAGAUAUCCAUUCUCAAAAGGUACUUUCCCCCCUCGACAUUCCUUGACAUUGAAUAAUUACUCUGAUUUUUUUUUUCUUUCCAAGUGUUAUUUUUAUUUGGCAUAUUAUAAAAAGGAAUUGGUACAUUAACCUUUUACAUUUAUGCAAAAAAUGACAGGUUGAUAAGCUGAAGGUUUUAGCGGAAUCUCUCGCUGUUUCUUCUUCAAAAGCAGAAAAACGAAUUUUGGACCACAGGUUUCAACUUUGAACUAUAGCAUCCUCUCUUUUUUUGUAUGAGCAUCUUGCUGUGUAUUUUGGAUUUCGAUCUUGAGUGCAACGGCAUUUGCAACAAAUACAAUUCUUUCAAUUGUUGGUAGCCUGACUAAGUUGAAUCUAGGUGAAAUUCUUUCCGACUGGUAGAUUUUCUAGUUGAUAGUUUUGGCAUCUGCAACUUUUAGGCUUCUUUAGAAUGAGACAAGUACUCACUGUUUAUUGUCAUUCCUAAUUUUCCAUCGCACUUAGUAUUUAUUAUACAUGCUUUUAUUACACGACCAUCUAAUUUUUGCUAUUAUCAAAAUAUCACUAUUGAAUACUUUGGAGUAAGCAUAGAAUGUGACAAAUACUUCAGAGUAAGCAUAUAACUAAUUUUUUUCUUUCAAUUCAUAAACCAGGCAUCAAAAAGAAGAGGCUCUGAACUUCCGUGUAGCAAAAGCCAAUGAAGUUAGUGGGAUUGAGAAGGUAAGUUGUUGGAAGAACAAAUACCUAGGUAUAUGUGUCUGCCUUAGUUUCUUAAGACUAGCUAUCAUUAACGUAGCUUUUAAAUUGCACGUUUAAUUGGGCCACAUGUUUGGUUUUCUGAAACUAGUGGAUAUUACUUAUUAAACCUCUAUAACUCAAAAAACAGGAAUUGGUUGCUGAGAUUGCUGCAUUGGAGAAGCAAAGAGAUGAGCUUGCGGCGGAGCUAAAGAAGGUUAUCUUUUUCAUUUUUGCAUUUUAUGGGAAGAUAUCAGUUACCUUGUAGCACCCUCCGAGUCUCUCUAAGUAAAUUUAUAUUUUUUUAUAUUGCUAACGUGUAACAGUAUAAAAAACAGACUAGAAAUAAUAAGUUAUCCAUCAAAAACUUUUAAAGGGAUUAGCACCAUUGCAAAUCCCAAGUACCGAUCUUAAGGGCAUUCAUAUUACUCUAUGAUUUGUGAAAAAGAUCAUGAGAUAUACAUUUGAGCAGAGAAUGGAGGGUUAAAUAUCCCAAUGUCUGCUGUAAUUUACAAUAUUUCUUCAUUGCCAUCUGCUGUUACUAGAUUUUAAACAUUUGUGAAUUUUUGUGUUUGUUUUCCAUCAAUUUCCGUUGUAAUUUCAUCUCCAUGUCAUCUCACAAAAUGCAAUUGUUCCAUUACUGUACUAAUCAACUGAGGUCACAUUGGUUCAGAUUAGAAAGGGCAUUUACUACAUUUUUCCUUUUUUAUAGUUUUCCUUUUUGCCUUUUGGAAGGGUAAGAUAUUUCUAAGUUUUUUUAAAGGGCGAGAGUAAUCAAGGGUUGUAAUUUAAAAUACAUUACUCUGAAAAAUCUGUUACAAUAUUCAUAGUCUCUGUUACAACAUUCAUAGGCUCAUGAGGUGUUUCUUAAAGAUGGAUUAUGAAAAUGAGGUGUUUCUUAAAGAUGGAUUAUGAAUGCAGGUCAAUACUUCUUUGGCCGCAGCUGUUGGACGGCUUAACAAAACAAGAGAGGAACGAGAUCAAUUCGAUGAAGCAAGCAAUCAGAUUGUUUUACAUUUGAAAACAAAGGUUUUAAAAAUCUUUUUGAUUACAAUUCUCUUAUUUGUAUCAUGUACCCUUGACAAAAUGCCGAUGCUAAACUUUAACGGCAAAUUUAACAUAUAUACCCCUGCAAAUUUGUCUAUGCCCUUAAAAAAGUUGAUUUUGUUACCCCUUAUGCUUACAGAAAUGCACUCUUUAGAAAACCUUUUCUAAUACAAAACCAGCUAAUCCUCAUGAAUCUAGUGACUCCCAACCAAGGCUUUAAGUGCCCGUCGGCACGGGCCGUAUCCACCAUGCCGUACCGUGCCAAUAAGACAUCGGCACGAUACAGAUUCCGUGCCGAUGGCACAGCUCAAAAACCUCUAUUCUUUAAAUUAGUAAGUAAUUUCCUCAAUAAAGUUUAAAAGAUGUGAUAAAAAGACAUAAUAAAUAGUUAGAAUAUUUUGUUGCUAAAAAAAAUAAAUAUUUCAUACUAUUAUGUGUCGGCAUACAAGAAUUUUUUUGACCGGCAUGUAUUGGCACGGCUCGGCACGCACCGGCUCGGCACGCACCGUGCCGUACCGUGCCGGCAAGUUUCUGGCACGACCCUGUGCCACGGCACUUAAAUCCUUGCUCCCAACUUAAGCGUGCUUUUCAAAGAAGCUGAAAUUUUGGAGCAUAUAUAAAAAUACUGUUUCACAAGUAUUUAUACAUGUGAAUAGAUGAUGAUUUUGUAGGGAUAACCCCUUGCCUAUGAAACCUAUGAACCACUUUAUUUUAGGUUGACCUUUCUAUCUUUGUGUUAUAGGAGGAUGAGCUCUCAAGGUCUAUUGCAUCCUGUAAAGUAGAAGGUGAAAUUGUUAAUACGUGGAUCAACUUUCUGGAGGAUACAUGGAAGCUCCAGUCUUCUUACACUGAACGCGAGGAAAAGCAAGCCAAGUAUGAAUAUUCUGAUUGGAUGCCUAUGAUAUUUAUUUAUUUUUUGGGGGGAAAAAUUACAUACAUAAUAUCACAGGUAUUAUAAUAUUAUUUUUAAAUAUCAUUUUUACCUUUCCUAUGGCUGAAAAUGUCAUAAGUACACCUCGUAAAUAUCAUAAAUGCCCUCCUGCAUGGGCAUGAGGCAUCUGUAUAUUCAAAGGGGCAUCCGUGAUAUUUAAAUUUUUAAAGGGGCAUAUAUGAUAUUUUGAUGUUUUGUGUACAAUAUAGGAAAUUAUCCCUUCUCUUUUUCGUUCUUUCUCUUUUCAUUCUUGUAUAUUCUACCUAUUCCUAUGGGAAUAUACGGCUGGAAUGAUUUGAUCCACAACAUACAAUUGUUCUUUACUGGAUCUUGAAUGAAUUAUUGCUGAUAUUUCCUUUUUUCCUUCUCCAUUUUGGAUCCUUUUUUUGUUUUCAGUGAUGAACUUGAGAGAUGUGCGAACUAUUUUACCAAGUUGAUAAAGCAUCACCUUUCUUCAUGCAAGGUAAUACAAUUUAAUUGAAUCUAUAUCUAAUAAUCUUGCCAUCUUUAUUCUCAACCUUAUUCUAUUCCUUGGAUAGGAUGUGCUAAGCCCUUCAAUUGAACGGAUCAGAACUUUUGUGGAUAAUCUAAAAAUAUUCAGUGAAAGGUAGUUUAAUUAUUUGUUUUAGCCUCUUUAUUAAAUCAAUUGAACAUCUAGUCGAUUGCUAAAAUUGCUUUUGAGCUCAUUCUGCAGACCAUCUGAAAUGCCGGAGGAUGAAGGUAAUGAAACAUAUAAAGAAUCAAACCCUAGGAAAUAUCUCGAGGAGGAAUAUUUGGAAGUCGAGAAAAAGGUAUUUAUGUCUAUAGAAUUAUUUUGAUACGUUUCUUUAGACUUGUUUGUUACGCUGUCUUGUUUAUGAACAUAAGGAAUCAAAUAUGUUUUGUUUCAGAUCAUAGCUGCAUUCAGUGUGGUUGGUCACAUGAAGGCGCUCUUUUACUCCGAAGAAGGGAACAAUAAUAGGUACUGCCUUCUAUUUUCUCUAUAUUUUAUAUGCAGUACUUUGUUUCUGCGGCCGUAUAUUAGAGAACCUAUUAUGGAUGUGGUACGUCACGGCAUCCAUGGACCGCACGGCUAAAAAGGCGACACAUAUCCUCAUUAAGGGGCUCUUGUUUUUUGUUCUUCAUCUUGUGACGAAGCUAUUGGUAUGGUGAGUAGACUAAAAUACAGAAGCAGAAAGCUUCCCCACAUAUAUUGCGAUUUGACAUUAUCUCCCUCUACAAUUAAAACCUACAGAUAACCCCUUGAUUAAUUCGAACUUCAGUACUUCAAGCCUACGUAGUAAGAAGAGAAGGGGAGAAGGGUUCAAAUGCUAACUUUCUUCAGUCUAGUGGAGUAUAUAUGUGAAAUUUGAUUACUACGGUGUAGAGCGCGAAUCCUGAUGUAUCGAGGGGGGUCAUCUGUGGUUCUGAAAUAUUACAGGAACACAAGACCCCCACCCAAAAUCUGAAUGGGCCACAGUCCACGGAUGAUGUGGUGGAUCGGUUCUGGGCACACUUCAUAUCUACCAUACAUAAUUUACUCCCCAUUUCUUUAAAUGCAGGCGAGACGACCCCGAGAUCAAAAAUAUAUUUGCUGACAUUGAGAAAUUACGAGAAGAAUUCGAAGCGAUCGAACGCCCGACGCUGGAAAUUGAGAUCCCUAAAGAUAAGAUGACCCCCGAAGAGAGACUAAAUCGGAGUUCGUCUCAUACAGAAAGAAACCCUACUUCGCCGAAACCUGCGGGAACAGGCUCUCCGAAGUCAACUUCCGCGGCAGCAGAAGAACAGCAGUUUGAUCCGGAAUCCGAGCUCGCGAAGCUGGAAAUGGAGUUUGGGAAAGUAGGCAAGGAGUAUUCAGGUGAUGAGAUCAGUGGAUGGGAGUUUGAUGAACUUGAAGAGGAGCUCAGGUCUAGCACCACCACUGAAUCAAAAUAGAAGUACGAAUAGGAUUGGCAAUGGUAGGGUUUCUUCACCUCUCAUCCUAUAUGUAAUAGAGUCCAACAUUAAAGAAGAACAAAAAAUGUUUCUUUUUAAUACAUGGGGCUAUGAUACUGUAAAUUACUCAAUAAAUUUUUCUGUUUCUUUUCCAAUAAAGGGGAUUAGUUUGUAUAAUCAUUGAAUUCUAGAACAGUAAUUUUCCUCUGCAAAAGCAACAGUUCAAUUGUUAGAUUUUGUAGAAAACUUCAAAUAUCACUUAUGUGUUUCACAAUUUUUCACUUUAGUGCCCUGUCGUUCACUGUAGUGCCCUGUCAUUUAAAUUGUAUCAGUUUAGUACUCUGUGGUUUUAUUUUUAUCUUUUUAUUAUCAAUUCUACUAUUUUUUUUUUGUUAAAUUAGUGGCAAAGUUAAAACUAUAGGAUACUAAAGUGAAUAUUCAAUAAAUCUAGGUGGGAUAUCUGAAGUUUUUGUAUAUAAUUUAACGAAAUAUUAACAGAAAAGCUGAUGAAAAGAUAAAAAUGAAAUCACAGAAUAUUAACUUGAUAUACUUUAAACCACAGUAAUAAAGUGAGAAAGUGCGAAACCACAAGGGUGGUAUUUGAAGUUUAUCCUAGAUUUUGUAUGUUAAGGUACCCAUAAUGAGAAUGGAUAGCCUACCAUAAUGAGAAUGGGUAGCCUAAUGAAGUAUGGAGAAAUAUGAAGGUGCCUCCAACAAAUUUUAGUUUAUUUAUUAGUAAAUAUGUCGGAGCAAUGCUACUAGUACAUCUUACAUUCACUCUAUUUAGAGACCAUUGAUUUUUUACUUUAUCAUAUUAACUUUUUAUUAAAAAGUAUUUAAAUUUCUGUGAAUUCUAGAUCUUUUUGGGGCGUACAAGUAAAAUUUUUUAAAUAUGUACCUAUGGAUUUUCCUUCAACUAUAUGAUAUUUUUAUUAGGUCCCUCAACUUUAAUUUCUCUUCUUUUUUUUGAUUUUUUGGUACUGGCGUCUUCUUAAUUUCUAAUUUUUUUUAUAAACUUAUUCUAAGUAGUUUAGUCGAAGGUCUGUUAAUUUAACGUUCUAUCAUUUGUUGCCAUUAAUUGUUCCUAUCUAUUAGCUAACAAAUGUGAUUAAACAUCAUUAGCCAAGAAGCUUUGGCUGGUGAUAGAGAAAAAUGUCUUCUACUUUUCCCUACUAUAGUAUUUUUUUAGAAAAAAAAAAUUAAUACUAAUCUUAGAAGCACUGCUCAGAUCUCCAAGUAAUCUUAGAAGCAUUGCUCAGAUCUCCAAGCAUAGUGACACUAUAAAGCCGAAAUGCUGAAUCUAAAACUUAAGAAUAUUAAUAGAGUGACAAGGCUAAAUGGACACCUUACCACCUAAACUAUGAUGAUUUAACCAUUUCUUUGACAUGGUGAGUAAUCUUUUUUCUAACACUUAGGGCGUGUUUGGUUCGCUUCUUUUUCACCCUGGAAUCGGAAUCGGAAUGGGUGAAUCCGUUUGUGGGUGUUUGAUACGUGGGAGUCCCAUUCCGAUUCCCAUUCCCGAGUGGAAUAAGAAUCCCCCAAUCACCUCAUUUUUCAAUCCGGCCUAGGAUGCCGGAUUGGAAGUUGAAUCCGGACGGAAUGGAUAUUUAUUCGGAUUAAAUUUAUUUUUUCAACUUUUUUAAUUAAAAUAUGAGUUAAAAUUUAAAAAUUAAAUAUAUAAUUUUAAAUUUUAAUUUGAACUUAAAUUAAAAUUUAAAAUUUAAUCAAGUAUUUUGAAUCUUUUAUUCAAAUUUUAUUUCAAACUUAAAUUAAUUUAUGGAUUCAAAUUAAAAUUUAAAUUAUAAUUUUAAGUUUGAAUUUGAAUAAAUCAAAUUUUAGUUUCAUAUUUUGAAUUAUCCACUCAACUUCAAAGAUUAAUUUAUUUAAAAAAAAUAGAUUUAAAAUUUUGACAUUAUUUCAAAAUUUUGAUGUAAAUUUUUAAUAUUUAAUAUUUAAUUUGAAUUUAAAUUAAUAUAUUAUAAAGAUAAUGUUAGUAUAUUAAUUUGAUUACGUUUUUUAUAUCAACCUGAACCAAACACCGACAAUGGGAAUGAUUUAUUCCGAUUCCGAUUCAGAUGAUGAACCAAACAGAAUUAGGUAAUGAGUCAUUCCGAUUCCGAUUCCAGCUUAUUUUGAUUCCGAUUCCGAUUCCGACUCCAACUUCGAACCAAACACGCCCUUACAUUUAAGUGUCCUUUUUUUUUAUUUUUGUAUGAAUGUACUCGCCAGUCUCAAAAACAUAUAAUCACUUAGUCUAUAUUUAAAUUCAGAAUCUAUAAAAUCAAACUAGGUACCUUAGCCACCUAUGGUAAAGUAGAUUGAUGAUUUCAGUAAUUGAAUCGACAAUACAAGAGCAAUGUAUAGAAUUAAAUUGGAUAUCUUAGCCAUCUAUACUAAGAUGAAUUGAUGGUCUUGUAAGUCAUAUUAUCAAGAGCCUCUUAUCAUAGUCUCGGUUUAGCCUUCAACUUGUGAAUUAUUAUUAUAUACAAGGAGAGGGGAUGGGGCCCGGCUCGGAGAGAGAACGACUCGGAGAGACGCGGGACGGGAGGCAUGUGACGCCGCUCGUCGCCAGCGAAGGAAGCGGGCAGAGCUGAGGAGGCGGGGGGGUCGCUGGGGAGGCGACGCGUGGCGGGUUUAGGGUUCGACUUUUAUUAUAUGUAUAGAUUUUAAGAUGCAAUGAAUGCGACAAUAAAGAAAAAAAAUCUUAAGUCAUGAAUGCUAUUCUGCACUCACUUUUGUGAGUUUGAAAUAUUAGAUUUAUCGUAACUAUUGACCUAGCCAAAUGGUUGUUGCCCUAGUUAUUAUCUUCGAAGUAGGGAAUUUUAGUCUCGAUUUGUGCUUUUAUGAAAAAAUAUUCGUGCACCUGACUUCUUGAAUUAAAAAUAGUAUCUAAAUUAGGAAGGGUUGAGGGAUUCAACCUGCUAGCAAAACUCAAACGAAAAAGAAUAAAAUAAAAUAAAAAAUUUCAUGGAUUCUACCCCCAAUUCCUCUUGGCCCAACUUCUCUUCGCGCUCCACCUUCACCGCAACAGAUCCGGUAUAAUUUUGGAACAGCUGUUGGAGCUGGAGGACGAAGAGGAGUGGGGUGUAGAAGAAGCACGAGGAAGUGGAGAGGAAGGAGGAAGAGAAAUAGUGUAACUAUUUUUCAAAGAGUGUAACUUUUAUUUAAAAAGUAUAGCUUUUAUCUUAAAAAAUAUAUCCCAAAGAGUGUAACUUACAUCUAUAGCAGUGCAAUGUUCUUCUAAGACAGUGCAAUUUUAUUUUAACAAUACAACUUCAUCUUCUAUUUCCUUCUUCUCUAGUUCUUUUCCUUAUUCUCUAAUUUUUAGCCUUUAGUUAAUUUUUUUUUGUUUUAAACAAAUAAAAGUGUGCUUAACCAAAGAUACUACGGUGGAGGUGGAGGUGGAGAGCGACAGAAAGUUGGACAUAGAAGAAGCAUGAGGAAGCGAAGGGAAAGAGAAGGAAGAGAAAUAGUGUGCGAAAGGAAAAGGGAGGGAGGAGGAGAAACAGUGUAACUAUCUCUCAAAAAUACAACUUUCGUUUAAAAAGUGUAGCUUUUAUUGUAAAAGAUGCAGUUUACAUCUCAAAGAGUACAACUUACGUUUAUAACAAUACAAUAUUCUUCUAAAAUAGUGCAACUUCAUCUCAACAGUGUAAUUUUAUCUUCUUCUAACUUCUUCUCUAGUGUUAUUCUUCCUUAUUCUCUAAUUUUUGGCUUUUACUUAAUUUUUCUUUUGUUUCAAGCAAACAAAGUGCUUAAUUAGAAAUGCUCCCGUGCACCCCCCCACCCUCCUCGUCUCCGACCCUGCUGAGGCCGUGCUCCCUCCCUCUGGGACGUUGCCUCCGCUUCUGUCGUCCUUUUCUCUAGCAUCGUCGCGCUCUUCUCCGUCUCUAUGGGCCACAUGCCUUGUGAUGCCCCAAUAGUCCCACAUUAGGUUUGGACCUGACGAGGACGUCAGGGUCUAACUAGGGGGAGUUUGUAAUGCCCCAAUAGUCCUAUAUUGGAUGAAAAAAUAAUUCUAAUUAGAAUAUACGAGGACUACACGUUAGUAAUAAUAACUGGGCUUAAACAUUUUGGGUCGGUGAUUUGGCCCAACGAGUUAUUAUUGUUAGCGGGUCGGUGGUGAGGACGGUGGCUUCCCAAAAGGCUGCAAAGGCGGUGGAGGAGGGUCAGAGAGAAAAAAAGAGAUCGCGAUGCAACCUCAACGGAGUCGAAGGCAAGGAGGGUGGUGGGUGCGCAGGGGCGGGCGAGGGUGCGCGCAGGGCACACGGGGCAGAGGCGAGGCGGGCGGCCUCCGCCUCCUUCGGAGAGAAUAAAAAAAGAACGAGAGAGAAAAAAGAAUAAGAGAAAAAAAAAAGGUUGCGACGCAACCUCGGUGGGGUCAGAGGCAAGGAGGGUGGGGGGUGCGCAGGGGCAGGCGAGGGUGUGCAGGGCACGCGGGGCAAAGGCGAGGCAAGUGGCCUCGCCUCCCUCUCGGAGAGAAUAAAAAAAAGAACAAGAGAGAAAAAAGAAUAAGAGUAUUUGAUUAGUUUUCUAAAAAUUCGGACUGAAUAUGUAAAAUUCAAAAUAGUGGCAUACUUUUGCAAAAUCUCAAAACUAACAAAUUUUUUAUGCAAAUUGACCAAAAAAAAAAAUAUCAAUAAAAAAAUAAAUAACUUAUCUAAACUAUGGAGCACUUUAAGUCAGUUAUCCAACAUUUCAAAAUUUUAAUGUUACUGCCCAACUUUUCAAUUUAUUUAAUUUAAAAUAUUUAACGACACUUUGACUUUAAAAAAUAGAGGUACUUACUUAUAUACCCUAAAAAGUUUUCGACUUUUUGAUUUGCCCGUCUUAGAAGGCAUAUAUUAAAAAUAUACUAUUAACAUUCCAAAUUAUUUCAAAUAUACCACUACUAGAGUUAAAUUAUAUUUGUUAAUCGUUAAAAACAACCAUUAUCUAUGUGAAAUUAUCAUUUUACUUUUUCAAAUAUAUCAUUCUACCGUCACCUACUUUUCUAUUUUCUAUUUACCCCUAAUAUAAGGGUAAAAUAAAUAUUUUUAAUUUUUUAUCUUUUCAAAUAUACACUUCUAUCAUCACCGGCUUUUCUUAUUUGCCCUUACGUUAAGGGCAAACGAGAUAUUUUAAUUUUUUUUAACUCAUGUAGAAAUUUAACCCGAGUUUAAUAUGAGAUAACUUAACAGGUACUAACAGUAGAGCAUUUUUCAAUAACGGAGACCUAUACGAGGGAUAUAUUUAAAACAAAAAAAAAUAGGGAUAAAUAAGAUAUAUCAAAAAAUUUCAGGAAUAUAUUAGAUAUUAUCCCUAAAAUAUAAAUACGUUGUUUAUCAUUACAGAUUGUACAUUUUAUACCAUUCUCAUAAUUAUAAAUUUAUUAAAAUAGUUAGAUUAAAUUUUGAAGUCAAUUUAUAGCUGACUAACUCAAAUCAACCUAAUUAAAAGAUUGCAUAGUAAAAUUAAAAUUUUGAUAGGCUGGACAAUCGGCACAAAAUGGUCCACAAUUCAGAUAAAUUCUAUACAUUUUUACAAAAUAAUAAUAAUAGUAAUAAUAAUAUGACAAGUAAGUAAAUAUAGACCUUUGAGAUGCUAGGGUGCAGGUUUUAUACCAAAUUUGUAAGCAUACAGGUAGCAUAACUCAUAAACUUUGGUUUUCACUUCUCAUACAAAAAGAAUUUGAGAUCUUUUGCCCAAUUAUAUUGUCUGGACCAGCCACAGUCAGCCAUGGGACAGUCCCAUUCAAUAAAAACUCAAGAGAGUCCAACCAGACGGUUACACCGAAAAUAAGAGUACCAACCAAUGAGAUUAUUGGUGCCAGUAAAUAAAUAAGUAUAGAAAGGCAUUACCAAUAUCUGAUAAUAAAAAUGUAUAGAAAGGCAUCACCAAUAAGCAUAGAAAGGUAUUUAUUACCAAUAUCCGAUAAUAAACAAGCAUAGAAAGGCAUAACGAAUAUCUGGUAAUUAUGGUAGAUCAAAUAUAACCGCAAUUCAAGCCUCUUACAUCUCUUCUACAAAAUCUUCUAUAUUCUCCCGGCAAGAGGACGAGGAAAAAUAAUAAUAAAGCAACAAUUUUUUUUUGUUUUAAAGCAACCUGAGAUUAAUAAUUGUUUAGAUCAAAUACCAGUUAUUUAUGGUAUAUAAUGUACUUGCCAGAAUGAAUGAUGCCUCUCUUGUGAAUCUCCGAGUUAACAAGGUGGUCAAAACCCUACAAAACAAAGGUAGUUGGCUCCUCACCUGUGAUAGGAUAGUGGAGCAGGUAAUCAGUUCUACCAGUAAUCCUUUUUAUGUUGUGGCCAUCUUAUCAAGUGUGAAUGAUUCACUAUCUUCUUUUUUCGAACCAAAGAGCUUUAUUCAACAAUUCCAAGCCUUAUCCGUGAUACAAAUCGCCCCUCGGGUUGUCCUCUCUUAGUCCAAUUGUUGCUGAUAUUUUCUACACAACAGAGAAAAUUUACAAGGCUUAUUAAUGGAAGAAAAGAAAAGAAAAGAAAAGAAAAGAGAGUUUAUGGCCCAGGCUUGUUAAUGGAAGAAAAGAAAAGAAAAGAAAAGAAAAGAAAGUUUACGGCCCGUUUGAAAUUUGCGAGUAGAUUGGAUAGAAUAAAAUGAGAGCAUAGCGUCGGAGAGAGAGGGAAGGUUUAGUGACUCAAGGGCACCAUAGGUCAUUAUGGGUAGAGGGGAGGAAUUUGGUUAAGUGGAAAAAAGAUAUUUUGAAUAAUCCCAACCUCGUGUAGGAUUCGAUAAUCUCAUCCAAGCAAAAUUAUUUGAAUUACUAAACCUUUCUGCAGAGUUAUUAAUUUCUUCUUAUCCUAUCCAAUCUAAUUCUGGGUGCCCAAAUAGGCCUUCAGCCUCUUUUAGUUGGGAAUAGCUACUGCUAUCCCGCCAAACAUAAAGAAAGAUUAAAAGUUGCUUGAAACAAUAAGCAGUUUUGAAAAUACCCUACAACUUUUCUAUUUCUAAUUGACACCUCGCCAAGGUUUUCUUGUUUUGAUUCAAGUUAAUCAGGUGACAAGGCGAUUCCUUGAAAGUUAGUAAAAUGGCUAGCUGUUAGCUGUUUGAAUUAGUCACCAAUUCAACUGCAAAAUAACUUGAAUCAAACCAAACAAACGUUAACAGAAUGUUAAUUUGAAAAAUAAAAUUUGAGGGUCUAAUUCAAAAUAGCCUAUCGUUUAAGGGAGUCUACAUGCAUUUUUAUUUGCAAAUGAAUAAGAAUUAGUGUAAAGAAGCAACCCUGAAACCAAAGAUUCAAGUGCCGGCCGUGCGCCAAUGCGGCACGUACCAUGCCACCAAGAAAAAGGCACGGUAUAGGGGGUCUCGAACUCGGGGCCGUGCUGCGGCACUCGGGGCCGUGCCGCACGAGACAGAGCGGCACGGCGAUGCGUGCCACGGCACAGUGCAAUGCUGGCACUGUGCAAAAAAAAAAAAAAUUUUUGCUUUUUUUUUUUUUACUUUUUACUUUUUUACUUUUUUUUUUUGUUUUAUUUUUUGGAGUACCCGAAGUAUUCUGGGUACUCUACAACCCUCAAAAAAUAUUACAAAUCGAAAAUCUAUUUGUUAGGCAAGUUAAAAAAAUUAUAGUUUUUUUUUGUUUAUCAAUAUAGGACAUUUUUAAUUUACAUAUCCAAUCUCUCCGCUUCCACCGUAGGCAUCCAUUUUUUCUUUACAAAUUAUUUUAUCAAAUUUUGUCGCACUGCAAAACUUUUACCAAAUUAGGGAAGCAAAAUCGAACUCAAUAAACAAAUUUUAAGGCACAUCAAACAUAAAAUUUUAUUUUUGCGUUAGAAAAUUAAAAAUGCUGAUAAAAUUAAAAGUUAAAUUAAAUUAAUUAAUACUUAAAUUUAUUUAAUUUAUUUGUCAUAUAAUUUAUCGCUUAAUUUUUUUAAUAGAUAUACUAAUUUUUAAAAAAAAAUUAAUUAAAAAAUAAUUUUUUAAAAUAAUUUUAAAAUUUAUUUUUUUGUACUUUAUAAAAGAAAGACUGUAAUAUGGUCAAAAGAAAAAAGAAAAAAAAAAGAUAUCUUUGCAUUUUAAAAAUUCUAACCUGUAAAAGUUUCUAUUCUGCAUCAGGUAUAGUUGUACUUUACAUACAAAAAGGUUUACAAGUAUAUUAAUUGAUGAGUAUAAUAAGCUAUACAUAGCAAAUAUUCAUAAUUAUUUGAUUAAAUCUUUCAAAAUAAUAUUAUAAGAGUUUAUUGAAAUAAAAAAAAACUAAAAUAAAUCCGUGCCAAAGCGUGCCAAUAGAAGGUCAUGCGUAUCCAUCGGCACGCAAGCGUACCAUGUGUCGGCACGGAAGCGUGCCAAUGCCGUACCGUGCCAGGCAGACAGCGGAACGCCCCCGUGCCACGGCACUUUAAACCUUGCCUGAAACUUACACCAAAAUAAUCAAACAUCUUUGCUGGCUUGUAUCAUCAAAUUGUAUAGAGCAAAUCCACCGCGGUGGCAGCCAGGCAUGUGCAGCGUCAUUCUCUCUAAAUCAUCCUGAUAUUCCAAUAUCCAUCAUGAUAAAGAAAUUAAAGAACAAAAAAAAAAGAGACGUUAAAAAUAAUUGCAGACAGAGUCUAUACAAACCAUAGUAACUGCAUAUAGUUGAGUGGAUUCAUAUCCAUCUUGAGCUCUCGAGUACAGCUUGUAAAUUUCACUUGACUCCAUCAUGCAUUUUAGAAAGAAAAAAGCAGUAGGUCUGACAUUCAUUUCCCUCUGAGAUAUGCCAAUAAGGACAGGCUCUGUCUGCAGAAUAAGUCUUAGUGACAGAAAGUAGAGAGUAGAAUUACUUGAAGAAUGAAAACAAAUGGCAUGAUAUACUCUAAAAAGAUAAGGUAUAGGAACAAUAAUUUGAGCAUUCACCAUAACAGCAGAUGUAGAUCCAAUUACCAACUGAUAUUCACCAAGAACAUAGAAAACAGAACUGUAACAUAAUGAGAACAUACAGCUACGCAUGCACUGAUGUGCAUUAUCAAACCUGUAUAGACUUCCCUCAAAAAAUCAUUUCUAGCUCCCAUUUUGCCCUAACUUGUCGCCUACUCUCUCACAUGACCUCCUUUGCCAAUUUUGCUGUCUUCCCAUACCGAUCACUAUGGCUUUCUUUGCCUCCCUGCCUCCUCCCCCUGGCCUCGUCGCCUCUCUCCUUCACCCCCAACUGCCUCUGCCACCCUGCCUCUUUACUCACCUGUAAUCUUCUCUACCUUAUUCAUGUAACCCCCAGGCUCCUCCAUCUCCAUUCCACAACACUGGUCUCCUUACCCUCCUCUACCUCUCCUUUAUCUUGGCCUCUUCCGCAUCUCUCCAUCACCUUGGGGAUUCAUCCGGCCCUCUCUCCCUCUAGCCUCCGCAUCGCUCCUUCACCACCAGCCUCCCCAACCUUGUCUGCCUGCCUCCCUCACCCCUCACCUCCUGCGUCCCCAUCCCUCACCUCGGCCUCCUCCGCCUAAUCUACACCCUCACCCAAUCUAUUCCCUUGCCCUAGCCUCCUUGGUCGCUUCGCUUCCUUUUGCUAUCAACUCCACUGCCACACCAUCACCUUCGUCAACAUCAUCAAGAUCAUGUGGUCAAAGCUCUUCAACUACAGCUUCAUUGCUCCAAUAUCCAUCUUAAAAUAGGUGCAGCAGUGGCAGAUCAAAUUGAAGUAAUUUAGAAUUAAAACCUAAUGUGGGUAACCCACUUUAAAUCUCCUUCUUUACUCUCAAAUCUGAUCUUCUGUGAGUUGCAUAUUCAUGUUGAAAUUCAUGUAAAUAUAAAAUAUUUCGUUUGAUAAUAUGUUUUCCAGUAGCUUAAGUUAAUAGUGAAUGUACUAAGUAAUCUAUAUUGAACAAUUGAUUACUUUACUAUGUUUUUCAAAUUUAGCAUUUUUAAGUUGUUUCUACUGUAGUUAGAUUAUACUCAUAUCUGUCUCAAAAUCAAAUUCAUAUUCAUAUUUGAAACAAGUACAGUUUGUAUUAGAAUUAUUCCACAUUAGGUCCAUAUCUGUAGUUGUCCUUAAUUCAUUUCUUCCACAACCGUCCAAAAUCCAUAUCUGUACAUAUGUUUAUCAAAUAUGGUAAUGAAGUUUAGUAUCCUUUUAAAAUUUGUAUCUGGAUUUGAAUCUGCAAAUUAAUUACAGAUGCAAAAAUAAUUUCUUCCAAAAUCCAAUCUUACUAAACCGUUUUCACCCCUUGCUCUGCUGCUUAGGUGCAGGUCAAAACCCCACACUCCCAGCUUUUGCUAUUAAUUUCACACACUUGUACCUUUGAAAUAUUUUGUUUUCAUUGUUAUUUUCUGAAAAAAGUGAAACUGGUUUGGUUCAGCUGAAAACCAGUUGUCUUAUCGAGAAACCAAUAGCAAAUCGAAAUUUGCCAUAAAUGCAAGCCAAAAUGGACGGUUUUUCCAAAAACUAAACCAAACUGAAUUGAGUCAUUGGUUCAAUUCAGUUUCUCGGUUCACUCUAAGGCCAAAAAAAAAGAGAAAAAAUUAAGUUGUCAUGUUACCAAAGACUCUCCAGGAACUCCAAUUUCCUCGACCACUUCGCGGAUAAUUCCAUCGAACAUCUCUUGGGAAACCUUUUCAUUCAAAAGCCGAGAAUCCAUCGAAUUUUUAUCAGUUUCAUGUUCUGAGAUUCCAAUUUCUUGUGGCUGCAGAGAAAAGGAGACAAAACUUCAAAAAGUUUCAUGUGAGCAAGCUUCUGAUUGUUUUAUUAGUCCAGUCUAGAUUAAUGUAUCUAAUGUCCGCUCGGACGAGUAUGUAAAUAACAGCCUAUUUCCUUUCUUACAGGAACUUCACAAGAAAAUAAAAUAUCCAGUUAAGAAUAAAUAUAUAAGGUCACAAAAUUGGGCGAUCGAGAAAGUAUGCCUGGACCAAGGCAACCAAGGUUAUGUGGACCACCCAUUGGAUCUCCGUCCAUCUUAUCCCAUACUUCAAUCCUCACCACCCAUAAGUUGCUUUUCUUGAUUCAAAUUUUUUUUAAUAAAAAGAAAAUGAGUUGGUUGGUUGGAUUAAGAGUAUGAUCUGGGAUGGAGAUGCAAUGGUCAGUCCACAGCUGAUGCGGUAGGCCAGGUCCAUGAUUACAAUACACAAGGUUAUGUGAUUACCUCUGAAUGACCUCCAGGAAAAACAUAGUAACCGGGAAACUCUCCCACAUUAUUGCUUCUUUGCAAUACUAGAAUCCUUCUGUCUGAUGUUUGCACUAUUGCACCAUUACCCAAUGGAUUUGACAUGUGUCGACAACACACUGAGUCAUCUAUAAGAAAAUAAUUUCAAUUAUUAUUUGUACAACAUGUUCUAAAUAACAAAAAACACUAGUACAACAUUAAAUAAAUCAUUUUCUUCUGGGCCUCUACAAAGAAAACUGCAAACUACAUGAAAUGACAAAUCUAAGCUAAAAUAAAUUUAACAUUGCGAGGCACGAAGCACAUAGUUAUUAUUCUCUAUAUUCACAGUACGUUCAUAAAGAAUCAGAAACAGUAACAGGAUUAGUAAUCCUUCUGCAUCAUUCUCUGACUCUUGUUUUCCCGAAAAGAGAAAAACAAGAAAUUUAAAUAAAUAAACAAAAAUGGUUAUUUAUUAGGGAUGCACCUUUCUCGACUAUAUAUCCUUUAAAAGCGAGAGAAAAAAAUAUAUAUAUAUAGUCCAAAAAGGCAAAAAGACUUUAGGGGAUUAGAGAUUAAAGAAUUCAUGCUUCCCAGGUACCCGCAGGUACCCAGUUUAUUGCACUCUCUUGUCACAUUUGGACCACCUUCGAUUAAGCUGGUCAUGAUCAAAAUACCGUCCUCUAGAUAUUUAAUUUUUUUUAAAAAAAAUUAUGAUACUAAUAAUAAUAAUAAUAGCAAUAUUACAUGAAUAUUAGUAGAGCAGGAAAUUAAAGGUUUAGCAGAGUCAUAGAAUAUAUACACACCCAAGCUUGCGAUAACCGUAAAAUCCAAGAUAUUAGGCUAGAUUAACACAUUGUCUUUAUAAUUAAGUGCUGCCUCUUUACUGUUGGACUAAAUCCUUGAACUUUGAAACUGAUAUAGACUCUACCCAACAAUGAUUCCAUUAACUUCAAAAGAAGAAAAUAAUAAUAAUAAUAAUAAUAAUAAUAAUAAUAAGACUAUCUAGGUGUUCAUCAUAUAUAUUCGUUUGAAAAUAAGAGAAUAUAUAGUCUGUAAUAAGGACGCAAGAUUAACUACAAAUUUACAGUAUCAUAAUAAUACUACAAAAAAGGGAGCUUUCUAUUUGAGCCAACUACAAUAUAGUGCAUAGUAUUAUGAGGACUAAGACAUUUCUUACUUAAGGAAAAGACAAACGUAUGUGUACAUGAAACAGUCUCCAACUCUCAAUAACUCAACCCUUUUUUAAGCAAACAAAUAAACGACGCUUACAUAGAUGACUUUGAAUUCUCAGAAUAAUCGGUUUUAGGUAAGAAAGAAAGUAAGAAGUAGACGAUUUCUUUUUUACUGCAAAUAAGUCUUCUUGUUUUCUUUAGUACAAAAUGUGAUAAUUUUGUUAAUAAAAGCAUAUUAUAUGGUACAUCUUAGUGUGAGCAAACAAAAGAAGUACUCUAGCCCUUUUUUUCUUGCACUAUCUUGCUCUCGAAGCAGUGGGAGCGAUUGUCAGCUUCGACCUUGACUUUGGUGGUGGCAAAGGCUUGGGGGACAACAACGGCGAAAACGGCAAUGGUGGCGUCAAUGCAGACACGGUGGCAGCAGUAGAGUUGGCCACGAGCCGAUAGGCGGAACCAAACUGCUCUCUUUCUUCUACUUCCCCCUUUUUUCUUUUCUUUGUUCUUCUUUUUCGUCUUCCUCUACACCCUUAUUUUUAUUAUUUUUUUUUCUUCCUUUCUAUGCAAUCUGUGUAUGUGGGUGCCCGUGCUCCUACCCCUCUGCAUCGUUUCCUCCUCGCUCUUUUAUAGGCCUCCGAGAGCCAAAUUCUCCAAAUCUCCGAGAUCGUGAUGAUGAUUACGCGAGAUCUCUGUGAACCAAAAGGGGAUCUCGAAGAUCUGCGAGCUAUGACAUGGGAUCGUGAUCCCGGAUUUUCCGACAUUCGAUUGAGAGACGGGUGAUUCUGCUCUUAUAUAUAUAUGGGAUAAUUGCCUAUAUACCCCUCACACGUUUGAAAAUAUCCGAUUUACCCCUACUUUUUUUUUUCUUUCUAAAAUACCCCUCAUAUGUUUCACCGUUAUUGCAAAAUACCCCUGUAGUUAUCUCCUGUUAAGUUAACUUGGGUUAAACGUGAGUUAAACAUCUACCGCAGUUAAAAAAAUUUAAAAUACCAAUUUUGCCCUUAACUUAAGGACAAAUAAGAAAUGUUGGUGACAGUAGAGGGCUAUAUUGGAAAAGACCAAAAGUCAAAAUACUUUUUGUGCCCCUUACUUUAAGGGCAAAUAAGAAAGUCAGUGAUGGUGGAAGGGUAUAUUUGAAAGGGCAAAAUAGUAAUUUUACAGAGUUAACAGAAUUAAUUAAUAGAUUUUAACUCUAGGGGUAUAUUAGAAAUAGGUUGGAACAUAAAGAGGGUAUUUUCAAUAUUAGCCUUCUAAGAGGGGUAAAUCGAAAAGUCAGGAACUUUUCAGGAGUAUAUAAGCAAUUGCCCAUAUAUAUAUAUAUAUAUAUAUAUAUAUAUAUAUAUAUAUAUAUAUAUAUAUAUAUAUAUAUAUAUAUAGAAAAAGAGAGAGAAAAGAGAGAGAGUCCGGCUGGGGUGCCUCUAAUACACAAAGCACUUGGUGCUACCAAGUUUUCCACCGUUAGAUUUAUCCCUUUGACCAUUUCCACCUAUUAGAUCAAAUUAUUAAACCAACCACCCACUCAACCCUAGGGAAUCACUAUCAUCUUAAACACAUAUCCCUUCAUCCAAGGGCCGAAGGCCUAAUAGCACCAAUGCAUUGGUGCUAUUAGAAGCAUUCCAGCCAAAUUACACUACAAGAUAAAGGAAUUUUGGCGGCGACUUUUUCGUGGCGACAACUAUUGUCGCCACCAAUGUAAAAGAUAUAGUGGUGAAAUAUAAUUGUCGCCGCCAAUACAUAAACAAUGGUGGCAACAACUGUAUGUCGCCAUCAAUACUUAAUAAAUAGCGGUGAUGUUUUGUCGCGGGAAAAAGUCGAAGCAUUAGCGGCGAUAAUAAUUUUUUCAUACAUCCUGCCAUUACUUCCCUCUUUUUUUUCACCAACUAGUACCAUCAUUUAUUUUUCCAUACAUCCCGCCAUUACUUCCCUCCUUUUUUUUUCACCAACCAACGUUAUCAUUUAUUUUUGUUGGACCACUGGCGCUUACUUAUUUUAUAUGUUAUAUGUAAAUUGUCACGCCCCAACCCGAGGCGUAACAACGCAUACCUACUAAACUAGCAAAUAUGCACCAACGAAUUUGGUGGGAGCCACCUCUUGAAUCCAUAGGAGCCACCUCUAGAAUCUCAGAUCGCCUGGUAAUUAUGGUCUGUAUCUGUGAUCUGGUUAGGACCGGACGAGGAUGUCAGGGUCUAAACAUAGAGAGUUUGUAACGCCCCAAUAGUCGCACAUCGGGUGGGAAACUAAUUCUGAUUAGAAUAUAUGAGGCCUACAUGCUAGUAAUAAUAACCGGGCUUAAGCAUUUUGGGCCAGUGGUUUGGGCCCAGCGAGUUAUUAUUGCUAGCGGAUUGAGUCAUUGCAUAAAUAGUUGAUUUUUUUUGUCUUUUGACAAAUUAAAAACAGGUAAAUAAUAUAUACAAGUUAAAAUCCCUAAAUCUCUUUCAUUAUCCUCCCAUUUCCUCAUCUCUCUGUGUUCCUGUUGAGCCUCUUCCGCUCCCCCGCAUCUUCUUCAACAAACUCCAAUCCGUCGAGCCCCGUCGCCUAUGUCUCCUCUUCCUCAGCAAAAUCCGGUCCGCCGUGCUCUGCCGCUCACGUCUUCGUGCAUCUAACGACGAGGGCAUGUCCAAGCUCUUUGAUGUCCUCUCGAUGCCUACUGCCUUCUCACUGUCUUAUUUUGUGUUUCCUUUUUUUCUUUCUUUUUUACGCGGAAAUUUAGGAUUUAGUUACAGUUGUUGGGACCGUUUGAUCCUUGAGCAUUAAUUCAUUAUAUGUUACUACUAUUUUGGAGAAUUACUUACUACUAUUUAUUAAUGGAGAAACAGGAAGCGACAGCGAAGCUCCCAGCAGACAAGCCGGUGGAGAAGGACGAGGCGGGAGGGGGGGGGGUGCGCGGCAGGAUUAGAGGUCGAACAACUGUCAUAUCGUCACACCAGGCCGGCGCAGCGUGGCAAUACCGUAACAGCACGCGCGGCUGAGGCUAAUCAGGAUCACCAGUAUGUAUAACAUUAUAGUCUUCGACUAUCUUGAGUCUCCGAUCGCAAGCAGCAUGGAAAUUAAGGUCGUUUACUUAUUUGGUCCUUCAGAUCUGCGUGCAGGAUUGUGUUCUUUCACCCAGACCAAGGUAAAAAUGUUAAAGUUUCCCGCUUUCUUUGGCAAUUGAAAUAUUUGGCUAUUCUCUCCAUUUUUUUUUUUCUGCUUCCUAAUUCUAACAUACAAUUCUAAUGUAUUUUUUAAUGUUAAAUUUGUCUUAAAAAAAGUUAUUUCUAAAAUUUUAUUUCUUUAACUUCAUAUGCUUCUAAAUUUGCUUAGAAAAAAUAAUUUUCUAAAAAUUUAAUAUUUCUUGCACCUUCUAUUAGCUUGUAUACAUUGCUUCUUAAAUUGUUUGCUUUGUAUAGUACUAUUUCUUGUGACUCUUUUAUAGUCUAUAUAAUUAUAAUAUAAUUGAUAUAAAUGUUAUAUAAUAUAUAAUAGCUAUAAUAUUAUUUAUUAUGUAUUUAAUAAACUAUAUAUGAAAUGUUAUUUAUAUAAUGUAUGUAUUUAUGUAUGUAUAUGCUAUGGAAUUAAUAAGAAUUAGUAACUGGUUCAAAUAGUAUAGUAUUUGAUUUGAUGAUAUAUAUUUGGUAUUUCAUAGGUUUUUAUAGGUUUGUAUUCUAAAGUCUAUUUACUAUGGAUCAAGUAGAAGAGGAAGUAUUUGAACUAUAGCGCAUUUUGGAAUGGACACUUCAACUUUAAUAGUUUUGAUUUUACUAUAUUAUCUUACAGUAUGUUUGAUUAUCUCAUUGUAGGAAGACGGAAAUUGAUAGAAGUUGGAUGACUCUUAAGAAGCGAGCAUGUAAUGAAUAUGAAAAAGGGAUUGACACAUUCUUAGAUUUCGCAUUUAAAAGAUUAGGAAAUGUGAAAAGAAUUCGUUGUCCAUGUGCUAAAUGUUACAGUGUUAGACUAAAAAAGCCGAACAGAAGUGAAGUAUGACUUAUUUCGUAACAGGAUUCGUCAAAGUUAUACUAAAUGGCAUCAUUAUGGUGAAUUGUCGGAUGAAUAAAGUAGUGAAAGUGAUGCGGAAGAUGUCAUACUUCUAUAGAUGAGAGCUGCAAAUAUAUGAAGACAAUGCUUGAGGACUUAUUUGGACAUGAAGGGAACUCUACAACUGCUGAUAUAGAUAAUAGAGUGUACUAAUCCUGAAGAUCCUAUUCCUAAAGCUCAAAAUUAUUAUCGAUUAUAAUACAUUUGUUGAAUCUCAAAUGUCUCAAUGGUUGGACUGAUAAGUCAGUUACAAUAUUAUUAGAGUUUAUGAUCGAUUUACUAGCAGAUAGUGCAAACAUUCCAAAAUCAUAUUAUGAGACAAGAAAGAUAAUUAAAGAUUUAGGAUUGGAUUAUGUGAAGAUUGAUGCUUGCAAGAAUGACUGUGUGAUCUUGCGAAGAAGCUUGCAAAUAAUGAUACAUGCCCCAUAUGUGGUGAGUCUAGGUGGACCGUGGAUCUUCAGUAGCAGAGAGGAAGUAGUCUUAAGAAAGUAAAAACAAAUUCCUCAAAAGGUUUUGCAUUACUUUCCACUUACAUCGAGAUUACAAAGAUUGUACAUGAAUAAAAAUGACGGCCACUAAUGUGAGGUGGCAUAGUGAUGCUCGGCAAAACGAUGGAAUUUUACAGCAUCCGGCUUAUUCAUCGGCAUUACGACAUAUUUAGUGCUCUGAUACUAUGAAAGAAGGGCAAAAGGCAUACCCUCAUGGAUUCUAUUGAUGAUGUUAUAUAGAACAAGAGAUGAGUCUAAUAUAGUAACAAUGUCUAAUAUAGUAACAAUAUAACUAGGUAUCUCAUAUCAUAUAAUCCUACUCUAAAUAUGUCGUAAUAUAUAGUAUCCUUAUAUAGCAUGAGAUACUAAAUAUGUCGUAACAAUCGGCUUGGAAGCAUUUUGAUUAUAUCCAUCCUGAGUUUGCCAUAGAGCCACGUAUUAUUAGAUUGGGCUUAGCAAGUGAUGGGUUUAACCCCAUAGUUGUGCAUGAAAAAUGAUAAUUUUAUGAUAUCACUACUUAUUCCUGGUCCAAGAGCUCCUGGUAAUGAUAUAGAUGUAUAUUUGGAAACUUUAGUUGACGAGUUGAAUGAUUUGUGGAAAGAAAGGAUUAGGACAUAUGAUGCAUCCAAAAAAAAAACUUUUUAAUGUGUGUUGCCUAUUUUUAGACUAUAAAUGACUUUUCAGCAUAUGCCAAUUUAUCUAGUUAGAGUACGAAAGGAGAUCUAGCAUGUCCUUGUUGCAACAAGGAUACAGUUCCGAAAAGAUUGAAGUAUGGAAAAACUUUUGUUACAUGGGUCACCAUCGUUUCUUGUUACAUAAUCAUAAAUGGCGACCUGACAAAAAAUCAUUUGACGGAACUAAAAAGAAUCGUCUUGCACCUAAGACUUUAUCUGGUGAUGAAGUGCUAGAGCAAUUGAGUCAAAUGAAGCAAGUAACUUUUGGUAAGGUAAAUAAAAAAAGGAAAUGUUCUCAACAGCAAAUGUGCUAUUUAAAUUGGCGAAAAUAUAGCAUUUUCUUCAACUUGCCGUAUUCGCAUGCAUUGUUGAUAGACACAAUUUGGAUGUUCUGCACGUUGAGAAGAAUAUCGGUGAUAAUCUAAUUAGCACACUUAUGAAUAUAGACCGAAAAUCCAACGAUAAUCUGAAUACACGAAAGGAUUUGAUGUUGGUGGGUUUAAGAAAGGAACUUCACUUGAUACCAAUGGAGGAUAAGGAGAUGGGCAUACAAAAUAAAAUUCAAACAAUUGGUAGCAACAAAAUAUAUAAAAUGCCUAGUGCUCAUUACAAACUAUCCAAGGAUGAGGGGCAAUCAUUUUGCCAAUUUCUAAUGGAUUAGAGCUUCCAAAUAGAUUUUCAUCAAACAUUUCUAGAUGUGUCAAUAAACAUGAAAGUAAGCUUCAAAAUUUGAAGAGUCAUGACAUUCAUUGUUUAUUACAUCGUCACCUCCCAUAAGGUAUUCGCGGAUUGUUAAGGAAAUAUAUUUCUAAUGCCUUAAUCAAGUUUAGUGCCUACUUUAGAGAGUUAUGCUCAAAAUCAUUGUGUAAGUGAUUUGGAAGGACUGAAAAGUUCAAUUGUUUUGACUUUGUGCUCUUGAGAGAGUAUUCCCACCUGCAUUCUUUGAUAUCAUGGUUCAACCAUCAAUUCACCUUGCAACUUAGGCGAAAAUUGCUGGCCUUGUUGAAUAUAGAUGGAUGUACCCAUUUGAAAGGUAUAUUUUUUAUUUUUUAUUUUUUAUUUUUUUAGAAAAAUGUGGUAUUAAUAUUAUAUUGAAUAGGUACUUGCGCAUGCUCAAAUCAUAUGUUCAUAAUAAGGUUCGUCCAGAAGGAUCUAUAGUAGAAGGAAUAAUUGCACGAGAAUGUGUAAAUUUUUGUUCCAAAUGCUUGCAUGAUGUUGAAACAUGAUUGAAUUGUGUCGGGAGAAAUUAUAAGGGUGAUCCACCACAAAACAGCUCCGGCUUGGCCAUUUUUUUCAAAUGCAGUUCUCCUCUAAAUAAUUCCAAAAUUGAGCAAUUAACUAUCUCUUAUUGGAAGCAGGCAACUCUGUACGUUCUCAAAAAUUGUGAAGAAGCUGUACCUUAUAUUAGGUAAGGAUUUAAAUUAGUAGUUCUAGUUUGACUACUUUUUUCUUUUAUACUUUCUAAUAUCAACUUGAUAAUUUAAUGCAUGGGGGACAUGUUGAAGAGGUUUGCAGAAAGUACAGUAGUGAUGUAGAGCGGUGGCACGAAGAACAAUUUUUUGGCUGGUUUCAAGCUAAAAUAGCGGAGAUGUUUGAUAACCAAGAUGAAACAAUAUCACAAGAGCUAUUACACCUAGCCCGAGGUCCAGAUAAGUGAGUGCAUAAAUAUUCUGGAUAUUUAAUUAAUAGUUUCAGAUUUCACACAAAAGAGCAUGAGAUAUUUUUGAAGACUCAAAAUAAUGAGGUAUUUGUUUAUGGAGAUGAUAGGCUAAGCAAAAAGGAAUACUAUGGGCUAAUUUUAUAUAUCACUGCAAUACCAAGGAUCAAAAAAGGUUGCUUUAUUUAAAUGUCGUUGAUGGGAUGUGUACAACUGUGGUCGGGGAUAUAAGGAGGUUGAAAAUGGGUUUUUCUUAGUUAAUGUUGAUUGUGAAUUGUUCCCUAAUACAACUGAUCCAUAUAUCUUGGCAUCACAAGCUCAACAAGUAUAUUAUGGCAAAGAUAUAAAGGAUUCUAAAUGGUAAGUUGUUGUCAAGACACAACCUCUAGAUCUUUUUGAUGUGCCUAUAAUAGAAAAUAGUGCUACUAAUCCAGAGAAGUCUGCAUCAAUACCAAUUCAAGAAAAUAAGAACAUAGGUAAUUUCUAUAGAAAUGAUGACGAUAGCGACAACGAUUUACGUAAUUUUGAGUUAGCUAGAGCUAACGAACAAGAGAUUGUAUUUGAUGUCAGUGAGGUCACUAUUAGUGUAGAAGCGCACAAAGAGGACCUCUUAAAUUGUAAUAAUGAUGAUAACAAUUCCAUUUUGAAUGAAACUUGACCCACCUUGUUCUCAGGUAAUAAUUUAUCAUUUGUUUGUCUCUUGCAUUUUUAUGUGUGUUUGGUGAUAAUAUACUUGAUCAACUUGCUUUUAAUUUUUAAUAAUAUUUCUUGUUUAUUUGAAUAAUUGUAUAUCUAUGGUAAUUGAUAGGCAAUGGUGGGAGAAAGCAAGAAUUCUAAAGCACAGUUGUACAAAAUUACUAUUUUUAAGGAAAAAUAUAAUAGAAUUGAUGGUUUUAGAAAGGAAGUCAUAUACAAUUUCAAUCAUAUGUAUAGAGAUUGAAGACAUCGCAAGCAUCUAAAUUAUAAACAAUUCGAGAUAGAUGAGGAAAGGCUUUAAAAUUGUCCAUAUGAUAUUAUAGAAUCAGAUUGGGCGUCUUUAGUUGAAUACUUUGGCUCUAAACCAUUUAAGGUUGUUAAUUUUUUUAUACAUAUAUCUAUUAACUUGUAAGAAUUAUUCGUAGAUUCAAACAUAACAAUGUUUAAUUUCUUGUAGAGAAUGUCGGCACAAAAUAAAGCAAAUUGAGCAAAACAAUCAACCAGCUCAAUCUAUGGAAUAAAAUCAUUUGCUAGUGUCCUAUAUGAUAUAGUGAUUCUGUCAUUGAUUAAACUUAUGGAUACCUUUUUAUAUUAUUACUUUUAUGAUAUCAAGAUUUUAAUUUUAAAUUGAAGAGAGAUCCAAGAACUGAGAUUGAUCCUCAUUUGACUGAAUACUGGAAGGCUACACAUCAGCGAAGAAUCGAUGGGACAUGGUAUUCUGAUAAAGCUUAGCAUGCUAUGGUACAACAACCUUAUUUCAUAACACAACUCUAGUUCGUAUUCUAUAUAUAUGCAUUAGAAUUGUGAAAACUUAAAAAGUUUCAAUUUAAAUUUGAUAUUUUGUUUUAAAUGCUUAGACUAGUGAAAAAGAACAUUUGCCAUGCAAAUAUAAAAAUAUUUCUUGUUACGUUUGUAUCUAGUUGAAUGCAGAAAAAAUUUGGGUAUGUAUCGAGAAGAGUUAGGCGAUCCUCCAUUAUAAAUGGAAGAACAUUUAACAAAGGCUUUUGGUCCACGUUCUGAAUAUCUUCGUGGUUUAGGAUGUGGACCUAGGCCAAUAAAUGCUAAGAGCUUAAAAGUCAAAGCAUCACAAGAGGAUUUUGAGAGACAAAUUGUAGAUUUGAAAAAUGAGCCGAAGCAAUCUAGAGAGUAUGAAGAAAAAGAAUCACAUCUACAAAAGGAGAAGAAUUAGAGAGAGGAGAAAUUUAAAAAAGAAACUGAAGAGACUAAAGCACACAUUAAGGCACAACUUAAAGCUAAAUUUAAUAAACAACUAAAGAUAAUUGUACAAUUAUAUGGAGUGCCAACCACAUCAUCCCCUCCUUCUAGUCAAGGAAGGUCGACCACAUCAUCCCUACCUUCGAGUCAAGGAAUGCCAACCACAUCAUCCCCUCCUUCCGAUCAAAAUGAUUCUAGGAACUGCUUAGCUAAAGGUAAUUAUAUAUUUUACCUCAAGUUAUCUUUUGCUUUGUAUUGUCCUUUAAAGUAAAACUUAUGGUGUGAUGACAAAUUAAAUUAUAAGUAUAAAAAAAUAUACGGUUAGUUGGUAAGUCUCUUAGUGAAGUUGAUUACUUGGUAAACCUAAAAUGAAAAUUUUGUUUUGUUGUACUUUCUUUCGCGCUAUGUUGUCUUUUCUUAUUUGUAUUUUUGUUCCUAUUUACGAUUUCCAAGGAUUGAGGACAACUCUCCAAGAGCAAAGAGGAUGUCACAGCUAGUCUAAAGAACUUGGGGGUAAUUACUUGCUCAUUUAUUUUCCUUCCUAAUUGUUCAUGUGCAGAUAGAAGUGGUAUAUUCUACUUGAAACUUAAAUACAAUAGGUCUUAAUUUAGUUAUAGCUUUCUAUGUUUCAUACAGAUUUAAGAAAUAGUAACAAGCUUAUCUACUAUUAUUGUGUCGAUCCAUAAUUUACGUCCGUGAUUCUUGAAUCUCUGUUUGUGAUCAUCGUGAUCAAACGCAUGUGAUUGUUUUAUAAUAAAUGGAUAUGUGCUCUACUUUUUUUUGACAUGUUAACUAACAACGAGUAUUAAACUAAACUACUGUAAAGAUCGAAAACAUCAAUUGACUAGUGCCUCUUUGCCUUGGCUGCUAAAAUCACUUCUUUUAGAACUAGCAGCAAGGAGUCUGACAAAUGGAUGUUUUGAUGCUUCUGCUACUCAGGAAACUGAGUUUAUCUUUUGAAUCGCCCAGAAGCAGAAUUUGAUCAUUAAACAAUCACUUAUCAGCAAUAAUUGCGUAAAAAAAUUAACCAUUGCAGGAAAAGUAGAGACAGCUAUAAAAAAGAAGAAUAGCUGCAAAUUUUCUCUUCUUGCUAUGACAUUCUCAUCUCCUACCUUAUUUAGACAACUAUAUGGAGGCAAAAAGAAGGGCAAAUUGCAUUGCAUUAGUUGAAUUAUAGAUUAUUUGCUAUAAUAAUAUUAAAUUUUUUUAUUUUCUGUACAUGUUUAUAAAAGAGUUGAUGACAAAAUUCUCUUCUUUUUCUACAGGCUUAUAAGAGAGAGUGAUGACAAAAUAUUUUGGUGACAUUUUAGCAACAUUUUGGCGAAAUAUAUUAAAGCAAGUUUAGGAAUCUAGGUAUAUUAUGACAAGUUUACAUUUGAUACUAUGUGGGCUUAGAAAAGCAUUAUACUCUUAUCUCAUUUUACUAGUUUUUUGGGUGUGAGUUGAAUGAUUGUAAUGUUACAGUGAUACUCUUAACUUUCUUUUCUAAGACAAUCUUAGUUGCUGAUUUAUCCUAUAUGAUCAUAUUUACUCUUCUAAACAUCUUUAAUUUGAUCCAAUCUUAUUUAUUAUAGGAAUUUUAUGAUCAAUUACAUUAUAGAGAUUUCACUAUUGGAGUCAUGGUGCUCAUAUUUAAUUUGAUUUUGAGACUUGGAUACUGCCAAUAUUUGAAAGAUGGUAUCUUUACAACACACAAUUAACGGCGACUAUAAUCGCCGUCAAAAAAUAAAAAACAAAAAUUCUAGCAAACUAUUCAUUGUCAAUUGGUGGCGCUAGUAACCGUCAUCCUUUAUUCAAAAUUUUAGCAGCGACAGGCUGUCGUCGUCUUCUAUUCAAACUUUUAGCAGCGACAGAUUGUCGCCGUGUUUUAUUCAAACUUUUAGUGGCGACAGAUUGUCGCCACUAUAUCAAAACUUUUAGCAGCAAUAUUAUGUCGCCACUAAAUACGUUUUCCGACAAGCUUUUAGGCGAUGCCAUGCGGCGACAGUUUUGUCGCCGUCGUAAUCUUUUCGUGGCGACAUUUUGGCUUAUGACGGCAGCUUUGGUCGCCACUAAAUCUAUUUCGUAUAUAUAUAUAUAUAUAUAUAUAUAGAGUUGAGCUAGAAUACUAUCGGUAGCAAAUUGGCUCCGUUGCCACCCAUUUGUUUUCGAUGAUGGAGCCUCCAAAUCGACGAUCGGCACCGUUGAACAUGAUCUAUACCACUUGAAGUAUCUAGAAACCAAAUUUCAAAUCUUUUAGACAUUAUUAACCUAAUGAUCAAAGGGUUUCAAAAUUUAUAAUUUGAAUGGUCAAUAUGAGGCAUUUUCUUGUUUAACGGUGUAAAGAUAUCCAAAUCAAUUGAAUUUUGGUUAGAAAAUUCUUUAAACAAUUUAGAACAAGAUUUAUACUCUCGAUCUUGAUUAUAAGAUUCCUAUCAUCACUUUUUAAAGAAUAUUCAUUUUUAGUCGUUCAUUUUGUGUCCACUUGAUGGACAAGAGAACAAUAUCGGAAAAGCAUGAAAUUUGAUUUCUAGAUGCUUCAAGUGGUAUAGAUCAUGUUCAAUGGCGCCGAUCGUUGAUUUGGAGGCUCCAUCAUAAAAAACAAAUGGGUGGCAACGAAGCCAGUUUGCUAUCGAUAGCAUUCUAGCUCAACUCUAUAUAUAUAUAUAUAUAUAUAGAGAGAGAGAGAGAGAGAGAGAGAGAGAGUUCAGUUAUGGUGCUUGUAAAAGCACCAAGCUCUUGGCGCUUGUAAGUUUUUUACCGUUAGAUCUCCUCGGAUUAUUUUCAACCAUUAGAUUAUACUAUUCAACCAACCACCUACUCAACCCUAGGGGAUCCAUAUCAUCCUAACCGCAUAUCUCUUAAUCUAAUGGCUAAAAAUCUACAAGCACCAAUAACUUGGUACUUUUAAAAGCAUAGGAGCUCAAUUAUAUAUAUAUAUAUAUAUAGAGUCCGUUUACUAUACUAUCAAUAGUAUUUGGGAUAUUUUACUAUAUAGUUUUUAGCUGUUAGAGCUACUCCUUUGAAUAUUUCUACUAUUUGAUCAAUACUAUUUAGCCAACUACCGCUAAACCCUAGGGGGACCACCACGCAACCCUAGGGGACCACUAUCAUCCUAACCCUACAAUAUUUCAUCUAAGAGUUAAAAACUAUAUAAUAAAAAAGCCAAAAUAUUAUUAAUAGUAUAGAAGCUCAAUUCAAUACAUAUAUAUUAUUUUUUUUUACUAUUAUUAUUUUUAUUUUUAUUAUUUUAUUUCAUUUUUUAAAAUUUAUUUUGGAUUUAACUGAUUUUGGGCAAGUCCAACAACUCUUUCCAAAUCAUCUGCAAUCUUAUGUUCUUUAUCACUUCAGUUAAAACUAGAACUAUCAAUGUCGUACACUAAGGUAUCGUUUGGUUCGGGGAUAAGGAAAAAAGGGUUAUUCCAGGGAUAGGUAUAAAUUGAGGUAUAAGCGAGGAUUAGAUUAAUUUUGCGUUUGGAUGAAAAUUGGAUUAUUCCUGGAAUAAAAAAAAUAACGUUUGGUUAGGUAAGAUGGAAUAAGAAAAAUAAUGGGUUUUGUAAAUAAAAAAUAAUGAUAUUAUCCAUUUAUUAUAUUUGAAUUUGAAUUUUUAAAUUUUUAAAUUUAUAUUUCUAAAUUUAAAAUUUUAACUUUGAAAUUUAAAAUCUCAAAUUUUAAAUUCAAAAUUUUAAAUUUUAAAUUUCAAACUUUAAAUUUAAGAUCAUAUUUAAAUUUAAAAAAAUAUAAAAUAUCAAAUUUUAAAUUUCAAAAAUUUAAAAUAUCAAAAUUUAAAUUUAAAAUUUAAAAUUUAUAAUUUAAAUUUUAAACUUUAAUUUUGAGAUUAUAAAUUAUAAAUUUUAAAAAUUUAAAUUUUUAAUUUUUAAAAUUUUAAAAUAAGAAUAGUGGUGGGAACAAUUAAUAAAAAUAAUUUAUUAUAAUAAAUUUAUAAAUUUUUUAAAAAUUCUACUUAAAUUUAAAUUUAAUAAAAAGAAUUUAUUAUAAUAUUUAAAUAUAAUUUAUUAUAAAUUUUAUUAUAAUAUUUAAAUAUAAAUAAUAUGUAUUAAUAUAGUACAAUUAAUAAUUUUAUAAUAAAAAUAAUGUAUUAUAAUAUAUAACAUAUUAUAUUUAUAUAAUUUAGUUUAAUUCAAUUUAUAAGUUUAAUUAAGUUUGAAAUUAAACAUUGGAAUAGCACUAUUCCACCAAAAUGGUGGAAUAGCAAAUCCCUUACUAUUCCGGGAUAACCGGGAAUAGCAAGGUUUGACCGGGAUAAAAUAUCCCGGCCAAAGUUCACCCCGUUUGGCGGAAUAGCGGGGAUAACUUUCGUUAUCCCCGCUUAUCCCGCGAUCCAAACGGGGCCUAACAGAAUUCUCUAUUUGAGACUUCAUUAAAUCAUGACUGUGAAUUAUCCCCGUAUUUAGACCAGAGAAUUUAUGUAUCUUUUCUCAAUCAAUAUAUGAAGUUUUUGCAAAGUCACUAUAUGGCAAAGACAGUUUAUGUUUCUUAGCACUUAACUAUAGGAGGUUGAAAUAUAAUUCACAUGAUAUACGAAAAUUACCUUCGGAUGAAACAAGAAACUUCUUCCAUAGAGGAUUCAAAUUUGUUCCCAUAAAUGUCCUGUAAAUGUUGCAACUAAUAAUUUUAGUUCUUUGUUAUAGUCAAUAGCAUCGCCAAAGGGUUAUAUCUUGCAUAGCAUUUAGAGACAAGUUGAAAAGUUCAUCUUAAUUUCAUCAAGUGCUAUAGCGGAUGAAUAACAUCCGCAUAUUAAUUGUUAGCAUACUAUAAAUACUUGAAAAAGUGAUCCGUAAAAACAAAUAAUGUGACCUGGAAAGGCAUGUCAAUUUUAGUAACUUUAACAAUGUGAAUUUGUUAUCUCAUAAUAUCACCUAGCAAUAAUCAAUGUAAAGUUCAACAGGCUCACUUAAAUGUGAGAGGCAAAACUAAAAUUUGGUGAGAGAAUUAAGGUAAAAGGACUGAAACUAGAAGAGUACCUAUAAUCUGUCAGACCAAGUAGAAGGCAAACAGAUAACUCUUGGUCUAAGCCAUCUGCAUCAAGCAAGGAAUAUCCUCCAUACUGCGAAAUGAAUAAUAAAGUCAAAGUGCCCAAGACUGGAUAUGAAAUAAUGAAUUUAGUUGUUACCCACUUGCCUUUCUAUUGAUAUUGCUUUUCUGCGGAUAACAUAAAUAGAACUCUUUCGGCUAAAAAUAAAACAUUUGAUGAUUUAUGAACAUACAAAAAGCUGAUAGAAAACAACCUACCCGGAACUUUGUGCCAUUGUACAGGGAUGGAUUCUCUUGAAGUCGACGAUUCCAGAUCUGCAGCACAUCAUCAAAAUUUUCAGAAAAUGUAAUGGAUUUCAGUAGAAAAUAUUUCAUAAAUGUAUUUAAUUAAAUUGACUAAAUAAAAUUCUGCAACCUUUCAAAUAGCAUUGAGGAUAAAAAAGUGAUUCUUUAUACCUCAUUUAUAGAUUCUUCUAAAUUAGCAUCUGGAUGAGGAACCCUAUCAUGUACUGGACCAAAGUCGACAAAAACCUUCAUAUACGAAAAUAAUAGUUUUAGCCAAACAAAUCUGAGCAACUUAAAAACAGAAGCAAUGUUCGCAGUCACUAAGAAAAAAAAUGUAAAUGGAUGAGUUCAUUAAUCACAUCGUCUGUGGCACAUUGUUACUCUCGCUCGGAAAGUUCACCAACACUAGCAAGGAUUAAAUAACUUCUAUUUAUUUCACUGUUUUGUAGCAUUCUAGGAAUGCUUUAAAUGUCCGAUUAUAUAUGGUGAGAGAUUGUCACCUUGCAAGACAGGUCAAGACACUAUAAGGGGCUUACAGCAAAGUGAUGAAAACGUCAUAGAUUCCCAGCUAGCAGGCAUCUUAGAUAACCAUGGAGUGGGGAAUUUUAUCAUUCCAUAUCCAUCGGAACGAGAUUUCUACAGGAACAUAACGUUUCUGUGGGUUGGAAAUUUUGUCAGAGUUGCAAGCUGGCGACUACUAUAAAUAGAAAAGUAAAGCACACACAGAAUGUUCAAAAUCAGUAAACAAAUGGCCCCUUAGCAUGUCAUGCAGAGAUCUCGUUACUUUCAGAUAGAGAUGAAUCUAGGUGACUAAUGUUUCCUGAAAAGAGACAUCAUAGUAUAUUUAUCAUAGACGCAUCUGUGUCUUAGAUUUGUGAAGUUAGUAACAUGUCUUAAUGGAGUUGCUACCAAAUAAUUGAAAUAUCAAUAUAAGAUUUUGGACAAGGAAUGCUAAUAAAUCAUAAUGAAUACCAGUUGCUUUAGAAUCUAGGACUUCCUGAGGCCUUCUUUGAUUUUGCACUUUCAUAUUGAUAUAGGCUUUUGACAAAGCGCAAAAAGGCGCAAAGGCCUUAUGAAGCCUAGGCGCGAGGCGCACCGCGAGGCGCGCGCCUCAAGAAGGUGAGGUGCAUAUCUAAUAAAAAUAAAACACUCUUAACAAGCAUGUUUUAAAUGGAUGUUUUAUAUUAAAAAAUUCUAAAAUAGUUAUAUAAAUAUAAAAUAACCAUAAAAAGUAAAAAAAUCGCAUGCAUAAAUAUUCUCAGCUUAAAAUAAAAAAAAUUAUGUUUCAACUUUCAGCUUAAAAGUGUUUGUUGUUACUUCUUUCUUCUUACCGCUGCUAUUUAUUGCCAUUGUGGGGUGGAAGAGAGAACAACCAAGAGAAAAGGAAAAGAAAGCGUUCAAUUAGAAAUUCUUUUAAAAAAAAUUUCUUAACAUUUUAGAAUAUAUUGAAGAAACUCAAAACCCAAGAACCCACACCUUAGACACAUUAAACGUAAAUAUCACGAGGCGCAUCUGAGGCGCGAGUCUCACUUCCUGAGGCGUUGAGACUCACGCCUUGCGCCUGGGAGCUAAGGCGCGCGUCUGAAGCGCGCCUUUUCAAACACUGCAAGGAAUGAUGAUAAAUCAUAGAGAACAUCAAUCACUUCAGAAUCUAGGAGUUAAUGAGGUAUUCUUUCAUGUUGCCCUUUCAUUGGAUCCUUUCAAAGGACUUUGUAGUACAUUGUUUCUUAAAAUAUAUGAAUCGCCAUGCUAGAUAAAGAAAUCAGCAAGUUCAUAUAUAGAAAAAUCUCUCAUGUCUGAAAUAAACAAUCCAGAACUUAGCACCAAAUUACAGAGACUGAUUCGAUCAAUCAAAGUAGAUUCUUCAACUUUGAGAUUUGCUUUGUGAACAACUUAUAUAUGAGAUGAAAAAGGUUCAUACAGAAAAGUAAUUGUUCCAACUUCCAAGCAAUUUAAGUAAGAUAAUAGAAACAAUUUUUUUGGAAGUCCAGAAUAGUACUCUGCCUAGUCGCAUGUAACUUAUUUUGUGGAAUCAUGUGUUUGUUGGGCCCAAAUUAAUGUGGCCCGCAUUUCUCACAUCUAGAGAGCCUAAAUUAGUUUAACAUUUUAUCAGGUUUUUGGAUCAAAACAUAAUUUUUUUAUUUUUAUGGUCAAUUAUUAAUUUGGUUUUUGGUGCAUACAACAUCUCUUUUUGAUGGGCAAGAGAGUUCAAUUAGAUAAUAAAAUCCUGGCUUGUGAUUGAUCCAUUAGAAAUGGAAAGAUUUACAGUAAACAGAAAAAAAGUCAGAAAUAAUCUAUUUUUCCCACCCGUCCCAAUCACAAGAGCAGCAUCACCCCGCAAUCAAAGAUCGGCUCAUCAAUUCACAUGACAAGAACACUGAGACGCAACUCUACAUCUAAUCCAACCUGCAGCUAGUACAGCAAUCUAAACCACAAUACGUUCCAAUGAUGUCCAACAAAGAACAGCUCCGGUCGGAGACCAAAGGAGAAACCAACAAGGAACUAAAAAGACUAGGGCUCAUCGAUUCGCAUGAUAAGACACUAAAAUCCAAACCUAGAUGCGAUCAAAGCUGGAUCGAGAAGUGUGAAACCCCAGAUAGUCCUAUAUAUGAGAUAUAAUAGGGGUAAAACUCUUAACCUAGCUAUAGCAUUUUGGGCGGUGGCUAAAUUCAAGAGGUUAUGAGAGUUAAACGUGCUAGGACUAAAAUAGUCCUAGGAUAGAUAACCUUCUAGAAAAUGGGGCGUUGGUAUCAAAGCCAAUUAUCAGUCGAAAAUAUCAUAUGAGUCUCGACCGAGCCAGAUUAUAUAGCAAAGAGAGCGAGGCUCUCAUGCUGAUGACUAUUGUAGAUAGAGUGCGGCCCCUACAAAGUCGGUUAAGACUAGCGAGACGAGUCUCACAUCAUCUGAUAUUUGUGAGUCUAAACCUGACGAGUACGCCGGGGCUUAAAUGGGGUGUGGAUAGAGCAUGGUUCCCCUACAAGGUCGGUAAAGACAUGUAAGACGAGUCUCACAUUGCUUGAUACUUGUAAGUCUGAACCUUACGAGUAUAUCGGGGCUUAAAUGGGGAGAAAAAUAUGAGACCCCAUAUAGUCUUAUAUAUGAGAUAUAAUAGGACUAAAACUCUUAACCAUUUUGGACGAUGGCUAAACCUAAGAAGUAAAGAGGUUAAAAAGUUAAGAAUGCUAGUACUAGAGUAGUCCUAAAAUGGAUGACCCUCUAAAAAAUGGGGUAUCACAAGAAGCAACGAGAAUCCACGGUUCAUCUAUUCGCAUGAAAAGAACGCCAAAGUUCAAAUCUAGAUGCGAUCGAAGCAGCAACUACUACAUCAAUCCAAAUCAACCAUUCCCAUACAAACAAGACCACUGAUCAGAUAUCGAGAAAGAAAUCAACAGGAAGAAAGAAUCUAGCGUUUAUGGAGCUCGAAAAGGAGAGGGAAAGGGAUCGCACCCGGGAUUGGGGGAGGCCGGAGGGGCAGGAGAGGAGGAGCUUGAAGGAAGUGCCUUCGACUCCGGCGCCGCCGCUGCUAAUGGAGAUCGUCGUCAUCGUCGGCGAUGGGAGGAGAGGGGAGAGGAGGUGGGGGAGAGGGCGGAGGUAGGAGACGACCCUCGCCAUUGAUUUUAACCGCUUUGGAGAACUUUUUAAGAAGCAGCUUUGCGGGCACGUCUCAAUUGUUCCAAAUAUUUUUUAAAACAAAUAGUGUGAUCAGAUUGCUUAAUAAAUAUGAUUAAUAGGUAUAUAUCAUAUUAUGUAUUAAUAAUUAUUUUAAUUAUUUAAUACAAAUAUUAUUAGUCAUUUACUUAUAUAGAGAGAGAGAGUUAUUUUUUUUUUAUGAUGAAUGAAGCUCGAUAUAUUAGACGGCUAGAAUUAUACAAGAGAUAGAAUAUUCGAUCUUAGUGGUUGUGCCAUAUUUUAGAAAGGCCCGAUUGGGGUCUUACACUCAUGUUUUAAUUACACCAUACACCGAUUUCAAAUUAUGUGUCAAAUAUAAAUUUAUAUUAUAUAAUAAAUUAUUUAAGUAUUUUAUGUUAUAUUUUAUUUUACACUACUGAUUACUAAAUAUUUUAUUAAUUAUUUAAUAUACUUUAUGAUGUAUGAAGCAUUAGUAUAUCCCAAGUGCAAAAAAAAUUUAUUUUCUCUCUUCAUUUUGUGGCCAUGUGGGUGCAUUAAAUUAAGCAUUCUCUGCACUGAGUGUAUAUGUGUAUCAGGUGUAUAUUUGUACAUGUAUCAUAUACUUAAGACCUUUUAAUAGAGAUUUGAAAAUCUAAUUCAUUCAAUAGAAUUUAAAUUAUUAAUUUAUAGGUCAUAUAUGUUUAAUUAAAUUUUAAUAUCAAAAUAUUUAUUAUCUAAUAUAAGUUGUGGUGUAUAAAAUGUUAAUAUAUAUCAUGCGCAUGUAAGUUUUUAGUUAAAAAAGUUAUUUACAAAACAAUUUUCAAAACUAUUAAAUUUGAUUAAUUUUGAAAUAAAGUUGUUAGAAUAAUGUAACUAGUCAAAAAUUAAGAAAAUAUUAGGGGUUGUUUGGUUCCUCAUAAAACUGCAGAAAAAAAAUUUUCGAUGGAAAAUAAAUUUUACGCUCUUUAGAGUUUGGUUUGUAGGAAAAAAUAGUAAUUGUCACUUCCCGGAUUACCACGUUUUUCUGGGCACGCCAACAGACCCGCCGUAUACAUAAGAAUUUUUUGUGUAUACGAAGCAAUAGCUGUACCUGUAAGCAGGUCAUAGCUACAACCAAGUGUAUAGAGCUCCUAAACUGAAGUAGGAAUAUAUAUAUAAAACAUAAGGUUCAUAGUACAUACAAAAGCUCUGAACCAACACUAACACCUCGCUCUAGCGAGUAAACCGAAUAUAGAGUAUGUACACGAACAAAACCCACUACCUCUGACGGGUACUCCGCUAGCACAGCAACCAAGGGUAGGAAGAAUCUAGCUCGUGAUUCUCUUCCCGCGGUCGGAAUCAGCAACAACAGCAGCCGCAGACGAAUGCUCUGCAAAAAGGGGUCAACAACUGGGUGUGAGAACUACUACAAAACAAAGUAGUCCUCAGUGGGUACCGCCACCGACCUCAACGGCCCACCCACUAAGUCCACAGAAAUAUGCCCAAAGGACAGUAAGGAAAGCCGGAAAGAACUCUACAGCUACUUAUCACUAUACUAUCGCUAACCAACACAAUCUAUCUGUAGAUAUAAAUAUGUAUCACACUGACCCAAUCUCACUAGGGACUGCGAUACGCCUGUCCCGCCUGUCUAAGCUACAUCGUACAUCACCCCGAGGGCGGCCGGUGGAGAGCAAAGUCCAAACCAAACUACUACGACAUCAACGCAAGGUAGCCAAACUCCGAAGCGGCACUCGUGGGCGCAACACAACAGAGUAUGCAAGCGUGUCUCUACCGAGCUCAAUUAGGCUCUCACUGGUUGUAGUCAAUGCAAAUGGGUUAAACUGGUCUAACAACCACAGCUCACGUGUCCUUGGCACAAUCUGAUGUAAAAUACAGAAAUCUGGGUCUACCGUCAAACCACGACUGCACCCGACAGUACGGAACAGUCCACACUCUACUGUAAAACGAGCUCGGCCCCUCUGCACUAGCGUAAUCUCAACCUACACUAAUCUGGGUAUCCACCUCGCACUAACAGCGGUGAUACAAAGUACAGUAGCUCCUAAAGCUAAAUCUGGUAACUUUUCAGAAAAUGACAGUGUAAGAUUUAACUUGUUUUCUCCUAAGUCAAUUUCCAGUUCAACAUGUAAAAAGAUUCUAAAAUUAAGGCUCCCAAUUCAGAUUCCAUGAAAACUAUGCAAAUCGAUGAAUUUAGCUACUAAACAUGAUACUAUACAUAAAACCAUACAUGCUGACAAAACUCCAACUUAGGAGGAAAUCUGACGAUUUCGGUAAACAUCAACCCACCUCGAUCGCUCGUCCAACGUUGGCGAGAAGUUGAUAGAAGGGAACCCACGCGUUCGCCGGAUCUCCAACGGCUCAACCGCGACACCCACGCGCACGAACGGUCCUCCAGAGGAACGUCGAAUCCGAACGAGCUCAAGCCUCAACCUUCCCGACGCACGGCAACCACUAGUUAGAGAAAGAGAGGAAAAGAAAAAGAAUCCUCUUCUCCAAAGCUCUCUAUGCAUACAUAUAUAGCUGGGUUAAUAUUGGAAUGAACGACACUUCAAAAGACCAAACUACUCCUUACCUACUCAUUUUUCCAGCUGGAGUACUGGUACCUAACUUGGAUACCGGUACUCGGCCCCUCAACCUGCAGCCUCGCACGCUCGGUACCAGUACCAGCCCGAUGCGGUAACGGUACCCGAGCUCGAUACCGGUACUCGACAACAGGUACCGGUACUCAGCAUCGGAUAUACGCAAACCCGAGAGCAUCCAGUUCUGCAAUCUCACUGCGGUACCGGUACUUCUCCCCAGGUACCGGUACUCAACACUGAAAUCCUGCACUUUACAGAUUUCGGUGUCAAAACUCCAUUCUCGCGUUGUGCUAAGUCCGUUUUGCGUCCAUUUCGCACCAAAACGACUCCGACUUGUCCCGACACUUUCCAGACGUAUCAACAAGUCUCAGAUGCUGAAAUCACACAAGCAUCCAAACACCAGGGACACUACAGUAGUUUUUCGUUACGGUUGUUUGGUUGAAAGAAAAAAAAAGAAAAAAAAGGAGUUAUAAAUAAAAAACUAUUAUAUAUUUUUUUAUUUUAUAUAUUAUAUAUUAUUAAUAUAUAAUAAUUAUCAUAUUACAUAUAUUAAUAUUAUAAUUUAUAUUUGUAAAUAAAAUAUAUUUAAAAUAUAUUAUACAAUAAGUAUAUAAUCUAUUAUCUAUUAAAUAAUAUGAAUCCGCAAUACUUUUGCCACCUGGCACCCCCUCCUUCACCCAUCUGCUCCUCUUCUCUUCUUUCCCCAUUGUUGGUAACUGUUACCUUCAAUAAAUAAAUAAAUAAAUUUAUUCUACCCUUGCCGUUACAUCCCUCCACUACUUGGGGCAUUCAUUUUCUUUCAAUUUAAGCGUUUCUAGCUUUGCAUUUUGGCAUAGUGCUGUGGUGUUAAAAAGCUUUGAUUACGAAGCUACUGUGGAUAGCACAAAUUUGCGGUUGCGGGCCACUCUGGAGCAUUAAAGGCGGCAGCAAAUGGCUCGCUUCUGCUGUUGCGGACCUAACCGUGGUGAUAAGCUAGGCUAACCAGACCCUAAAGUGAUUGAUUUUUUUUAUGCAGCAGGAGCAGAUAGAUAGCUUCCUUCCAAUUGAGAUGGGUAUAGUGAGCAAGCAGCCGACAAAUUACUUCUGCAAGACUCUGACGGGAAGCGAUACGAGUACUCACGGGGGAUUCUUUGUUCCCCACCGUGCUGCUGAGAAGGUGUUUCCUCCCCUGGUAUGUUAGGAUUCAGCAAAUUACAUGAAUUUUCUUGUCAAGAUUUAUUGGUUGUGGAGUAUUUAUUAUAAGCUUAUGAAGAAAUUGACCCUGGUGUUGGUUGUAGGAUUUCACUCAGCAGCCACCAGCGCAGGAGCUCAUUGCGCGUGAUCUUCAUGAUGUUGAAUGGAAGUUCAGGCACAUCUUUCGAGGUAAGGAGAAGGUAGGGAAAUAGAUCCGUGCCGUGGUUGAGGUAUUGGAAAGAAUGAAUGUUGAUGCACAUAAGGGAUUAGUGUAACAUCUUCAGGAGUCAGUGCUUGUAUAGCAUAUAGAUAAAUUGGUUAUAGAUGUUAAGAGUAGUGCUUACUUAGUUUGAUGCCCAUAGAUGUUAGAUAAGAUGGAUACAAACGCCAAAUUAUGUAUUCAGGCAUGUAGCAUUUUUAUGGUUGGAAAGAAUUGAUUGCAUGUCUCAUGAUAUAGGUUGGGUUUGAAGGUAAUUAGAUAAGGCAUUUCUUUGAUUCAAUACAGUGAAAAAAGUUGAUGUUCUUGAAUAUAAGAGAGGCCCAAGGAAUUGACAAUAAUAUAACAGUAGAGUUGUAAAUAAGCAAGAUUAUCUAUUAAAGAAAUUUUGUUGAAUAAGGACUCUUCUUGAAUGGUUUAACAGAAUAUAUUCUGUGGCAUGAACAGUUAUAAGAGAGAUGUUGUUUCUCACCUUUGAUCGGGAUUAACUGCCAAAACUAUCUUCUUCUUUGAACCAUAGAAUGAGUAAUUUGGAUCAUCAAUUUGAGCAACCCGCCGACCUUAAUGUGAAUCCUGGGACAGAAUGCAUUGUUUAUGCCCUUAUCAAAUGUAUUUUUACAUGUACAUAUGAACGUGUGCAUGCACACAUGUAAAUUGUUGUUUGGCGUUCCAACAUCCCUUUUCUUUUCAAAAUAGUAAAACUUCUAGCAGUGGUAAAGUUGGGUAAUUGGAGUAAACUGUUGCAUCCAGUUCUCCAGUGUUAUAUGAUUCUUCAUAAACAACAUACCCCAUGUAUCCAUCAUUGUUCCCCCUGAGGCUCAAGCGUCCUUGGCAGCCUGGAGCACCAUAUUCUCAAGGUUUGUUUAUUGCCUAUUGGCCGGUAAUUAUCGAUUCCACAGUCUUUCUUAAUUUUUCCAGGUUAAUGUACAGUUUGUCUCUUAUUGAGCUACACUAUGCAUGCCAUGUGAAAUUACUUUAUCGAAACCUGCAAUUUUAUCAAUGUGAAGUUCUUUACCAACAGAAAAUAAAUUUUCGGGUAUUAUUUAUUCUCUUUUUUUUUUAACUAUAUUUCAUACUUUCAUGUCUUUUUCUUUUAGAGAAUAAAGAACUCGAGAGCAAUUCCCCGGUGUUUCUAAGAGGGGGUAGUGGAGAACGAGGCAUUCAGCCUUUUAAUUUUCUGCCUUUUGGUGUGAACUCUUAGGUUCAACAGAGGUCAGAACCAUCACUGGUGGAGAAUGAGCUUAAUCAAAUGCUAUGCUGUUACUCCAAUUUUAAAUUAAAUGCCCACUUUCAAUGAAUGAUCCUCCAAUGUAAUUGAUAGCUCUUGCUAAGAUGAAUGCUCAGAAUGGUAGACAUAAAUUGAAAUAUGGUCUUCUCAUAUUUUGGUGAUGCUUUUACUGUCUACAAUUAGUUAGUAUUUUGGGUUUCUUUUUAAGACUUCUAAAAUUGAGUUUUUAUUAUUGCUGUAGUAUAAUAGUUUGUUUAUUAAUUUACUUCUUUGUUAUGUGAAAUAACAUUCUUCUACGAUUGUUCUAUUUUUGUUCUAUUGCUUCUGCUAAUUUAUAACAGUAAAUUUGUGACUUUUUUAUUUCCAGCAUACCUAGAUUUGAAAUGUGUAGCUGCUGUAGUAUUGAGUUUAAUCUUUAAGUAGCCUGGUUAUUUCAUUGUUAUUAAUUUAGGCAUCUAUAUAUUAGUUCAAAAUAGAUUUACAAUAAUUAUAAAUUAAUUCAAAUUCCCUUAGUUAGAGUCUUUUCUUAUUUUUACAUCAGAUUUGUUUCAGUAAAAUUUCUUAUUUAGUAGGGACAACAAUUAAAUUAAAGUCUUUUCUUAUUUUUUGCGGUAGAGUCUUUCUAAGGAGAAAAAAAAACUAUAAUUUUACUUCAACAAUAGCUACUCGCUGCAACGUGCGAGUACCUACACUAGUAUAAUAUAGUAUAUAUAUAUAUAUAUAUUUAAUACUAUAAAUAAAUUUAUAAAUAAUAUUUAUAAAUAAAAUACUAUAUAUAUAUAUAUAUAUAAGAGGGGCAGAGAGAGGGGUCCAUCCUCUCCUCACGCGGUCCACGAGGUGGAGCAGACCUCGUGGAAUGCACCUUUUCUUCCCCCGUGCAGCGUGCGCAACGCCGCGUGUUUUCGUUUUUUACUCGAAUCGAGCGGAAAACCUUCAUUUUCCUCAUAAUCUGUAAAAGAAAGUUUUCGAAAAAAUUUGUUUACGGGCCACCAAACACGGGAAUUCCACUUUUCAACCGAAAAAAAAAUUUGCAGGGUGAUUUUACGAGUAACCAAACACACCCUUAAUAAAAAAAGUUAUUUUUUGUAAUGUAGAUAACACUAUUUGAUAAUAUUUUUAUUUAGUUAUAAUAUUUUAAUAUUACAAGCUUAAUAAUUAUAUAUUUUAAUUGAUUGAAAUACAAACUACCCGCCGCGAAGCGCCGAGCGUGUGCCCUGCACUAGUACAUGCAUUAUUCCUCAUAAACUUUGCCACGUGGCAAUGCCUCCUUCACAUGUGCCUUCUCCCCCUUCCAAAUGAUCGAAUUUAUUAUCUUUCAUCUUCGCGCGGUGUUUUGUCUUCCCACUUGCCCACUUCCUAAUUAAUAUAUUCACAUGGUUUAUUGUCAUCUAACAAAUUAAUUUUAUAAAAAAAUAAAUAAAAUAAGAUAUUUUCAUACUUUUUUUUUUUGGUGUGUAAGGGUUCAUAUUUUAUAAUAUUUUUAAUUUUUUUCUCUUUUUUUAAAUUAUGUAGGGAUUGAAAUUAGGGAUCUGAAAAUCACGGAGCGGCACGAUUGAGGGCAGCAGCGAUGGAUUUGGAGUUAGUAAGGGGGGAAGAAGCGGUGAGUGAGGGGGGAUCAUCAACGUGAUUGUGACCAAGGAGAAACUCAAUGCCGAAAAUGGUCGUGGAGGCGACGCGGAGAUUGAGAUUCCCUUUCACAAAAAAGGUAAAUUAAGAUAUAUUCAUGCUCUUUUUUUUUAAAUUUUUUUCCUUUUUUAGAGACGACACAAAAGAUUCAUAUUUUGUAAUUUUCUUAAUUUUUCUCUUUUUAAAAAAAUUGGGUAGGGAUGAAAUUAGGAUUAUGAGGAUCACGAUGCGACACGAUGGGAGGAAGUAACGAUGAGUUUGGAGUCGGUAAAGAAAAAGAAGCGGUUUUGGGAGAUCUGUACGGAAUCGACAUGGCCGUAACUAAAAAGGAGCUCGAUGCUGACAAUGGCAGCAAAUGUGACGUGGAGAUCAGGAUUCACGUCCCUGAUAUUGGCAGCGCAAUUAAGGUGCAUAUGGAGUAGUGUUCUAUUACUCUUUUUUUUAUUAUUGUUAUGUGUAAUUUAUUUGCUAUAUCUGUUUUAUAUCUUCUAUUUGUAUUUAUUGAUUUUUCAUGACAAGUCAAAAAAUUUUAAAAUUUUUUAUUUUGCCUAUUUUCUAUCUUUAUCGCAUAAAUCCGCCGCAAUGCGGGGUAACUUUACCAGUCAUACAAUUGAGUCUAUAAAAAAAUAUGGGAUGAGGUUUCGAAAAUGCGUGCUUUGUCUGAGUUCUCUGCUCUAUAAAGAUCUAUGACGCCCUAACUUCCUAUGGGGUCACUCAUCCUAGGACUACUCCUGUCCUAGCACGCUUAACUCUCUUAACCUUUUGGGCCUAGCCACCACUCAAAAUGCUUAAGCCGGGUUAAAAAUUUAGCCCUAUUAUAUUUCAUAUAUAGGACUACCUGGGGUCUCACAAUCUCCCCCUUUAAGCUAGGCGAUGUGAGCCUCGUCUCGCUAGCCUAAACCGACUUUGUAAGGCAGCCGCGCUCUACCCACAAUAGUCAACAGUAUGAAAGCCUCGCUCUCUCCGCUGUAUAAUCCUGGCUCAGCCGAGACUCAUCUCACACUUUCGGCUGGUAAUUGACUUUAAUACCAACAAUGACGCCCUAACUUCCCAGUAGGUCACCCAUCCUAGGACUACUCCUGUUCUAACACGCUUAACUCUCUUAGCCUCUUGGGCCUAGCUACCAUGCAAAAUGCUUAAGCCGGGUUAAGAGUUUAGCCUUAUUAUAUUUUAUAUAUAGAACUACCUGGGAUCUCACAAGAUCCCUUAGUAAUACCACUACAUCUUACUCAACACGGCCUUAAACUAAUUUUUUAUUCAUCUGGUUCUUUAAUUUGCGCCAUUGACUGACGGCCAAUAUGGCCUUAGAAUCUCCCAAAAGUUGCCUUUGUCAGGAUAGUCUGCGGCACAUUGAUUUUCAUGGCGGGAGUUGGCAUGCUAAUCUACUGCUUUUGGAAGCGUAGGCAGGAAGCCCGUAGGGGAAACGAUGGCGGUUGGGGCAGUGCGGUGGCACAACAAGGGUGAUCCUCGUCUAUUUCUGCUGGUAAUUGUAUUCGCCAUCCAAUCUAAUAAUUGUGUCUAUUUUUAUGUCUUAAUUAUAAUGCCAUAGAAUUUUGUAACUUGUCUUGGCUAAUUAAUUUCUUCUCGUAGUCGCCGCCGCUGUCUUCUUCUUCUUCCUUUCCUUCUUCUUCUUCAAUCAAAGUAAUUGACGGUGGCUCUCAAUUAAGGACAAGAAGACGCCGAGAGCAGCAACAGUAGAGGAGUAAGGCAGGAGGAACGGCGACAAAGGGGAUGUUAAUAAAUUUGAAUGGGCGUUUAACUUGAUCAAUGCUUGUAGUAAUAUAUAUAUAUAUAUAUAUAUAUAUAUAUAUAUGAACUAGGCUGGAAUACUAUCACUAGCACCAAGCUAUUGGUGCUAUUAGGUUUUUGAACCUUGGAUAAAAAAAAUGUGCGGUCAUGAUGAUGUGGACCCCCUAGGGUUGAGUGAGUUAUUGAUUGAAUAGUAUAAUCUAACAUGUGAAAAUAGUCAAAAGUUUAAAUCUAACGAUGGAAAACUUGAUAGCACCAAACACUUACUGCUAUUGAUAGUAUACCAGCCGGACUCAUAUAAUAUAAUAUAAUUUUGAAAUACAAUAAAAAGACAUUCUUGUAGUUGCAUUACAUCUAGGGUGCGUUUGGUUCGCACUAUGAAAGAUUACUAGGAGUAAAAAGAUAUCCGAGAAUCUUAUUCCUAUUCAUCCUAUAACUAAGAAUGUAGUAUUUCGGUGUUUGGUUUGUACGGUCAUAUUAUUUAGUCAUGUUAUUUAAGAUUACGAAAAAUAUACUAUUUAUUUAUUUAUUUAAUUUUAAAUAAUACUAUAAAAAAUUUCAACAACUUUUUAGAAAAGAGAGAGAGAGAAUAUAGGUUAGAAAGAAAGAGCAUAAUUAAAGAAAUAGGAAGAGAAAUAGAGUCGAGAUUAGAGAGAAUGAGAUGGUUGAGAUUUUAGAAAAAAAUGGGGAGAAAUAACUUAAUUUAGAGAGAAAAAAAAAUUAAAGUUUAGAGAGAAAAAUAAAAGUUUUGAGAGAGAUAUGAGGUUAGAGUGUAAAAAAAUAUAAUACCAACUAUCUGACGGGUGGGAAAAAAAAAAGAUUAGACAUAUUAUAAUUACUCCAAUCCAUUAAUAUAAAAAUACCCACCCUCCCUCAAAGGAAUGAGAUUAGUACUUUGGGAUGCAUCUCAUUCCCAAGUAAAUCCAGUAUUACCAACUAGAUUACUUAAUGCGUUUAGCCAAACAUCAUCAUUUUUUUUUUAUUCCUAUUGGAUUAUUAGGAAUCUUAAAAAGAUAGAACAAACCAAACGCACCCCUAUUGUAAUAUAUGAAUCCCCAAUUUUUUAGGCCAUGUCACUAUGUGGCUGAGGAAGGGGAGUUAGAGAAGAAAGUGGAGGUAGCGGUGGGGCUGGGGUUGGACCCCUCCCCCCUCCCCCCCUUUUUCUUCUCCUCGUUCACUAAUUAGGACUACAUAAAUUAGUUUUUUUAAAUCUAAUCUAAUUAUCCUCUUUUUUCGUUAUAAAAAUUUAAAAUAUAUAAUUUUUUACACAUAAUUUUUAAAUAGUGUAAAUUAUAUGUAUUAAAUAUAAUUUUUGAUUUUAUAAUAUUGACAACUUAGAUAUAAAUUAUACAACAAAAAAUGAAAAAGAUAAUGAUAGACUUUAAGUUAAAAUUUAUUUUAAUAAAUGUAGUUGCGAAAAUCACGUGAAAUAUAUUAACUAAAUCUGUAAGCUAAACGACGGAUUUAAAUUUUGAAGUUAAUGUAUCAUUUACUCACUCAAAUUUAGCAUAAAGAAAGAUUGGAUAGUAAAAAUAAAAUUUUAAAAGAUUGGAUAGCUAAUUCAAAAUGGUUUAUAGUUCUAAAAAAUUCUAUAUGUUUUUACUUUGAUUUUCAUAUCAACUUCAUUGCCAUAUUUAUAGUUUGAUGAGCGAUCAAUUUUAUAUUUAAAAUCUUUUGAAAUAUCCAAAAUAUGAUUGGUCGAUUUUUAAUUUUAACAAUUAGACAUUCUAAAAUUUAUGUAACGACCCAGCCCACUAGCAACAAUAACUCGUUGGGCCCAAACACUAGCCCAAAAUGCUUAAACUCAGUUAUUAUUACUAGUGUCUAAGUCUUCUAUAUACCCAAUCACAUCCCCAUCAUAUUCGAUGUGGGAUUAUUGGGGUGUGACAGACUCCCCCCGUUAAGACCCUGAUGUCCUCGUCAGUCCAAUCACACACAUAGUUCAAGAUCACCAGGCGAUGUGAGACUCGUCUCAUUAGCCUUAUCAUUCAGACCCUGACAUAGCCGGUCACCUUGUCAUUCAGACUCCGACAUAGCCUAUCACCUUGUCUUUCAGAUCCUGGGCUUAGUCAAGACUCGCCACACAUUUUCGGCUGGUGAACUGGCUCUGAUACCAAAUAUAACAACCCAAUCUCUAGUAAUAAUAACUCGUUGGGCCCAACCACCGGCCCAAAAUGAUUGAGCCUAUUUAUUAUUACUAACGUCUAAGUCUCCUACAUACCCAAUCAGGCAAUCACAUCCCGAUCAUAUCCAAUGUGAGAUUAUUGGGGUGUGACAAUUUAUUAGAUAGUUUAACAUAUUGUAUAGACCUUUUUCGUUUGAAAUAGAAUUAAAGUAUAAAAAAGAUAAAUAUGCUUUUGAUUCAAAAUUAUAAGACGCGUGAUACUUUAGUCCUCGAAUUUUAAUACGUUAUAUUUUCUUUCUCAAACUAUGAGGCAUGUGAUGUUUUAGUGAUCAAACUUUAAUUACUUAUAAUUUUUGAAUCUAACUAUAAGACAUAUGAUAUUUUAAUUCUCAACUUUUACUGCUAUUAUAAAUAAAAAUUUUCUUAUACUUUCUUCUUAUUCUUUUUGUAUUUUUAUUCUUAUGUUUUUACUGUAGAAGCUGUUGUUUCUUCUUAAAUUUUGUUUAUUUGUAUUUUUUUACUAUUUGACUUUAUUUUAUUAUUUUUUAGUUUUAUUUCAUAUUUUGUGUUUACGAAAUCGAUCCGCCGCAACAUGCGGAUACCUUCACUAGUCAUACAUAAUAUUUAACAUGUAUCUCAUUUGCCUUCAUACAAAAUAUUGCAAUACAAGUCAUUUGUAUUCAUACAUAAUAUUUUUCAUUCAAUUCUUAACUUGUAGUUAUAUAUAAUAUUAUCAUAUAACUCCUCAUUUGACAUUCAAUAGUCUCUAACUUCUCCUAAAUUGUUGUCUAGCUACGUAAUCAGUCCAUGCUUUGUUUGCUAUUUCUUUAUGCAUGCUUAAGAUUGGCCUGCCUUAUGUUGCUUGUUCAUUCAUUCAAUAUCGUCAGUAUAGCCCUCAUCACAAUUUAGUAUGUCGACUAUUUCAUGACGUCUGAUUAUUGUAAUAUUAUUCAUUCAGCCAAUCAUCCCUGCCAUUAUGAUUUUAAAUGAUAUUAUACAACAUACAAUAAGCCAUCAUAAUGUUAGUUUGCUAAUCAAUAGAAUUAAACGUAGCUACCUUCAAAAUUGGAAAAACACAUUUUUAUAACUCUAAUAAUGGUUUCUAAGUUGCAAAUGAUGAAGAUUAAAUAGUUAUUUAUAAUUAUUUGGCUUUUCACUGGCUACACCUUGCUCUUUUAGGUGAUAUUAUAUACUACGAUAUAAAACAAUAAAGCUUGAUUUGUUAACAUAACCCACAUCAACGAGAUAAUAUUUUUCAAACGAAACUAUAAAAUUAUAAUCUAAGAUGUUUUGUAAGCAUCUAAUGCUGAACUCUCCCAACCAGCACAUAAAUAAAAUGAAGAUUAAAAUCACAUGCAGUUAUUACAUUUUUGUGAUAAUUUUUGUUUUUAAUUAUGAUAUAGUAACUAUAAGCUCGUUGCAAUUGAUGCGGGAAUAUAAGUAUGGUUAAUAACACUAAUAUAAUUCUGCAAUAGAAAAAAUAAUAACUUUAAUUGCAAAAUUUAAAAAAUUAUUUAUCUACAAUGGUUAUUAAAUUAAAUCAAAAUAAGUGAGAAAUUUUUAUUACCUCAAAAUAAAGGUAAUAUUUAUUAUUACAUCUGAUACUCAAUGGAGUGAUGGUCAAUGGUCGUUAACUUAAAUCACCUAUAAGUUGUGUAAUUGCCCAUAAUACUACUAAAGAUGAUGACUCAUUAUUUUAUUACUAUGUUGAAAACGUUUUUGUGCGGUACGAUUAUUUGCAUUUAGAAAAGGUAAAUCAAAAUAUAGCUACUCGUUGCUCCACAAUCACAUAUUUUGUAUCUAAAAAAAGCCUUUACUUUCAAAUAUUUAACUAGCAAUUUGAGAACAUGAGUUUUUAUUUUGAACUCCCUUCUGAAUUGUUUCUCAUGGCCUUCAAGAACUUUUUGAAUGUACACUGCAUCGGUAAAAUAAAUGUGUGAUGUCUCCCUUUCGAUGUUCCCACUAUUUAUCGUUGAAAGAAUGAAGUCCAUGAACUGAUUCCUUCCCGUUUUUAAAUUUCGAAAGAAGAAAUAUUAACUCAUUAUCAUCCAUAAUUUAUAGUUGUGGUGAUGUACAGAAGAUGAUACAAGAAAUAAUAAUUGUGAUUUUGUAGCACUUCUUAAUAUUUCUAAAUAGACCUUGGAUAGGCUAGGAAGAAAUAUAACAAUGUCUUCAACAACUAGUUUUUUGAAUUUGAGCUCUCUAACGGCUAAUUUUUUAAACUUUGAGCUUUAACGGCUAGUUAAGUGAAAUUAAAAGUUUCUAACAGCUAUUUUUCUAAAUUUCAAAAUCCAUAAUGACUAGUCUGAUGAUAUGGUUCUUUUUUGAAUUUAGAGCUCCAUAUUUAAAAUAUAUCGUUAAUGGUCUGAAUUUCAAAAUUUGGAGCCAUAUAAUACCUAAUUUUUAAAAUCUGAUCUCUUUAAUAGCUAAUUUUUUUUUUGUUUAAUUUGAAUUCUCUAAUAGCUAAUAUUUUAAAGUUAUCAGAAAAUUCUGUAGUAUUAUGCAGAGUGUAUCCAAAUAGCUGAAAAAUAAAAUCAUUAACCUUUUUUUCUAACCUAAACUACUGUUAAUAAACUCCAGAAAGGUUUUUCUUUACUGUGCUUUUAACCAGGCCAAAAUUUAAGUUUGUUGUUUUGCUUUGACGGUGUACGGAUUCUUGAUGAAUAUAUUUAUAAUACUAAAUUUUUAAAAUCAAACGGCAAGGAUUCUACUAAAUUUUUAAAAUUGAAUAGUAAGGAUUCUAAUUUUUUAUUUUUCAAAACCAGAUAAUCCUGAAUUUUAUUUUGAAUUGAGUAAUGUUAGUGGUAUACCCAAAAGUGAAUGUAAAUUUUAUAAUUUGCCAUUCAAAGGCUAGUUUUUCCAUAGUAAUCUUAUUGAUCAUUUUAUUUAAUUAGACUAAAAUGCAUAUAAUAUUUUUCAAUUUUUCAUAUGUAGUACUUUAUCCUCCUAGAUAAAAAAUUUACAUUUGACCCUCCUCAAAAGAUUAAAAAAUUUUUAUCAAUAACCAAAUAUGUAUCUAUUUUAUCAUUUUUUUUUCUUCCCAUGGGGAUUAAGUGUAUUGGGCCCAAAUACCGGCCCAAAAUGCUUAAGUCCAGUUAUUAUUACUAGUAUCUAAACGUCCUCGUCAGUCCAAACAGACUCCCCCCGUUAAGGUCCUAAUGUCCUCGUCAGUCCAAUCACAAUCACACACAGCCAUACCAACUGUAACGACACAGCCAACUAGCAACAAUAACUCGUUGGGCCCAAACACCGGCCCAAAAUGCUUAAGUCGAGUUAUUAUUACUAGUAUCUAAGUCUCUUAUAAACCCAAUGACAAUCCCAUUCCCAUCCGAUAUGGGACUAUUGGGGUGUCACAUUCCCCAAGGGGUUAAGUGCUUGCAACCUAAGUUUUUAGGGAUAUUAAGUGUAUAUUUUUUAUUUGUUAAAUUAAUAGUGCAAGAAGUAAUAUAUUGAAGGAAAUAUUGUGCAUUUUAACCUCAAUAGUAACAAAAGUUUUUAAAAAUAGCUGAGUCAUUAGAUGGAAGAACGUACAAUUUAUAGUUAAUUUUUUUGUAUGCAAGUAGGAUUUGUGUUUUUGAUUUUGGUUUUGAUUCACAGCUUUGAUGUCGGUUUUGUGCAAAAACAGAACUAAAUCCGACCCGUUAAAAUCCCCAUCACAAGCGCAAGCUCACCAGAAAAGCUAGGGUUUUUAGGAGCCCGCUAUAUAUAUAUGCACACACACGAAAAAUAUAAAAUAGGUAAAAAAAACCCGACAACCUCGACGCCGCCUCUUUGCUACUCCGCCUCCUCCCUCUCACGCAUCGUCGACUUCUCCGUUUUCGCAUCGCCAUGGGUAUCUCUCUCUCUCUCUCUCUCUCUCUCUCUCUCUCUUGCUUCCUCUCACACCUCCUCCAAUGGUGAAUAGCGAGGAUCAAGGUGCACGAGCUCCGGGGGAAGACGAAGGCGGAGCUCCUCACGCAGUUGAAGGACCUCAAGGCCGAGCUCUCGCUCCUCCGCGUCGCCAAGGUCACCGGAGGAGCCCCCAACAAGCUCUCCAAGAUGUAAGCCCCUCUCCGCUCCCUCGUUCAUGCCGCGAUCUCUCUCCCUCCCCAUAUGCAUCGUUUCCUCUCUCUCUUUCGCUCCCUCUCAUGGUGUUGCUUGGGUUUUGGGAUUCAGCAAGGUGGUUAGGGUUUCGAUCGCGAGGGUUUUGACGGUGAUCUCGCAGAAGCAGAAGGCGGCGCUGAGGGAGGCCUACAAGAAGAAGAAGUACCAGCCGCUCGAUCUCCGCCCCAAGAAGACCCACGCCAUCCGCCACAAGCUCACCAAGCACCAGGUCAUCCUAUUCCCCAUUUCUCUUCGAUUCUUGUUCAAAUUGUGUAUUGUGGAUGAUCAGGCCUUAAGCUUUCGUUAAUUACAUGAGUACUCUUGUUGGAUUUGGUUUGACCCUCUGUUAUAGGUUAAAAGAUGGACUUUUUCGUCGUUUCGAAGCCUUGGUUGGGUUAUAUGAUGGAUUUAUGCAUAAAUCAUAGUUUUUGUGUUUCUGCUUCUAUGCAUUACUUAGCACUUGGCUUUUAUCUAAGAGGUUCUUAAGCUUUUAUCUUCGGUGGCAACCGUAGAUGGUUAUAAACAUAUAUUCAAACAGGGUUUUCCAAGGGGCAUGGUAUAAGCCGCUAUUUUAGUAAGACAAAUGAGGAGUUUUCGGUUGAGGGCCUGAGAAAGAAGAAUUCGCGUAUGAUUACAGAAACAAGUUGUAUAGUAACUUAGUAAGUGGUUUUUGAUUUAGGGUUAUGGGGUUCCCUAGGGCCUUUUCGAUGUCUCAGAUUGCUUCAGGCGUUAGCUAUGUUAAAAGUUGUCCUACUGUUAAGACAGUUUACAUAUCAGUAGAACAGUUCUUCUACAGUGAAUGACUAAGACUAGGCGAUUAUAAUUGUUUCCAUGUCAUAAGGACACUAGCCAAGCUUUUGCCAUUUUCUUUUAGACCUUUAUUAUCUGAAGGUAAAGAGAUUGUGAAGAUGAAAACAUGUGUUUUUAUCAUCCUCGCAUAUUAGUAUAUACUGUCGCACAUGAAGUUGGGUAUUGUGUGUUGAACAUUGCAUUCAAAUUGAUACUCUCGGGGGGGAAAAAAUUUCCUCCUCUUCUUGGAAUGCAGCAAUUCACAAAGAAAACGUAAUUAGAAUUACUAUUAAGGGCUUGUUUGACUUUACCAUUGUUUUCAGCUGUAGUCACUUCUAGUAGAGAGUUUACGCAACAAACAAGUCUUGAAGGUUUUGCUUUAAGAUGAAGAAGAAAUAAGCGCUACUUCAAAACUUCUAAUUUUUUUUGCAAGAAGAAGCUGUUAGGAGGGUUGCAAUAUAAAGCUUCUUAUAUAACAUUACUUAAUAGAACACUUUAAUUGAACACUUCAUCAAACGACACUACAACCUAUGGCGGGCUAAACGGGCUCUGAGUCAUCAUUAAUGGUGUUCGUUUUGACCAUUAGAGUCUUUCUUUUCCUUCAUUUUCUUGGUACAAGUCUAGAAAUUUGUAACAUAUAAUUGCCUAAUUUUCGUAUACGUGGGAAAGAAAUGCUGGACGCUUCUAUGCUUUAACCUGAUUAUACUUAGCCACUGAACUUUGGAAAGUAAAAACUUCAUGCAUUUUUUAUUCAUUUCAAUCAGCCACCUGACUCCAAAUUUUAUUCGUUUCCCUUGAUGCUUGGCAAGUUACAUAAUGAUCAAAUAAUUCCUAUAUUCAUGUAAACAUUCAAAAGAAAAGGGUAGAUGUGAACUAUAAUUAGUUGGAAUUUCGUGGAAAUUGGGGCAGGUGGUUAAUUGAAAUGAAUCAGAAGUUCAUCUUUUUUUUUUUGUUUUGCUGAACUUCUUUAAGUUUGGGUGACUAAGCGUUGCUGUGCAAAAUUUCUGGGUGGUCUGGCAUAUAUUUCCUUUGCCACUUGCCAGGUGACCCAUACCCUUAGCACUUGAGUUUGCUCUACUUAAGGUUAGAAGGGCCUUUAGCUGGAACCACCUUUAUGGCCUUGAUUGGAAACCUUUUUGGUUCACCAGUUCUGUAGUACCUGUUAUAAGAAUCAAAACUUUGACCAAACACAGCGGUGAUGUGGUAAAACACUUCAUAAAAGUUUUACACAACUUCACAAUAUUUUUGGACGCAUUAUAGAUCCAUAUGUUGCUACCUGAAUUCAUGUUCCCUGCUUCCAUCUCCAAGCACUGUGUUAAUUUUCUAAACGUGUUCAAAUUCUUCUUUUUUUCCUAGCUUGAAUUGUUCCUUGUUCCCUAUAAAGGAGCCAUUCUUUUUUACCCCGAUUCUAUAGAAGUCUUGUUUGACUAUCAAGUGCUAUGAAAAUGGAAAUGAAUACAAGAAGUUUAAAAGUUUAAGCUUAUUCUUGAAUAUCAUAACUAUGAGGCUGGAAUUAUUUUCAGGAAUUAUGUUCUUGAAAUUUCUUUUCUCAAGCGACAUUGUUCACGAAUUUUGUUGAGUUCUCUUUGUUGCUCUUUUAUCAUAUGUAGAUGGUUGUAAUCUUUGUUCUUUUCUAGAACCCGCAUGACAUCUUGUUUUUUUUCCUCAUCGAACAGGAGUCAUUGAAAACAGAAAGGGAGAAGAAGAGAGAAAAAUACUUCCCCAUGCGGAAAUAUGCAAUCAAAGCCUAGAUUAGAAACAUGGGGUGAACUUUCUUGUCAUCUUAUUGGACGAAUUUUUUGUUUAUUUUUGAUCUUCGACUCUGCUGUUUUUCAUGAAUUUUGUCUUCUCAAUGAGUGAUUUGGUACGAUUUUGUUUAAUUUCCACAAUAUCUGUAGUUAUUUUCUGUAAUCGGUCUGAUUUCAGACUUGGAUCCGUGGGAGUAUAAAGCUUAUCCUAGCUUUCUUCUGCAGCAAGUGCUAGAUUCCUUAUUAAUCUUCAAACAUUUUGUUACUGCUCACGCAUUACAAAAGUGGAAAUUCAUUUCGGUCCCCGAACUUUGGACUUCUAUAUCCAAGGAUUAAACUUUUUAAUGUGAUUUUAAUUUAGUUUUUGAACUUCCCACAAAAUUUUCUUGUAUUUAUCAUCUUGAAGUAAUAAGUUAUUGGUUGUACAUAGUUCAUAUAGAUGCUCACAUGUUGUAAAUAUAAUGACCUUUCAUCGUCUCCUACUUGUAAUUCUAUAGUCGAAUUUUUUUAUAUUGAUAGUAAACUUAAAAUAUAUAUAAAGAUUAAACAAAUAGUCAAUAAAGCUAUAAUAUUCAGGUGUACAGAUGUACUAGUCUACCGUCAAAAUUAAAAAUUGUGAGUACCAAAAUAGAACUUUGGAGAAAGUUUGGGAACUAGUUCCGCAAAUUUACCUUAAAAAAGAAAAAAAAAAAGAAAAUUCCUGCACUUCUAGUUUGUGUCCCAAUUUUCCUUGCAGUAUAAAUUAAUUUACUUGCGAUUAAAAGUUACAUCAAUUUUUGUUUCCUAUUUUAAUUUAGAAAUAUAUAUAGAAUGAUUUUUGAAUUAGGAUUCAAAAUUCUAUGGAAAUAGUUUGGUAUUUCACAUCAGUUUUUAUAUUUGAAUGUCCAAAAUGCAACUUAAGUAAUAUUUUCAAAAUUAAACAAAAGAGAUUUUUCUCUUUUUUUCCCCUCUUUUAUGAGAGCUAUCAAAAUUUAAUAUAUAUAAUAAUAAUAAUAAUAAUAAUAAUACUACCACUUGGUAAGAGAGUUUGACAUAUGGCAAUUAACAUAAGAAACUUUUAAAAUUAAACAAAAAGAUCUAUUCUGUGAGAACUAUCAAAUUUAUAAGUUUAUCAAAAAAUUUAUUUGAUUUAAGUGAUUUUGUAAGAUGAGUUAGUCACUUUAAUCUAUCAACUUUUUUAUAUAAAAUUUUGGAUGGUUUUACAAGCGUUCAACUAAUUUCUCAAGCAUUCAAAAUACAUGGAACUAUUUAAAAAAUGAUAGCACGAAGCUUUAAACUAAUGAAAAUUUUUGUUUGAAUGGAAUAAUUAAGAUACACGAGAAUUGUACCAUAAAACAUUGAAAAUAACAUAAACUUUGUAAGAAGAUAAUUGAAACAUUAACCAAAAAGCAACACCACUUGCACAUUUAGGGUAGAUAUAAGACGUGCACCCUACAUAUCCGAGAAUACAUACAAAUAUAUAAAUUGGUGGUUUCUUCGAUACAUGUGGCGGUAUUUUUCGUCUCCAUGUUUGAUAUUGAUAUUUGAUCUAUAUUUGUAUUUAUAUUUGAGAGCUUUCUUAGAUACACGUGAAAGUAUUUCUCGCCUUCAUGUUUUUCUCUAUUUGUCGGUAUCUAUCUGUCUCUCCUCCCUAGGUUCCUCUGUCCCUUUUCCCUAUCUCUCUCUCUUUCCUCCCUAUGUUGCCCUACUUUUUCCUUAUCUCUUCUCCCUGUACGCCUCUUCUGAAGCCUCUCUCCACGCCCUUUCUCUCUUCUCUUACGCGCUUCUCUGCAUUCUCCCUAUCUCUCUCUUUCUUCUUCGCCUAUGCCACAAUAUAACCUUUCUCUCUUAAACCUCUGAUGCCUCCCUAAUGAGUGCCCUAUCCCCUACCUAUCGAGGUAAGCUAUAUCAUGCGCUCCUUCCCAAUCUCAUCUGGUCUCUCUCCCCUACUCCGCGGCCUCUCUAGAUUGCUUUGUCGGUCGAUUCGAUUGCGGAUGGGAUGAGCCCGUCCAUUGGACGGUGGCCAUCGUGUUGGAUGUCAUGAUGACCAACCUAUCUGGGCGCUUCUUCCCAAUCUCAUAUGCUCUCUUUUCCCUACUCCGAUGCCUCUUUGGAUCCCUCUGCCGCUCGAUUCGAUCGCGGAUGGGAUGAGCCCGUCCAUUGGAUGGUGGCCAUCGUAAUGAGCAACCUAUCCGGCUAACUAUCUAGAUAAUCUGUAUUAGAGGGUUCAUUGCCUAAUCUCUUACUGUAACGCCCCCAAUAGUACCACAUCGGGUGGGAUACUGAUUUCGAUCGGUUUAUAUGAGGCCUAUACGCUAGUAAUAAUAACUGGGCUUAAGCAUUUUAGGCCAAUGGUUUGGGUCUAACGAGUUAUUGUUGCUAGCGGGUCGGGUCGUUGCAAUUGGUAUCAGAGCUGAAUACCAGCCGAAAGUGUGAGAGCUAAGUGCUAUGCGGGACAAAGUGCUACACCAACGGUUUGGUGGGAGCCACCUCUUGAACUCGUAGGAGCCACUUCUAGAAUCUCACAUCGCCUGGUAAUUCUGGUCCUGAUCUGUCUGUCUGUCUGUGAUCUGGCUUAGACCAGACGAGGACGUCAAGGUCUAAACAGGGGGAGUUUGUAACGCUCCAAUAGUCCCACAUCGGAUGGGAUACUGAUCUCGAUCGGUUUAUAUGAGGCCUACACACUAGUAAUAAUAACUAGGCUUAAGCAUUUUGGGCCGGUUGUUUGGGCCCAACGAGUUAUUAUUGCUAGUGGGUCGGGUCGUUGCACUUACUCUCUCCUUUUCCUAUCUCUCGCUCCAUUGCUAACACAGAUGGGAUGCAUCCAGCUGCUCCUAGACCUAAACCUAGCCUAUUUCUAAAGUUUUGAGAGUUUCUUCACAGAUCUAUUGAGAGUUUCAAAAGAUUUUUACUCAUUUUUGUUCGAUUUCUUUUUCACUAUGUUGCUCUUAUUUUAUAUGGAUUGCCCCUGCACCUAAACCUAGCCUAUUUCUAGGGUUUUGAGAGUUUCUUUAUAGAUCUGCUUAGAGUUUCAAAAGAUUUCCACUUAUUUUUGUUGAAUUUUUUUUACUAUCUUACUCUCUUAUUUUAUAUUUUAUAUGGAUUUAUAUGGAUUCUUCUAUUGAGGAAAAAUCUUCUAAAUCAUUUUAAGAUCUUCUAGACAAUUUCCCUGUUCUUAGCAUUGUUGUCUUUCCUCUUUUACUUUUGUGAGAGUCGAAAACUUGGCUGAGAUAUAUUAUAAAUAGCUCACUUUAUUACUUACUGCAUGGUACAAUAUUCUCCUCAAACCAAGAACAGUAUAUUCUUAUGACUUCAAAACUUUUCUACAUUAAUAUUGCAAUUACUCUCUCUUUAUCCUGCUAAUGGUUAUACUGUUUUGUAGGUCCCUACAUUAGCUUCUACUUUACCGCAUACUCACAAAGGUUGAUCUUCUUUGGUUCCUUCUGCUCCGCUUUUAAUUUUCGUAUUGAUUAAAAGCUGGCUAAAUAUUCGGAGAACUGAAGUACUAAAGUAUAAAGUAUUGUCAUUAUUUCUUAGGUGCCUAUAAGAUUCCAUUCUAGGCCAGUGUGGUUUCCUCCGAGCUAUUUGCAGCAAGGUUUAUUCAUUCUAAGCCAACAUGGACUUAUAAGGACUGAGAUUCUUACAGUGCAACUAAACUCUCUGUUGACGAUGUUUAUGUGUGUAAUUUAAUUACAUUAGCACUCGUCAAGUUUCAGGAGAAAAUGAGCUAAAACGGAGAAGUUACGCGAUUAUUAGUUUUCACUUAAGUGAAUAGUAACUCCGGUUUUCCGGUGAAGCCACGGAGUAGAGUUGGCUUUCGGCGCGUAUCGGACUCCGUUCAUAGCGGUCCAAUAGCUCGUUUCGACCGGAUCAGCUAUUCUGGAACCAAUGGCACUGAUGGAUUUCAGAUUCGAUGCACGGUUUUUGAGAAAAAGGAGUUUUAUCAAAAAGAGGGUUUUCGUUCUUCGCUAUUCUUGCGUUUUGACACCCCUCGUGAUCUGUGUAUGUGACCUAGAGUAAGGUGAGGGAUGUUACUUGUACCUACUAGUGGUAGGAGAUUCAAAUUUGAAUUUGAAUUAAAGGAUUUAGCGGGAUUACACAUCGAUAUAUGUGUGUGGCUUUUGAAAUUGGAGAGCGGACGGAUUUCGUCGUGAAUCGGGGGUCAAAUUGGACGAAACGAAAUGCUAGAUUCGAUGCACCCGUCGUGCCGAACGCAAUGGUGCUGUCGGAUCGAAAAUCCGACGGACGGAUCUCCGGUAAUUGCAAAGUUAUCGCUGAGAGGUCAAAUUGGCAAAACGGUUAAAUCGCGAAAAGAUCUAAUAUUUUAUGUACUGAAUCGCGUGAGAUUGAUUAUCGAGGUGCGUACACGCGUAAUACACGCAUUGUGAGGGACUGGGCAGUAAAUAUUCAGUUUUGGAGGACUUUGGUGCAAAGUAACUUUUGGUAUAUAUAGUGUACCUAGGGUUUCAUGCAUGGAAAACCCUAGACCUAGCUGCCUUGCUACCCCAGUUAGCCCUAGCCGACCUCAGAGCAUCACUGCCCUGCUCGUGCGCAGGCCCCGGCCGCCGACGAGCAACCCCGGCCGCCGGAAGAGCCACCCCGAUCUUACUCUCACCUCUUCUCUCCAUCUUGCCUUCACCAACUUAGUCGAAAACCUCAGGGAAUCACCCACACGCCUUGGGACCCUCUUCCUCGGCCGUGGCUCGACCUCCGGCGCCGUCGCCGCCGCCCCCGAGCGCCGUCGCCGCCGCUCUGGCUAGUUGCGGCCAAACCUGAGUAGAUCUGGCCGAGGUAGCGGGAUCUCCUUCUCCAAGCCCUGCUGCCGCUCGGGAUCGGAAGCGCCACCCUCCUGGAACUCCCCGGCGCCGUCCCCGCCGGCCGUCGCCGCCAGCACGCACCGCCGGCGCCGCCUCGCUCCCUGCGGCCAGCCGCGGUCACCCAGACAGAGCAUGGGAGACCUCGGCAUCCGCGAGCCGCCGCCACUCCAGAUCGGCAGCGCCGUCAUCCCUCAGCCUCCGGCGACCUCCGGCGCGCGUCCCCGGCCAUCCCCGACCACCGUCGGCCGCCACCCGAAGCUACUGCGGCCGCCCAGACCCGUGCGGGCCAUGGCUGAGUCCCCUCGGCUUCCAAGCGCCGCCGCCGCCCAUCAUCACGCGCUUAGGCUCCCCCUCGACCUCCGGCGACGGGUCGUCGCCGUCCCGUGAUCCUCCGGCCGCCGCCGCGCCGCCGGGAACCCAUGAACCCGAGAGCAAGUCGAGGAAUGGAUCUCCUCCGCCGCGCCACCGGCAACCACCCGUCGCCGGCCAGUACUUACCCCGGACCCCUCCGACGUGCCGCACCCUUCCCCGGCUGGAGCGCCCGCCUUCCGGCCGCCGGCGGCCAACCCUAGCUCCCUGCACUCCGGUAUGCUACUGUUUUAAGUUCCAGCACUGUAGUUUAGGGUUCCGGUCACCUUUCGGGCGAUCCGAAGGUACCCCGAUGACAGUGGAAGUGAGCACGAUCAUCGUUACUCCGUGCUGAGCAUCGUUCUCACCUCCGUCAGGGUCAACGGUUCCCCGGUUUGCGUGUUAGAUGUGAUUUAGGCGCUGUGCGCGCUACGUGGCUGAACUUCGUGUCGUUCGUGCGCUUCCCACAGUGGCCGGAAUUGCUCUGAAAGGUGAGCACGGCCUCCGGCAUGCCGAGACCUGUCAGUAGGUGUCUCGGUUUGGCUUAGUGACCUCUGGUUUGCAUAGACAGACCAUAAAAGCCCGAAAAACACAUGAAAUAAUGUGAUUUCUUGGAAUCGGGAGGGCUUUUAUGCAAUUUGAUCCGUCGUGGCUGCUGUUGGCAGCAUGGGUGAGCUAUGGGUAACCUCUGGACUGAUUGUCCAAGGCCCCGGACCCUUGCGAAGAUCGAAAAUGCAUUUUCGGAGCGUUUUUCGGCGAAAUCCGCCGAUAGAACGCGUUUUCGAUUCGGAAUUCUUCCGACGGUACUUGGGGAUCAUUUGUUUCGUCGCUGAGCCUUGUUGGCUGGUCACCCGCGUCGUUUCGUGGGUUUGGAAACGACGGGUGAGCGACGGUGAAGUUCCGGUGCGGUUUUCGGGACUUCCGGUUUGUUCGGUAAUCGGUUUUGGAAAACCGAUUCUCGUGAAAUUGUUUGUGGGAUUGUUGUGGGUUAUGCCUUUAGGGUUUCUUAGUUGUGGGUUAGACACUAACCCAGUGGACCCUUCUUAGGUCCGGUUGACGUUCUUUUGCAGUGAGGAGACAGACGCGACAGUUGUACAGGUGGGUACUUCGAUCCGACGUCGGUACAGUGGUGCACGCUCGGUGAUGGUUUCUUACCUUUACUCUUUCAUUAUUAUCUAGCAUAUAUACAUCUUGAUAUAUAGUGUUGAGCCUAGCACCAUGUUGUUUCGGUUACUCUCUACUCGGUUGUUCUCUUUAUAUUUAGUAGGGGUAGAAUAGCUACACCAUGUUUCUUUGUUGCUCUACUUAGCUAUUCUGCAUAUCCAGUUUCAUGUUUAGAGUAGAGCGGUUUCGUGAUUUCUUGUGAGAUCGGUGACCUGGUCGGUCGGUUCCUUAACUUCUGUCGUUUGAUGACCUUUGAGGUCGGUGUACCCUGAGGGGUAGGAUUGUCGGCUAUGGCCGACGGUAGUUCUAGAUUAUAUACUCAGAUGACUUGUUGAUCGAUUCUUGCAUAUAUACAGUAGUUGACCUAUUGAUCAGUAUCUACAUAUUUUUGGUAGGAUGUUGAGUUGUUCCAUCCCAGUUGACUUAAUCAGUCAGUACUUGCAUACAGUUGAGAGGAUGUAGAGUCGUUCCAUCCUAGUUGACCUGAGUGGUCGGUUUGUGUGCUUCUUUAUAGUUUGAUGACCUAUUGGUUGGUUUGCCCAGAGGGGCAGUGAUUGUCGGCUGAUUGUCGACGGUUGGCUAUUGAUCAUAUCCGCAUUGAUCGCCACAGCUCGAGUGCAUUUCACGUACACCAGCGGGUUGAUCCCCCGCAGGAGGGUGUUCUUUUCCGGAAAAGUGGUCGUACAUCCGACCCGUGAGCCCAGCGGUGUUCUCUUUGUGCUAGGGUUACAUGCCAGGUGUGAGCAGGCAGUGGCUUUUGCCUGAGGUCCUUAGACCGACACGGCGGUAUAGAUUGGGUACUUUUGGACUUCUCGUCCGGUUGACGCAUAUAGCUAUAGUAGUGGUUGUUGCAUAUAUACUUCUAGUUCUUUCUUUACAGUGUCUUGCUACUAUAGUUUUGAUAUCCUUGUAUGCUUGUAGCUGUACAUUACAGUAGCGGUAGUUGUGCUUUCAUUUAUAUAUAUAUAUAUCUCAUUCGUUCAUUAUCGUUGCUACUGUAUUUACUUACCCAUACUGUUGUUUAUCUCUUCCUGAUCCGGUGAGUACUCCUCGCCUUCUUCGGCUUGCGGUACCUACUGGGAGGGGAGACAUGUUUACGUGUUCUCACCUCCCCCACCAUUUUUUCAGGUAUCGCGGGCGGUGAGGGUUGAGACGAGACGUGAGAUACGUAGCGGUCGAUAGAGCCUCCGACCCAGGUUAUUUCGGUUUAGUUAUUACCCUUAUUAUUUCUGUUGAUAGUUAGCUUAUAUGGUUCAGUAUUCAUUUACAUUUGAAAAUGUGGAUUUUCGUGAAUGUAAUAAACGGAUUUCUGGAUUUUGUAAAGUAAAAGGUUUUCUACCCCUCGUGGUAGCGUUUUUAACGAAUAAAGGUUUCCGUGUAGGACACAGUUUUCAAAAGGAUUUUUCGUGGAUUUCUGUUUAAACAUUGAAUGUAAAACUGUGAUGUGAAUGGUGAAUGUAUGAAUGUAUAGUUAUCUUUAUAUUCAUCUAGUGGUGGUUGUAUCCUGCUGUACUCUUGUACUCGUGCGACGCCGUGCAAAUACAGGGGAGACUCUGUCCGUGUGAACAGUGGAUUUCCUGUAUUUGUGGCGGAUCUGGCAUACUCUGGGGUCAAGUUUUCAAAAAAAAAAAAAAAAAAUUUCAGACGCUUUUCCGCUAUCUUUUAAACUGAAAGGGAUCCCGGGGCGUGACAGGACUUCACUUUAUAGGCCAUUUUUACUGAUUUUUAUGAUUCUUAUUGUUUGGUUUCUGUUAAACUCUACUAAUUGUAAAUUUUUAAUUCUAACUGUGAUUUUUUUGUUCUUUCUUCCUGUAUUCCUUAGCAUGACUUUCGCUUUAUUGUCUUUUCGAACUUGCGCUGACUUUCCGCACUUUGAUUUUUCUCUUCCUACUUUCUCUUCAUUAUUGUUUGCUUCGCUAAAGAUUUGAGGCCUCAUUUUUUUAUGACUGCUGUUUUAUUUCUUACCAGUCUUCUAGGCAAUGAUGAUAGGCAUGCAUAAAGGGUGCAAAAUAUUGAAUAGAACUUUGGACGACCUUAUUAUAGCCAACCACUUACUAUUUUCAUUUCUUGCCGGUCUUAUAGGCAAUGAUGAUAGGCAGGCAUGAACAAAUAAAGGAAGCAAAAUAUUGAAUAGAAGUUUGGGCGGUCUUAUCAUAGGCAACCACUUACUAUUUUUAAACUGGGCUUGGGGGUGGUUCUUUCACUGAUGGAUCAAUCCUAUCGCAUGCCUUUUUUCAUAGCAUAAACUAUUUGCCUAUAUUACCUGAGCCUUACAGAUUACUUAUGCUGCUACAUUUUCUUAUUUUCUUUCCAUAGGCUUUUCUUUAUCCCAAUUUUCAGCAGUACUUUUUACAUUAUUUUUUGGCUUCCUUUAUUAUCCAUGUUUUCAUUUCAAUUACUUUCUCCUGGUUGAAUCUUUUACUUUCUUAUUUUCUUUACAGUUUAAUGUUUCAGCUUCAAUUGUUCUCACUAUGCUGAAUUAUUUUUUCUUUAUUUUAUUAAUUUUUGAGCUCUCAAUUAUCGAUAUUGGAAAUUUGCCUUUCUUCCAACUGUUCUUAGCUCUUCUAAUUCUUUAAUGUUUACUCUUGCAUAUGUUGUUUAGUUCUCUAAAGAUUUGCAAUGUUUUUUUUUUUUUUCUUUCUAUACUGCCGCUUUAGGUUCUGCCUAAUUUUUUAGGCAGUGAUGAUAGGCAAGAAAGCCCAAAAUAGAAGUUGCCAGGGAACAGAGAGUAGUAUAGAGGGCCUUCUCAAAGGCAACCACUUGCUACUGUUUAAUUAAUCAGCAGUGAUGUACACAACUGUAUAUCAUCCCUAACUGUAUGGGCUGUGCUUUCUUAUUUUCAGCAAAAGAACAACCCUGCUGCAUGCGUCUUUACAUGACAUAAAUUAUUUGCCUACAUUAUCUGAGCCUUAUAGAUUAUUUUAUUCUGUUAUUUUUUGUUUAGAUAGAUGUUGUUGUUUCUUACUUUGAUAUAUAUGCUUCCCUACUUUCAAUAAUGGAUCAAACCUACUACAUGAGACUUCCAUUGUAUAAAGUUAGUGAUACUUUUCUUUAAAAAGAUGCUGCCACGUCUUCUUAAUUUUCCUGCAUUCUCUUUUUUCUUCCUUCCUACCAAAACUUCUUUGUUUACCAAUAUUUUGUUUCGAUUAUUUUCUUAUAGCUGCAUCUUUUAUCUCCAUAUUUAAUUAAUAUUUAAUGUUACGAAAUAAAUUGGCCAACCUGUCUUUGCCUUUUCUUAUCUUAUAAUUUUUACUAAAUAUUUUUUCACUCUGAUCUCUAUACUUUUAAUGACUUCUCAUUUUCCUCCCCUUCCCUCUCUUUUUUUUCAGCCUUUUUCUUUUGCAGUUUCUUCUAUGUCGACAGUCCAACUUUCUUUUCUUUGAUUGUUGUGUGAGAUUUAUGAGCAGCUACAUAUGAAAACACCGCAGUGUGUUGUGAGCCCCGCUGCAAAAGGUACUUACCUCGCAUAUAUAGAUCUUCCGAUUCCACAGAAUGAAUCUAUAGUUAAAAUUGUACGAUGUUGGGGGGUCGCAAUCCUCCACAUCUGUUGCAGCUGAACACGAUGCUGCUCACCUUACUAUUAAGAGCAUGGUGGAAGAAUUUGAUUUGCAAGUUAAAGAUGUUAAUUACGAUGAUAGUAUCUUUUAUAAAAAUCUAUAUGAUCAUCUAGCUAUAGAGUAUGUUGUGUUAUUUGCACAGUACAACAACUUGGUUCAUGAGUAUAACUUUGUGAAGGAUUGUUAUGUCACUACUCUUGUACAAAUAAAUGAGUUCGUGACCGAGCGGGUACAGAUAUCCCGUGCCAUUGAAGAGUGCCAUGCUGUAAUUAAUCGCUUGGUUCCCGUUCCACCUAUUACAUAAACUGAUCCAUUAAAUGGUACAUCGGCUCCCUUGGAUUAAUUGUCGAACGUUCAAAGGAAAGUGACAUGUUUUGCUGCUGCUCAUUUUGUGCCUGAUCAUGCAUGCACAUAUGAUUUUUGUGUUGUCCUUUCCAAAAUUAUUCGCCACUCAUUUCAGAUUUAUAUUUUGGCUUAAAACUAUGUGGUGGUCUGUUUAAAGUUGUAUUUUGAUUGUUGUACCUACUGCAGUUUUUGGCUUUCAAAUUUCGUAUAUUCUAUUAUAUUUUCCAAUCUUUGACUUUUUCUUUUAAUAUUUAAGUUAUGGGUUAGUGCCUUCUCCAAAACCUCUGGAAUAUUCAGUUCAAUGUAAAUUUAUGCUUGGUGUGUCCAUUGAUAGUAUGCAACCUAUUUCCUUGCUUAAAGUUAUAUUUUCUACUAAUAUUUUUGUGGUUUUUACCGUGCACUUGUUUUGCUUCUAUAACUCUGCCUUCUCAUGCUGUGAUUUUCGGGCUAUGAUAUUGCCAAAAGAAGAAUAGGUAUAUAUUUGCAUGCUGAAUUGUAAUAAAACGACAACUCAGCUAGGAUUCCAUCUAUUGUUGCUCAAAUUUGUCUCAAAUUAUAAUCUUACAUGCAUUUGGGGAAAAAAGGGUGUUGGCCUAAUAUUAGCUAUUCAACUUUACUCAUGCUUUUGCUUUACUUACUGUAUUAUUCUUCCCUUGCUUUAUUAGCUGUUGAAGUUUACUCAUAGUUGCUCUAAUUACUGAAUUGUUCUCUCUACUGGUGGUGUGCAAAACUGCCUAAAGUUGGUUAUACUUUUUGCUGCUUCAAUUGUGGUAAAAAUGAUCAAACUCCCAUUCCAUGGUUCUUAUUUUUCUUGAUAAUAUUUUUUAAUUUACUUUCAAAAUAUUGAGUAAUUUUGUUCCACAAAAAUUAAUAUUGUUUAACGUAUUUACUGAAAAUAGGUAUAGAUUAAAUACUAUUGUUGAAAAUAAUAUUGUAUAAUUUUACUAUCUUCGGAAAGUUUGCACAAGAUUUGGUUUGUUCUCCGGAUCAGAAUCUAGCCAUUUUACUUGGUUUAAAUAAAUUUACUCUUCUCCCUUUAGUAAAAAUAAUUAUUGGUGACAAUCACAUCUUGCAAGUUGUACCCGACACACCGAAAUUUAGGUCAAGUCUCCCUUCUUUUAAAAUGUUAAAAAUUUUUACUCAAAAUUUGGACAUGAGAGGGAAGACCCUUGCAACAAAAAUUUAUUUGUUGAAUGUGAAGAGCAACUUGAUUCAUCUGCUACCAACAAAUAAAUUCGUGAAGACUUAUUUGAAGAGGCAUCACCAGGAGCCAUGAUUUCAUCAAAGAAAUAAAACUAUAACUUCUAUAUAUUUUAUAAUUAUAGUAAUUUUGUAUAAUUUAUUCUAAUUUUAACUUCUAUAUAUUUUAUAGUUAUAGUAAUUUUGUAUAACUUCUUCUAAUUUUUAUAUAAUUUUGUUAAAAUAGCUCUGUACAAUCUACUGCUGACUUAGAUGAAAUUCAACCUAAAAAAAGACGUCGCCUUAUGUAAUGUCUAGUGUUGAUUUAUUUUCAUAUGUAAUGACAUUGUUUAUAUAUAAGAUAAUUUGUUUUAAAUGCUUCAAACUGAUUUGCACAUUUGAUAAAGCUUCACUAAAUGAAGACAAGUGAAAUGACAAUUAAUGCUGCUGAUUUCUUACGUUUAUCAUAUUAAAAAUGUGUUCUAUAUGAAGUUUAUUAGUUAGUUAUUACUCUAUUUCUAAACUAUGAUUAGUGUUAUAUUAUUUUAUGUUUUAAUUUUAAAAAUAAGUUUGUGUCAAUUAAUGUCGAAUGUAGGAGUGAUUGUAUUGUUUUUCACCUAUUGUCAUCCCUUCUUAUUUUCAUAUAUUAUUUAAGUUAUAUUUAACCAAUACAUCUUAAUGCGGAAGUGAAAAAAUUAGUUUUUUCGGUUGGAAGCAUCUUACUGUCGUAUUUUCGGGUGACAAUGUAUAUGGUGUGUUGUACACUUCUUGCAGGCAUUCCAUAUUGUAUACUGCUUCUAACUUAUAUAUAUCUAUAUUAAAAUAAUUAGUAGCUAUUCAAACUAAAUAUAUGUUUGCAUAUUAUAUAAUUAUAUAUUUUGUUAUCAAUCCAAAUUACUUAUAUAUAUAUAUAUAUAUUAAAAUAAUUAGUAAUCAAUCAAGCUAAAUAUAUGUUUGCAUAAUUCAUAAUUAUAUAUUUUGUUGUCAUUCUAUUUUAUUUUGUAUGGCAAAUCAAUCUUGACUACUAUUCUUUUNUUUGAUAUGAAUGUUAAUAUAUAAUUACGAAAAAGGAGAAAAGGAAGAAAAUAAAAAUAUCAACACAUAUUUAUGUAAGAGGAUGUAAAAGAAUAGUAAUCAAUCAAGCUAAAUAUAUGUUUGCAUAAUUCAUAAUUAUAUAUUUUGUUGUCAUUCUAUUUUAUUUUGUAUGGCAAAUCAAUCUUGACUACUAUUCUUUUACAUCCUCUUACAUAAAUAUGUGUUGAUAUUUUUAUUUUCUUCCUUUUCUCCUUUUUCGUAAUUAUAUAUUAACAUUCAUAUCAAAAUAUUAGCAUCAAAACCAUAUUAAAAUUCACAUCAAAAUAUUAGCGUUUAAACUAUCCGCAGCGAAAUGCGGGUUCAACACUAGUCCAUAUUAAUACACUAGUUUUAUAACACCUCUACUUUUUUAAUACUAAAAAUCGAAAAAAGUAUAUAAAUUUUUAGAUGACUAGUGAAGUGUGUGAUUUAUCCCAACUUUUUCGGUGUAUAGAUAACAUUUCUUUUAAUUAAAAUGGAUAGAUUUCUCUUAUAAACAAACAAUUUUCAAGGAGAGAAUGAUUGAUAUUAUAUUAAAGAAAAUAAUCAACAUUGUGAAGAAUUCAAUUUAGUUAUUAUCAUAUAUAUAUUUUUUUCAUCGUUAAGAAGACAAUGUAGUUAAAAAUGGUCAAAAAAGCCUAAUAAGAAGAUGCUGCGACCACAGUGGGAGUCGAACCCACGACCUUCUGAUCCGAAGUCAGACGCGCUAAUCCACUGCGCUAUGCGGUCAUGUUGUUGGUUUUCACUAAGUUUUCGAUAUAGAAUAAAUUAUAGGAAACCCUAGUCUACAUAUCUGUUUUUUUAAAAUCUACAUUUUAUUCUCUUUCUUAAUAUUUCAAGUUAUUAACCGACCGUCCCUGCCGCAAGAAGCAAAGGAUUUAAUGAUUGGUAUCCGAAGUCCCAAGUUCGAAUCCUAAUUAAUUCACAUUUUCAGUUAAAGUUUAAACGAAGCGUAUGACAUGCUACCUCUCUCAAAAAAUGCCGCAAGCGUGUAACAUCCUAAUUAAUUUACAUUUCAGGUGGGUUUCAAUUGUUUUAUAAUUUGUACUCAAAAUGAUAGAAAUAUAUUAAAAUUUUUUUUUUUUAUUUAUAGAAGAAGUAAGGGCUAUGUUUUUUAUUUUAUCUUCACCACAUUAAUACCGUACCCCUAAAAUAUUUCUGAAAUUUUAAGAGCCCAAAGUGUAGCUUCGUAAGAGUCAGAAAAAAAACAAAGACAAAAAGCAAAAAUUUAUAAGGAUAUUUUCUGUAAUUUCGCCUUUCGUCUCAGGUCAAUUUCCUUGAAGCCAGCAGAUUAGAGUAUUUCGUCACCGAAAUUAGCUCGUUCUUUGAGUACGAGUCGUCACUCUUACUUGUUUCGUCGCCGACUCUGUAAAGGCAACUCAAUGCUUUUUCAUAUUCGGCAUUCCAGGUGCGUCGUUGCCGAAUUUGGAGGAAAAUAACAAACUUUCAGUUGCUUAAUAGUUAAUACACAACAGCUAGCCAUAUAUAUCCAUGCUUUAUAUACCAUAGUAUUUUCUUAAGCUCUUGUGGUGCAAUUUCACAGAUAAUGUGUCAAAAUAACAAAUUGGGCACCAAUUAUGAUACUAGUUCUCAAAUUUCAGUUGAGUUUCACUUUUGAAGCACCCCGUCCUGAUUAAUUUUUGAAGUAAAAUUAAAUUUCAAGUCUGAAAUUCCUAUAUAAUGCAUGAAUUAGAGUUAAAAUUAGUGUUUUAAAUUUUUAAUGUGAAAUGCCCGAUCUUGGAUUGUUCCUCCAUUUAUUUCUCUAUUCUCUGCGUUUUAUUAUUAUUAUUAAUUAUUCAAUUUUGAAAUUGACCCCUUUUUUUUUUUUUUGGUAUGAUUUGCACUUUCUCUAUUUACCAGUCAUUUGAUUGAACUCCAUCUACUGGUAAUUUUGGAGAUUCUAUUGGAAUCAAACACUUAACGAAAUAUGCAUGUAACUUUUUUUUUUUUCACUAAAGCAAUUUUUGCUCACGUGAAUCGAUCUCCAGAGGGUGUUUGUUUUGAUUCUAACAAAAUUAUCAAAAUUACUAACAGAAUAAACUAAGUCGAUCCGACCGUUAGUAAGUAGAGAGGGUGUAAAUUAAAUUAAAAAAAAUAGAGGAUCCAUCUAAAAAUUGCUUAAAGUUUAAUUAGAGGUUUUAACCUUUUUUCCGUAUCGGAGUAUAUACAUAAAUGUUUGUUCCUUGGAUGGAUGAUAUAUAUGAGGCUAGCUAGAAACACUAAAAAUUGGCAUGUUGAUACGAGGCUAGAAAUUAACACUAAAAAUUGGCAUGUUAAUUAAUUAAUUAAUUUAGAUUUUUGGCCAAUGUGGGAAACAGAAGCUAAUCAUGGUGCUAAGCUUGGAACAUCUAAAAGUUUAAGCGCCCACUGAAACAAAUUAAUCAAAGUUUACAAAUCCAAGUAAAAUCUCAGCAAUAGUUUGGAAACUAGUAGUAUUAUAGCUUGACCAAAUACAACAAAAAACCUAGAUUGCGCUCUCUCUCUCUCUCUCUCUCUCUCUCUCUCUCUCUCUCUCCUUUUCUUCUUUAAUUCCAAUGGAGUAGGUCUAAAUUAUUGUAAAACUCCACCCACAAUUGAAACACACUACAACUAAAACACUUAAACCACUCCAACUCCACCUCAUCACCCCAUGCAUGCAUGUAUAUAUAUAUACGAUCCCUAGCUUCCCAUAUAUACAACACACGCUCUCUAAAACAAAGCUUUGUACCACACCCAAAAUUAAGCUUACUACACACACGCGCACGCAAAGCCAAACGCUUAUAUAUACUCACACCUUCAUAUAUAUAAUAAACUUUCCCAAUGGAAACCCUCAAACCAACCCCUCUCUUCACUCUCCUCCUCCUCCUCCUCCUUACUCUCGCCGCCGCCGUCGCCGCGACCGCGAACGCAUCCGCUCGUAAAACCGGUCCCCCGGUUCCCGUCUCCGUCGAUGCCUCAGCCGCCCCCUCCACGUCGCCAUCCGACAUGGCGGAGGACUCUGCCACGUCGGCAUCCGCCGCCGGUGCUGCGGCUGCCCCCUCCACUUCGUCGUCCGACGUGGCAGAUGACGCCGCCGCGUCGGCGUCGGCGUCGGAGCAGCCCCCAAUCAGCUUCUUCAUGCACGACGUGCUGGGGGGCGCGAACCCGUCGGCGCGCAUCGUCUCCGGGAUCGUCGACAACACGGCGGUCAACGGCCAGCUCCCCUUCGCGCGCCCCAACGGCGCCGUGCUCCCGUUCAACGGCGGGGUCUCGGUCAGCGGCGGCGCCGGGAACGGCGCCGUCGACAACAACAACCUCCCCUUCCUCACCGGCCUCGGCGGGACCACCAACGCCGUCACCCAAACUAACGGUAACGGUAACGGUAAUGGCGUCGCCAACGGGCUCCCGUUCUUCGCGGGGGGAAACCUCCCCGAGGGCACGUCCCUGCAGAAGCUCCUGUUCGGGACGCUAACGGUGAUGGACGACGAGUUAACGGAGGGGCCCGAGCUGGGCUCGGGGGUGGUGGGAAAGGCGCAGGGGUUUUACGUGGCGAGCUCGGAGGAGGGGACGAGCCAAACGGUAGCGCUAACGGCGAUGCUAACGGCGGGGGAUUAUGCGGACUCGAUAAGCCUCUUCGGGGUGCACCGCACGGCGGAGUCGGAGUCGUACCUCGCGGUGGUGGGCGGGACCGGGAAGUAUGCGGGCGCCAAGGGGUUCGCGAAGGUCGCGGUCGUGCGGACGCCCGCAGCGGCGCACGAGACCGACGGGGUCGAGUCGGUGCUCCAGUUCACGGUGUAUCUCUCCGCGUACUAGCUAGUAUUGGAGGAUUUCUAUGCGGACUCGUGCGUGGUGUUCGUAUGCGGGUUAAUUUGUGUCUUUGAUUUGUGUGGGUUUUUUCUUUUUUCCUUUUUUUUUUUUUUUUGUGGGUUUGAAUGUUUAAGUGAUCGUGGAAAAGGGUGAUUGUAAUUUAUUUUAUGUGGAAUUCUCAGUGUUAAAUUUACUUUUAUGCCCUAGUAACUUUUUUUUUUUUAUUUGCCUUCUGUAUGUAUAUAAUUUUUUUAUUAAACAAAUAAGUUUUAAAUGAAUUUAAAAAAAAAUUAUUUAAAAUUUAGAUAAUUUAAAUUAAUUUUGAAAAAUAAAUUUUUUUUUUAAAAAAUCUAUAUUAGAAAAAAGGAAAAAAUUAAAGAAAAAGGUCGCCCCGUAUUAAGGCUUAGUUUUAAAUGGAAUGGGCCGUCCCGGGCCACAUCCGGCCUUGACUUUGAUGCGGGCCAGGUCGUGUCAAGCCACGGGCCGAAAGGCUAUGGCCUAGCACGGCUCACAACUUUGCAGGGCCAGGCCGGCCCACAGGCCACUCGGCCGUUUGACACCCAUAACCUUAACAAAAAAUUAAAAUCUCUUAAUUUUUUUAUUAUAUAUUCAAAAUAGUUUCGCUACAAUUUCUUUAUUAUUAUUAAUUUUUGUUAGUAUUCUGCUAUGACCCAUUUGUAUAAAAAAAAUAUAUUAGUUUUGAGAUUUUGCAAAAGUGGGCUGCAUUUUUGGAUUUUGUAGAUUCUGAUCGAAUUUUUAAAAAGAUGAUGAAAGUACCCCCUCUUUCAAAAUGCAUAAAGAGUAUAUGCAUUAAAUGUCUUAGAAAAUACAACUGAUAAGUUAUUAUUAUAGUUAAAUUUUUCUUGAAAAACGGAGUUCUCAUUAACAUAUAAAUAAAAAUCUUGAAAUAAUAAAAGUAAAAAAGAAAGAAUAGAAUACACCUUAAAUACUGCAACAUCAUUUCAAAUUAUGCAAUAUUUUUUUCAAAUAGUGUAAUAUUUGUACAAACACUGUAAUAUUUGAACAAUUUAUAUAAUAUUAUAUAAUUUUUUAUACAAAUGAUAAAUAAUACAGUAUAUUAUGCGCAAAUAAUAUAACAUAUUAUAAUAUACUAUACAAUCAUGCAUUAUAUGUCUAAACGAUGCAUAUUUUGCAUUAUUUGUACAAAUACUUACAUCAUUUGUAUAGAUGUUGUACUAUUAUGAGAGAAUGUUGCACAAUUUAGAUGGCAUGUUGUACUCAUUCUUUUCAAAAAUUAAAUUGCAUUGUAUAUUAAAUAAAGUAUUAAAUUUCUUGAAAAUGACAAAUACUAAGUCAUAAUUGCAUUUACAUUUUCUUGAGAUAUGAAAAUCCUCAUUUAAGUUAAUAAAAAAAUAAAGUAUAGUUGAUAAGAUAAAAAGGUGCAAUAUACUCUCAAAUAGUGCAAUAUUCUCUUCCAAAUAAUGCAUUAUCUAUGUAAAUAGUGCAAAAUAUGCAUCGUGAAUACAUAUAUUACAUGAUUUUUAUACAAAAUUACGAAUAAUAUAAUAUAUAACGUGCAAAUAACAUGCAAAUAAUGUAACAUAUUAUAAUACAUUAUAAAAAUCAUGCAUUGCAUGCAUAAACGGUGUAUAUUUUGCACUAUUUGUAUAAAUAUUUAUACUAUUUGUAUAUAUGUUGCACUAUUAUGAGAGAAUAUUGCACCAUUUAAAUGGUAUAUAUGUUACACUCUUUCUUUUUAAAACUUAAAGUGUAUUAAAUAUUAAAUAAAGUGUUAAUUUUUUUAGAAAUUACAAAUGCUAAGUCAUAAUUGUAUGUAUAUUUCCCAAGAUAUGAGAACUGUCAUUUAACAUAAAAUAAAAAAAAUAAAAUAUAGUUAAUAGGAUGAAAGAGUGCAACAAACUCUCAAAUAGUACAAGAUUCUCUUCCAAAUAGUAUAAUAUUUGUGUAAAUAGUGCAAUAUAUGCAUCGUUAAUACACAUUGUAUGAUUUUUUAUAUAACAUUACAAAUAAUAUAGUAUAUAUUAUGCGUAAAUAAUACACAAAUAAUAUUUAUUUCCUUCCGUAAACUCAAGAGGGAUAGCUCGAGCGGGCUUGACAAUAAUAGCGGAGGCGAAGAUCGAGGUGAAGCUCCUCAUUGACAAGACGAUGAACGGGAUGGUGUACGCGGAGACUAACAAGAGGUUCAGCGACACCCUCCUCAGAUUCCUCACUAUCUCCCUUAACAAGAUUGUCCUCCUCCUCAACCCUAACCCUAGCUCCAUCCCUAACCCUAGCUCCAUCUCCUCCCUUCAUCGAUUUACUCAACCUUGCCUUCUUUCGCACCUACUCAUGCCACUCCUGUCACGCCCCAAGCCCGCCUGUUUGGUCAGAUUUGGGCACGCCGACAGACCGCCGAAUGGACAGAGUUUUCCCUGUACCGCGGACAGAGUCUCCUCUAUACAUUCAAGGCGUCGCAAUCAAUACAAAGCGCGAUGUUCCAACCAGAAACAGAUUUCAAGCAGAGAUUGCAUAAGGAAGUAUCGAAAACAUAAACAACUAAGUUAUUACAUGCAUUCAACGCAUUUAAUACAUUCUACAUCACAUAUUACACUUUUCAUUUUCUUUUUAGCUUCCUAAUACCAUCGAGUUCUUAACAAAGUUAUUACAACAUUGAUUUCUUGAUUCUAACUUCCAAAUACAAUCCAAUUCUUACUAUGUCAAUACAACUUGGUUCUUUUCUUUUCUUUGACAUCCCUAAGUAGCCGACACAGGGUAUCGUCAUCUCUCGUCUCGGUGGUAGGGCGCUAACUAUGGAGCUGCGCCCUCGCCUCGCGCCGCCACGCCACUCACGUGUGAACCUGUACCCCCAAAAACAAAACGGGGGUGAGAACUAUUAUCCAUAGUUCCCAGUAGGUACGGCCACCCAAGGAAAAAGCUCGACCCACCAGGUCCAAAGGAGGCACUGCAAACAUGUUAGUCCAACAGAUAUCCACAGAUAAUAUUUAUGCAAAUAUUGAAUACAUGUUUAUGCCUCAAGACAUGCAAUAUGUAAAUUAUGCAACUCAUGCAAGUAGAUUUAUUGAUUCUACUCUCUAUCAAUUAUCAUUCUUUAUAUUAUUAGCAAUUCUUUAUCACUCGCCAUUCUUUACUCUUUAUUCUUAGCCACAUUUUGCUCAAAUGUCAUUCUUUCCUAAGGUUACAUUUACCUUAGCCAACUAUGCCAUUCGACUCGGUCUUGAGUCAAUUCAUGAUGAAUGCAAGAUUACUGCUCAGAACCCAAUCUCUAGACUAGCCCGUAGGUUUCGCCCACAAUAGGCUCACCAACUCAAAUUCCAGUAUCGGGGAGACUACUACGCCCGACGGGACCGUCCUCUGGGGAGACUACUACAUCCAGUGAUGAUAACUCCGGAGCACAUCGCCCGAGGGGGAGCUACCGCCUUAGAAUAAGGACUUACAGGUGAGUAUGAUCCAAUCCUUAACUAUAAGGAUGUCAAGUUCAAUCCAUUCCUUAACUAUAAGGAAACAAUGCACAAACGACCCUUAACUCUAAGGUUGUUAUGUCAUAAUGUCACUAUCACUUUUUUACUUGCAUUCUUUAUUUUUAUUAGUGUCAUUUACACUACUUGUUCUUUAUACUCGUUUUCAUGCACUCGUUUUCAUGCACUCGUUUGUUCUCAUUAAUGCCACACACGCUAAGUGUUCUCUUUCUAGCAUUCUUUAGCAUUGAUUAUAUUCAUUAAUGCCACUCAUACAUCUAUGUCAACAUGUCACUUUGUUUUUAAGUUUUCAUUGUUAUGUCAAAUGCCACAAUGUCACAAUUGCACAAGUAUAUACAUUUUAGAACAUUUCACAACUUUCCGUCAUGCAUACUUUCCUCUAGCAUACUCCAUAAUGUCAACAUGCAUAUUCAUUUAUCAUAUUCCACUAUAUGUCUAUAUACAUAUACCAAACAUUCAUAUGUCAUCUAACAUGUUUCAUAAUUUAUCAACAUGCAUAUUACCUCUAACAUAUUCCUCAAUGUAUUAAUAUGUUUAUCUCAACGGUAGGUAAUAAACAUCAAGCAUAAUAAGGUUCAUGCAUCCAUAUUAUCUUAUGCAACCUACUACUAUACAUGUAUGCAUCAAUAAUGAAAUAUUACUUUGCUUCGACAUGGAAGCGAAUUAGACAUUUCGGUGAGCACAACCCACCUUGUAACGCUCUCCGAUUGCUUGUAGUCACUUGCAAUCGGCCUCCCGCGGCACCCGUGACCCGCUUUGGCCCGAACUCUUGCGCGACCACCCGAACGGCCACCAAUCCAUGAUCCGUAAAUUAAAGAUCUAUAACUUGAUGCCACGAUGCUUCAGAUCCGUUCUCGUGAUUUUUGGACGUCACCUCGGCCCUCCAGGCGGAAACGAAGCCGAAAUGUCCGUUUCUUCAAUAUGUUCGCAUAGGCUCGACGAAUCGCCGAACCGACUUCGCCAACGCGUUCGUAUACCUAGCAAUUAGGUUUGUAUAGGGUUAAAUUAGAUCAAAUCCUUAUAUUUUACAAAACCCCAUUAUGAGCCCUAACAUUGAACCAAUGCAAGAAUCCAUCAUAUAACUUCAUGAUUCAAGCAUUAACCAUCUACUUAGCACCCUAGGAUGCAUCUAAAACCAUUCUAGAGCUUAAAAAUCUAAACCCUAGAAAUCUACCAUUAAAGGGUUUGAAGCUUACCUCAAAAGCUCUCCUCAAAGCUAAGGAAGAAAAUGAAGAAGAUGAAGAUCCACCUUCGAGUUUCCUUCUCCACCAAAUCCUUCAAUUUUGGGAGAGAUUUAGAGACAGAAAGGGAGGUUUUUCUCUCUCCCUCUCCAUGCGUGUGUGUGUUGUGUGUGUGCUGUGUUCGGUUGAGGAGGGAGGAGAAGAAAAGCCUCCAUUACACAAAUAGCCCCUCAAUACUAUUCACGUCAGUUUUCAGCUUAGAUACAGAUAUUUUUCGCCUGCCAUUCUGAAUGUCCGUUUGAGCUCAAAUUUGACAGUCAUGCUCGGUUUUACUUAACUUAACGAAAGAAUUUUUAAUCUUUCAGUUUCGACCCCGUUUGAUCACGGAAAGCUCUAUCGAACUGUAAUUUCUAGCAGAUAGCAGUCGGAUUUUAUUUUCCACUUUUCGGAUGUCAGAAUGACAUGAAAGUUUAAAUCUAGCCUCAUAAAAAUAAUUCUGACAUAAUCUCUAGUUUUCGUAAUUUUCUGACACUGUGCAUUUUCUACUAAAAUAUUAGCUCCGUUUCUCACAGAAAAUUUCAAAUCUUUUGUUUUCGUUCUGAUUUUAGCACAGGUUAUUUCCAACUUAUAUUUUAUUUCUAUAAAUCCAAUAAAAAUAGUACCUCAUACUAUUUUUAUUUAUUUUUACUUUUAUACCAAAAUCUGGUAUGUUACAUUCUCUACCCCUUAAAAGAAUUUCAUCCGCGAAAUUCAAACCACGCCUCAAUUUAGCUUCUCGAGCAAUUGAGGGUACCAAUGCAGUUUCCCAUUCUGGAAUGGCAUCACGUUCAUCGGAACGAUUCAAAGGCCUGCAACGGAGGAUACAAAAUCAAACGCAUACAUGUUUGCAAGGCGCAGCACAUAAAGUGCAUUACGGUCUCCGUCCUUCUUGGCAGCAGCGCAAGUCGAAACUCGACGACUCUACGCGCUUCAACACCGCUCGCCACUUGGCACGCAAGAACUCUUCUUUGCAUUUACCUUUUCUUCGGGAAAUACAUUCUGAUUUGAUCACCGACAUUGCUUAGAAGCAAUAUCACCGGUGCACCGCUCCAUCGUGAGUGCUCCAAUUCCGCACUAACCUUUAGCUCUAAUGUGAGAUGGCCCACCUCGGCGCAUCCCAAUUCCAAUCCUCAAACUCCACGUGGCUUGCUACUAGCUCAAGGUCUCACCAAGAGCACUUCAUCAUCUGAUACCACAUGCCGCGAUUAACAUCAAACUAUUUUCGCAACGAGCUCACUCGAACGCUUCGUUAAUAAAUUCGAGUGAAAUUCCUCGAUAAGGCUAUCCGCCAAAUCGCUCUCUUCGGUCUCCACAGGUGGACCAAAGGCCACCAAUCCUACGUAGGCCUACCGCUUAAACCUGUCUCAAUACGCAGCGUCUCUCGCUUGCAAAUGCAGACCCAAUCAUUAUCGGGCAAAAUUCUCACUUUGGAAUUCGCACACUCCAGCUAGGAGCAACUAAAAUCCCAAACCGUUACAAAUCCUCGGGUUGGAUCACAAUUGCACUCUCGGUAUACUAUCAACCGCACGACAUGCUUUACCGAGCCACAUGCACCACUACCGGCUCUUAAGCAGCUAGUGCGAGCCACCAGCCCUACGAGUGAUCCAAGGCACGCUUCACACUUAGCAAAGCUCAAGUGCUACUGCCAACUCACUCGCUCGGCUAAACACAGUUCGAACUCCACGAGUAACUCUACUCGAACGCCACACGCCUCUAUAGCGCUUCACACUAAGUCCAGCAUUAGGCAACUCUUGUCUACACACGCCGACUUUACGAGCACGACCCUCCUACCUCACAUCGAGAUACUACUAGGCCCACGUGCUAGUACUUGGCCACCAACCAACUGUUCCGUCAACAGUGAUUCACAUUCACUGUUCGACACAUCGAAACGACAUUCGAAAUACUCUGACUACACGGGUGCCCAUAAGCAUCAUGGCUCAACUCUCACAAUUUACUCCUCACAUUGCUUGGAGAGUCGAUUCGCCACUUCUGUCUCUACCGCGAGUCUCACUUCUUGCCAUAGAUCACUACCAGUACUUCACUAGUGCCAUCUGGCUCUAUACCUGUACUGGUAGGUACUACGCGCUCACAACACGAGCAUGCCCGGGUAUCUAUACUUACCCGUCCACUAGGUCUCUACUAUGGUCAUGCACGAUAAUAGUAAUUAACCACAUAACCAUUGCAUGCAAUGCAUGGACUUCACGUCAUGCAAAACAUAUGCUUGCAUCAAUAACCCAUACCUGCAACAACGUCGUCAGCAGUAGGUUCCUCAACCUGGGUCGUGUAUCUACGGCCACACGGCACUCGCCGCGAACCCUUAGGUUGCAUUGUCCUCAAGACCCUCUCACAGCUCACACUGCUGUGGGUAGCGAAAACACCCACAAACGACAUAUCUCACCAAGGACCGAAUACCGUAGGUCCCCAAAACUCGGGAUCAUGAGCGCGAACACAUUGCACUCAGUUGAGAACUUGACGGACUACCGAAUCCACUCGUUGGCCGUCCUAUUUUCUUUUUCCUUGCAAUUAGACUCAUGCUCCCUCCCGCACAAUUGCACUGCCUUGUUCUAUCCAUAAGGUCUAAUCCUCAAAUCUCUUCUAAUCUCCACCACUCCACACUCGGGAAGGGCUCCUAGAGAAAUAGAGGGAGAAAAACCACUUGUUGGGUUGUCUCUGGCUGUGAACAAGAAAGGAGGAGUUGGCGGGGUCUUUAUAGGAUGCCACAAUCGCAUUUAAACCCCCAAUCAUAUUUGUAGCAGACCAAAGUUUGCUGCGAGGCCCAAAGUGUACCGGUACACUUCAUGGUGUCACUGGUAACACGAUCUCGCAGAACCAAACCCGAGAGCAACUACUCGGGUUCUGCCAAAGUGUACCGGUACACACCAGGGGUGUUACCGAUAACACACUCGCGCAGAGGCAAACCCGAAAGCAUUCUGCUCUCGGUCUGUGAUGGCUGUACCGGGACAGCAUCAAUGUUGUACCGGUACACUUUGCCCAGAUUGCUAUUUUAGCUCCUUUUCGACUCUACUUCACGCCGAGCAAUGUUAAAACCUUACUAAUUCUUUUGAGACUCAACUUUGACUCUUCCAACAUUAUUAGAAUGUCAAUUGGACUUUGUCCAAUUAUUUCUCUCGACGCACUUCGGUCAAUUUGACCAAAAGUGAUCUAACGCGAUGAGGAUUCCAUUAUUUUCUCAAAGGUCACGAGGGCCGCCAAAACUUGGAAAGUUCCAAGUCUCCGCUUGCCUUAAAUUGCCCAGGGACACCACUUGGACCAUCCCGCGCCGAUCUAAACGAAGAUCACCUAAAAGUGCUAUCGCUUCCUAAAACGCGACAACUUUAUUAAUCCUCGACCUUCUAGGUCGAACACGAGACACUUAAUACCGACUCAAAUCGGGCGAAAGUCACGCAAGGGUGUCUAUUCUUAUCACUCGGUUUCAUAUUGUGCGCGCCCAACACGAACAUCCUCGGUUGAGAAUAACCCACAUCUUGAAUCUACCUCUAACAUCAGUCUUAGAGGUUUAUGACACAACCCAAUCAAUUUACCUUUUGCCAAAAGUCACAAGUCCUCGUCUCUCACGAGCCUUAAUCACCUAUGGUUUACUAUCCUAGGGUUUCCUAGGUCCGACUAAACCAUUUUCUAUUAUUCUUUUUAUAUUCUUUUUAUGCUCUGAUACCAUCUUAGCUGUCACACUCCGAGCCCGUCUCUUUGGUCGGAUUCGGGCACGCCGACAGACCGCCAAACAGACAGAGUUUUUCCUGUACGUUCUAGGCGUCGCAAUCAAUACAAAGCGCGAUGUUCCAACCAGGAACAGAUUUCAAGCAGAGAUUGCAUAAGGAAGUAUCGAAAAUAUAAACAACUAAGUUAUUACAUGUAUUCAACGCACUUAAUACAUUCUACAUCACAUAUUACACUUUUCAUUUUCUUUUUAGCUUCCUAAUACCAUCGAGUUCUUAACAAAGUUAUUACAACAUUGAUUUCUUGAUUCUAACUUCCAAACACAAUCAAAUUCUUACUAUGUCAAUACAACUUGGUUCUUUUCUUUUCUUUGACAUCCCAAAGUAACUGACUCAGGGUACUGCUAUCUCUGGUCUCGGUGGUAGGGUGUUAACUAUGGAGCUACGCCCUCGCCUCGCGCCGCCGCGCCGGUCACGUGUGAACCUGUACUCCUAAAAACAAUACGGAGGUGAGAACUAUUGUCCAUAAUUUUCAGUGGGUACGGCCACCCAAGGAAAAAGCUCGACCCACCAGGUCCAAAGGAGGCACUGCAAACAUGUUAGUCCAACAGAUAUCCACAGAUAAUAUUUAUGCAAAUAUUAAAUACAUGUUUAUGCCUCAAGACAUGCAAUAUGUAAAUUAUGCAACUCAUGCAAGUAGAUUUAUUGAUUCUACUCUCUAUCAAUUACCAUUUUUCAUAUUAUUAGCAAUUCUUUAUCACUCGCCAUUCUUUACUCUUUAUUCUUAGUCACAUUUUGCUCAAAUGUCAUUCUUUCCUAAGGUUAUAUUUACCUUAGCCAACUAUGUCACUCGACUCGGUCUUGAGUCAAUUCAUGAUGAAUGCUAGAUUACUGCUCAGAACCUAAUCUCUAUGCUAGUCCGUAGGUUUCACGCACAAUAGACUCACCAACUCAAAUUCCAGUAUCGGGGAGACUACUACGCCCGACGGGACCGUCCUCUGGGGAGACUACUACACCUAGUGAUGAUAACUCCGGAGCACAUCGCCCGAGGGGGAACUACCACCCUCGAGUAAGGACUUACUGGUAAGUAUGAUCCAAUCCUUAACUAUAAGAAUGUCAAGUUCAAUCCAUUCCUUAACUAUAAGGAAACAAUGCACAAAUGACCUUUAACUCUAAGGUUGUUAUGUCAUAAUGUCACUAUCACUCUUUUUCUUGCAUUCUUUACUUUUAUUAGUGUCAUUUACACUACUUGUUCUUUAUACUCGUUUUCAUGCACUCGUUUGUUCUCAUUAAUGUCACACAUGCUAAGUGUUCUCUUUCUAGCAUUCUUUAGCAUUGAUUAUAUUCAUUAAUGCCACUCAUACAUCUAUGUCAACAUGUCACUUUGUUUCUAAGUUUUCAUUGUUAUGUCAAAUGCCACAAUGUCACAAUUGCACAAGUAUAAACUUUUUAGAACAUUUCACAACAUUCCAUCAUGCAUACUUUCCUCUAGCAUACUCCACAAUGUCAAAAUGUAUAUUCAUUUAUCAUAUUCCACUAUAUGUCUAUAUACAUAUACCAAAUAUUCAUAUGUCAUCUAACAUGUUCCAUAAUUUAUCAACAUGCAUAUCACCUCUAACAUAUUCCUCAAUGUAUUAACAUGUUUAUCUCAACGGUAGGUAAUAAACAUCAAGCAUAAUAAGGUUCAUGCAUCCAUAUUACCUUAUGCAACCUACCACUAUACAUGUAUGCAUAAAAAAUGAAAUAUUACUUUGUUUCGACAUGGAAGCGAGCUACACAUUUCGGUGAGUAUAACCCACCUCGUAACGCUCUCCGAUUGCUUGUAGUCACUUGCAAUCGGCCUCCCGCGGCACCUGUGACCCGCUUUGGCCCGAACUCUCGCGCGACCACCCGAACGGCCACCAAUCCACGAUCCGAAAAUUAAAGGUCUAUAACUUGAUGCCACGAUACUCCAGAUCCGUUCUCGUGAUUUUUGGACGUCGCCUCGGCCCUCCAGGCGGAAAUGAAGCCGAAACGUCCGUUUCUUCAAUAUGUUCGCAUAGGCUCGACGAAUCGCCGAACCGACUUCUCCAACGCGUUCGUAUACCUAGCAAUUAGGCUUGUAUAGGGUUAAAUUAGAUCAAGCCCUUAUAUUUUACAAAACCCCAUUAUGAGCCCUAACAUUGAACCAAUGCAAGAAUCCAUCAUAUAACUUCUGAUUCAAGCAUUAACCAUCUACUUAGCACCCUAGGAUGCAUCUAAAACCAUUCUAGAGCUUAAAAAUCUAAACCCUAGAAAUCUACCAUUAAAGGGUUUGAAGCUUACCUCAAAAGCUCUCCUCAAAGCUAAGGAAGAAAAUGAAGAAGAUGAAGAUCCACCUUCGAGUUUCCUUCUCCACCAAAUCCUUCAAUUUUCGGAGAGAUUUAGAGAGAGAAACUGACGUUUUUCUCUCUCCCUCUCCAUGCGUGUGUGUGUUGUGUGUGUGCUGUGUUCGGUUGCGGAGGGAGGAGAAGAAAAGCCUCCAUUACACAAAUAGCCCCUCAAUACUAUUCACUUCAGUUUUCAUUUCAGGUAUAGAUAUUUUUCGCCUGUCCUUCUGAAUGUCCGUUUGAGCUUAAAUUUGAUAGUCAUGUUCGGUUUUACUUAACUUAACGAAAGAAUUUUUGGUCUUUCAGUUUCGACCCCGUUUGGUCACCGAAAGCUCUACCAAACUGUAAUCUCUAGCAGAUAGCAGUCGAAUUUUAUUUUCUACUUUUCAGAUGUCAGAAUGGUAUGAAACUUUAAAUCUAGCCUCAUAAAAAUAAUUCUGAUAUAGUCUCCAGUUUUCGUAAUUUUCUGACACUGUGCAUUUUCUGCUAAAAUAUCAGCUCCGUUUCUCACAGAAAAUUUCAAAUCUUCUGUUUUUGUUCCGAUUUCAGCACAGGUCAUUUCCAACUUAUAUUUCAUUUCUCUAAAUCCACUAAAAAUAAUAUCUCAUACUAUUUUUAUUUUUUUUUACUUUUAUACCAAAAUCUGGUAUGUUACAUUCUCCACCCCUUAAAAGAAUUUCGUCCGCGAAAUUCAAACCACGCCUCAAUUUAGCUUCUCGAGCAAUUGUGGGCACUAAUGCACUUUCCCAUUAUGGAAUGGCAUCACGUUCAUCGGAAUGAUUCAAAGGCCCGCUACGGGGGAUGCGAAUCAAACGCAUACACGUUUACAAGGCGCAGCACAUAAAGUGCAUUACGGUCUCCGUCCUUCUUGGGGGCAGCGCAAGUCGAAACUCGACGACUCUACGCGCUCCAACACCGCUCGCUACUUGGCACGCAAGAACUCUUCAUUGCAUUUACCUUUCCUUCGGGGAAUACAUUCCGAUUCGAUCACCGACAUUGCAUAGAAGCAAUAUCACCGGUGCAUCGCUCCAUCGUGAGUGCUCCAAUUCCGCACUGACCUUUAGCUCUAACGUGAGAUGGCCCACCUCGGCGCAUCCCAAUUCCAAUCCUCAAACUCCACGUGGCUUGCCACUAGCUCAAGGUCUCACCAAGAGCACUUCAUCAUCAGAUACCACAUGCCACGAUUAACAUCAAACUAUUUUUGUAACGAGCUCACGCGAACGCUUCGUUAAUGAAUUCGAGUCAAAUUCCUCGAUAAGGCUAUCCGCCAAAUCGCUCUCUUCGAUCUCCACAGGCGGACAAAAAGGCCACCUAUCCUAUGUAGGCCUACCGCUUAAACCUGUCUCAAUACGCAGCGUCUCUCGCUUGCAAAUGCAGACCCAAUCAUCAUCGGGCAAAAUUGUCACCUGGGAAUUCGCACACACUCUAACCAGGAGCAACUAAAAUUUCAAACCGUUACAAAUCCUCGGGUUGGGUCACAAUCGCACUCUCGGUAUACUAUCAACCGCACGACACGCUUAACCGAGCCACACGUACCACUACCGGCUCCUAAGCACCUAGUGCGAGCUACCAGCCCUACGAGUGAUCCAAGGCACGCUUCACACUUAGCAAAGCUCAAGUGCUAUUGCCAACUUACUCGCUCGGCUAAACCCAGUUCGCACUCCACGAGUAACUCUACUCGAACGCCACACGCCUAUAGCGCUAUAACGCUCCACACUAAGCCCAGCAUUAGGCAACUCUUGUCUACGCACGCCGACUUUACGAACACGAUCCUCCUACCUCACAUCAAGAUACUACUAGGCCCACGUGCUAGUACUUGGCCACUAACCAACUGUUCCAUCAACAGUGAUUCACAUUCACUGUUCGACCCACCGAAACGACAUCCGAAAUACUCGGACUACACGGGUGCCCAUAAGCAUCAUGGCUCAACUCUCGCAAUUUACUCCUCAUAUUGCUUGGAGAGUAGAUUCGCCAUUUCUGUCUCUACCGCGAGUCUCACUUCUCGCCAUAGAUUACUACCAGCACUUCACUAGUGCCAUCUGGCUCUAUACCUGUACUGGCAUGUACUACGCGCUCACAACACGAGCAUGCCCGGGUAUCUAUACUUACCCGUCCACUCGGUCUCUACUAUGGUCAUGUACGACAAUAGUAAUUAACCACAUAACCAUUGCAUGCAAUGCAUGGACUUCACGUCAUGCAAAACAUAUGCUUGCAUCAAUAACCCAUACCUGUAACGACGUCGUCAGCAGCAGGUUCCUCAACCUGGGUCGCGUAUCUACGGCCACCCUUAGGUUGCAUUGUCCUCAAUACCCUCUCACAGCUCACACUGCUGUGGGUAGCGAAAACACCCACAAACGACACAUCUCACAAGGACCGAAUGCCGUAGGUCCCCGGAACUCGGGAUCACGAGCGCGAACACAUUGCACUCAGUUGAGAACUUGACGGACUACCGAAUCCACUCGUUGGCCGUCCUAUUUUCUUUUUCCUUGCAAUUAGACUCAUGCUCCCUCUUGCACAAUUGCACCGCCUUGUUCUAUCCACAAGGUCUAAUCCUCAAAUCUCCUCUAAUCUCCACCACUCCACACUCGAGAAGGGCUCCUAGAGAAAUAGAGGGAGAAAAACCAUAUGUUGGGUGGUCACUGGCUGUGAACAAGAAAGGAGGAGUUGGCGGGGUCUUUAUAGGAUGCCACAAUCGCAUUUAAACCUUUCCCCCAAUCAUAUUUGUAGCAGACCAAAGUUUGCUGCGAGGCCCAAAGUGUACCGGUACACUUCAUGGUGUCACCGGUAACACGAUCUCACAGAACCAAACCCGAGAGCAACUACUCGGGUUCUGCCAAAGUGUACCGGUACACACCAGGGGUGUUACCGGUAACACACUCGCGCAGAGGCAAACCCGAGAGCAUUCUGCUCUCGGUCUGCGAUGGCUGUACCGGUACACUUCAUCGUUCUUUUACUCCUUUCUUUUUUUUUUUUUUCUUUUUUUACUCUCUAUUUUUAACUCUUUAUUUUUUUUGUUUCAUUUCCGCCUAAGAUUUUUUGAUGAAACAAUAUUUCCAUUGUCGUCAUCAUUAAUGAUAUUAAUUCUCUACAGGCGACAACCUAGGUUUCUGAUUUCUCUUUAUUUUUUUUUUCAUUUUUUUGAAUGUUAGUAUAUAAUAUUAGUAAUUACUACAACUAUAUAUUCUCUUUAUGUAUAAUAUUGUAUCAUAAUUUUCUUAUUUUUGUGUGUUUACAUAUGAAAUUAUUUUGAAUUUUAGGCUUUUAAUCAGUCAAUAUAAUGGCCGAAACAAGUCUUGUCCAGACAAUUUAAUAAAUUCUAUAAAAACAUAUAGGUAUACGGAUACUCGUACCCGAUUUAGACCCGAUUCAUACCCGGUCUUUAACGAGUAGUAUAUGGAUAGUCACUACCCAGACCCGCUCAAAUAGAUCUGAUGGAUAUAUUAGUAACUUACGUAUCAUGUUCCAGACCCAAUCCGAAAUUAAAUGGGUAGGGUAUAGUUUUUUUUAACCAUUAUUUUUUAGGGUACGGGUACAGUAUAUCAAUUAUCUAGACCUGACCCGGUCCAUGGACACCUUUAGUGACUGAUGAUUUUCGUGUGAUGAAGUGUUGUGCUUCGAAUUGUUUGGCGCUGCUUCAAAGUGUAGGGAAUAAGAACUCAUCUUUUCCAUGCUUUACUUUCUAAAUUAAAGUAUUUAGAUUUAGGGUUGGACUCUCCAAGACCUCUUCUUUUACUUUUCUUACUCCAACUCCAAGUUUUUAGCCUAAAAUUGAGUUUUUAGCCUAAAAUAGAGAAAGUAUAGUAUUAUUGAUGACUUUAGAGUAGAAACAAGUGGUGCCAAGGGAGAGAAAGAAGAAGAUGGUGGAAUAGGAAACGAGAAUGUUUUUCUCUUGUGGGUUGAGAGGAAAAAAAUAGACUUUUUUAUAAAAUAACUCUCUAAAAUUUUAUAUUUUGCGAAAUAAUACUAUCAAAUUUAUAUUUGGCAAACUAACCCUCUUUUCGCCACAUAGGAGUCACGUGGGAUUAUUUUUUGAAAAGCGGUGAAUCGUUUCCCGCAUUCUCCAAUUUCUUUUAAAGACGGUGGAUCGUUCACCACUUUCUCCUAUUUUUUAAAGAAGCGGUGAAUCGUUAACCGCUUUCUUCUAUUUCUUUUAAAUGCGAUGAAUUGUUCGCCGCAUUCAUUAAAAUUGUGCGUGGAUUAUAUAGGAAAUAGAAAAAAAAAUGAGAUUGUUAGGAUUAUAUGUGGAUCAUUACAAUUUUUAUUUUAUUGUUAGGAUUGUAUGGAUAGAUUUUUAGGAUUUUCAGUCUGUUAAGAUUAUAUGAAAUUGUAUGGAUAGAUUCUUAGGAUUUUUUUUAUAUGGAUAGAUUAUUAGGAUUUUCAGAUUGUUAAGAUUAUAUGAAAUUGUAUGGAUAGACUAUUAGGAUUUUCAGGCUGUUAAGGUUAUAUAAAAUUGUAUGGAUAAACGGUUGUGAAGAUUAUAUAUGAUUUGUUAAAAUUUUUAUGUGGUUGUUAAGAUUAUAUGAAAUAUAGAAAGACACAGUAAAUAAGCGAAAGGCAGUGAAUCAUUCAUCGCCUUUGUGGAAAAUUAGGAGGGUGGUGAACCGUUCGCCACCUUUAGUAAGGCAGUGAACGAUUCACCGCUUUCAUAAGAAAUAUCCGCCCCCACGCCUGUAACACACUGGACCUUUGCAAAUUGCGAGGUUCAAGUGUUUAAUCUGUGUUCUGAGCUUUUUCACUUUUUCUAGAGGGUCGUAGACAGUGUUCCAACCUAUGGCUCGCAUUUCGAGAAACGAGGGUUUUAACUUAGCCCUAAGGUCUCCAAACAGAAGGACUUAGGCUGCUCUCGGGUUGAGUUUUGCAGGGUUGUGUACCAGUACACCUUGAUGGUUGUACCGGUACAGAAGGCCGUAUUCAGGCAACCCGAGCCUCGGGUUUGCGCAUACAGGGUUUUGUACCAGUACACUUUCCCGUAUACCGGGACACAAUACAGUUUGCAUACUGCUUGAACUGGGAGGGUAUUUUUGCGAUUGUUGCUACCCUAUAUAGCAACCCACGCCCCUAGCAGCUUUCCCUGAGCUGGGAAACAGGGAAGACAAGGUAGGGGACCUCCUCUCUUUCCCUUUUUGGAUUUUACUUCCCUUUUCUUAGAUUUUGUUGGUUUAAUCUCUCCUUUUUGCUUCUUGGUGGCAUUUCCACCAUUGUUGAAGGUUUGGAGCUUGGAGAAGAGCUUGUUUGAGAGAAGAUCUUCAACCCUAGUUGGUUUGGAGCCUAGUGUGGAGCUUUUUAAGAGGUUAGAAACUUGUUUCCAUCUUUUGAUCAAUGAUUUAGUAGAUUUCAUGAGAUGAAAUCCUAGAAUGGAAAUUUAGGGUUUAUAUUGGGGAUUUUUUAUGAGAAGCUUUUGGAACUAAAUUGAUUGAGUUAGAACCUUUGUUUAGGUUGGAUUUGAAGAGAUCUUACUCUCUUUUGGAGUUCAAGAGAGACUAUCACCAUUUUAGGUGAGUUUUGCCCUUUAUCUUGAGAUGUUUAAUGUUUGAGCUUGGUGUUGUUCGUUCGAUUCGCUUAUCCCUCUUUGAUUUUCCUUUAAGGGACUAGGAGGCUAGAGGGCACCUUCGUCGGCGCAAACGAAGGGUUCCGAAAGACUUGGUGGGUUUGGCCUCACCAAAAUGAGAUAAAUUUCUCAUUUGUUGGUUAUACUUGUCGUAAAAUGAAACUUCAUGCAUAUUCAUGCUAGAUAGAAUAAUUGUGAAUUUUAGAAUACUUUAAAUGCUCAUAUUAUGUACAAUGCAUAUUUAGACCUCUAUGUAGUAGAGAGUAUUCAUGUUGUACUUAUACAUAUGGAUAGCAUUCUUAUGUGUGAUUCGGGGACAUGUUUCAUACGAUGAAUAUGACAAGAGGCAUUAGGCUUGGAAUUGAUAUAGUAAGCUAAUGUCAUAAAGAGGCAUUAGGAUUGGAAUUGAUAUAGUAAGCUAAUGUUAUAAAGAGGCAUUGGGCUUGGAAUACGUAUGGACUUAGCAAAUCUAAGGUCACAAGAGACAUUGAAAUUAAUGUGUGGUUAAACCUUACUUUGAGACAUUAGACUAGACCUUUGGGGUGCUAGUGACUAUUGCCAUGUUAGAGACAUGAUGAUUGGAUUCUUGAGACGAUGACCAUGCUUGCUUGCCAUUUGUGCUCAUUCGCACAUGCUUGUGAGGGUCGCUCCCCACAAGCCGGCACUUCGGAGUUAGCCUACGCGACUUAUGCUCGCUCGUGCGAUAUUGAGAAGCCUACGGGGCCGGGUGGGAUAGACUCAUUCCUCAAAUGGGAAUGCUGGGGCUACCAUGGGCACUUAGGCGGCACUAGCCGGACUACACUUGUGUAGGUCCUAGAAUGAGGUUGAACAAUGACAUUGAACUGAUUUAUGACAAUCACUACUAGAUGGACAUUAGUAGUUAGAUUUCCUGGACAUGCUUAUAGCAUAGUAUUGGACUCUUGGACAUGUAGUAUACUUGAUAGUAUCGCUCUUUGCAUCAUAGUAUACUUAUUUGCCAUGUUACUACAUACUAGUCAAAUAUUGGCUUUUUGGGCUAUAAUAGAAUAGAUGUACACCAUGUUGACAUCAUGUAUACUUGUGACAUUGUAGAUUAGCAUUUCAUUACAUGCUUUUUAUAUUCGCAGCAUACUAAUAGUUCUUUUAUCUACUUACGCAUUUGGGCCGAGUGGUGCAUUUUGCUUAGAUCAGUAAUUGCACACUGGGAACUAUAAAUUAUAGUUCUCACGCCCCUUCUUUUAUGUUUUCUUUCAGAGCUUUCCACUCCGAAAGAGGCUAGGGACCACGGCAAGGGUGUCGCUUCGAGCUAGCAAGCGAGGGGUCUUGCUAGGUGGAUCAUUUUCUCCUUUUGUUUUACUUGGAGAGAAUGAGAGCGUUUGUACCCUACAUAGAGACUACUAUUUUGGAUAUUAUAGUACUUGUAUUUGAGACAGUUUGAUGUAUUCACUUUAUCUUUUAUCUUAGCUAUUAGUUUCCCUUCUCUCUACUUGUUGUUAGAAUUUAGCUGCUACUUGCUCUGAUAACUCUAGGUACUUGUUCACUCUUAUUAUUUAUCGCUAUUGUUGUAGACGCCUUAUAUGUGCAGGCAUAUGGCGGAUCUGGGCAUGCUACCGGGAGGGCCUCUGCCGGUCCCGGGGCGUGACAACGCCUAUGUGGCAAAAGGAGGUUUUACAAAUAUAAUUUUGAGAGGGUUAUUUUGUAAAUUUUAAAAUUCUAGAUGGUUGUUUUAUAAAAAAAGUCCAAAGAGGGAGAGAGAGUGUUUUAGGGCUUUCAUAAAUGCAACAAAUAUCCUCUCAUAUGUAAAGGUGAGUUCAGAUAGUAUCAAUACACCUUCAAAGUUCUGCAAAACACAAAUGUUCCAGCAAAAAAGAAAAAAAGGGCUCAAGGAGUACUAGUACUCUACCUUGGGGUAUUGGUACAUGGUAAUUAGUGCCAGUAUUGAACCAGAGUUCCAUAGAAUCAGAAUGUGCUCUCGCUGGAAUUUCUAUUGAGUAUCGAUACUCUAAAAAUCUUUGGUAUCGAUACUAAAGUGAAAAAAUGAUCAGUUAAUCCAACCUCCUUGUUUAUUAUUAUAUUAUUAUUUUUGAAUACCUAUCUCUUGAUGAUUGGAAAUAAAAACCAUUAACAUCUUAUUUCUAUUGAUUCAAAUUAAUAUCGAUUGAAUUAUUAAUUUUGUAUCUUGCAUUCUCCAUGUGAUUUAGUUGUGUAAAUUAUAUACUUUCUACAUGUUAUUCAGAAUGCCCCUUUACAUGUUAGACAAAAUGCCUAAAAGAAGGCAAAUAUUGUUUUGGUUCAAAUCUCGAUUCCAUCUAAUUACUGGUUGUAAAUUUAUGAUUCAAUAUAUGAAAACCCUCUUUUCGAACACUAAAACCUUCAUUUAUUAUUUAAAAUUUCGUUCAUGUUAUCUUACUUUGAAUAAUUUAAUCCUUAAAACUCUUCAUCUUCUUGAUUAUUAAUUGAGUUUCGUUGAGUUUAUUAUUCUAAAUCUCUUUCGUGCUCCGUCUCGACCUCUUUGCAUAUUUUUGUAACCGAUGUUGUCAGCCUAUGUGAGCCUAUCCGAAUUUAAAUCUUUAUAUAAGCUUUUCUUGUAAAUACAUAUGUCCUCUUUGUAAUUUUAUUCUUAUAGAGAAUCGUCUUUCUCUAUUUUAGAUUCUGGUGAUUGAAUUUCUAUGCAAUUUUCAAUUAGAUAACCUAUUAACUUAGAAGCUGCUUCCGAGGUAAGCGACCGGACACCCAUUAGUUUUUCGCAAAAUAAUUUAAGAAAAUAUUCUGAUUGUGCGAAAAUCUUUAUUUUGUAGAUUUUAAAAUUAAGGAUUAAGCGUAUUAUUAAAUAUUUUUGUAAACUAAGAUUCAACUGUAAUUGAAAAGUUCUUUUAGUAAAAAAUUGUGAAAUUUGAUAAUCUGUUCUGUAAAUUAGUGACUGGAUAAGUGUUUUAAAUAAUAAUGUCUCUUGGUAUUCUGCUAUACUAAUGUUGGCCAUGCCGACAUGUAUUCUGUUAUAAAAGCUAGCUUCGUCUCUGUAUUGCGCAUUCGGGUGCUUGUGCUUGUAUCUACCCACUCCCCUGUUUUAUAUUUGCACUUCGAGUGUCUCUGUUCCAUAUAUGCACCUCCAGGUGCCUUUGUUCUGUUUUGCACCUUCGUGUAACGACCCAGCCUACUAGCAACAAUGACUCGUUGGGCCCAAGCACCGGCCCAAAAUAUUUAAGCUCAGUUAUUAUUACUAGUGUCUAAGUCUCUUAUAUACCCAAUCACAUCCCCUUUCAUAUCCGAUGUAGGAUUAUUGGGGUGUGACAGACUCUCCCCGUUAAGGCCCUGACGUCCUCGUCAGUCCAAUCACACACAGCCCAAGAUCACAGGCGAUGUGAGACUUGUCUCGCUAGCCUUGUCAUCCAGACCCUGGCAUAAUCGGUCGCCUUGUCAUUCAGACUCUGGCAUAGUGUAUCACCUUGUCUUUCAGACCCUGACUCAGUCGAGACUUGCCACACAUUUUCGGCUGGUGAACUGGCUCUGAUACCAGCACAUUAGCAACAGUAACCCAUUAGGCCCAAACACCGGCCCAAAAUGCUUAAGCCCAGUUUUUAUUUCUAGUGUCUAAGUCUCUUAUAUACCCAAUCACAUCCUCUUUCAUAUUCGAUGUGGGAUUAUUGGGGUGUGACACUUCGGAUGCUUUUGCAUCUCGCUAACGAAUCACACUAUAUAGUUAGUUACCAUAGACUUAAUUUUUAUGUUGUUUAUUUGUUUAAAUAGAAAAUACUUUGUAAAUUUAUAGUUACUGUUUUAUCUGAAUUUUAAAUUUUGAUAAUCUUUGUUUUUUAAAAUUUUGCAAAUUAAAGACGAGUCACUUAAAUUAAUUUUUGUAUAUAUUUAUUUGUAUGCUUAAUUCGACUAACAUAGUGUAUGGUUGCUUACCCAGGUACUGAGAUUGAUUUGCCAGGCGGGCCGGGGACGAGUGAAUGUUAGAUGUAGUUAGUGUUUGAUUUUAGUUUCUUUUGUUUUAUAUAUCUAGUACAUUUAGAUGUGAAAUUUUUGGACUUCAUAAACGAUCAUUUGUAUAACUGUUUCUGUUUCGUUAUUUUUGCGUACCCACAUUUUGUUAUUUAUGGUAUUUAGUGGAUUGAAUUUUCUUUUGUGUUCCGCAGUAAAAUUUAGUCUUACAUAUGAUAAAAUCCAUUUUGAUUUUAGUUGAAAUUCAAUUAUUAAUCUCAUCUUUUGAUUCUUUGGAUUUAGUAAAAAAUUUUAUAAUCAUCAUUUUGCAUGUUUUCGCUCUAGUUCUGUAGCCUUGCAUAUUUACUAAUUUAGUAGGUAUAUGGCGUCUGUUACGCCUCGGGUUCGGGGAAUGACAAGGACCCUACUAUCCACAAGAUUGUUGUAAACCGUAACGUUGUCUUCAACAAAAGAUCCUUUCAAGGCAUCAAAAAGCAAGAUGAUGAUACUAUGAUUCUAAUUGAGCUCUUUGAAGCACACAACGAAGUGCAAGUUCAGAAAGUAUAACUAAAUGACGAUGUGGCUGAUGAUGAUGCCAAUUCAUUUGAAGAUGCAAAUUCACCGGAUGAGCCAUUAGCAGAUUUCGAACGUCCCAGGAGGAUCAUUAGACCAUCUACGAGGGAUAAUAACUAUAUUACUUAAUUCCUUCUUCUAACCAUGUUAGUGCAUAUGUUAUUUUGGCGAAGGAAAAUAUGCCGACUUCGUAUAAGGAGGUUUGUGAGUUAACCAAUGCCAAAAAGUGGCAAUGCGUGAUAGAGGAGGAAAUAGAAUCACUUCGGUAAAACAAGAUAUGGGAGUUUAUUGAUUCGCUGAAGAAAUUAAAGGAACAUGAUUGGACGUCGGUGGGUGUUCAAGAUGAAAAAGGAUAUGGAUAAGAAUAAAGAGGUUUAAGGUGACAUUGGUGCUGAAGGGAUAUGCUCAAAAAUUGAGAAGCAAUUUUGAUGUGAUCAUCUCAUGGGCAGUUCACUGUAUCACUUUUCGAAUUAUUUUAGUGAUUGCAGUGGUCAUGGAUUUAGAGCCUGAGCAGAUGAAUGUGAAAACCAUUAUAAGGUACCAGACUUCUAAAAUUAUGAAGUUACGGUGUACAUUUGGUUGGAAAGCCAUUUGAAUGGUUCCGGUGAAGUUUGGUGAAGUUCGGGAGCAUUCGGGCGUUUCGGUGCGCGUAGUCGCAAAAACGGGACCCGAAAGGCUAUGUUGGACUAUGAACUAAAUUCGGCAUUAGCGUGGAUGAAAAAAUGAUGAAAAUACGCUCGAAAACAUGUUUGGAGAGUCUCGGUUCGAUUUGAAAUGAAUCGAAGGCCUAACGACAAAAAACGAGCGAAAACGGAAGAAAGCUGAAAUUUUGGCUAAGUUUGGAAAAUGCUGAAAUUCUGGACCUACGGGGUCCAGUCCCUCAAGCCAAGGAUAGGUCCCCGAGACCCGAAAAUGCCCAGUUUGGGCUGAUGGCAGUCUUGUAAUUAAAGGGAAGUUGGCUUAUGUAAUGAGCUUCUUCUUCUUCCCUCUUAACACACACCCACCCACACACAAAUGUAGAGAGAGAGGCUCUCUCCUCUCUCUAAAUCUCUCCCUCAUCUCUCAAGAUCUUUUGCCCAUACUUUGGGAUUUGGUGAAGAUUGGAGCAAAGAAAUGAAGCCCCAUCAUCUUCUUCAUUUUCUUCUUCCUUAGCUUGGAGAGGAAAAGCUUAUUGCGGUAAGUUUGAGCUCCUCUCAUGGUGCAUUCUUAGAGUUAGCCUUAUAUGCUCUAGGAAUAGAUUUAGUAGAACUCUAGGAUGCUAAAUAGAUGGUAAAUGCAUGAAUCAUGAGGUUGAAUGGUGAAUUCUUGCAUAGUAGCAUCUAGGGCUCCAAAAAUGAGAUUUUUCUAUAUAGUAGGGUUUGAUCUCAAUUGACCCUAUGUAAACCUAAUUGCUAGGUAUACGAACGCGUUGGCUAAGUCAGUUCGGCAAUUCGUCGAGCCUACGCAAAGAUAUUGAAGAAACAGACGAUUUAGCUUCGUUUCCGCCUGGAGGGCCGAGGCGACGUCCUAAAAUCAUGAAAACGGAUUUGUGGCAUCGCGGCAUCAAGCUGUAGACCUAUAAUUUCUAGGGCCGCGAUUCGGCUCACGAUUGGAGUGCGAUUGCAAGAUCGGGCUGAACCGGAUACGGGUGCCGCGGGAGGCCAAUUGCAAGUGUCGACAAGCAAUCGGAGAGCGAAUCGAGGUGGGUUGUGCUCACCGAAGCGACUAGGUCGCCUCUAUGUCUAAGAGAAAUGUGAAUUCAUGUUGAUGCAUAUAAAUGCUAGAUGAUGCAUGUAGUUAACACUAAAAGAAUGCAUGUUGAUGACAUUAAGUAAAGGAUAAGUGAAUGCUUGAGAUAAUUGCUAUGCAAUGACUACUAUAGAAUGCAUGAUGAGCAUGUUAUAGAAAUGCUAGCUAAUUGCAUGAUGCUAGGAGAAGCAUAAUAACAUAGUGACUAUUAAAGAAUGCAUGUUGGCAUUGAGAUGAAUGCAUGAUUAUAUAUAUGCAUGUAAACUAGAUCGAUAACUCUAGAGUGAGUAGAGAACUCGACAUUGGAAAUAGAAACAUGAGAACUAUGAAAUACUCGACUGGACAACUAGCUAGGAUGUCAGGUAGGCCGAGUGGCAUUGAACCUAGUGUUAGUAAACAUAGGUUGAACAAGUGAAUCUAGAGUUAAGAUCUAGGUGAGUGGCAUCUAACCUAGUGUUGUUAAACAUAGGUUGAACAUGAAUGACAUUGAACCUAGUGUUAGUAAAUAUAGGUUGAACAAGUGAACCUAGAGUCAAGAUCUAGGUGAGUGGCAUCGAACCUAGUGUCAAAGAACAUAGGUUGUGGAUUAAACCUAGAGUUAAGUGAACCUAGGUUAUGUGAUAAGGCAUUGAACCUAGAGUCAGUCGGACCUAGGGAGGAAAGGACACCGGACCUAAAUAGGUCGAUACUAUAGGGUUUGAGACCAACUCUUGAGUUAUGUGAAGUGGAUUCCGGAAUUUCUAGUGAUGUGGCCGCAAAAAAAGCGGUGGAAACUUGUAGCAGGAUACAAGAGAUGGCAAGCGAAUCAUAACUACAGGUAUGUGCGGUUCUCCUCGCCUGGCAGUGAUACAACGGCUAUGUGUGGUUCUUCUCGCCCGGGAUGCCAUGAGUAUAAGCUUGAAAUGGGUAUGUGUGGUUCUCCUCGCCCAUUUAGCUUAUUGGAUGAUACCGCCUGGAUUGACUUGAAUCAUUGCUCGGUAAGGACGAUGCGUGCGCCGCCAGAUAGCUGAGUCGUGAUGUCACGCCCCGGGACCGAUACCAAUUUGGGCCGGCCCGAGCACGUCAAACAGACGCCGAACGGAGAGAGUUUCCCCUAUCUGCCCAAGGCUCAUCACUUGUACAUUUUCAAGUAGAGAAAAGCACUAGCGGAAACAUACACAAACGGCUUACACAAGGGUAAGCAAUAGCUAUGAGUGAAAGAAAAGAACUAAACAUCUACACAAGUACUAUGAUUCUCUUUUGAUCACAUACAUUGCAUUUAUCCUUCAUAUUCAUGAUUUUUUACAUUUCAUUACAUCACUUGCAUCAUUUCUUUUUACAUCACAUUGCCUCAAAAUAAACUUUACAAUCUUUUCUUUCUUUGCUUUACACAUCGACAUCUUAAAUCAUCAAAUACAAAAGAUGAUAAAAGGGUAUACUACUAACAAAAUGUAAAGCCCGACUAGGGUGGCCACUGUCUAGGGUGCGAUACCUUUACCGCGGUCGCUCGCCGGUUCGCUCGGUCCCGGCUCUGUGGAAUAGUGGGGUGAGAACUACAACAAAGUUCCCAGUGGGUUGGGCCCCAAUCUCACCGACUUUCCUACUAGGACUAACUCAGGCAUAAUAGAAAGGAUAAGCCGAAUAGUAACUAAACUAUAAUCAUGAUGCUAAUAUGCCUGAACAAUAAAGUAAAAAAUAUGCUCAACGUAAAUCAUGCAAGUAUGCAAGUUUUUUAUUCUUUACUCUUUAUUCUUUAAUCCUUGUUCUUGUUCUUGUUCUUUAAUCUCACGGCUAACCCGGGGGUUUCGCCACAUUAACUUGCCCACAUUAAGUCCAUCAUCGCGGGCCCUCAGCUGCCUCCCGCUAAGACCGUCCUCAGGUUUACUCCAACCUGUGAUGCAAAACUCCGGAGCGCAUUGCUCGAGGGGGAGCGACCGCCCUCGAGCACGGAACUCAUAGCAAGUAUGAUCGAUCCUUAACUCUAAGGAUAUAUAAUUCAAUCAUUGUCUUUACACUAACUCUAGUGUUCUUUUCAUCACUUUAUUUUGCUAACUCUAGCAAUCAUUGUUCUUUAACUUUACUCGUUCUUUAUGCCACUUUCAUUUUCUUUACUUGUCUCUAGUCAUUAUUAUUGUUCUUUGCGUCGCAUUUCUCUUUGAUGCCACACACACUAACUCUAGUGUCACUUCACUUUACGUUAUCGAAUGCCGCUCGAUCUAUGUUUUAUUGUGUCAUUUUGUUCUUUCAUCUCAUUGGGUGCUCACAUUAUAUCUCAUGCAUACAUAUAGGGUUAAAUAGGUUCUCAAACAUUUCAAAUUAAUAGCACGUGUACUCACAUCAUGCAACAUUCACAUAUAUAACAUCACAUCUACCCUAUAAUGCAUACAACAUAUAAACAUAUGCUCAAUUGAAUGACACAUUAGGCAUAGAAGGAAUUCCAACAAGUUUGGAUAGCACCACCCACCUCGUAGGCGUACGAGGAUGCUACAAUAAUUUUCUUGGGAUUUUUAGCCUCUUCGUUUGCGACCUGUGGCAAAACGAAGCCCUAUUAGGCCAUUUUGCUCAUAUCUUUACAUAGGCUUUUCGUAACGUCAUUCCGAGCGCACCAACACAUUGGAAAUACCCCCAAUUAGGUUUCUAGAGGGUCAAUUUCAUUUUAGAGCCUUUACAAGCAAAAGCCCUAAUUUGAGUGCCCUAGCUCAACCCACAUCAAAACCUAGGAUUUGAUCUCAUUAGGAAGCAAAAAAAGCUUCAAUCUACUCUAGAGACUCCAUAAAAACCAUCCUUAGCUCAAUCCAAACCCUAGUUUGAAUUCUACCAUGAGAGGGGUGAAGCUCACCUCUAAGCUUCAUCACAUAUACCCAAACCAUGGUUUUGAUCUCUUAAAGAAGCAAAAGAAAGCUUCAAAUACACAAAAGGUUCUAUUAAAACCAUUUCUAGGUCUCCUGGUUCUCAUUUUAGGGUUUCACCAUAAAAGGGAUUAAAGCUUACCUCAAAGCUUUCCCUCCUACAAGCUAGAGAUGAGGGAGAGGGAGUUUCUUCACUCCUUCUUCUUCUUCUCCACCUUCUUCUUCUUCUUUUCCUUUCAUUUCUUUCUUUUCUUUGUCUUCUUCUUCUUCUUCUUGUCUUCUAGAGAGAGAAAGAGAGAAGAGAGGGAGUGUGAGGGAGAGAAUAAGAGAAAACACCUCAUAACCCCCUAAACAUAACCCAUAUAUUGCAUAAAUGCAAAUAAGCCCCUCAGCUUUUAUCUUAUUACACUGCCUGAACUGGGCAGAUUUCGUGUUUGGGGACCGGUCUCCCCGACUUGGGACCGGUCCCAGAGAGCUCUCCCGCAGCUCAGCGGGGGCUUUCGCACGAGGCAACUGGACUCUCCCAGGGAGACCGGUCUCUCGGGGACCAGUCUAUCCUCGCAGGGACCAGUUCCCGAGAGCUGGUUUUCUAGGACUUAGUCGAUUUUUCGGCCUUCUCAAUUUCCACGCGUUCGGGGACCGGUCUCUUCCUCCAGGGACUGGUCCCCGAGAGCCCAAAAAUUGCAGUUUGCAGAUUUUUGAUUCUUUAGCUCUCGAAAACCUCCCACAAUGCACUUUUGAUCAUUUUAACACCUUCGGACUUUCCGAAGUGUUCCAUGCUCGCACUUUGGUUAAUUUGAUUAAAGUUCAAUAUUUAUUUUUCGAAUUCUCGGUAUAUUACACGUGACCUGAACUAUUGUUGGGUGAGAUACGAUGAGUUUGUCGCCAGAUGCCUAAGUCAUGACUUGAGUCAUUGCUUGGUAAGGGCGAUGCGUUCGCCGCCAUAUGGCUAAGUCAAGUAGUGCGGUGGGCUGUGACGACAGCCAGGCUGAGGUGCAGCCAGUGCGCGGUAGUCCGCGGAUGAUUGACUCGAGACCGAGUCGGGUGGAUAGCUUGGUAGAGGUAGCAAAAACCUUGAAAGCUAGUGAUAGAGGCAAGAACUAAAAUAAUAGAGAUCUUAGAAGCAAGUUGGACUUGAGUUGAGAACCUAAGGUAGUAGAAACCUUAGAAUUGAAUGACAUGAGCUAAAGUUAGCAAGUUGAACGUAGAAUCAAUAGAUCUACUAGUUGAUUGCAUAUAUUCAUAUUGCAUAUUGCGAGGCAUGUUAUCUGUUAGUUGUAUAAUUACAUGAUGAUAUAUAUAUAUAUCUGUAGAUAUUUUUGGACUAACAUGAUUGCAGUGCCUUCUUGGACCUACUGGUUGAGCUUUUUCCGUGGGUGGCCGUACCCACUGGAAACUAUGGAGUUGGUUCUCACCCCAUAUUGUUUUAAGGUGUUGCAGGUUCGCAUGUGAGCGGUGCGGUGGCGCGAGGUAAGGGCGUAGCUCCGUAGAUAGCGCCCUACCCCAAAGACCAGAGAUAGCGAUAUCCUGAGUCGGCAUAGCCUAGGGGUAGAGGGGAAUGAAAGAACAAUAUGUACUAAAACUUGUAAAUAAGUUAUGUAAUAACUUGAUUGUAUUUGGAAGUCAAAUGUAAAAGAAAAUGUGAUAUAAAAAUGCAACUGCACAGAAUACUUGUAAUAGCUUAGUUGUUUAUGUUUUUUAUACUUUCUUAAUAACAUUCCAAAUUAUUUCAAGAGUUAAAUUCUAUUGAUAAACUAUUAGCAAUAAUUGUUAUUUUUGUGAAAUUACUAUUUUGCCAUUUUAUAUAUACCCUUAUACCAUCACUUUCUUUUCUUAUUUGCCCUUAACAUAGAGGCAGAACAAGUAUUUUGAUUUUUUAUUUUUUCAAAUAUACCAUUAAUUGUAUCAUCACUGGGUUUACUUAUUUUCCUUUACACAAGAGGGAUUUUGAUUUUUUAACUUAGAUAGAAAUUUAAUCUUGAUUUAAUUUUAGAUAACUUAACGGCUACUAAGGCUUAGUUUGGUAUUGAGAUCCAUCUAACGCUAUUAGAUAGAAUAGAGUUGAGAAAAAAUAUAUAGGGAUAUGCUUCUGCGUUUUCCGAUGGGACCACAGAAAAUAUCGUAACCGAUUAAUCAUAAUAUGUGAAACACAAUAUUACGUACGGAAAUAAACAAUGUAUUUUUUUAUCGUCGUUUCUCACGACACUUAACGCACUCUCCCUGCAAUUCCAAAAGAAACCUAACAAUGGACAUAUUUUUGAAUAACGGAGAACUAUACUAUGGAUAUAUUUGAAACCAAAAAUAAUAAUAAAUUAGAUAUUUUAGAAAGUUUUAGUGGCAUAUUUAAAUCUAUAGUAUAUAUGAAUCCUCGGUUUUGGGAUAGGUGGCGGUGAACGGAGGUGCGGGCGGGGGCGAGCGCGAGCGCGGGGUACGGGCAGGCGGGCGCGUGUGGCGGGGNCACAAACUAAAUGUCCAUGUCGAUAGCGAAGCAUAUGUCCCCUUUAAGGAAACAUAUGCCGCCUAAACAGCCGCACGGGCCCCUUUCACAUUAGGCCCCGCACUGUCAUCCCUAUAUAAACGUUAUUUGAUAUAAACAUCCCUGGAUAUACUUUAAUUGAAAUUUAAAAUUAUGAUUAUUAAUUCAAAUUUGUGAAUUCAGUUAUUAAAUCUUAGAGUGCUCAAUAAUAACAAUCAUCUCGGCCUCACAACAUUUCUCGGAGGUUGGUGUUUAACUAAGAAACAUAAGAACAACUACUUUUCAACGUUAUGGAAAGUAAUGGGUUGAAGGUAUUUUCUCUAAAUUUCUCGUAUGUUUAUUUAUUACAGUGUUUAGUUUCCGGAUAUGAAGGUAUUAUCGGUUUAUCUAUUCAAUUUCUCAUACCCAGGUUCUUGGUAUAUUAUUAUUAAUAAUGUUUUAGUUCAGUUAUUUUCUCUAAAAACUUAUCCAGUGUAUCGUUAUUAUCUCAUAUAACUGGUUCUGAAUCAGUUUUUCCUUUGGUACAUCUGAUACAUACCUUAACUACACGUGAAGAUGAACCAGCCAGUGAACUAUUGUGAAGUUGUUUCCUACUAACUUAUGUUAUCAUUUUAUUUAUAUACAACAGUUAAAGGAUCGCAAAAUAAAGCCUCCGGGAUUGACGAAGGUGUAAUAUGCAAAUCAAGUAAAAUGAAUUACUUACUGUAUCUAUCAAACGAUGGAGAAAGAGUUUUUUUUUUUUUUUUUUAGGAUCGCAAAAAUACAGCGCAGAACUUGGAUAAUUUUUCAGAUCUCAGCUUCACAAUGCAUGCCAUUCACAACUCGUAUUUAAUAUUUCUAUACCAAAAGACUAUAUAUAUCGAAUUAUACAAUCUUUAUUUAUCAAUAACUUGUUACAACUUAUUGUAUCGGUAAAAUAAAAAUAGGAGAUAUCACAUUAUUAAGACACCCUUAAUUAUCACUCAAACUGUUUUCUUCUUAGUCUUUAUUUCUUUCGAGAGAAAGUACAACGGAAAUAAAAAAAUUAAAAAAAAGAUUAAUGGCUGGCAGGGAUUUCGUUCGCUGUUUCCUGAACUACCAACCAUCGGCUCUGGGUUCAAGCUUAGGAUCAACUAAGUGUAAAAGUCGAUUCAAAUAAAGAUUUACUUUAUUUGCUUCAACCAUUGUACGAUAGACAGAGAGUUUUUUUUUUAAAAAAAAGAUUAAAAAUUAAAUAUAUAUAUAAAAAUCACUAUAUAUAGAGAAAGUCCACGAAGAAUUCGUCGAUUUAAAAGUAACACGUGGAGAGCUAAAGUAACGAUCAUUUUAUUCUUUUUUUUUUACUUUUAGUUUCUAACCCGUUACGAGAUAUAUAGGUGAUAUUUAAAAAUAUUAAAAUAAUAAGCGUAUAAUAAUAUUCAAUAAUGUUGGUAUACACUUAUGAGAUAAUAUCAAAUUUGGUUAUUUAGGUGCAAAAUUCGUAUCCUCUAUUAAGGAGCUUCGAAUAAUAGAAUGAACUAAAUUCAUAGAAUAAAAUUCAUAUAAUAAAUUUUUUAUAAUUUUUUAUAUAUUUUAUAUACAACGGUAUGUAACUCUCGGUGGGGUACGUCUAUGCAUUUAAUUGACAGGUAAUUUAUGUUAUAUGUUUAAAAUUUUGUCAUUAUUUAUCAACUAGCUUGUCAUAUGAAACCAAGAAUUUUAAAUUAUAUAAUAUUAAAAAUCGAGCUUUAAAAAUUUAAUAAUGUUAAUUUAGAGUGUUAGGCUAAAUCAACUGAUUUAUAACUGUUUAAUAAAAUUAUGUCUUCAGUACGUUAUAGAAUUAAAAAUAAUGUAGUACCUAUUAUGAAAGUGUAGAGAAUAUGUAAUAGUUAACCCAAUUAAAGUAUGUCCAGAAAUGUUUGUAUCGCUUAAUGUUUAUAUAGGGAUGUUUUAAAUUAAAAGUAUACAAUAUGGAAAUUUUCAAGAUUAUAAAAGUUUAUACAAGGAUAGCAAUCUUAGGCAAUCUUUUGAAAUCAAUUGGUAUCCAAUUUAUUAAUUGAGACUAAUCAAAUAUUCUAUUGAACUGUAAAAACGGAGAGAAUAUAAUAUGAUAAUACUAAAAACUUCUCUAUAUAAACUACCGUUUUAACUGUAAAGUGAAUUUUAUAUUUAUCAAGAUAUUGUAAUUGUUUAGUCUCUUUAUAUAAACUUUUAUAAUCUUGAAACAUCCCUGUUGUAUACUUUCAACUUAACACAUCCCUAUAUAAACGUUAAAUGAUAUAAACAUCGCUAGACAUAUUUUAAUUAGGAAUAGUUAAACAGUUAUAAAUUGAGUGAUUUAACCUAACAUGCUAAAUUAAUAUUAUUAAGUCUUUCGAACUCAGUCUUUAAUGUUGUUUAAUUUCAAAUUCAUGGUUUAACAAUGGUUUGAACGUCAAACUCCUGGUUUCACACUAAAUAGGAUUAAAAAUAAAAUAAAAUAAAAUAAAAUAAAAUAAACCCACCUCGGGUUUUGGAUUGAACAUAACGAAGAAUAAUAGGUCAACCGUUACGGAGUAACCAACCCUCUCCGUAUAUAUAUCGGCAACUUGGGUGGGAUGAAUUAAUUGUCGAGUGUAGGUAGAUUAAAGUUUGUGUUUUGUUUUAAUUCAUGGGUUGAGGUUGUCUAUAUAUCUCUGGUGAGGUUGUUUUUGUUUUUUUUAAUUUGAUAACGGACCUGGACCACAUGAUAUAGCUGAGUUUAUGAGAAAAGUCUCCGGUAAAGCAAAGAAUGUUGGCACAUAUGGCAUUUUUAAUAUGUAAUCUAUACGUAUUUUCGAGGUAAAUUUUAAUGUUUUUUAAUGAUAAAUACGCUGCUCUUUCAUGUUAAUUCCUAUGAAAUAAAAAAAACGUACAUUAUUAUAUAAAAUGUAUAAUAUUAAUCAACCGACUCUAUAUAUAAAAUAUUAAAAUAGCUUUUUGCUUCUUAGUACACAGGAUUAAUCAAUCUAUACGUUGUUGAUAUAAGAAUCUUCAACAUGAAUCUUAAAAAAUCGAACAAGUAUUAACGCACGCAUUUAUGUUUAGCUUAAGUUUUCGUUUCGUUUUUUCCGGGAAUUUUUGGGUUUAAAAUUGAACAGGCCAAGUACCACUGCACCAUCUGGACCAUGUGCCUAAUACUUUGCAAGGUUGCCAGUUUUUAUUAGUUUGAAUUCUCGGCAAUUUGAUUGUGGUGUGCGCCGCACACACCCGGGGUGUGUGUGUGAAACUACGACCUUUUUUAAGGGGGGGAGAUGAUUUAGAGUGUGGUAAUAUUGUGGGUGUGUAAGUGUGGGUGAUUAAUAUCCGGGGGUAAAAGAUAAAUCUAAAGUUUCCUUUUAAAUAUAAAUCUAGGGAUUUAAAAACAUUUUUAAGAUCCUUUUGGUUUAGAAUAUUGGUGAGUAAAAAAUUCCAUUUAAAAUUAUAUAUAUAUAUAUAUAUAUAUAUCAACUCGACCUUACGAUAGCCAUCGUUUGGCCGAGGCAACGGUGGGUAAACAAAAGCUACCACCUCGGAAAUUUAGCUGCUAGCCGUGGCAACUUGUACUAGAUAUGGUGAACUUCAUAAAUCUUUAGUUUAAAGUUUAGAAAAGCUAUAGUAACUGGAUUACUAGUUUCUCAAAGUUUUAAACGUUAAAAUUACCAUCUAUACUCCAUAAAAGAGCAAAUUGCCACAUUUCGAUAGAUUUAGUUAACUUAAAACCAAUCUUUUAAGAAAUUUGAUAAAUCUUAUUCUAGAUAUGAGGGCUAGAACUAAUGUUUUAAGCAUAAUAGUGAAAAAUCCCCUAUAAGUAAAAGUCGGCAAGUAAAAAUGCGGUUGAAUUACCUGUUCUCUUAUUAUAACCUUUUUAUACUUUAAACUAAAAAUCUAUGAAGUUCACUAUAUCUAGUAUAAGUUGCUACGGCUAGUAGCUAAACCUCCGAGGUAGUAGCUUUUGUUUACCCACCGUUGCCUCGGGCUAACUAUAGCUGUCAUAAGAUCGAGUUGAGAGAGAGAGAGAGAGAGAGAGAGAGAGAGAUAUAUAUAUAUAUAUAUAUAUAUAUAAUGUAGAUAUUUAGAUAUUUAGAUAUACUUCGGUGUUAUAAAGAACGGUGCACCGUAUAAUAGGAAGUAAGAGUAUUGGGUUGAAAUUUAGUUUGGUGUUGAGAAGUGGAGCGAUGAAGAGAUUAAUUACGUUACACGUUGUAAAUUAAUAUACGUUGAAAUUUAGGUUGAAAUUUAGUUUGGUGGAAAAAGAGAAGAGUUGCGGCUUGGGAAGUGGAGCGACGAUGAGAUUAAUGUACGAUCCACGUUGUAAAUUAAUGUACGUGGUAUAAUUAUAAGAUAAUUACUCACUCGAAACAUUAAAAUUAGGUGAGGGGAGGAGGUAAUUAGAGAAUGGGGAGAGAAAACAUUGAAAAAACAUACGUGGUAUUUUUUUUUGUAGUAGCAGAUUAGAGGGUGAGGUGUGAGUAGAGAGAGAAAGAGAAUAACACAAUUGCUUCUACUACUCCUCCUUCUUCUUCUUCUUCUUCUUCUUCUUCUCGGAGACUUCUUGUAACAGAGGAAGCUCUUCAUAGCGGAGCACUUUAGCUCGAUGCCGGGUAUAUUCACGGGCGACUUAGCUAGGCGCGCCCUCGAGGACGAAUUGUACACUGAAAUCAGUACGUUUAACCAACAUGAAUUAUACCAUAUUUAAAGAUAUAUAAUUAUUUGACAUUUACAUUUAAAAUAAUUUUAAAAAUUUGAAACGAAGAUAAUUGAUAGACGACGUAGCGCGCCCAGAAAUGUGAUCAUCAUUACUUUAUGUCUAACAUUCUACUAUUUUAAUAAUAUAAUAACGAGACACCAAACAUUCUACAUAAUAAAAUGAUGGUAAAAACGUCGCUCUAGUUUAUCAUUUUAUUUUUAUUUUAAUAUAUUAUCAAUUCAUACCGUAAAAUUUGGUGUAACACUAUCUUAUUUUUAUACGAUUUGGUGUAUCUCUCGUUUAACUUCAAAUUUAUACCAAACGUAAAUCUAGUACUAUAAUAUGUCAGAACACCAAACAUUUUUUCAUAGUGAGAUAAUAUGAAAAAAUGUGACUUGAAGACUACUACUUUCUUUUUUUUAAUAUAUUGUUUAAUUAAUAUUGAAAAAUUUGGUAUUUCACUGUUUUAUUUUAAUACAAUUUGGUAUAUUUCCCGUUUAACUUCAAAUUUAUACUAAAGUUCAAAAUUAAAAAAAAAAAAGCAUCUCUUCGAAAGAAUUCGUAGAUACAUCAUUGUAUUUCAGACUUAAAAGAUCAUUAUCAAAAUUAAAAUGUUUUUUAAUUUAGUCUUAGAGACAUAAAAUCUAUUAAAAUCUCUUUAUAGAUUUACAAAUAGAAAAGUUUAUUCUAGAACUUAGAAUACAAAAUGAAGACUAGUCUUAAAAGACGAUUAUCGAAAUUAUAAAAAAAUAAACCACGCUAAAACGAAAACGAUAUGUACGUUUCAAAUACUUCUAUUAUAUGGUCGAUUUUUUUUUAGAUUGUUUUAAUAUUGUUUUACAGUAAUCUUACACAUUUUACACGAGUUCUUCUAAAAAAAAAAAAAAAAAAUUAUUCCUGAGUAGACUCUUUUUGCUUUUGACCCCUGACCCCACUUUAAUAAAUCUUUGAGUGCCUAGAUAUGUAUUUGUUGGCAACCAACCAAACUACCCGGGUGUAUUUUAUUAAUCGAGAACCAGUGUAAACUCCCAGUGAAAAGCGGGAAGCGCUGGCAAAGAGAGAGAGAGAGAGAGAGAGAGAGAGAAGAAAGAGAGAGGAGAGAGAGAGAGAUUUCUCUCCCUCCCCCCUCUCUCUCUCCACAGCUAGCUUUCCAAGCAGCUAGCAAGCUAAUGAAUUGCGCAAAAGAGCAGAUCCCAAACCCGCUAGCUAUCCCCCGACACAAUCAUAUUUUAGGGGGUGAAAAGCGGGGGGAAAAGGAUGAGUUAAACCGGUUAAAGGCGCAGCUAAAGCUAACCUCAAAAGGCCCUAAACCGCGACAGCUAACCUUUCCCCUCCAUCUCUAACCCCCUAAGAAGAAGUCAAGUUAAAGCAAAACAAGAGAGAGAGACAGGUAGCGUCCCCUAAAGCUAAAACAUGUUAAAAACCUAAAAAAAUAACCAAAAGUCCUCUUUGAUCUAAACCCAAAACACUAAAACCUAAGCCACUAGUGAGAAACCUGCAGUUUUAGGCUAGAAACAAGUAAAAACACCUCAAAGGCAUAACAAUCCCAAACAAAGUUAGAAGAAACCAACCAAAAAUUUUAGGGGUUGGAUUUAAGGUCCCCUUUAACCUAAACCCAAAACGCUAAACCCUGAGCCACUAAUGAGAAAAACCACAGUUUCAGAGUAGAAACGGUAAGAAUCUCCUCUAACCAUAAUCCCCAAAAGAGUUAGUUAACGUUAACUAAGAUUUCCAUAUAUUCUAGUAGUUUAUACACCUCACUCUACUUCGGGUAUAACUUCUCGUUUAGACUACUACUUCGACUAAUAAAGGGCAGCAGAGGGGCUUUUCUAACCAGGUAGUUAGAGUACUUUAAGCAUAGCUAAAACCAGUAUAAGUACUGGCCAAACCGCUAGCCGGAUAGCGAUUCGCCGGUGGACUCGGCCAAGAUGUGGAGCGUCUGGCUAGAGAAGAAGGGCGCGUGGUGCAUGCGGCGUUCGACGCUGCCCCUGACGUACUCGGACGUCUUAAAGUAGUUUGGGGGCGUAAACUAGGUAAGCUACUCGCUGCUCCUCGACAAAACCGCACGCAGCUACCACGGGUUUUACCUCCUCAUAGGCAAGCUCUCCCACGGCUUUCACCGGAAGUACAAAUACUGGGCGCCCGGAAACGGGAAGCGCGGCGAAACCCUAGCCAAGAAAUUCCCAGUGCUUCCCAACAUAAGCCAAAUGCACGUAUGAGAAGGGCUAAUGUCCGAAUUACACAGCUACUCGAGCCACAAGAAGCCGGCUGUCUAGGGCUCACUCCACUCUACACCAGAGUCAACGGAAAAGAAAGGCACGAAUAAUUAUAAGCCGUUAAUCCCAUGGGAUACUUGUAAUCUUGUAAUACGUAGAGGUCAAAGUAAACGAUUAAGCUGCUUUAGUAUGUUAUUUACGUACUGGAACAACAAAUUCUACAUAUACUCGUAAAUAAAGAAGUAUAUAGUCGACUCAAGUUUUGAACUUAACGUUCAUAACAUGUUUUAAGCUACGUCGAUACCAACUAAUCUUCGUGAAAAAACCAAUUUAGAUAAAACGCAACACAGAUUAUAGAAAUAGAAAACAGCGCAUCCUUCACAGCACCCCUAGGCACUGCGAUCAUCUACGGCUCUUCGCGAAUAACCGGUUACGAGACGAGCUGAAGAGGUUGCUCGCGAAGUAGGAUGAGAGGCUCUCGACGUAAGGCCACAUGUUGAAGGGGUGGCAAAUACUUAUGGAAUAUUUAAGGCGCGUGUGCAAGCACCUUAGGAUGCUGCUUUUAUGGGGAGUUCCGGCGCCGGCGAUGUCGGCGGCGUACCGGGGAUUUUAGGUCGAGAUGGUAACCGCCUUUCCCAGCCUCACCAAGCUCGAGUUGGCGCUCGAGCGAUAGUUGUAUCACCGCCUCAUGUUCAUGAUAAGGGAGAAAUCCUUCAUAACAUCUGGUAGAACGAUAGGGCUGCUCGUAAUGUAUGGCUGAAUGAACUUGUACAAGGUGCCCAGAAACUUACGCUUGGCCUCACACUGCACCCAGCUGACCAGCUCUCCGCCCGGGGUGGGCCGGUGGAUGCCUCGAGGCUUGCAGUGCCAGCUUAAGUAGGCCCGAUAAUCUUUGUUGCCCUGGAAGACAUACAUGUUAAGCUCCGGCUGAAGCUAAACGAAGGAGAAACGAGCCUUCAAGCGAGGAUCGCGGAACCCCGGCAACGAGUUGGAGUGCAGCUGCCACUACCUGAAAACUAACCUAGUAAGCAGCUUGUUAGCACCGGCAGCUCAACGUUUCUAGUGCGGUUGCUGGGGGCGUAGCUAGUUGGUUGCCUCUCUAUAGGAGAAAGGUAUUUACCUACUACGAACAGUAGUAGGGAGCUGCUAGAGAAAACAGAAACUAAACCAGCUGAGUUUCAUAUACAUAGUCCAAAUCCAAAAUACAAAGCUACUCGCACUGGCGAGUUAGGUCCACUAUGUACAUAAACUCGAAACAAAACAUCUACCUGCAGUAGGGGCACCUCUAGCUCAGCACGUCGGGUAGGGCUCUAACUCGCGACGCCCUUGCCUCGAUCCUGGUCCGCAGACGGCGCAGUAGCCGAAACCUGUGGCUCUGCAAAACAGGGGUAACAACUGGGCGUGAGAACUACUAUAAAAACAAGUAGUCCUCAGUGGGUACCGCCCAAAACAACAUCGGUCCACCCACUAAGUCUACAGGAGGGAGCAAGAAUAAUAGGAAAAGCAGGAAACAAACUCAACCGCUACAAAUCACUAUACUAUCAUGCUCUACACUAACCAACUGUAGGAAAUGUCAAAUCUGACCCAAUCCAAUCGGGACUGUAGACAUACCCGUCCCUGGGACUGUGAACACACCCGUCCCUGCCCCGUUGCGACUAUCGGACUCUAUCCACACUAACUGGUCCGUGGAGAGCAAGUCCAACUGGCAUGAGCGACACCAACGCAAAAGCACAAGCCUGACUCCGGAGUGGCACUCGUGGGCGCUACCCAACCGAGUAUGCAGCGUAUCUCUGUCGAGCUCAAUCAGGCUCCAACUAGCCAAAGUCAAGUAAUCGACUCAAACUGGUCUAACAACCAACAGGUAACGUGCCCUCGGCACAAUCUGACGCCAAAAAGGCGAUACGGGUCCACCGUCAACUCUGACGGCACCCAACAGUCCGAAACGACCUGAACGACCCUGUAAAAAUCCACUCGGCGAACCAGCACGAGUGUAAAUACAUUCUAAACUACCUGGAGUACUCGUCUCGAAGAAACUGCGACAGUACAAUUUUCUAACGGCUCCUAGAGCUAAAUCAGGUAGUUAAAACUGGUGACAGGUCCAAAUCGCAGGUUUUCUCCUAAUUCAAUUUCCAAGUCCAACAUGUAUAAUUUAAAUAAUUAUAAAGCCUGCUCAAAAUUCAGUUCUCACAUUCAAGCACAUAACCCAUGAAUUUGAGCUAAACUAGAUUACCAAAUUCCGAUCUAUACAUGUCGACGAUUAUGAACUUAGGAGUCGAAACCGAUGUAACCCACCUCAAGUGCAAUUUCCUGGCAGCGAACUCAGCCUCGGCCACCUGCGAUGCUGCUGGAUUCCUCAGGGACCACCUAGACCGGUCGCCGAGCUAAAACGACCAAAACAUCACAAAUCUGCCUAAGUUCACAGCAGCUGAAAGAGACCAAGUUUCGACCAAGAUAACCUCGUCCAAAAAUUGCAAGUGAGGGCUCCGUGGAAUCCUCUCGCAGUCUAGAAUCCAAUGAACCAAGUUUCGUCGCGAUCCGACGCUCCUACGCGGAGAACGAGCCGAAAUACUAACAGUCGACGGUAGAUUCUGCGAAAACAGCACUUAAGCUCAAAUCAACGAUACCCGAAGUACUCGGAGCAAUUGCGACCAAAAAUGCUCACCUCAACAGCGACAAUCCUCGGCGCGAUGUCCAGGACGGCGAAGACGCACCCUCGCCCGGCCUCUUCGCAAUGCCCCGGCAACAAACGCUCGCUCGAACGGCUCGCGGCGCGACGUCGGCGAAUCCCCGGCUCAACCGUGCUCCACCUCUACCAAGCUUAGAGAGAGAGAGAAAGAAGAAAGCACAAAAGCCUUCUCUCUCUUCCUCUGCUCGGUUUCCAACUGAUGUAGAGAGAGAGGGAAGGAAUCGUUACAAACGAGGGAGAGAAAAGACCAAAACACCCUCUCACCUACCCUGGUGUACCGGUACACGGGAUUGCGUACCGGUACAGGAAGCAACCCGAGAGCAGAUUACGCGGCAUCAGUAUAGUGUACCGGUACACCAUGAUGGCUGUACCGGUACAACAAGCAGGAAAAUCUGCCAUUUCGCAGAUUCUUCGCUGAAGGCUGCUCUCGCGUCCGACGGAGUCCGUUUUACGUCUAUUUGACGCCAACGCGACUUGGGCUUGUCCCGACACUCUCCAGAGCUGUCGACAAGCCUCCACAGUCAAACACCAGGGAUCUCACAAAUGAAUUGAGCUCUUAUAUUUUUAAAAGUACCAAGUCAUUGGUGCUUGUAAGUUUUUGGUCAUUGGAUUAAGGGAUGUGCGGUUAGAAUGAUGUGGGCCCCCUAAGAUUGAGUGGGUGGUUGGUUGAAUAGUAUAAUCUAACGAAUAAAAAUGAUCAAAGGUAUAGAUCUAACGGUAAAAAAUUUACAAGCACAAAGUGUUUGGUGCUUGUACAAACACCAUAGCGAGAUUCUAUAUUAAUUGACUAAAAUAUUAUGUACCCGCUGCAAACCGCGGAUCCUAUACUAGUUAUCUCUAAAUAUAUAGAUUAUACAAUCCAACCCUUCGAGGGAAUGUGAUGGGUUUACCAGCCAAGUGAGGUGAAUAGUGAAAAAAGCUCCCAUUUAUUUGAUUGGCGGGCGUAGAAUAUACACCCUUUUGGGGUGCACUAACAGCAGGAUGACGUGGUGGACCGAGCCCACGCAAGGAUUGCCGGACGCGGCGGCGGGGCAACGCGCGCAAAUGAGGAAACCGAACAUUCGAAUUCCACUGAGAAAGGAAAAACGCCACUUUUGGAAACCCCAACCCAAAUCAAAAUCUCUCAAAUUUUUAGUUAUAUAUUCGAGAUAUUUUCGCUACAAUUUCUUUAUUAUUGUUUUUUUUCUGUUAGAUUCAGUUACAAAAAUCUCAAACACCCCGAAAUUCCUUUCAUAAAUAAAUCGAAAAGCGGGGGAACGAAGAGGGAGGGGAGAGAGGGGGAGAGAGAGAGAGAGAGCUCGAGGGGGUUCAACAAUGGCGAAGAUCGAGGCGAAGCUCCUCAUCGACAAGACGACGAACAAGGUGGUGUACGCGGAGACCGACGAGUGCUUCGUCGACACCCUCCUCAGCUUCCUCACCCUCCCACUAGGCAAGAUCGUCGUCCUCCUCAACCCUAACCCUAGCCCUACCCCUAGCCCCAACCCUAACCAUAGCCCUAACCCUAACCCUAACCCUAGCUCCGCCUUCCCCAUCGGCUGCAUUGGCAAUCUCCACCACAGCGUCGAUCGCCUCGACCCCGGCUUCUUCCGCACCCAAGCGUGCCGCUCCAUGCUCCUCUCCCCCCGCUCCGCCGCCACCCCCGCCGCCAUGGAGCAUGCGAUCGAAGCCCUAAGGAUCGACCCAGACCAGGAUCGGCGACGGCGAUCGGUCCACGUGUGCCCGGAGUGGACCUGCGCCACCGGGGACCACAAGAGCUACAGCCUUGCCCCGCACACGCUCUGCUCUUGUGGGCGCGUCAUGUCUAAGAGGGCGACGGUAGUUGGCGGGGGCGAUGGCGACGGCGACGGCGACGAUGGGGUUUUCGUGAGGGGGAAGGGGGUUAGGUAUAUCGUCACAGAUGAUCUCCGUGUGAUGAAGAGUUGCGCAUCGAAUUGUUUGGCGCUGCUGCAAAGGCUCGGGAUCAAGAGCUCAGGUGCUCUUCACCAUAAGAACGUCAAGAUCGGGAGAGAUGAGGUACUGCUUCGAUUUUGAUUUGGACUUGUCUGAUCUUAAUUCUAUGUAGUGUUAGAUGGUAAGAUUUGGAUCACUAAUGCGUUCUUUAGAUUAAACAUGUGGUUUGGCUAUCAAAUUCUGAAUUUUGAAAGUAUAAAAGUAGUUCAACAAACAAAAAUAAUGUGAUUAGAACUAAUAUUGUCGUCGCCACCACAGCUACUGUCAUCACCUCUAUUCUACUGCCGUUGAUAUUUGUUAACCAUUGGAACUGCCGUGACCGACAUCACUAGUCUAAGCACUUUAUUAAACAGCUCGCCAUGACAUUUUUAAAUUCGGCGGCACUAUUCCACCGUUAAGCCACCCACUCCCGGGGCCAGUUGGCGAACACUACCAAUACCACCACCGCUGCCAUCACUUCUAACACUACCCCCACACUUCCGAUCACCGCUAUAUCUGCUUCUUAACUUACCAUGACCACGACCACCGCCACCACCUCCAAGAUUUUUAUCACUUUCCCUAGUAAAGAUCUUAUUCCAUACAAAAGAAAAACAUUGAUUUGAUUAUAAACCACUUUAUCCCGAACAGGUGAAUUCAACUACAAGUCCAAUUCACUUGAAUUAUUUUCAGUUACUUUCCAAAUUUUGUUGCAAACAAGGGUAUAGGGUAAGGAUAUGUGAAACAAAUUUUAAUCCAACUUUAGUGUACAGUGCAUUGAAUUGCGAUCUAAUCACGACCCUACUAUUUUAGGUUUUGAAGCUACUUAAGCAGUCGCUAAUCUCCACGACGCCUUUGUCUGAUGUCUUUGUAAGUAACUGGUGGGCCAUGCUUAAUCAACAAAAAGUAUCAUCUAAAAUGCAUUAUUUCAGAGCACCAACUGCUGCAAAAUCAAUAUCCUCAGCGGCAACCACUAAAUCACAGGAAAUAAGAAUAACAGUUCUUCAGAAUAAGUCGACGAAUAAAGUGGCUUAUGCCGAAGCAGGGGAGGACUUCUUGGACCUUAUAUUCAGUUUCUUGGUGCUGCCGCUUGGAUUGGUAAUAAAGCUCCUGGCUGGAAGCAGUUCCAUUGGAUGUAUCGACAACCUUUAUCACAGCAUAGACGAACUAAGUGUCUGCUAUGAGUGCAUCAAGUCGGAGGAAUGCAAGUCCGCACUGAUGUCGCCCAAGCUCCCGCCCCAUUUUAGUGUUGAGAAAGGUUUAUUGAAUGUUGAAGAAGCACCAGCUCAGGUGUUAACAUUUAUUUCGUGCGAGGGUUGCUGCAAAAAAGGGUCAUCUGAUCCUCAGGACAAAGCAAAGAAUCUUUGCUCAAAAUCGAACAAAUGCACAGAAACGGUUGCUCUAACAGUUGUUAAUCCAAAAAGAUCCAUUUUAUCAGAGGAAAUUGCACAGAAGCCUCUAACAACAGCGGAAAGUGGGGGAGGGUAUGUGAAGGGGCCGAUGAGAUUCUUGGUCUCAGAUAAUUUGGGCGUGAUGCCGUUUUGUAGCAUCGACGGCUUGGAUGCUGUGAGGGACUCAAAGGGAAAUAUCGAUGAUCUAGAGGUGGUAAAGGUCAAUGUAGGCCCGGGAGAGGUAAUGUUUCGUUUCUUUUUAACACUUCUUUGCAGUUGCAACUAUUGUUGAUUUAGAUGGAUAAAAACAUAGUUUAGAAAAUGGGCUUUUACAUUUAUCUCUCUCUGCAAACACAGCUAUUUACAUAUAUAUAUGUUUCAUUGUAAACUUUGAACUUUCAUAUACUCCUCAAAAAAUGCUCAUUCUGAUAGAAACAGCCUUAUUUUAAAUUGGAGAGUUAUCCAAUUCAUAGGGUAGAUGGUUUAGUAUCUGGAAAGGUAAACCUUUUUCUUUAAAAAAAAGAAAUUCCUGAAAAGUUACUUUUGCAAGUGUCUAUAUGUAGGUUUUUGGAGGGCGUAUAUGAAAAUACCGAGGUAUAUACAUAGAUAAUAUAACAAGAAUAUUUAUGUGAAGGAUUUUCUAAAAUUGGCGAGAGUAUGCAUGUGAGGACGAUAAAAUAGUCACUUGUCUUCUUGUUUGGUCCUUUUCCACAUUCUCCAAUUUUCCAGUGUGCUGUUAAAAUUGCAUUCAGAACCAACCAAAAUUCUAGUAGAUGGUAGUUUUAGUAUUUUGAACCUUCUUCGAGUUUGAAACUUGAAGAAGCAUCAGGCAAUUUUGAAUUUAACUCUUGUUCCUACUAUAUCUCUUUGUUACGAAGACUGAUGAUUUUCAAGUAAACUUUGGAUUUUAUUUCUCUGUCUUGCAGGCUCUAGACCUGCUGAAAGCUUCUUUGGUUUCCCAUAGAGCUCUAACUGAUGCCUUCCUUUCUGGUCACUCCCAAGCACAAUGAAGUUUAAUGCUAAGUAUCAAAGAUGAAUAGUUAUUUCCUAUUCUUUUUCCAUUUCCUCAGUUCGCUUUCUUUUCAUUAGGUGUAUUGCCUUUGAUUUUUCCUAGUAAUACUCUUUAUUAAUGGCUCUGAGACUUUCUCUUGAGUUGGUUAGAUGCCAUAGGAGCUUUUAUUUCUUUUAUUUAUUGGAAGGGCCCAUAGGAUUAGUUUGUUUUAAUUGUACGAACAAAUAUUUUUUCUACGGCAUUUAAUCCUCUCUCUCAGCUUCAUUUUUUUUUUUUAAUUUCUUUUGAGAUGCUCUUUGGAUGCAAGAUAGUAAUCACUGCUCAUUUUGUGAAAACUGGGUUGCUUUUCCAAGGUAAAUUAUAUGAGAUUUGGACGUGUUGGUAGAAUUUACGAGUUCGCAGCGAAAUAAGUUAACUUGAAAAUGAGUUUUUAUUCCUUUUUUUUUUUACUUUCUUAUUUGUGUUAGUUUCCUGGAUUAUUUAUCUGCGUAUCAAAAUGUAAAAUGAGGUGAAUCGUACACUUCUAGGCUUUUUCAAGCAUCUAGUACAUUUCUAGGUUUCACUUCUAAUACUAAUACUAAUGUUGAAUAAAUAACAAUGUACAAGAAGCUAUUCUGAAUGAAUUUUUGUAGCCCACCUUUUUUUCGGUCUUCUUUCAGGUUAAAUUGGAAUAACUCAUUGACCUUAAACUUUUUCCCUAUUUUUAAUUUAGUUUAGUGAAGUAAUUAAUUUCAUUCACAAGAAGUUUUUCACUUGCUUUUCGGAUAGAAUGCAGCCAAUUUUGAUUUAUUAUUCGCACUCGAGUUUGGAGGUCUCCAAGCUCCAUUAAGUGACUUCUUGCUAUAGCAUAAUUGUGUUUUUUACUCUUGCUCUUUUUUUUUUUUUCUUUUUUCUUUUUUUUUUUAAACUUUCUUUCUAAGAUUUUUUUUUUUUCUUGUACACUACUUUCUUACUUUGAGAUUUUUCACUCUUGCUUUAUGGCUUUAUGUUAGCCUGCAUUAGAGAAUUGUCGUUGGAAUCUACCUAUACUUUUUAUGCGGUUUGUAUCUAGAUCAGUAAUAUUUCAAUAAUCCUUCAUAAUUUCAAUAUUUGAAUAAUCCUUCAUAAUUUUUUGUUAAAUAUGUUUAAGUUGUCGCCAUGGAACUCAAGACUUAGAAGUUUCAAGAGGUGUUAUCGAAGUGGAAUAAUCAUGCAUUUUCAAUUAGUAUGCAUAUUCAAUACCAUGGGUUAGUAGUAGUUUUUCAUACCCAUUUAUAUGAAAACAUUAUACAUAUUAGAGAUCUCUAAUGUAAGAUUUUGGAGAUAUGGUGUAAAUGCAUCUAUACACUAAUGUUAAAAUUAGUUAGAAAUCUCAUUUAUAAUACUCUUUCUAUUCAGCCUCUAACGAUCUCAUCAAAUCUCUAAGAUCUUGAGUACAAUGUGACAAUUAAUAUCACACUUUCCGCCGACAAAUUGACUAUAAUACAAAAUAUAACCAUCCAAUUUGUUAAUACUAAUAACUCGUUGGGCUCAUACUAUCGAUCCAAAAUGUUUGAGCCUAGAGCCUAGUUAUUAGAACUAGAGUCCUUGAUUCUUAUAUUUUCAUUCAUAACUCCUUGGCUAUCUAAUGUGGGACUAGUAUUACUAGGGUACGAUAAUUUUUUUGAUCAAUUCGAAGUCUAGUUGCUUCACAUUUUACAAAGUAGCUUGGGCUAACUGAUUACCUAUUUGUUACGGACGGAUUGAGAUCUUGUAACCCUUUGAGUAGCUUCUGAUGGAAUUGACUCUGGCAAGCCCGAUAAUGGCUUAACUAGCCAAAAAUCUGACGACUUUUUGUUCUUUUUCGUGAGAGAUUCAAGCUUUAAUUGCAAGAUAAAUUGAGAGAUUCAAGCUUUAAUCAACUCUUGCAAGUUGAUGGUCUUCGUUGAGUACCAUGAGGUUAAAAUAAAUAGGACUUAAAUAUAGUUUCAUCCCACUAACAACUAAAAUAAGACUACACUGCACUAUUAAGACUACACUGCACUAAUACUAUAAACAUACAAUAUAUAGUAGUGGUCCACAUCGGAUGGAAUAAUAAUUUCGAUCAGUUUAUAUGAAGCCUACACGCUAAUAAUAAUAACUAGACUAAGCAUUUUGGGCCGGUGCUUUGGGUCCAAUGAGUUAUUGUUGCUAGCGGGGCUGAUCGUUGCAAUUGGUAUCAGAGCCGAAUACCAGCUGAAAGUGUGAGAGCUAAGUGCUAUGUGGGGCAAAGUGCUGCACCAACGGACCCGUAGGAGUCACCUCUAGAAUCUCACAUCGUCUGGUAAUUCUGGUCCUGAUCUGUCUAUCGGUGAUCUAGUUUGGACCCGACAGAACGUAAGGGUCUAAAUAGGGAGAGUUUGUAACGCUCCCAAUAGUCCCAUAUCAGAUGAGAUACUGAUUCUGAUUAGUUUAUAUGAGACCUAUACGUUAAUAAUAAUAACUAGGUUAACAUUUUGGACCGAUGGUUUGGGCCUAACGAGUUAGCGGGUCGGGUCGUUGCACAAAUGUCACUAACAUUCCUUCAUCCAAAACAGGUGAGAGCCCCAGCCAAUAGAUUAAAACUUCACUAUUGAUCCAAUCACUCGAAAAAGAGAAGAUCAACCGGUGCUUUAGGAUUCGUGCAUUCUAGAAAAAUGUGACUCCUAUCUUUUGGGACGCAUCCGUAAAGAGAGUCGCUUGACAUAUGCGAGAUUGUAUUAGCCAAAUCAUCUCCAAACCAACGCAAGAUUGUAUCUUUGUUCCAAGCUCCCCCUAAUCAAGUGAGCAUCUUUAAUUUUUUACCAAACUUAACACUCCACAUUAAUAAAAAGUACGCAUUCUAUUAAGAGGAGCAUUGAAGAGCCAAGGAGCACAAGAAGAAUCAAGGAGCUGUAAUAGCCAUCACCAAUAAGUUUCCUAGUGCCCAAAUUAUUCUUCUCCAUAUAACUCAUGAUGUGAUAGUCAUAAAAAAGACGAGAGAAAACGCUCUAUUCUCGUAUUAGUAACCUUUCCAAGAGUGAAAAAAUUUUAUAUCUAGAUCUCACAAGGAAAACCCAAUUAGGGGUAAGGGUGGUAAUCCAGCUCGCCGUUCGUGAGCCGAUUCAUAUUCGACUCGAAAUGAGUUCGAGAUCGAAUCGCUCGUUUAAUAAACGAGCCGAGCACGAGCUGAAAUUUUCAGCUCGUUUAAUAAACGAGCUGAAUACGAGCUGGGGUCAGCUCGUUCGUGUUCGGCUCGAUAACGACUCGAAUACAUAUAUUUUAUAUUUAUAUGUAUAAAUUAAUAAUUAUAUAUGCAUAUAUAUAAAUUUUUAUUAUUUGAUAUUUCGCCGAACCUAAAUAUAAAAUCCAACUCAAUUAUAAAAUAAUUUAUUUAUAUGUAAAAUUUUAAUCAUUAAAACAAAGUAUAACAUAUAAGAUCUUAUAAAUUUAUUUUAUAUAUAUAUUCUUUCUAUCCUUUUAAAAUCUUAUUCAUAAGCCAGCUCGUAUUCGGCUCGUUACUAAACGAGCCGAACAUGAGGAGCCAGGUCGUACAAGCCGAAAACACAAGCCAACCCCAACUCGCUCGUGUUCGGCUCGUUGACACCCCUAAUUAGGGGUGGCAAUCCUGUCAAAUUCUUGCGAACGAAAAAAAAUUUCUAUCGUCCCCGUCCUCACGGGGAUCUUCUUCCCCCGCGUGACUCCGCGAAUUUUUUUAAAUGCAAUAAAUUAAUUUUUAUAAAAUUUUAUAAAAUUUAAUUUUAUUCUAAUUCUAAUCACCUUACGUGUUAUUGAAUUAUUAAGUUUAUUUUUUUCUUUCAAUGUCAAAUUUUUAAGUGUGACUCAUCAAAUUACUAAAAUUGUAUAUCAAUAAAAUAUUAUUUAAGUUUAACUAGUAUAUUGUCUAAAAAACUAAAUAUGUUAAAAUAUUUAAUUAAAUUUAAAAUAUAUUAAAAAUAUUAAAAUUAGUUUUCUAUGUUUAUAAAUAAAUUAAUAAUAUAAUACAUUAUUGGACCGGGUGGUGAGUAAUAUCCCCGGCCCCGACCCGUCCUAUCCUAAUCUUAAUACAUAAAAAAAAGGGAAAACUUCAAAAACCCCCCUGUGGUUUCGUGCAUUCUCACUUUGCUACCCUGUGGUUUAAAACGUAUCAAUUUGCCCCCCUGUGGUUUCGUUUUUAUCUUUUUGUUAUCAAUUUUAUUAUUAUUAUUUUUUUAAAUCAGUGACAAAGUUAAAAUUAAAGGAUACUAAAAUGACUAUUCGAUAAAUAUAGAUGGUUAUCUGAAGUUUUUUGUAUAUAAUUUAACGAAAUAUUAACGAAAAAGCUUCCGAAAAGAUAAAAAUGAAACCACAGGGGGGGUAAAUUGAUACGUUUUAAACCACAGGGUAGCAAAAUGAGAAUGCACGAAACCACAGGGGGGUUUUUGAAGUUUUCCCUAAAAAAAAAAAAAAGGUGAAUGGAAAGGAACCAAUGGGGAUGUGUAGAAUCCUGUGGAAAGUAUUUCUAAGGGAUAAAUCAACCCAGGCAAAUAGAUGUUGAACUUAGUAAGUGUCAAUUUAUGGUUAGUGAGAUUCUCAAUAAUUUCCCAGCACGUUGUCAAUGGUCGAACAAUCAUUUCUAGUAGUUUUGGUAACAGCUAAAAGAUUAUUUGUGAUACUCCACUUCUCAAAAGAUCACUUAUCUUAUAAUCAUUUUAGUCUUUGGCUCGCUCAACGGCUCAACCCUCUUAAUCUGUUGGAUUUACCUACAAUUCAAAAUUUUAUAACUAAAUUAAGAGAUUUUGUACUACUUGUAGUAUCUCAGGUAUUUGGUUGCCCACGAGAUUUCAGCAUCUGAGAUUUGUCGACAUAUUUAUAGAGUGUCGGAACAAAGUCCGAGUCGUUUUGGCGCGAAAUAGACGCAAAACGGACUCAGUGUGACGCGAGAACAGAGUUUGAUAUUGAAGUCUGCAAAGUGCAGAUUUUAGUAUUGAGUACUGGUAUUAUACAGGGCAGUACCGGUACCCCAGUGUAUUUUUUUGAACUGUUGCUCUCGGGUUGCGAUAAUUGAUGCUGAGUACCAGUACAGCAUCGGACUAGUACCGGUACUCCUGAUAGGAUGUGGAGUUGGUGAAGGGUAUUGUAGACAUUUUUGUUGGUGGAUAAGAUUGCCACCUAACUUUCUCAUCCUUAUCAACUUAAUUAGCUGAGAAAAUUACACUUCUCAUUUUCUCUCUAAUUUGAUCGUGUGCAUGGUGGAGAGUGCUACUCUAGCUUGGGAGAUUUUUGACGUUGUUUCGGAUGGCCGUUUGAGUGUGCGUGCGUUGUAGUUACGUUGUUGGAGGCCGGGCGAGCGCGUGAUUUCCUCUCCUUUCGAUUUCUUGCCGUAGUUGGACGAGCUUUUUGAGGUGGGUUGAAGUUUACCAAAAUCGCCAGAAUACCUCCUAAGUGUUAUAGCGUCGACAUGUAUCGUUGCUUAUUUUUCUUGCUAGUACUCAAAUUCAUGGAUUAUGCUUAAAAUCUGAAUUUGGAGUUAAACUAGUAGUAUCACUUUACAUGUUGGACUUGGAAUUGACUUAGAAGAAAACUAUUAGAAUCUACACUGUCACUUUCUUAAAAUUACCAGAUUUAGCUUUAGAAACUAUGGUUCAUUUGUAUCAUCGCUAUUUGUAUGCGGUGGAUAUCUAGAAUAGUGUAGAAUGAAUUUACGCUCGUGAUGGGAUGCCGAGCUUAUUUUACAGUAGUGUGUUAACUGUUUUGGACUGUCGAGUGCCAUCGCGGUUGACGGUGGACCCAGUUUACUGUUUUUGCAUCGGAUUGUGCCAAGGGCACGUGAGUGUUAGUUGUAGGACCAGUUAGACCCAUUUACUUUGAUUAUAGCCUGUGAGAGCCUGAUUGAGCUCGGUAGAGAUACGCUUGCAUACUCGGUUGGGUAGCGCCCACGAGUGCCAUUCCGGAGUCGGGCUUUCUGCGUUUGCGUUGUUGUUAUUGUGUCCUGAUUGGACUCGCUCUCCACUGAUGACCCAGCGUGGUGGUGGUUAGUAUAGCUUUGGCAGGCGGGACGGAUGCGUUUAUCGUUCCUAGUGAGAUUGGGUCAGAGAUUGCAUUCUGUUUAUAUCUACAGAUAGUUAGUAUUGAUUGGCUAUAGUAUAGUGGCAUAUAGGUGUAGAGUUUUCCAGCUUCCUUUACUAUUCUUGAGCAUAUUUUCUGUAGACUUAGUAGGUGAGUUGUUGAGGUCGGUAGCGGUACCCACUGAGAAUUACUUCUUUUUACAGUAGUUCUCACACCGAGUUGUUGACUCCUUUUUGCAGAUCCUUCUUCUGUGGCUGCUGCUGUCGCUGAUACUGAUCGUGGAAAGGGAGUCGUGAGCUAGAUCCCUUCCAGUUUUAUUUCUGUUCUAGAGGAGUACCAACUACAGGUAGUUUUGAUUUUUGGUUCAUAUACAUACUGAUGUUGGAUACUCGCUGGAGCGAGUGAUGUUUGUAUCCUGGAGACUAUGUAUGUAUAGUGAACCUGAUGGUUAUUUAUAUUUGUUUACAGUUCUGUUAGUAGCUCUAUACUCCUAGCUGUAGUUUUGUAUGAUUACAGGUACAGUUACAGUUAUCGCUUUGUAUAUAGAGGAAAUUCUUUUGUAUACGACGGGUCUGUUGGCGUGUCCGAGAAAAUGUGGUAAUUUGGGGCGUGACACUACUAUAUCUUAUAUAUAAGAUAAUUACAAAUUAUGGGUGGUGUCAGUCAUCCACAUACAUGAGAUGCCAUAUCAUGAUAUUCCUAUAAAUUAAAAAUAAAAAAAAAUCAUGGAGUAUUUUUUAAAAUUUAACAAGUAGAUAGGAAUCUAGGUGGUCAAAGAAACAAGUCACAGAAAGAAGUUCACCUUGUUUGAUCCCACACCCGCGCAAAUCUAGAAUUGUUUUUAUUAAGAGCAAUGCUGCUAUGCACCAAAAAGAUCUCGGCCCUUAAAUUUUUUAAAAUAAAUGGUAGAGAUGUCAUUUAUUUAAGAGGGUGACUGACUUUUGUUGCCAUAGGUACCAGUCACCCUUCUACCAAAGGUAAAUUAUUUCCUCAUAUAUAAAAUUAGUAUGAAGGGCUUUUUUUGUAAAUUUCUAUUUUCAUUCCCAUAAUGCUCUUCUAGUAAUUUGGUAAGAUAUCCUAUUUUAUUCUUAAAAACUUUUCACCCACAGAUAUUUUUCUCGAAGUUAUUUUACCCUUUUUUUUCUUUGUUGAUAGAGAAAUCCAUGUCGGAUCUACAUUUAAAUCUAAAUUUAAAAUUUAAUUUUAAUCAAUAUUUUUAAACUUUAAUGUUGUUUUUACUAUCGAAUGAACAAUUUGAAUUUAAUUUUAAAAUAGAAGCCUUUAGUUUAAAUAAAUAAUAAAAAUUAUGUUUAUAAAUACACAAUUUAAAAUAAGUUAAUAUAUUUGAAAUUUCGUGUCGUUUUAAUAUCAAAUUUACAAUUUGAAUUGAAAUAUACUAUUCAUUUAAACAUAAAUUUUUCGUUCUAAAAAUUUAAAUUAAAAUUAAAUUUGAAUUUAAUGUACACAAUUAUAAAGUUUAAAUAAAGGUUUAUUACUUAUCAAAUUAGCACUUGAAUUUAAUUUAAAAAUAGAAGCCUUUAAUUUAAAUAAAUAAUAAAAGUUAUGUUUAUAAAUACAACAUAAUUUACAAUUUAAAAUAAGUUAAUAUUUGAAAUUUCGUGUCGUUUUAAUAUCAAAUUAACAAUUUGAAUUGAAAUAUACUAUUCAUUUAAACAUAAAUUUUUUUGUUUUACAAAUUAAAAUUAAAAUUAAAUUUGAAUUUAAUGUACACAAUUAUAAGGUUUAAAUAAAUGUUUAUUACUUAUCAAAUUAGCACUUUCUAAUUUGGUAAGUAACAAAAUUAAAUAAGGAAACAAAUAUUUGUAUAGGGUUAAUCAAAUUUGGUAAUUAGCUUGUAUUUGUUUUCCCAUAUUACCCUUACGAAUGGUAACCUGUUGAGCAGGUAACUAUUAUGCAAAAGUCAAUCUCGCCCCUCAAAUAUGAACAGCUAGAUUUAAUUUAGUCGGUGUAUUGAAGCAUUUCUCUUUUAUUAAUAGCCUUAAAAAAUAUUAUAAUUAUAAAAAUAGUUCUUUAAAAAAUUUAUUUACAAAACUAGGUCUAUAAAGUGAAUAAAUUAUCCAUUUUUAAAUACAGUAAGUCAUUCACCAUUUUUUUCAAAGGAUUAAAAUUAUUUUUAGCGUUUAAUAUUAUACAUCUUUUAAAGUUUGAAUGUAGAAAAUAUAUAAGCUAGGAUAAAAGCGGUAAAUCAUUCACCGUUUUUAGAAAGCGGCAAAUAAUUCAAUGAUUUUAUCAACCUGUUUUUACAAAUAAAUAAAAAUUUUGAAUGAUUAUUUUUAUAUUUAAAAAAUUUUGUAGGCUUAGUAGCACAAAAACUCCGCCAAUCUGUCUAGUUGGGUUACCAUUAGUAAAAUAAUAAUAAUAAUAAUAAUAAUUAAUGGGAGAAGAGAUGCGCAAUGAGAUUAGGGGUGGCAAUCUAGCUCGCUGUUCGCAAGCUAGCUCGUGUUCUGCUCGAAAUAAACUCGAGAUCGGCUCGCUCGUUUAGUAAACGAGCCGAACACGAGCUGAAUUUUUCAGCUCGUUAAAUAAACGAGCCGAACACGAGCUGGGGUCAGCUCGCUCGUGUUCGGCUCGAUAACAGCUCGAAUACAUAUAUUUUAUAUUUAUAUAAUUUAUUUAAUUUAUAUUUUUAUAUAUAAAUAAAUAAUUAUAUAUAAUAUAUAUUUUUAUUAUUUAAUUUUUAGCAAAAUAAAAAUAUAAAUGCGAGCUUAAUUAUAAAAAGACUCAUUUAUAUGUAAAGUUUCAACUAUUAGAUCAAAGUCUAAUGUAUAAAAUUUUAUAAAUUUAUUUUUUAUAUAUAUUUAAUCUAAUUCUUUUUAAUUUAUUGUUCGUUGGUCAGCUCGUGAGCCAGCUCGUGUUAGGCUCGUUAAUAAGCGAGCCGAACACGAGCUGAAUUUUUCUGCUCGAUAUCUUAACGAGCCAACUCGUGUUCGGCUCGAUUAAUAAACGAGCCGAACACGAGCACGAGCCGACCCCAGCUCGCUCGUGUUCGGCUCGUUUACAGCCCUAAAUGAGAUCCCAUCAAUUCAGAUGGAAGGAUAAUUCAUCAAGCAAAAAAUAGAUAAGAUAGCAUUUUAGAAAAUUAUGUCAUAAGCCUUCUCCAUAUCAUAUUUGAUAAAGAUAUAGGUAUCGAUAUAGGUAUCGCCUCUUUAUAUAUUCUUAAUUCUUAAUAGAAUGAAUGAUUUUAUGAGCCAAAAUGAUAUUGUCGCUAAUAUUUCUAUCAACAAUAAAAGUAUUCUAUUCAAAUACGAUUAGAUUAGAAAUAAAAUUUUUCAUUCUAUUUACCAGUAACUUUUCGGGGUUUAAUUUAUUAGGAAUUAGGGCGAUAAAGUUUGCGCCAAUUAGAAUAAAAUAAUUGAGAAAAUAAAAAGUUAUCAAAAAUUUUAAAUUAUUUGAUCCAUGUAAAUUUAAAGUUUCGUGAAGUUUAAUGUACCUUAUUAUUAAAUAUAAUUAAACAAAUCUAAAUUUAAAUCUUUCUCAUAUUUUAUAUACUCUAUAAAUUCUUUCAUAUUAAAUUAUUUUUUUAUAAUUUUUAACUCACCAUCUUGAUUAAAUUUAUAAUAAGAAUUUUAAAAUAUUAAUUAAUUUUUUGAAAAAUAAUUUUCAUUUAAUUAAAAUAAAAUGGCUGAAAGAGAUAAUAAAAGUUAUCGAAUUUUUUUAAAAUAUGUGAAACAUAUCACUUGUUAGAAGAAUGGUAAUUUUGUAAAUGACGUUUAAGCUUAAUAAAAUUUAUUUGAAACUUAUUAUGUACCUUAUUAAUAAAUUAGCUUUUUAUAUUAAAUAAGAAAACCUAAAUUUAAAUCUUUUCAUAUUCUCUAUUAAUCAAUAUGUUUGUGAAAAUCUAAACUCAGGUCUUUUCACAUUCUCUUUUAUUUUAUUACACUUAAAUAUCUCUGUGACCUUUCACAUACUCGAGUUGUAAAUAUUCUUCUUUUUUUUUCACAUUAUAUAAACCUCUUUCAACAUUUCACCCAUAAUACUCCACUCAUGACCCUUCUCUUGUGAUUCUCCAGGUCACAUCUAUUCGCCUCUAUAAACUCUAUUAUUAUAACUCAUUCCACUACAGCAAAGUUAAUUAGGGUGACUGAGUUUUAACAUGACAUAUAUUGUGUUCCUCAGUCACCUUACCAUUGAAUCAAAUUGGUUGGGUCUACACCUUUAUUUUAUUGGGCUUUUGGAUUGGUGAAGUUGCGAUUCGACUGUAAGUCAAGUUUGUUAAGAAUAAAAAUGUUAAUCUUGUCGUGAAGAUACUGAGAAGAUCCAACCUAUGACUAGAUGGUGAAUCUUCCUGGCAAUAUAUAUACCAACCAAACUGUAAUUACGUCAAUUCAAAUGUUCCCUCGGAUGAAAAUCGGCCUUUGCAAUCUGUAGCAUAUAUUCCUCAAUUGUUAUGCACAUGUCUUCAAAUUAAAAUUUUCUUGUAGCUCUCUGCAUUUUUUUUUUUUUUUUUUCGGCUUAUGUUGGUUCACUGAUUGUUAAUUAGAAUUAUGUAAUCGAUUACAUCAUCUUUUCUUUUUAGUACAGGUAAACCUUUAAUUUGCAAAUUAACUAGCUAGCAAACAUGACCAGCACCACAAAGCUCAGUGUGAAGCUCCUAGUCGACACCAAAGCCAACAAAGUGCUUUUUGCCGAAGCCGGAAAAGACGUGGUCGACUUCUUAUUCAGCCUCCUCGCGCUUCCUGUAGGGACCAUUAUAAAGCUCAUAACAAAGGAAUCCAUGGUCGGAAGCGUCGCAAACAUACGUCAGAGCUUAGAGAGCCUCGACAGUACCUACUUCCUCUCCGACCAAGCCAAGGUCGACCUCCUCAACCCGAAGAUAUCAGUCCCUUCUCUCUCAGAAAAUGGCGUACUCCUCUUGCCUACUUCUGCAUCGUCGUCAUUGAUGGGUAUGAAUAAAAGGUACUAUCGGUGUUCCUAUAAUUAUAACUCCUCUUCUUGCUCCAACUAUGUUACGCAUGUUCGCGGGGCUCAAUGCCCUUCGUGCGCCCAAAGGAUGACAACAGAGCUGCAAUGUGUUGAGCCCAACUCGAGCGGAGCGGUACAGGCCGUGGGUACUAGUAAAGGAGAAAAUGGUUUAGGAGUUGUGAAGGGGGUGGUUACGUACACCAUAAUGGACGAUCUCACCAUCAGACCCAUGUCAACUAUAUCAAGCAUCACUCUGCUUAAUACCUGUAAUGUCAAGGACUUGAGCGUGCUCCAGGAGAUGACCGUGAAUCUCGGCAUGGAAGAGGUUCCAUUCUCCUAUCUCUUUCUUUUUAUCUUUCCUUGUUUGUUUCUUUUGCUCUUCUAUCUCAAAUAUACAUAGGCAAGUGAUAAAUUGCACUACUAGAACCUGAACCUUUAUUAGCCAAGUUACAUUUUGUUCUCCAGCUUAAUUAUAAUUACCCUGGACAUUUUUGUUUCACUUCACUCCUCAUUUUAGAUGAAAAAUCAUUGCCUUGUACACCUGGUUCAAAUUCAUCCGUAUGUUGCGCGCGUGCACCACAGAUCCAUUGUUAAGAAUUAAUGUAAUGUGCGAGGGUAUUUCCGCCUAGUAGUUCAAGGUAGGUUGUAGCUAGGUUAAUUAGUUCAAGCCCUUUAAAAUGAUAUCAAAGCUUAGUUCACUACUUUCGUAUUUUUGGUUAGCCAAGUUGCUGCGUGUUAGUAGCAUGUAGCAUGCGCAUUGGGUUCGCCCCGCAUACUAAUCAAGAGAAGUUGAAAGUUGUGAAAAACAGCUUAAUUAUGAGAAUAAUAUAUGGCUCCAAUGUGAAACUACAAAACUGUGUAGUGUCUGGAUGAAAUAGAAUUAGCUAUAUAAUUCUUCGUAGUGUCACUUAGCUUGUAACAAGACCUGUUUAAUAGUUUUUCUAUGUUAGAGGGAUAGUCACAGAGAACCCAAAUAGGACCUAGUAGUCCCAUAUUAAAUAGAACAUGAAUUUUAGUCUGUAUUUAGUGGGUAAUAGUGUCUCCAUCGGUUAACUUAAGCUUUUGGAUUGGUUCAAGCCUGUUAACAUCUAUUAAGCCCUGCAUCUUAUAUUUUUAAUCUAACUGUGAGACAUGAGAUUAAGAGUCGAUAUAUAUACACAUGCAUGCACACGGUGCUAAACAUGCACAUGAGAUGCACCAGGUGUAGGCAAUAAUUGUUGGGUUAAUUGCCUCUUGGGCCCUCCAAUUUGUAUGACGUUUAACUGUAGUCCUCAACCUAAUACUUUUUACAAUCAGGAUUUACGUACUCACCCUAAUACUUUUUACAAUCAGGUAUAAGCAAUAUUAAUUAAUACUGUUUACUAUUAUAUAUUUCAAUUUUUUUCUUCAAUAGUAAAUAAAGAUACGGACCAAAAUGUAAUGCUGUCAAGAGUUAGGAGUGCUAAAUGGAGAACUUAAAAGUUGGAGGACCAAAGUGAAACUUGGCUAGUAAGUUUAGUGACUGAGUGGUGCAAUUAUUAAUUUACCCAACCAAUCCAUCUUCAACUGGGACGAGGCAAAGGUACGUGGAUGGAUUCGUUGAAGCUAACCCAAAUUCAGUCAACUGUGAGGUGCGAAUCUGAGUAGAUUAAAUGAACUCUAUUAAUAACAUUAUCAUCCCUUGAAAUUAAUUUGUUUUCUUGGAAUAGAUAAUUUUUGCAGUUUAAUUUUCUCGCAUUUAUCGAUCUUUAUAAAUAUAUAUAUAUCAACUUGCGCAAAUUAAUAAACCGUCUAUGUCGGCAUUUUCGUGCAAACUCUUGAAAAGCCUUGCUUAUUUGCACGGGCAUCUUAAUAUAGUAGGGACAUCUACGAGAAAGAGUUUGCAUUGUGACGUAUCCUAACAAGAGCAUGUGCUUAUAUUAGUAAGAUUUUCAAAAAUACGCAAAAAAUUAUCAAUUUUGCAGAUAUAUUUGCAGAAUUUUACAUAUUUUUAAGAUUAUGCGCGCAAAAGAAAUCCAUAUAUUUAUAUGUUUUAGACACAUGGACAGGGUUUGCAGCUGCUGAAGGCAUCUCUGCAGCCUAAGACUGUUCUCACUGACGUUUUCCUCGCGAAGAAGGCUGCAUGAUCGAGCGAGAGAGUCGAUCGAAUGGCGGCUUGGUUGAAUGUUAGGUUCUUUUUUUGGUGGUUAAUAAUGCAGGCUCUUGCGCCAGCUUCUUUUGUGUCAAUUGGACAUGCUCAUGCAUGAUAUAUAUUAUAUAUAUGUGUGUUUGUUUUGUGACUACUUUAACUACACUUAGGGGCACUAUAAAUAUAAUAUAAUUAGAUAUGUGUGUAGUUGGAAUACUGUUGCUAUGUUUGCAUUUUACUUAUUUAGAGUGCUGAGACUAUAAAUAUUGUGUUUAAUUAAUUGUGCCUGCUGUUGGUAAGAUGCGUUUUAAGAUCAUUUUAAUAUGCAUAAACUUGAAUUAGCUCUCAUGUGGUGUCAAUGUAUCUUUAUUGUCUCGUACAUAGGUCAAAAAGUUUAACUUUACUACUUUGUGGUUUUGUUUAUAAAUUAGAGCCAAUCAUUAAAUAGGAUUAGUGGUUCAUUUUAGAAAUCACUUUACUACUUUGUGGCUUUGUUUAUAAAUUAAAACCAAUCAUUAAAUAGGAUUAGUGGUUCAUUUUAGAAAUCACAGGGUUGCCAAGUACAAAUUGUUAAUCAGUCCUAUAGUUUGUAACAUGUAUUACUUUACUUUCCUGUGAUUUCUGGUUGCCCUUACUUAAUGACCAAUUCUUGCAGUGAUAUAAAGAGAAAAUUAUGGAUAGUAAUGUGCAACUUUUUUAAAUCGUAAGGUCUAGGUCGAGAUGUGCGCACUUCAUUUUGAAAAAUAGUGUUGUAAUUUUGGAAACUGAAUGAAUGCUGUGAACUUAAUUAUGUUUCAUUCGAGUUGAAUGUUCAAGCUAGUAGCUGUGCUCUUAUAUAUAUGUAUACAUAUCAUGUAUGUAUGUAUGUAUCGGUUCUUGUAUGUUACCACUUCGUUCGGGUGGAGGAGGUCUUACCCGUUAGGUGGGUUUGUGCGCGUGCCCGAGCAGACCCAAAUUGGGUGGUCUCGGGGCAUGACAGUACUUUUAACGACAAAUAUAGGAUGAGAUAAAAUAAAACUUGAAUUUAAAAACAACUUUAGUUCAACUUUGAAAUUUCAACUUAAGUUUCAAAUUGUUUGGACAAUUUCACAAUGUAAAUUUGAAUCCCAAUUUAAAUAGUAAACUAAAAUUUAAAUUAUUAUUAUUCUUUGAGAGAUAGGUAGCACGCCAUCCGCUUCGUUUAUUUCAUUUAGAAAUAAACUUAGUUAGAAAUGCGAAUCAAUUAGGAUUCGAACUUGAGAUCUCGGAUACCAACCAUCAAGUCCUUUGCCACUGGCUCAAGAGACGGUCGGUAAAAAUUAUAAAGUUGCACUUUUUUCACUUAAAAUUCAAAUUAUAAACUUGCACUUUUUUCACUUAAAAUUCAAAUUAUAAACUUGCACUUUUUUCACUCUAUCACUAUCAAAGAUUCUUCAUUUCUCUUGGAGGCGCUCUCAUCUUUUUCAGUUACAAAGGACACCAAAAGCCAAAACUUGCUCACCAAGUAAAGAGAUUCUGUUGCUCUACUACCUAGCUUUUGUUGGGUAAUUGACUUGAUGAGGACCCACUGAGUCAAGGAGAACAAGAUGCGCUCGGUUGUACUAUUUAUUUAUUCUUUUGGUUAAUUUCAUACAUGUUUCUAUGAACAUAUUAAAUAACAAAUUUAUUUUUAUUAAGUUCAACUUUUUAUAUUUAUUAUUAUUAUAAAAAUUUAGUGAUAUUUAUAUUUGUUCCUAUAGUUUAUUACUAUUAGAGCACUGUUUAUUUUUUAAUAGAAGAUAAGUGAAAUAACAGUUUUGCCAUCACAAAUAUGUCUUUUCAAAAAUCCUAACUAUUAGAAUUAUGCAGAAAUAUUCUUCCAAAAAUCUUCAUUUGUCAUCUUUUUUUCUUUUUAUCAUGACAAAUAAUAUAAAAAUAAAAAAAGAUAAUUUACCUUAUUUACUAAUCAGAAUUAAAUAUUUUAUUUAUGGUUAACUAUAUUUUUCUAACGCAUUCUAAAAGCAGAUGUAUAUUUGAAAACGUUAGGACUUUUGUAGAAAUAAAUAUAAAAGGUUAAAUUUUAUAGAAAUAUAUUUACUACUUGAUAUAUUUAUAGAAAAAUGUAUGCAAUUAAUUCUUAUUUUUUAAUUUUUCUGCUUUUGGUUGUACUAUUACUUUUAUUUUUUUUUUCCCUGCCACUAAAAUGCCUGCCAGUAGAGUUGUGAGUUGGGUGUGGCUUUUGAUCUCUGUUAGUUAAUUCGAUCGUGAAUUUUUCAAUAACCGAAUUAAACGCCCGUAUCAGUAUUUUUCAGAAAAAUUCGAAAAAAAUCGUGUUUUUUUUAUCAAAAAUAAUUAUCCGCGAAUUAUUCGCGAUUCGCGAACGAUUCGCCUCAAAAAAACGACGGUGGCUGGACUCGCGGGUAGCGCCGUUGCCGCUCUCGUCGCCAACUCGUCCGUGUCGUCUUCGUCAUCCUCCUCCUCUGCCGCUCUCGUCGCUGAACUCGCGAGUGUUUGAAUCUAUAUAAAAUCCCUCCGAAAAAAAAAUUUUGGUUGAAAAAUUCUUUUCCCAUGUUUGGUAGUUCGAAAAGGGUUUUUUUUGGAGAACAAAAGGGAGUUAGGCGAAGGAAGACGAAGAGAAAAGGCACUUAGGGGCAGUGAUGCACGGUCCACGAGGCCACUGCCUCGUGGACCGUUCCUUUUCAGCAUUUGCCGCCUCGUGGACCGCUCCCUCACAUUAUAUAUAUAUAUAUAUAUAUAUAUAUAGUAGGGCUAGAAUACUUGUAAAAGUAUCAUGGGGGCGAUACUUGUGUGUUUUUAGCCCUUGGAUGGAGAGAUGUGAGGUUGAGAUGAUGGUGGUAGGUGGUGGUAGGUGGAAUAGUGUUUAAUCCAAGGGCUAUUAAUAAUCAAAAAAUAGAUCUAAUGGCUUAAAACCUAACAGCACCAUGAUGGUGAUACUUGUAAAAGUAUCAUAGCUCAACUCUCUAUAUAUAUAAUAAUAGUAUAAAUUUUGAACCGUUAAACGAGAAAACCCCUCAUAUCAACCAUUAAAAUUACUAAUUUUGAAACUCUUUGAUCAUUAGGUAAAUGAUGUCAAAAAGAUUUGAAAUUUGAUUUCUAGAUACUUCAAGUGAUAUAGAUCAUGUUCAAUGAUGCCGAUUGUCAAUUUGAAAGCUCCAUCAUCGAAAACAAAUCGGUGGCAACGGAGCCCGUUUGCUACCAAUAGCAAUCCAGCUCAACUCAUAUAGAGUUGAGCUGGAAUACUAUCGGUAGCAAACGGACUCCGUUUCCACCCAUUUGUUUUCGAUGAUGGAGCCUCCAAAUCGACGAUCGGCACCGUUGAAAAUGAUCUAUACCACUUGAAGUAUCUAGAAAUCAAAUUUCAUAUUUUUCCGAUAUUAUUUUCUUGUCCAUCAAGUGGGCGUAAAAAUGAAUGGCUGAAAAUGAACAUCCUCUAAAAAGUGAUGAUAGAAAUUUUGUAAUCAUGAUCGAGAGUUUAGAUUUUGUUCUAAAUAGUUUAAAGAAUUUUCUAACCAAAAUUCAAUUGAUUUGGAUAGCUUUACACCGUUAAACGAGAAAACCCCUCAUAUCAACCAUUAAAAUUACUAAUUUUGAAACCCUUUGAUCAUUAGGUAAAUGAUGUCGAAAAGAUUUGAAAUUUGAUUUCUAGAUACUUCAAGUGAUAUAGAUCAUGUUCAACGGUGCCGAUUGUCAAUUUGAAAGCUCCAUCAUCGAAAAUAAAUCGGUGGCAACGGAGCUCGUUUGCUACCAGUAGCAAUCCAGCUCAUCUCUCUCUCUCUCUCUCUCUCUCUCUCUCUCUCUCUCUAUAUAUAUAUAUAUAAUUUUAUUUAUAAAUAUAUAUUUAUUUAUUAUAUAUAGUAUAUUAUUUUUCUAUAGAAAUAUUAUUAUAAAAUAUUUUAUUUAUAAGGAUAAUAUAGUUUGUUAUUUUUUUUACAUAAUUAGUUUAAUUUUGUAUUUCUUUAUUCUUAUAUUCUUAAAAAAUAUGAGUAUUUAUAAUAAUAGUAUAAAUUUUGAAAGAAAAAAUUUAAUUUUAUAGUCGAAUUUUUAAUUCCGAAUUUUUGAUUGGUGAACAUAUAAUAUCCAUAUAAAUCACGUAUCCGAAUAAUUAACGAAUCCGUUUUUUAGCCGUAUUUUUAACGAAUUUAAACAUUAGAAGACGAAUUUUAACUGAAUUACACCCGUACCGAAUUUUUGCCGAAUCUAAAUUAACUAACUAUGCUUUUGAUGUGCGAACUAGGUCGGGUCGGAUCCGCUUACUUUAACAUGCAUUGAUUCUACAGGGGCAUGGUUUUAAAUUUCCAUCCACACUUGCAUCUUUGCGGAACGCGAUAUUACGUGAAUCCCGUAAAUAUGGGGACACUAAAAAAAUUUUAAAUUUGCCACGUGAUAAAAAAUAUUAAAAAAAAUAUAAACUCAAAUCUUUUUAUAUUCUAUAUUAGUAUAUUAUAUAUACUUAAAUCUCUGGGCUUAUUGGUGUGGACGGCUGUGAUCAUUCCUCCGGCCGGUUCUUACCGGCUACUGUCGGUGUUUUGCAGGCGGUACCGGUCAUCCUGUAAACGCAUGAAAGGGUAUUUUGGUCCUUCGCCGUCGUGGGAGGCUUGGAGCUUGGAAAGGCUUAAUUACUCCCCAGUCCCCCACAAUAGUAUUAUUUGCAUCGCCCAAUAAGCCGGUAACCAUGUCAUGUCCUGCACAAAUUUCUUCAGUGUGCUUUAUUUUGUUUCAUAUUCUCAGAGCCCGUUUGUCCGACCUAAAUUCUCAAAAAAUAAAUUUUAAAGAAUUAAUUUUAUUUUAAAAAUUUAACUUUAGAUAAAAAUUACAGAACAUUUAGCUGAAUUUAGAUGUAGAGCGAUUAAAGCAAAGAUUAAAGCAGAGAUUGAGACACAUGAUUGAAAGGGAACAGGGCACCAAUCUAGUGCACCUCAGAAAAGAUAAAUAAUUUCAAAAUUUUGAUAGUAUUUAAUUUUGCAUAAUAAUUUUCUGAAUAUCUUGUCACUAAAUUAUAAUUUGAUCAAUAAUUUUUUUAGUAUCACCAGUGUCUUUAUAAAUAUCAAAAAAUUUUUCAAAUGUUCCUAAUAGUAAAACUUUAUUUAAAUUGGAUGAAUUGUUUCUAAAAGUUUACUUUUACCUCUGGAUGAGCCAAAAACUAAUUAGUAAACUUAUUAUCAGAUGAGUAAUUUCCAUAAAUUUAGUAUGUUUUUCUAAAAAAUUUAAGAAAAUACAGAUGAUAGAUCAUACACUUUAUAAGGAAUAAAAAAAUUAUGCUACAAGUCAUAAAAUAAAAGAGAAAAAUCAAAUAAAAAUAUUAAAAAAUUAUUAUGUGUUAAUAUUUUGCCCUUUAAGAAAUUGUUAAUGGAAAAUUUGUUAUUUCAUCAAUUUAAUUUAACCUUUAUUGAACUAAAGAAGAGGCAUUUUGGAUAAAUUUUUGUAUUUAGGGAGGUAUACGUGUUAUUGAAGAUUUUGAAAGGGUACUUAUAAAAUUUCAAAAGUUUGAAGGAUAGCUUUGAAAAUGCCCCCAAUUUUACAAAGCCAGUGACCUGAUUACGGGCUACAGUUUGCAAUGUCAACUUUAUCCUUUUCGAAUUAAUGGAUGGAUUUGCUUAGGAGGGAAGCAAAUCUUUAAUAUCUUUUUCACAUUAUAUAAACCUCUUUCAAAACUUCUCUCAUGCAUAAUACUCCACUCAUGAUCCUUCCCCUGCUCGACCUUUGACAACCUCCUCCACCCUUCCCUUUAGAAAAUCUCCAGGUCAGAUCUAUUCGCCUCAGUAAAGCCUAAUAUAAUAUUAUUAUAGCUCAUUCCUCAGUCACUCUGAGUGAUUUAUCUUAGGAGGCUUUUGGAUAGAUGAAGUUACGAUUUGUUUUCUAAAUCAAGUUUAUUAACAACAAAUAUAUUAGUCUUGUCAUCUAUCGUAGACGGCAAGCCAGUUAGUACUUCAGACUUAAAUUCUCAAAGAAAGAAAAAAAAAAAGAAAUCGUUUGAAAUCGUUCGAACUCAUCUUUUCAAUAUCCCUGGCGAAAUGCUAAUUGAUGGCAAAAAUCAAUCCAAAUGCCCCCUCAGAUGAAUUUCAGCCUCUGCGGUCUGUACUAUAUAUUCCUCAAUUGUUAUGCAUACGUCUUCAAAUUAAAAUUUCCUCGCGGCUCUCAGCUGCUUUCCUCCGGUUUGUUAUUGUUUUUUGGGGCUUAUGUUGGUUCUCUAGCUGAUUGUUAAUUAGAAUUAUGUAAUCGACUACAUCAUCAUUUCUUUUUACAGGUAGGUAAACCUUUAAUUUGCAAAUUAACUAGCUAGCAAACAUGACCAGCACCACAAAGCUCAGCGUGAAGCUCCUAGUCGACACCAAAGCCAACAAAGUGCUUUUUGCCGAAGCCGGAAAAGACGUGGUCGACUUCUUAUUCAGCCUCCUCGUGCUUCCGGUAGGGACCAUUAUAAAGCUCAUAACAAAGGAAUCCAUGGUCGGAAGCGUCGCAAACAUACGUCAAAGCUUAGAGAGCCUCGACAGUACCUACUUGCUCUCCGGCCGAGCCAAGGUCGACCUCCUCAACCCGAAGGUGUCGGUCCCUUCGCUCUCAGAAAAUGGCACACUCCUCUUGCCUACUUGUGCAUCGUCGUCAUCGAUGGGUAUGAAUAAAAGGUACUAUCGGUGUUCCUGUAAUUAUAACUCCUCUUGCCACAACUAUGUUACGGAUGUUAGUGGGACUAGAUGCCCUGGAUGCAAUAAUAACAUGACAAAACAGCUGCAAUAUGUUGAGCCCAACUCGAGCGGAACGGUACAGGCCGUGGAUACUGCAAAUGGUUUAGGAGUUGUGAAGGGGGUGCUUACGUACACCAUAAUGGAUGAUCUCACCAUCAGACCCAUGUCAACUAUAUCAAGCAUCACUCUGCUUAAUACCUGUCAUGUCAAGGACUUGAGCGUGCUCCAGGAGAUGACCGUGAAGCUCGGCAUCGAAGAGGUUCCAUUCUCCUAUAUACCUCUUUCUUUUCAUCUUUCCUUCUUUGUUUUUUGGCUCUUCUAUCUCAAAUAUAAGCAAGUGAUAAAUUGCAGUACUAGAACCUGAACCUUUAUUAGCCAAGUUACAUUUUGUUCUCUAGCUUAAUUAUAAUUACGCUUGACAUUCUUGUUUCACUUCACUCCUCAUUUUAGACGAAAAAUCACUACCUUAUACACCUGGUUCAAAUUCAUCCGUAUGUUGUGCGCGUGCACCACAGAUCCAUUGUUAAGAAUUAAUGUAAUGUGCGAGGGUUCUUCCACCUAGUGGUUCAAAGUACGUUGUAGCUAGGUUAAUUAGUUCGGGCCCUUUAAAAUGAUAUGAAAGCUUAGUUCACGACUUUCGUAUUUUUGGUUAGUCAAGUUGCUGCCUGUUAGUAGCGCGUAGCAUGCGCGUUGGGUUCGCCUCGCAUACUAAUCAAGAGAGAAGUUGAAAGUUGUAAAGAACAGCGUAAUUAUGAGAAUAUAUAAUAUAUGGUUCUAAUGUGAAACUAUACAAAACUGUGUAGUGUUUGGAUGAAAUAGAAUUAGAUAUAUAAUUCUUGGUAGUGUACAUGUCACUCAGCUUGUAAUUAACAAGAUCUGUUUAAUAGUUUUUCUAUGUUAGAGGGAUAGUCCACAGAGAACCCGAAUAGGACCUAGUAGUCCCCUUAUUAAAUAGAACAUGAAUUUUCGACUGUAUUUAGUGGAUAAUAAUGUCUCCAUCUGUUAACUUAAGCUUUUGGAUUGGUUCAAGUCAGUUAACAUCUAUUAAGCCCUACAUCUUAUUCUUUUAAUCUAACUGUGAGACAUGAAUUUAAGAGUCGAUAUAUAAAUACAUAUAUGCACGAUUCUAAACAUGCACAUGAGAUGCACCAGAUGUAGGCAAUAAUUAAUUGUUGGGUUAAUUUUCCCUCGGGCUCUCCAAUUUGCAUGACAUUUAACUUUAGUCCUCAACCUAAUACUCUUUACAAUCAGGUAUAGGCAAUAAUAGUACUGUUUUUCAUUAUAUAUUUCAAUUUCUUUCUUUGAAUAAAGAUACGGACCAAAAUGUAAUGCUGUAAAGAGUUAGGAGUGCUAAAUGAAGAACAUAAAAGUUGGAGGACCAAAGUGAAACUUGGCUAGUAAGUUUAGUGACUGAGUGGUGUAAUUAUUAAUUUACCCAACAAAUCCAUGCAUCUUCAACUGGGGCUAGGCAAAGGCCAAAGGUGGAUGGAUUCGUUGAAGCUAACCCAAAUUCAGUCUACUGUGAAGAGCGAAUCUGAGUAGAUUAAAUGAAAUCUAUUAACAACAUCAUCAUCCCUUGAAAUUAAUUUGUUUUCUACCACCAGAUAAUUUAAGCAGUUUAAUUUUCUCGCAUUUAUCUCUCUCUCUCUCUCUCUCUCUCUCUCUCUCUCUCUCUCUCUCUCUCUAUAUAGAGAGAGAGAGAGAGAGAGUUGUGCUGGUAUGCUUAUGGAAGCACGGAGGCCUCCGUGAUUCCAAGUCGUUUUCGAUAUUCGGACUUUCGAAUCGACGAUCGGCUCUGUUAGAGUUGAUCUAGAGUAUUUGAAGUACCUAGAAAAUAAAUUUUGCGAUUUUUCGAUAUCAUUUGCCUAGUGAUCGAAGGGGCUCAAAAUCAAUAAUUUUAACGGCCGUGGUGAACCGGUUGCAAGUUUAACAAUAUAGAAAUAUCCAAAUCACAUAAAAUUUUGAUAGAAAAUUCUUUAUACCAUAUAAANGAUAUUUUUUAUAAAAGGAUAAAAUAAAAUUUUAUAGAAAAAAUCUAUAAUAGAUAAAUUAAAGUUUUAUAUAAAAGAAAAAUUCUAUUGCCUAAAAUAAAAAGAUAAAUUAAAUUUUUUAAAUAAAGGAUUGCCUAAAAUAAAAAGAUAAAUUAAAGUUUUCAUUAAAAACGUAAUCUCUAAUAACAAUUAAUAAAUAGUAAAUUUCGUAUAGAAAGAAUUAAUUAUCGCACUAAAUAAUAAAAUUUAAAAAAUCUAUGUAUAAACCGUUAGUAUAUUUUAUACCGGAUUUUAAUUUUUUAUUAAAUUUUUUUAAUAUUGAAGAAGAUUAUUAAUAAUGCACGUAAACGUGCAUGUAAAAUGAUAUAUAUAUAUAUAUCAGGUUGAUAUCACGAACAUUUUCGUGGUUCGUGAACCACGAACAUUCAAAAAAUGACAAUCUAGAUGAAGAGCCUAGUAAAAGUUGAUAAUCUAAUAUGAUAAGUUGGUUAAUGGGUGAGUUGGGAUCCUCAGGGUAUAGUAGGAUUGGUGUAUAGAGAAUUAGGUUACCGAUUUUUAGAUGUUCGUGGUUAUUGAAUCAUGAAAAUUUUCGUAUAAUUUUCACACUCGUAAUCUGUUAUAGAAAACUUACUUUUAAAAUUAAAUAAGAAAAUUUAUUUUUUAGGAUUUUCACAUCAGUAAUCUGUUAUAGAGAAUUUUUGCGAUUUCUAUUUCUAUUUUUAUUCUUAUGUUUAAAAUUUUUUGUACGGAAAGAAAAAAAUGGACGCUAAUUUUUUCGCCGAAAAAUGAGUCUGUCGACAGACCCAAAUUUAAAUAUACGUGCUUUUAUAUAUAGUAUAGAUAUAUAUAUAUAUAUAUAUAUGAACUUGCGCAAAUUAAUAAACCGUCUAUGUCGGUAUUUUCAUGCAAACUCUUGAAAAGACUUGUUUAUUUGCAUGGGUAUCUUAAUGUAGUAGGGACAUCUACGAGAAAGAAUUUGCGUUGCGACAUACCCUAACAAGAGCAUGUGCCUAUAUUAGUAAGAUUUUCAAAAAUACGCAUAAAAGUAUCGAUUUUGUAGAUAUAUUUGCAGAAUUUUACAUAUUUUUAAGAUUAUGCGUGCAAAAGAUACCCGUAUAUUUAUAUGUUUUAAAAACAUGGGCAGGGUUUGCGGCUACUGAAGGCAUCUCUGCAGUCUAAGACUGUUCUCACUGACGUUUUCCUCGCGAAGAGGGGCUGCACGAGUGAGAGGGUCGAUCUAGAAUGGCCUGAUUAUUGAUUGUUAGGUUCUUUUUUGGUGGUUAAUAAUGCAGGGUUUUGCUCCGGCUUCUUUUGUGUCCAUAGACAUGCUCACUAUAUAUAUAUAUAUAUAGAGUGAGGCUACUAUGCUAUUAAUAGAUGUUAUUAACUAUGUUUUUAUAUAGAUUUACAAGUUUCAUGUUUUAUUAAUAUACUUCAUGUCAUAAAAAAAAUAGAGAUAGACAUUACAUUAUAGAUAUGAUAGAUCGUGCAUAAAGUUUAAAGCUAUACAGUCGUAUGGGAAAAAUCCACCUUUUUUUUUAACUAAGGAGAAAGGAAUGCAUUUUAUUUAUUGUAUUAUUUUGUUUGAAAAUUAAAUAGAAAUGGAGAUUUUAUUUUUUAUAUAUAUGAAUAAGUUUAAAACGGUUGACUUUCUAUAGAUUAGAUAAAAAAUUAAGUUUUAAACAAAUUAAAGAAAAAUAGAGAUUUUAUCUUUAUUUAAGUACGAAUAGGUUUAAAAACGGUCUUAUAGUUAUACAAGAUAGGUAGAUAAAAUGUAAUUUUAAAUUUAAACUCAAAUUUAGCAUUUAAUUUAAAUUAAAAACUAAAACCUAUAGUUUAGAUAGUUAGAUAAAAUAUAAUUUUAAAUUUUAACUAUAACAUCUAUAAAUUAUUAUAUUUUAUUUAUUUAAAAAAUUUUAUAAAAUAAAAUUUAAAAACUUAUUUAUACUAAAUAUUUAAAAAUAACUAAAUUUUAUUUAAUUUUAUUAAAAAUGCACGUAAACGUGCAUGCGAGUUGAUCAUACAUAUAUAUAUGUAUAUAUAUAUCUAUCUAUCUCACGCCGAUCCUACGAAUACCUUCGUGCCUCCCGAAGCACGAAGGUGAAACAAAAGCUAUAAGCCUGAAAGCUUAGCUGCUAGCAGAGACAAUCUGAACUAGAUCUCAUAAACUUCAUAGAUCUUUUAUUUAAAACACUAAAAAGCUAUAGUAAACGGAUCACUUGCUUCCCCGAGUUUUAGUUGCCGACUUUUAUUUUUAGAAUGUUUUAUAUUAUUAUACUGUAAUUUAAAAUUUAGUUUCAUAACGAGAACAAAAUAUAUUACAUUUCUUAAAAGAUAGUUUUAAAGUGCACUAAACCUAUAAAGAUGUGGCAAUUUGAACGUUUGCCGAGUGAUGCCGGUAACUUUAAACAACUAAAACUCGUGUAAGCUAGUUAUCCGUUUACUAUAGCUUUUUAGUAUUUUAAAUAAAAGAUCCAUGAGGUUUAUGAGAUCUAGUUUAAAUUACCUCGGCUAGCUGCUAAGCUUUCAGCGUUGUAGCUUUUGCUCGACCUUCGUGCCUUCCGAGACACGAAGGCNUUGUGAUAUUAUACACGUCAAAAGUUCAAGUGACUUGUUUAAGAAAAGUCUUUUUUACCACUAUAUAUAUAUAUAUAUAUAUAUAUAUAUAUAUAUAUAUAUAUAUAUAUAUAUAUAUAUAUGUGUGUGUGUGUGUGUGUGUGUGUGUGUUUUAUGACUAUUUAAUUUAACUCCACUUAGGAGUAGUAUAAAUAUAAUAUAAUUGAAUAUGUGUGUAGUUGGAAUGCUGUUGGUGUGUUUGCAUUACUUGCUUAGAAUGCUGCAACUACAAAUAUUGUGUUUAAUUGCUUGCAGUUGGUAAGAUGCAUUUUAAGAUCAUUUUAGUUUGCAUAUAUUUGAAUUUGCUCUCGUGUGGUUUCAACGUAUCUUUAUUGUUUCACACGUAGGUCAGAAAGUAACUUAACUACUUUGUAGCUUUGUUUGUGUUUCACAAUUAGAACCGAUCAUUAAAUAGGAUUAGUGGUUCAUUUUAGAAAUCACAGGGUUGCCAAGUACAAAUUAUUAAUCAGUCCUAUAGUUUGUAACAUGUAUUACUUUACUGCCCUAUGAUUUCUGGUUGCCCUUACUUAAUGACCAAUUCUUGCAGUGAUAUAAAGAGAAAAUUAUGGAUAGUAAUGUGAAACAUUUUAAAUUGUAAGGUAGUAAUGUAAAUAGUUGCUAAAGUAUAGGGGGCUAAUUGAAGUUUUUCUUAUUAUUUUAUGGGGAUGCAUAUGAUUGGCCUAUAAACUACCCAAUCCAUAUGUUCAUAUAAACUUUUUAAAACAAAAGCUUACAUAGACCUAAUACAAAUUUUUUCCUACAACCCUAAAACCCUACAAACUUUUCUUCUCUUUCUCUUUGUUCUUCUUCCUUUAAUUGUUCCUAUUUCUAUCUUCCUACGGCAUCCUAAUCACUGUUAUCGCCAUUCUCCCUCACUCUCUCGACUUACACCACAUUUUAGGCCCUGUUUGGAUGCAUAAUUAAAAAACUCCAUUGAAUUUUUAUUCUAUGAUUUUGGUCUAAAUGAAAUACGGAAUUCUGUAACUACAAAAAAAUUCCACAGCUUCAUUUUUAAACUGUUUGGAUAUAAAUCAUACAAUUUCACAGUAUUUAUAACAAUUAAAUUUCUAAAAUUUUAAAAUUCAAAAUUCAAAAUUUAAAAAUAAAAUUUUAAAAAUUAAAAUUCAAAAUUCAAAAUAAAAAUAAAAAUAAAAAUUUAAAAUUUAAAAUUUAAAAAUUAAAUUAGAUUUUAUGUUUUAAAUUUGAAAUUUGAAAUUUGGAAUUUGAAAUUUAAAAUUUGAAAUUUGAAACUUUAAAUUUUAAAAUUUAAAGUAUACCAUUUAAACUUUAAAAUUUGAAAUUUAAAAAAUCUAUAAUUAAAAUUUUAAAUUUUAAAUUUAAUAAUUUAUAAAUUUACAUAUUUAUAAAUUUAAAAUUUAAAAUUUAAGUUUAAAUUUAAAUUUUGAAAAUUGAAAAUUAAAAAUUAAAAAUUAAAUUAAAAUUUGAAAUUUGAAAUUUGAAAUUUGAACUUUUUGAAAUUUGAACUUUUUGAAAUUUGAAAUUUGAAAUUUGAACUUUUUUAAAUUUGAACUUUUGAAAUUUGAAAUUUGAAAGUUGAAAUUUGAAAUAUUUGAAAUUUGAAAUUUGAAAGUUGAAAUUUGAAAGUUGAAAUUUGAAAUUUGAAAUUUGAAAUUUGAAAUUUGAAAGUUGAAAUUUGAAAUUUGAAAUUUGAACUUUUUGAAAUUUAAAAUUUGAAAUUUGAAAUUUGAAAGUUGAAAUUUGAAAUUUGAAAUUUGAAAUUUGAUAUUUGAACUUUUUGAAAUUUGAAAUUUUGAAAUUUGAAAUUUUGAAAUUUAAAAUUUGAAAUUUAAAAUCAAAAUUAAAAUUGAAUUUUAAAAUUUAAAUUUUGAAAUUUAAAAUUUUAUGUUAAAAUUUAAAAUUUAGAAAUUGAUACAUCUUUGAGAGCCAAAAUGGUGAAAUUUUUUUCCUUUAGUUAAAGUGGAUUGUAAGUUACUCCAUUUUUUGGAGUAUAGUAUAACUAUACUCUAAAAAUUACGUUAUUUUUUUUUCUUCCAAACGCUUCAUAGAAUUAUUUUCCUACCGGCGUAGCAUAGUUUAACUAUACUACGUUUUUAGAGGUAUUCAAAUGGGGCCUUAACGGUUGUUGCCACCGUUCGCGUCACUACCAUCACUACUGCAUCUGCUGUAGUUGUGAACUCUUCUCUUCUUCCUUUCAUUUACAUGUGUCAUACCGUCAUUACAGUGUAAUUAAGUCUAUGAGAAAACUGUAAAAACUGAGUUAUAACUUCAUAAAUAUUUUUUGAAAAUGAGCUUCUUAACUGACCGUCCCUAGCGCAAAUGGCAAAGGGCUUGAUGGUUGGCACCCGAGAUCCUAAGUUUGAAUCCUAGUUGAUUCAUAUUUCCAGCUAAGUUUAUUUUUAAAAAAGAUAAACGAAGCGGGUAGCAUACUACGUAUCUCUCUCAAAAAAGAAAACGAGCUCCUUUACACCAGAUCUACCAUGGAACCCUCAACUUUAUUUUUUUUAAAAAAUUCCGACAAACUUUUUUUUUUGUUUGAAUUCUUCUAGUUUAAUUAAGUUAAUGUUUUAAUUGAUUUAAUGAAUCAAUACCUAUUACUGUUUGGUUAAUUGAUUAAUCUAAUUUAAUUCGCUAUAAAAUAAUUAAAACCAUUCAAUUUGAUGGAAUUAUCAAUGAAUACAACCUCCAAUUUACUACAAAAUUAAAGUUCAGGGCUUGCUAAUUGAAAAGCAGGGAAAAUUGAGGGGCUUAUUUAAGAAUGGGCUACAGCAGUUGGCGGGGUCUCUGUUUUGAUUUUUGGAAUUUAAUGGGUGUUGUCAAUUGAAAAAAAGGAGAGAAUUCUAAUUCACAGUAACUUCACUAAACUUUAAUUGCUUAUAAUUAUUUUUUAGCAAUUAAAAUUAUGCAAAUUACCAGUUAAUAAUUAAUAAAAUUUUUAAUACAACAAUAUAAUAUAAGAUUAAAUAAAAAAAAUUAAAAGUUGAAAGAGUUUUAAUAAAAAAGAAAGUUGAGGUCUAUUUCAAUAUGCCAAAUAGUGCUUCAGGAGCGGUCUUAGGUGUGUUUUGAUGCAAGAGAAUAUAGUUAUAGCUUAUAUCUCUUGGUCUUAGGUGUGUUUUGAUGCAAGAUGUUAAAAUCGGAACGGCGAAAAAUAGAUCCAAAAAAUAAUUUAAUACAAGAAACAAAAAGAUAAGCGAAAAGAACACACCGAUAUUUACGUGGUUCGGCCAACGGCCUACGUCCACGGGAGAAGACGGAGCAAAUAAUUUAUUAAUGUCGAAAAAAGGCGGAGUACAAAGAAAAUCUCUCGAAGACCAAAACUUAAUUAGAUCCGAAAACGCCGCAACAAGUAACUCCGAAAAAAGCUUCUCUCAACCCGUACGGACGCAUGGCUAAAUUAGAGCCCCCGCAGAUCCUUCACCGUACGGAAAUGCAUACCUUAAUUAGGCCUCUAAUUAGUUGCGGCGUCAUUAAAGGUUGCCUCUAAUUAGAGCAGGUGGACCACCAACAACUUAAUUUAAUUCUGCAUGCUCUUAAUUUUGGUUGCGGCGGCUUCUUGAUUGUCCGGAAUCAACAUGCAUUGUUUGGCUUAAUUAGAACGUGGCAUCUUAAUUUGAUCGCUGUGUCAUUAACUUGGCCGUAGCAUGUAUAUAUAAUACAUGUCUCCUAAUUAGAGUCUAAUUCUAAUUAGAUUAGAAUUACACUCCUAAUUAUAAUCCAUAUAUGCCAAAUUAAAUCUAAAUAAUAUCUAAUCCCAAUUAGAUUAGGAUUUAUCCUCAAUUUAGAUAACUACAAAUCUAAACCAAAUAUAACAAUCUCCACCUUGGUUUAAUUUGUAGUUUAGCCGCUGCUAUGUCGAGAUCGCCACAAAACUCCACCUUGAAUUUAAUUCGCCUCAAUGCUCCUUAACGCUCCGUGCACCGUCUUCUCCAAACGCCCCAUAGGGCCUCAAAUGCUGCUAACUGCCACCAAGUCCAAACAAUACUUGAACUUGGCAAUAGUAAGGGACUUUGUAAGCAUAUCCGCCGGAUUGUCCUCAGUACCAAUUUUCUUAACAGUCACUGUGCGUUUCCCAAUCACAUCCCGAACAAAGUGAAACUUUACAUCGAUGUGCUUUGUCCUUUCAUGAAACAUCUGAUUUUUUGACAAAUGAAUAGCACUUUGACUGUCCGAAUAAACAAUCGUAGGAUCCCAACAAGAAGUAAGCUCUCCAAAUAAGCCUCUUAGCCACAUAGCUUCCUUCACACCUUCUGUCAUAGCAAUAUAUUCCGCCUCCGUCGUAAACAAGGCGACAAUAGGUUGUAGUGAAGCUUUCCAACUAACUGCACAUCCGCCAAUAGAGAAUACAUAACCUGAAAGUGAUCUCCAACUAUCCAAAUCACCUACAAAAUCCGAAUCAACAUAUCCAACCACACCAUCCUUACAUCUCCCAAACUCCAAACAAGUGUUAGUGGUACCUCGUAAGUAUCUCAAAAUCCACUUAACAGCCUGCCAAUGAGCCUUACCAGGAUUGGUCAUAUAUCUGCUAACCAUGCUCACUGCGUAGGAGAUGUUCGGCCGUGUGCAAACCAUGGCGUACAUAAUGCUCCCGACAGCACUAGAAUAGGGAACAUGUGACAUGUACUCCCGCUCAUCAUCGGAUUGUGGUGAUAACUCGGCGAAAGUCUGAAAUGCGCCGCAAAAGGAGUGCUCACCGGUUUUGCGUCUGUCAUCCCGAAACGCUUUAAAAUCUUCUCUAUAUAUUUCUCCUGUGUCAAAUGCAGUAGUCCUGACUUAUUGUCCCUCUUAAUUUUCAUACCAAGGAUUUUCUUAGCAGCACCUAGAUCUUUCAUCUCAAACUCACCCUUAAGUAAAGUCUUCAAUUUAUUUAUCUCAACUAUGUCGCUGGAAGCAAUUAACAUAUCAUCGACAUAAAGCAACAGAUAUAUGAAAGAUCCCUUAUCAAGCUUUCUGAAAUAUAUCGCAACUGCUCACGUUCGGCUUCUGGAAUAUCCAGCGUGACGUGUUCAUAAAGUGAAGUCGAACGUAGAGCUAUACAUUGUCAGAGGAGCACUGCAUGUUAAGUCCAAUACAAGUGAUUUCAUUUAACAGGCAAACAUGGUCCUUCCUUCCCUCUCAACAAUGAUCCUCGAGCUAAUUGUCUUCAUAUAAAGUUGCUCUCAGUUUCCAAUGCAGUAAGAUUUAACUCAAGCUGCUCAAGAUACAGGUCAAUUCAUGCGCUUAGCUAACGAUAAAGAACACGAAUAGAGUAUGGCUUUCGACGGUGAAAAUAUCAUUAAAGGUCCACACUAUUUACUGACUGUAAGCCCCUUAGCAAAUAAACGAGCUUUAUACAUUGUAUCUUCCACGCGGGAUUCCGUCCUUUGUUCUUGAAGGACCCAUAACAGCCGACAAUUUUUCUUGCCUGUAAGGCGGUAUUUUACCAAACUCAGUGCUGCGAUUCUUUAUUGAGAGAGCUCCAUCUCCCUCAAUUCAUCGGCUAUCAACACUCUGCCAGACUGGCACGGAAUAGCUUUGAUUAUAUGUCGAAGCGUUACCUUCUUCUUCUGUAUUUUGUGGCCCUGAAAGAGCGUACGCAAACAUAUCUUCAUUACCAUAUCUUUGCGGUGGUUUGAAUAUGUGAUCCCUCGCUCUCCUUAGCAUGCUUGGCCUCUCAACUUGUGGUGAGUUUCAUGUUACUGAGGGUGUCUGUCGAUCUGGUUAACGUUUGUUUGACUGAGAAAUCUAUUCGUGACUGACCACUAUACCAUCCAGGUCUCUACCAUCACCUUCUUGAUACACUUACGGGUUCUCAUCAGAAAGAUUACGUUAGGAAUAUAACGAAUCGAUUCAUCAAAUGUGACCAUCCUACUAAUAAUUAUUUAGACGAUUCAGGACACCACAUUAUAUAUUCCCUAACCCCGAUUGCAUAUUCCAAUAAAAAGCACUUUUAUUUAGCCUAGGUUUAUUAUAAAUUAGAAAUUAAUACUGAAUUUGGACCAUCCUCUUUACAGUUUUCAGUGCUGAAGUGAUGAUCGAACCGUUCAACACCGAUUAGAAUGCGGCGUAGAGAUCGCCUCUGCCCCAAAAACAUGCUGUUAGCAUUAGAGAGCAUUUAGCAACGGCCUUUUCUCCAAAAGGAUUACUUAUUCAUCCGUUAGCCACCCUGUUCUGCUGUGGAGUAUACGUUUUUAUGUUAUUGUAUCACGUCUUGGGUUUUUUCAACUCUGUGUUUGUGUGUCGAAAAGAAUUCCAACGUCCGUGUGCGGGUUUAUUCUCUUGAUUCUCUUUCAGCUUUGCUCUAUCGUGGACCUUCACCUGGCUUGAAAUGGAACACGCUAAUCCUUACUGUUUCGUAGAAUGUUUGACGCUCAAACUUUACAGAAAUAGUUCUUUGUGUCUCAAUAAAAGUCAGACGCAUAUAGGGCUAGCACCACAAUGGUAGGCAGUACGAGAAGGGUCCAAAGUAGAAUGGAUGUAGUCCAGUAGUAAGUACCUCUUUGAUUCGAAAGUGAACUGCCGACUUAAAGCUGACUCUCUUUUGUUUGCAAGAACACAAUGGCUCGACAGAAGUCCAAGCUUUUUCUAAACUCUGCACCUACCAAGGUAAACCUCUCUCGCCCAAUUCUCAUGCCAUAUUCACUCAUUUGGCCCAAUCGCUAUGCUAAUAUUGGUCGCUAUCUGAAAUCGAUCAUAGAGGACGAAGUCAACGCUGGUGACUGUCACAGAUGGAAACCUGUAGAACAAUAUAAAUGUCGGGAAAUUUCAGCCUCAUCACCAUACAAGAUCCCGCUUAGCACCUGUCAUUAUCCAUCAGCUUGAGAAUUACUAGUGUGAUUUGUUGGUACCCAAUGAGAUCGAUGUUUCCUAUAUCCGAAAGCCGAACCUCAUAUUAUAGUCUCACUACUCCCCCAUCGAGACCAUUCGUACGUGGUGGGCGAACAGGCAAUUGUCCAAAUAUGUGCGUGUUUGAUGCGAGUGAGUGUCUCUUGAUCAAUACAUCUCUCUUCAAAUGGCAUUGUACGUCGGAGAACCAUUCUCUAUUCAAAUGUUUAACGAAUAUGGAAAAGAACAUGGCGGCCAGUCCAUAUCACUACAUCCUGUCCUGAUGUCUUAUCGUGAACUGUAGCGAGUGAUUGUGAAGUCGUUCUCCGUGGUGUUGUGCUGCUUAUGCUUACAGAUUGGUGUUUUCUGACUUUGAAUUUUUUAUCACGUUUUAUUCGUUCCGCUCCCUCUUACAUGUCUUCCUCUAACUAAGAAACAAUCAGCUGUGUGUGCCUUCUCCGCCCUCUUCUCCCUCUCUACCAAUAUAACUCACAAUCCAGCAAUUCCCUAUUCUGCUAUUGCAUCUUCUGUAUCUAGAUGAUACUCUAUUGACCGGAAUCCUGUCUCCGAGACCUCCUUAGCGAGACGUAAAACCUUGCUCCUGAAGCCUCCCAUCUUGUUCGUGGGCUUAUCUAAUGCAUGUUCAAUUCUCUCUUUUGACGUAAGAGUGGAUUCUUAACAUCAUCGAGACAUAGCGUAUCUGUACCAAACAAAGAGAAGGUCUCAGGUAUCUACGAAAUUUUAUGAUGAGGGCGGUACAGGAAAUAAUAUUAAUGUAAUAGGGUAACUUCUCCUAUCUUCUCCCUCGAUUUUAACAGAGUCUAUCCGAGCUGGAGUCCAUAUGAUAGAAUUAAAUUAUCUAAAUGCGAUUUAAGAGAAGUACCUUCCGCAUGCGCAACCUGAAGAGACUGUUGCUUCAAAUUUAACUUGUUGUGAGAAGAUUUCGUCAUAUAGUAGAGAGGAUUCAAUUUAGCAAAGCUCCUGCAAGCCGGGCUCUUAUCCAAGACCUCGCGCAAAUAACCUCAUCCUCAAAUUGGUAAAUUAAUUGUAUUGCCGUAAGAGAGCUUCUAUUUUUUUUCAAUUCAAUUCCUCUUCUGCUCUUAGCCUGUUAAUAAUCGGAAUGUUUUCUUUUCCCAACGAGGCCUUCUGGCAUUCCUUGCUGCUAACUAUAGAGCUAUCUGACUUGGAUCAUGCCGAAAGUUGGUCAGAAAUAACAUGGUCAUUUCUGAAUCUCGACACUUAUGACGUCAACUUAUCCUCAAAAGGGGAAUAGAAGGUCUGAUCCGUUUGUUAAAAAUCGGAACGUGGGAAAAUAGGUAUCCGAAAAUAAUUUAAUGAAGAAAGGAAAAAGCAUAAGCGGAAAGAACACACCCGAUAUUUAACCAGUGGUUCGGCCAACGGCCUACGUCCACGGGAGAAGACGACAGCAAAUAUUUAUUAAAUGUCGAAAAAAGGCGGGAAGUACAAGAAAAUCUCUCGAAGACCAAAACUUAUUAGAUCCCGAAAAGGACGCGCAACAAGUAAACUCCAAAGAAAAAGCUUCUCAUCAUACCCGUACGCGCACAGCAUGGCUAAAUUAGAUCCCGCGCAAAUCCUUCACCCGUACGGAAAUGCCAUACCUUAUAGACGCCUCUAAUUAGUUGCCGGUCGUCAUAAAGCGUUGCCUCUAAUUAGACAGGCGGCGACCCCCAAACAAACUUAAUUAUAAUUCUGCCAUGCCUCUUAAUUUUGGUUGCGGCGGCUCUUUGAUUGUCCCGGAAUCAACAUGUUGUUUGCUUAAUUAGAACGUGGGCAUCUAUUUGAUCGCGUGUGUUCAUUAUUGGCCCGUGCGGAUGCUGUAUAUUAAAUACCAUGUCUCCUAAAUUAAGUCUAAUUUAAUUAGAUUAGAAUAUCACUCCUAAUUAUAUCCAUAUAUGGCCAGAAUUAAAUCUAAAUUAAACCGUAUAUAAGGAUUUAUCCUCAAUUUAGAUAACUACAAAUCUAAACCAAAUAUAACACAAGAGAAUAUAGUUAUAGCUUAUAUCUCUUGGCAGUUGAGGAGUUGUAAAAAGAAUUAUCCCACCCAUUAUUUUAAGUUAGCUGUAGUGAUUUUUGUCGUGAAGUAUGGUGGCACUAUCUUUAUCGAGAACAUUGUGAGAUUUAUACGGAGUAUUACAAGAGCCUCAAAUAUUUAUUCAUUUAGAAAGAAUUAAACUUGAGACAACAUUGAUAGUUCGAGUCGUUGAAAAACUACAAUGUCACAAUCUUGUACCACCCGAAAAAUACAACUGUAGUAGCAGGUGCUUUAAGUCAAAAAUUCGUUGAGAAUCUCAUAAUGAUAAUCACUAGCCAAGCGCCAUUAUAGCAAUAUGAUUUAGAGGUUGGUGCAUCCGGCGCUCUAGUGAAAGUUAUGACACUUAGAGUGCAACCAAUCUUAUUGGAGAAAAUCAAGGAGAGACAAAGCUUAGACAAAAAGCUUCGAAAGGUGCGGUCUCACAUUGAGGGCAGGAGCAUGACUGAUUUCAGCAUGGACUCCAAGGGAGUCUUGAAGUUUCAAGGUCAGUUAGUGUACCUAGCAAAGGAGGAAAUCUUGAAAGAAUCACACCAGUGUUGUAAUAACUAAGAUUCUGGAAUUUGAAAUCUUUUAAAUUCAAAUUUGAAAAUUUGAAAUGAAAGUGUAUAUAUAUAUAUGUUUAUACAUAUAUAUAUUGGAGUGAGAAAAGAGAGAUGAGUUUGUCGCGAAUUCGUGACCAUUUCAGAUGAGACAAAAGCGUAAGUCUGAAGCUCUGGCAGUGCCAGAAGUCAUGGCGCAGUCAAUUUUCAAAUCUAAUAAACCGAUGGCACGAAACAACACAAUUUACGAGAAGGGGUCUUAUGUGGAAAUUCGUAUUUUAUGGAAAAGACUACAUUUUAUGCGUUGAAAUGCGUGAAAUUGCUCGUGGAGGGCCAUAUGCGCGUUUUACACAUGCUAUGUGGGACUUGGGUGUAAUUAUAGAGGAUUGGAGGACUCUUAUGCAAAUUUACAAACUCUCUCUCUCUUUCUAUAUAUAUAUAUAUAUAUAUAUAUAUAUAUAUAUAUAUAUAUAUAUAUAUAUAUAUAUAUAUAUAUAUAAGGUUUUCUACCUCCAAAGUGAACCCUAGACCUAUUUUUCCCUGCUCCCAGCCAUCACAGAGUUCUCCUCCAUCGGCGCCGCACCUCCCUAUCGCCGGCAACCACCCAAGGCUUGCGAAAAGUUGAAAUCUUCCAUCUCACUCCCUCUACAUCUCUCUCUCUCUUUUUCUCCGAUGACAGAGUGACCUGAGCCAUCCUCUCCUUGGCUGUGUCACCUUGGAUCGCUUCCGUCGGCACCACAGGAGUCCAGUGACCCUACCCUAACGACCCUCGGCGCCGCCAUGCGCUGGCGUAGCCGAAGGAACUUCCCUAGCCCGGGUUGGCCAUCAUUCUGUUCUGAGGUUGCAAGGCCUCUGCCACUGCUGCCUUUGGCGCCGACCUAACAUACUCCAGCCGCCGCCGACGCUGGAACAAAAGGCCCUAGAAUUGAGUUCUUGUUCUUUGCUAAAGUUGCAAGAUCGUUGCCGUUGCCACUACCUCCCGUCGCCAGCCAGCGUGAGCAUCGGCCAUCCUUCAUCAACCGCACCCUCCCCUCACUGAGCUACUGGAAGCCGGGCCAGGUCUUCCCUGCUCCAGCCCAAGUCUUACUUGAGCUCCUUUGGUCGUGUAUUCCUAUUCUGGCCAUUCGGGUGGCUGUUGAUCUUCUAAAAGAUGAGCAUGGGUAUCCAAGGGUGUCGUGGACCUCCGUGCUCACCUUAGUUAGGUUCUGCGAAGCUUUGGUUGAUAGAUUCAACGUUGUCCCUCCCAGUGACUUCUAAAACCAAGGUUCAAGUAGCCCUGAUGCGCUCCUCGGCCUCCAUUCAUGCUCCGGACAGUGAGCACGGGCUUUGGCGCAUCGAGAUCUAUUAGGGACACUAUUAGUUGGUCUCAAAAUCUCGCCAUGUUCGGUAACACGUCAACUUUACUAUUUUUAUAUAUAUUUUUAUAAUUAAUAAAUGUAUAGGGGCUUUAAUGCAAUUUGGACGUUGCAGACUGUCUCGGGCAAUGUGGGAUCGCUAUUUGUGAUCUCUGGACUGGUUGUCGAAGGUCCCAUGGCCCUCUCGAAGUCCGAAUUAGGUUUCGGUGCAUUUUCCAGCAAAAUUGUUGGCGGAAUGCGAUUUUUGGUAUGGCAUUCGCUUUUCACUAAUGUGAAUGACCCCAGGAUUUGUCACUGAGCCUUGUUGCCUGGUUUCUCUCAUUGUCCUGGGUGUUUGAAGGCAGCAGAUAAGCGGUGGAGGGUUCCGAUGCCGAAAAUGGCAUUUUCGGAAACCCGGGGCAGCAUUACUUUUAUUAUUGUAAUGUUAUGUCAAAUUAAUUGGUGUGUGUUUGCUAUUCAGACACCUAAAUUUGUGCGUUUUGGGACAACGAUUAACUUAUAGUGUACAUGGGUACCUUCUAGGAUACUUCGGUGGGUUCAGAAGUAUUUCGGUAGACCUUCGAGAAAUUUCGAUGGUUCCAGGGUUGUGCGUUUAGUGCUUUGAGUCAACAAGAUUGGGCCUUGACUUGGUGGGUCUUUUGUAAGUCUAGUCAACGAUCCAACAUGCCUUGGGUGUUAGGCACUACGAUAGUUCAGAUGGGUGCUUCGAUCCAAAGUCGGUACAGUUGUGCUAGCUUGGUGACGUUCUUCCCUUACCCCUUUUUAUUGCCUUCACACAUUACAUGAUGAACACUACACCACUAGACUUCCUUUUAUGUUUACUCUACUUUUAUUCUAUUAUGAUUUAGUAGUAGAGUGGUGCCUUAUAAUGUCUUUGCAUCAUCUCUAUCCGUGGAACUUGGUCGGUCGGUGUCUGUAAAUUUGGUGACAUAUAGGUGAUAUUGUUGGACAUGUGUUUAUUGUUGACUUAUUCUCGGCUAUUUGCUAUCCUAUUGACUAUUAAGCACAUUGCAUUGAUCGUCACACUAUAUUAGCGGUUUGGCCACUGUAAUGAUGUUCUUUUUUGAAAAAUAGUUGUAUAUCCAACCCGUGAGCCCCUUACAAGGUGCUAGUUGAGGUUAUAUGCCGAUAUAGAUGAGCAGUUUGUGGUAUCACUUGAGGUCUUUAGAUCAGUAUGGCGAGGUGAUUGGGUAUUUGUCAUUCAUUUACAGUUGAUGCAUAUAUAUUAUUAUUGCUUACAGUAGCGGUAGGUGUUCACUAUUGUUCAUAUCUGAUGUUCUUUACUUGUUACUGUACUUGUAUAUCUAUCUCUUUUUUUAGCUAUAUUCUACUUGCCAGUAAGUACACUCGCCCUCGUCGGCUUGCGGUACCUACUGGGAGGCCCCUUGUUGAUUUCUCAGCCCCUUCCAUUUUAGGUGAUUUUUGUGCUGCGAGUCGGGAUGGUGUGUGAGGAGCAGUAGCUAGUGAGCCUUGGAGGUCCCGAACAUUCAUCGCUAGACUCCGUUAUUCUGAUCCUUACCCUAUUUUAUUAUUUGUUAAUAAGUUAGACUUAUUGUGGUUCAGUUACCUCAUCUCUUGAUUAUCUGAUAUUUGUAUAUGAUUGUUUAGUUCUUGUGGAUAAUUUUUUCUUUGAAAUAAUUGAAUGGUGAAGUUUUUUUGACUAUCUAUGGUAAUGGUGACUUUGUGAUUGUGGAUUUAUGACAAAAAUGAUUUUCUACCAUUCGUUGUAGUAAAUUUUUAAAGAAUGAGUUUCCAUGUGGAAAAUAAUUUUUAAGAUUUAUUGAUAUCCUAAUGUUUCAAAACAAAGUUUUUGAGUGGGAAACACAUUCAAAAGAUAGAAUUGGUUGAUGUUUGUGCAUUCGCAUCAUCCUUCGCCUAAAAAGUUCUUAGAGCAUGCAUCAUAUUAAGAAUGGCUAGUUGAUUGAAUUAUGUCAACAUCUGUAUUGUGAAAGCUGUUGUGUGUGAGUGGAUAUGUGUGUUGUGGUAUGCACUUGUGGUGAUACGCCAUGCAAAUAUAAGAAAGACUCUGUCGACAUGGACAGAGGGGUUCCUUUAUUUGUGGUGGGUUUGUUCCGUCAGCAAGGUUGUGUAAAAAAAAAAGGAGGGGGGACUUUCUGCUGACUCUAUUUUUAAAUUAGCCCUCUUUUCAAAAAAGGCUUUACAAAAGAGACUCCGGGACGUGACAGGUCCCAAUAUACUAUUCACCUAGGCGGCUCCAAGAUGUAUAAAAAUUUGAAGAUGAUAUUGGUGAUCAGGUAUGAAAAUAAAUGUUGGACGCUUUGUGCCUUAGUGGCCUAGUGUACCAAAAAGUCAAAACGGAGCACCAACUUCCGACGGACACAAAUUGCAAAGUCUCUUGAUACCAGUAUGGAAGUGGAAGAACAUCGCUAUGAAUUUCAUCAUCGGCUUGGCUCGGUUGCAAGCGGGCCAUGAAUGCGAUUUGGGUGAUCGGAGAUCAGUUGACUAAAUUUGUUCAUUUCCUACCGAUCCACACCACUUAUUUACGAGAUAAACUGGCACAAAUCUAUAUAGGUAAGGUUAUACGCCUCCAUGGAUUGCCAAUGUCCAUUAUCUCAUAGUGGGAUCCACGGUUCGUGUCACAGGUUUGGAAGAGUCUCCACGAGGCUCUUUGAACGCGCAUUUGAUUUUAGGCACAGCAUAUCAUCCUUAAAGUGAUGAAAAAUUAGAGAGAACUAAUCAGAUCCUUGAGGAUAUGCUACGGGCAUGCACUCUUGAUUUUGAAGAUAGUUGGCAAUAGCAUUUGCCAAUGGCAGAGUUUGCUUACAAUAGUAGCUUCCAAGUAAGCAUCAGGAUGACACCCUAUGAAGUGUGGUAUGGUAAAAAGUAUCAAGCUCCAUUGUAUUAGAGUGAAGUCGGUGAAAGAUCUAUCUUGGGCUUGGACAUUGUACAAGAUGCUGAGGAAAAGGUAAAGAUUGUACGUCAAAAGCUAUUGAUGGCACAGAACCGAGAAAAGAGCUAUUCCGACAAGCGCCGAUGUGACUUGAAGUUUAGCAUCGAGGACCAUGAGCUCUUGAAGGUAUCGCCUACAAAAGAAGUGAAGUGAUUUGGAAUGCGGGAAAAGCUAAAUCCUCACUACAUUAAGCCCUUUGAGGUGUUGGAGCGGAUCAGCUCUGUGGCAUAUCCGGUGGCACUACCUCCAAUCUUAGCGGAAGUACAUGACGUGUUUCACAUGUCGCUACUCUACAAAUAUGUACCCGAUCCUAUUCACAUCAUCAGUUAUCCACCUUUGGACUUACAGGAGGAUCUAAGCUAUGAUGAGUACCCAGUUGAAAUCCUCAAUCGACAAGAGAAGGCGUUGUGAAGUCGCUCCAUUCUAUAUGUGAGAGUGUUGUAGAACAACUGUGAGGAGCAGAAAGCUACUUGGGAGCUCGAGAGCAUCAUACCGAAGCAUUACCCUUACCUAUUUGGAGAAUUGAAUUAAGGUGUGGAUUUUAGUUUCGCGGACGAAACUCUUUUUAAGGAAGAAGGAAAGUAAUGCACUGAACUUUAGCUAAAUUGAGAAAGUACGAAUUAAGUCAUGCCAAACAUAAUUAAAAUAAGUUUAGGAGAGUUUAGAAUGAAUUUGGAUCGAAUUAAACUAAUUCGAGUCAUAAUAGACAGUGUGAUUCGGCUGAUGCAAAUAAGAAAGAUUUGAGGGGCUUAGUUGCUAUUGUUGCAACCUUAUGAACUGGCGUGACACUCUUUGCCCUAAUGGAACAACAGGGGCCUCUCCACUCCCUCUCUCACUCUCUUUCUCUCCUUUCUUCCUCUCUAGAGAAGAAACUACCAUUAUUGGAGGAGCUUUCGAGCUCGGGAUUGAUCUCAUCCGGUGCUUGGGGAUAGCGAGGAGCUUCAAGAGGAAGCUCUAAGAGAAAGAAAGGAACCUCCUCUCCUAUGUUUUGACUGCAACAAAAUGGUGAGUUGGAAUCUUUUGGGUUUUUGUCUUUAGAGUUUCAAAUAGGGAUUUCUAGGGUUUCUAAUGAUGUUAGAACCAUUUUUAGGAUCUGCUUGGUGCUCCAAGAGAUCAAGUCCACCCCAUUUGAAGAGAGCAUAGCAAUGGUGGAAAAUAUCAUCAAAACUGGUGAUCUCUUUCUUUGUCAAUAGUUUUCUUGUCUAUCUAGUAUGUUGUAUUAGUAAAUAUUAAUCCAAAAGUGAUUUAGUUGCAUAUUAGAGAAAAACUUGAGUUAAACCAUUUUCGCAUGAGAAAGAAAAAUAGAACCGAGAAGCUAGAAUGAGGUUAAAAUGUAUGAUAUCCAACUUAGGCAAAACCUAAGAUGAGAUAUAGAGAUUGUGAUUUUUUGGUUUAACCAGAGUACUAGAUGUGUAUAAUGGACAUGUGUAUAAUGGACAUGUGUAUAAUCCUAUUGGUCAUUGAGCUUAGGUUGGUAUGAUGUGUAUGCCGUGACCUUUUGAAAGUGUUAUUGGAGUACCGAUCAUACUUCUACUCCCUCAUGUGCAUUACGAGGGCCAUUAUCCCUCGACUUCCAUUAUGCAUUGGAGUGCCAAUCUUCCUUUGACUCCGAGUACUAUGACCUUCCGAAAGUGUCAUAAGAAUGCGGAUCAUCUCUCGAUUCCCUUAUGUGCAUUGAGAGCGCCGAUCAUCCCUUGACUUCCAUUAUGCACCGAAGUGCCAAUCAUCCCUUGACUGUAAAUGCGACAACCGGUUGGAGAGUAGUACGAUUAUACCUCGACUCCAAGAGGUGUAUGCAUUAGUCCAUUAGAGAGUAGUUCAAUCAUAACUCGGCUGUAAUACACUGAACUUAUGCAAAUUGCGAAGUUCGAGUGUGUAGAAGGAUAUGUGGAGCUAUCCUACAUCUUCUAAAAGGUUUAGAGAAGAUAUUGGACAAAUUUGAGAGUGUUUGGAAGGCCCGAAGCAAGGAAGUGCAUUGCUCUGGCCAAUUUUUAGUUUUAUUGCAUUGUGUACCGGUACAACCAUCAAGGUGUACCGGUACACAUUGGCAGAAACGUGGCAGUAAGGCUAUUUUGGUCAUUUCACAUCUUGUUCUCAUCUAUUUGAGUCCAGCACGACUCUGGGGGCUCAGUGGAGGUUGCUGAAGCUUAGAGUAAGCUUCUUUCAUCUUCUUCUCUCUCUCUCUAGGGUUUUUCUCUCUCUACAUAAAAGCCGCCAUUUCGCGCCGAUUUCGCGCCGCGCUCGUUGCUCGCUGAUUUGGCGACUCAAGGAAUGCUUUCAGCACGUGGGGAGGAGGACUUUUCUCUGAGUUUUCUGUGAGGUUACUACCAGAGAAGCUCAAUCUCAGCUUUAGAAAAGGAAUUAGCUCAAUUUCUCUCCAGUUUGUGAUUUAACAUUGGAAAUUGAUGCGUUUUGGUUUCAUUGCUUCCAACUGAAAUUGAGGCUAUUUUCAGCAGUAAAGAGCAGCUAUUUUGACUGUGAAUUAACUACUCUAGCUCAGUGAAAAGUUGCUUUAAAGCUGGACUAAGAUAAUUCGGAACUAUACAAGUUAAUCGAGUCAUUGAUGCAGUUUGGAAAUUGUGUUUUCGCAGCAGGGUUUUGAUCCAAGUUGCACUAAUUUGGUGACCUGAGGACCUUGUUUGCAGGGUGUUCCAACUAGAGGUAAGCUGAAAUUUCUGUUAGAAAGCUGAAUUUGCAAGGUUUCGGCUAUAGGAACUAGUAUAUGAGCGUUUUGACGCCGUUUAACGUUUGCUCGCAGCAGGGUUGCGAUGGACCCUUGGAUCGUUUUCAGCUGAUUGGUGAGAGCUUUUGGAGACUUAACUUGAGGUAUUUAACUGAGCCAAAAUAGGGAUUUAAGUUGCAAUUGCGAUUUAUGCCGAAUUAGACAUUUUAGUUGUCGUAUUGAUGCGGUUUCCGUGCUUUGGUUUUUAGCAGGGUUGAGGACUAGUAGAGCUGAUUUCGGGACUCUUGUGAAUUGAACUUGAGCCUAGUAAUAGGUGGGUCGGACCUAACCAGAGCAAGUGAAGCUCCCCUAUGUUCUAUAUGUCACUAUCGAAUUGGUAUAGUUGUGUGCGUUUGUGGUUGAUAUAGGAUUUGAGACUAGUCAGUAUACUAUAGUGUCGAUACUUAAUUGAAUUGAGAUCUCUAUUAUGCAUACCAGUAUUUAUGUUCAAGUUUAAUUUAGUUGAACGACUAAUGGACAAGUUAUCAUGUUCCUAGAAACUAGAAAACAAUGAUAUUCUUAUGACUUUAAUGAUUAUAAAGUAUAGAACAAUGACAUGCUCUGUGACUAUAAUGAUAGUACCAUGAUAGUGGAAAAGUUUCUAAUGCCAUAUGUAAAUUAGCAUUACUUUCACAUGUUUAUUAAUCUAGUGGAUACUAGUUAACUAUGGAUUUUGCUUGCUUGCCAAUGUGCUCAUUCGCACACGCUUGUGAGGGUAGCUCCCUACAAGCCGGCACUCCGGAGUUGGCCUACGCGACAGUUGCUCGCCCGUGCGGGAUUGGGUACCGAACUGGAUUGCCGUGGGGAGUGUAUACUACCACGGGGCCAUUAGGUGCGGCGCAAGCUGGACUACCUUGAGUAUGUCCUUAUGAAUGAAAUGAAAGUACUAAAUAGGUCCUUAUGAAUGAAAUGAAAGUACUAAAUGACAAUGGACAGUAAUGAAUGCUCAUUAGUUAUGGUGUACAGUAUUUACUUACACAUCCAUGUUUAUGUUCAUGUUUAUAGUAGUUGCUAUGCUUCUAGUAUUCAGUUGAUUCAUUACUGCAGAAAUCAUGAUUACAUGUUGAUUACAUGCCUAUUACCUGUUAGCAUUGUAUAUAUAUAUCAUGCAAUUAUCGCUUUUACUUUCACUUCGUGCAUCAUGAGCCUAGUGGUGUAAUUCGCCGAGGCUAGCGGCUUACCCACUGGGAACUAUUGUUAAUAGUUCUCACGCCCUUUUUAUGAUUGUUUUUGCAGAGCCAUCUGCAGGAGAGGCUAGGGAUCGUGGCAAGGGAGUCACGUCUAGCUAGAUCUAGUAUUGGAGCUUGUUAGAUGAUCACCUUGCUACUUGUGCUGCGGCCGAGGGUGAUGUCCAUUGUAUAGAGAGACUACCACUGUACCCAUUUUUGUAUACCUCGUGAUGUAUUUAUAGUUGGGGAUCAGAGAUUAUGGUUUUGAUACUUCUCUAUGAUGUUUAGAUUUUGAGUUGUUCUCUCUUCGUCCUUUUCUGGAUGGUAUUAUUGCCUUACUAUGCUCUGAUAUCAGGGUAGGAUUUUUCUCUAUUUUCUUCCUAUCGAUUUGCUUCUUUGUAGACGCCUUCUAUACUGCAGGUGUAUGGCGGGUCUGUGCACGUACCGGUAUGCUUCCGCUGGUAACCGGGCGUGACAUCGGCUCUCCAUGAGGCAUAUGUGCCAACUGUAUAGGGAUUAGUUCAAUCAUUUUCGACGUCCUAAUGCCUCGAGGUAGGGGUAAUUUGAUCAUUCUCGGGCCCUCAUGCCAACCAAUUGGAAGAGUAGUUUGAUCAUCCUCAGUUCUCCUUGAGGUGUAGGCGACAAUCGAAUGGAGAGCAGUAUGAUCAUACUUUGGCUCUCCACGAGGCGUAUGUGUCAACCAAUUGGGGAGUACAUGUAUGUGUCAAUUGAUUAGGGGGUAGUUCGAUCAUACCUCAGCUCUCCAUAAGGUGUAUGUCUCAACUGAUUGGGGAGUAAUUAAUUUGAUCAUACCUCGGCUCUCCAUGAGGUGCAUGUGUCAACCGAUUGGGAGUAAUUUGAUCAUACCUCGGCUCUCCAUGAGGUGGAUGUUUCAAUCGAUUGGGGAGUAGUUUGAUCGUACCUCUGCUUUCUAUGAGGUGUAUGCGUCAACCGAUUGGGAAGUGGCUUGAUGAUACCUCGAUUCUCUAUGAGGUGUAGGCUCCAACCGACUGGAGAGUAAUCCGAUCUUCCUCAGUUUUCCAUAAGGUCUAGUGUGGAAUAGAACUGAACCACUAUAUAGCUAGAAUAAUGAGAUAGUCUGUGUAGGCCUAGAACAAUUGUGAUGGUGGCAUUUCGGGUAAAAGAGGCAUUGUACUGGUAAAGUUAAUUACAACAUUUCUAGUAUAAAAAUAAUUAUUGAUCUCCUGUGGACCAAACGAGUGUAGAGCACCAGUCUCAAUGGUUGCACUCACUGAGAAUCACUCUUUUUUGGUUUACUCAUUUUCAGGUCCUAGCAUUGCUAGUGAGGCACGUGACCAUAGUAAAAUGUAUAACGGAGUAGAGGACUUUCUCGUGUACCGGUACAAAUCCUGCAAGACAGCAAACCCGAGCCUCGGGUUGGCAGAAAAAUCCACUUGUACCGGUACAACCAUCGAGUUGUCACCGGUACACUUUCUAUACCGGUACAACCAUCAAGGUGUACCUGUACACAGCCCAGAAAAAGGCAACCCGAAAGCAGCCUAAGUCCAUCACUUUGGUGACCUUAGCGCUACUUUAAAUACUACAAUUCUCGGGAUGCGAGCCAUAGGUCGGAACACUGUCAACGACCCUCCAGAAUAUCUGGAAGAACUCGGAACACUGAUCAAACACUCGAACCUUGCAAUUUGCAAAGAUCCAGUGUGUUACAUUUACCCCUCCUAAAAAGGAGUUUCGUCCGCGAAACUCAAAAGUAACGCACCUCAAGACUCCAUCUGAAAGAGAUGGGGAUAACGCUUCUGCAUGGCGCUCUCCAGCUCCUACGUGGCCUUUCUCUCCUCGUGGUUGCUUCAAAGAACCUUCACAUACGGAAUAUCCCGAUUCCGCAGCUUCCGCACCUCGCGAGCCAAGAUCCUCACGGGCUACUCCUCAAAACUCAAAUCAUCCCGCAGCUCUAAAGGUGUAGCAUCCAAUACAUGAGCCGGGUCGAAAAUAUACUUCCGAAGGACCGAUACAUGGAAGACGUUGUAUACACCUGAUAGGUUCGGUGGUAGAGCAAGUCGAUACGCCACCGGGCCUACAUGCUCCAAAAUUUCAAACGGUCCGAUGAAUCGGGGGCUCAACUUUUCCAAAUUCCAAAUCUCCUGAUCCCUCUGGUUGGCGAGACCUUCAAGAAAACAUGGUCUCCAACUUGAAAUUUCAAGUCUCGUCGUCGUCGAUCGGUGUAGCUCCUUUGUCUACUCUGUGCCGUCAAAAGUCGCUCCGAGCAAUACGAACCUUGUCCUCAGCUUCCCGGAGUACAUCAGGGCCUAAAGCCAAUCUCUCGCCAACUUCAUUCCAAUGAAGGGGCGAUCUACACUUCCGUCCGUAAAAUGCUUCGAAGGGUGCCAUCUUGAUACUUAUUUGAUAACUGUUGUUAUAAGCAAACUCCGCAAUCGGUAGAUAUUGCGACCAUCCUCCCUGGAAGUCUAUCACACAAGCUCGGAGCAUAUCCUCUAAAGUCUGUAUGGUGCGCUCCGACUGCCUGUCACUUUAAGGGUGGAAAGCAGUGCUGAAAUCCAAUCGAGUGCCUAAGGCGUCCCGUAGACUCCUCUAAAAAUGAGACACAAAUCGGGUGUCUCGAUCAGAUACAAUCAAAGUAGGCACUCCGUAAAGUCGCACAAUCUCAUCAAGGUACACUUGUGCGAGCUUCUCCCCCGACCAAGUCGUAUGAAUAGGUAUGAAGUGCGCCGACUUCGUCAACCUAUCCACGAUCACCCAAAUAGCAUCAUGCCCGGCCUGAGAGCGAGGCAAUCCCAUCACAAAGUUCAUGGUGAUCUUCUCCCACUUCCACAGGGGAAUCGGCAAACUCUGAAGUUUCUCGCGGGCAAUCGGUGCUCCGCCUUUACUUGUUGGUAAGUUAGAUAACGAGAUACAAACUCGCCAACAUCCUUUUUCAUCCCGGGCCACCAAUAGAGCGACUUUAAGUCCUUGUACAUCUUGGUGCCUCCCGGAUGUAUAGCAUAGGAUGCCCGGUGUGCUUUUUGAAGAAUAUCCUCUUUCCGCCGGUACACAAAGCCUUCUGUGACAAUGCAUCAACCCUUGAUCAUCCACAAGAAAAUAGCCGGUGCAACCAUCGACCAUUUUAUCUCUAAUCUUUUGCAAGUCCACAUCGAAAACUUACUUUUCUUUAAUUUUAUCCAAAAGCGUAGGUUGCAGUACCACGGUCAUCAACCUCAAAGGUGUAUUAGGAGCCCCCACCUCUAACUCCAACUGCUUCAUCUGCUCGAUCAACUGCGGUUGAGUAACAACAUGCAUUGCUAAGUUUUCCGUCGUUUUCCGACUUAGCGCAUCUGCCACCACGUUAGCCUUGCCUGGGUGGUAAAGAAUCGUCAGAUCAUAAUCCUUGAGCAGCUCCAAUUAUGUGCGCUGCCUCAAGUUCAACUCCUUCUGAGUGAAUAGAUACUUUAAGCUUUUGUGGUCUGUAUACACUUCACACCGCUCGCCAUAAAGGUAGUGGCGCCAUAGUUUCAAUGCAAAGACUACGGCUGCCAAUUCCAAAUCAUGUGUAGGAUAGUUUCUUUCAUAUUCCUUAAAUUGGCGAGAAGCAUACGCGAUCACCUUGCCAUCCUGCAUCAAAACGCAACCCAAUCCAUUAAAUGAAGCAUCACUAUAAACCACAUAUCCUGCUCCGGCAACCGGCAGGGUUAGGAUCGGGGCGGUCGUUAAUCUUUGCUUCAACUCUUGGAAGCUCCUUUCACACGCAUCGUUCCAAAUGAAUUUGACGCCUUUAUGUGUGAGUCUCGUGAGGGGAGUAGAUAACUUAGCGAACCCCUCGACAAAUCUCUGGUAGUAGUCGGCCAAUCCAAGGAAGCUCUGUAUCUCCGUGACGCUCGUCGGUCUCGGCCAAUCCUUGAUAGCCUCAAUCUUCUUAGGAUCCACGGCUAUACUCGAUCCCGAAAUCAAAUGUCAAAAAAAUGCCACAUCUCGAAGCCAAAAUUCAUACUUUUUCAACUUGGGAGAAAGCUCCUUUUCCCGAAGUAUUUGAAGUACAAGCCUCAAAUGUUCCUCGUGAUCUCCAUCACUUCGGGAAUAAACCAAUAUGUCGUCGAUGAACACCACGACGAACCUGUCUAGAUAGGGCUUAAAAACACGGUUCAUUAGAUCCAUAAAAGCUGCCGGGGCAUUAGUAAGCCCAAACGGCAUAACAGUAAACUCAUAAUGUCCAUACCGUGUUCUAAAAGCCGUCUUCGAUACAUUCUCAGGUUUGAUCUUUAACUGGUGGUAUCCCGACUGCAAGUCUAUCUUGGAAUACACACACGAUCCCUGAAGCUGAUCAAAUAAUUCGUCGAUUCUCAGCAACGGAUACUUAUUCUUGAUCGUGACUUUAUUAAGUUCACGAUAAUCCACACAUAGGCGCAGUGAUCCGUCCUUCUUCUUGACGAACAAGACUGGUGCUCCCUAAGGCGAGACGCUCGGUCGAAUGAAGCCUUUAUCCAACAAAUCCUGCAGCUGUGCCCUCAGCUCUUUCAGUUCCGCCGGUGCCAUCCUAUAGGGUGCCCUUGGAGAUUGGGGCAGUCCCAGGGACGAGAUCUACUACAAACUCAAUCUCCCUAUCAGGUGGCAUACCCGGUAGCUCAGCUGGAAACACGUCCUGAAACUCCUGCACCACCGGGAUAUCCUCAAUUCUAGGGGUAUCAUCAUCGCCCCUCAGCACAAUACUAGCCAAAUAGGCUAUGCAACCUCUGCUGAUCAGCUGCCUAGCUCGAGACGAGCUGAUUGUUAUCGCAAACAGCGAACUCCGGCAUCCUCUAAAUACAACCUCAGACUGCCCCGGUUCUCUAAAAGUAACCGUGCGAUUCUUACAAUCGAUCGUGGCAUAAUACUUGGUUAGCCAAUCCAUGCCUAAGACCACAACGAACUCCUCCAGCUUGCGCAGGACUAGCAAAUCCACGGGCAUAAUCCACUCUCCAACCCGAACAGGGCAACUGAGGACAUAAUCUCUAAUAUCCAAAAUAUGGUCAGGUACAACAACAUGUCCCGGAUGCAACAAAGAAACCAAUGGGAUGCCAUGCAACUCGGCAAAUAGCCGAUCUAUGAAUGAAUGUGAUGCUUCGGUAUAAAAUAAUGCACAAACUCUAAUGGCAUCAAGUAAAAUGAUACCUGUAACCACAUCAUCGGCUGCUACCGCCUCCUCGGUCUGAGCGGCAUACAAACGCCCACUUGGGGCCUGUCGAGAUCCCUCGCUCUGAAGCUGGACGGAGGACGGUCCAGGCCGGUACUGUGCACGAUUCACUACCUCCCGGUAGGCUUGGAGGUUAGAGGAUUGCACGAACUAGAAGAUAGACGGUCGCAAUCCUCGCUCGAAGAUGCGGGCCUUGUCCUCGUCGUCCCGCACGACGAAAGGCACGCAGUGUAGAAGCCGAGAAAACUCCCUCUCAAACUCGGCUACAGUGCGGUCUCCCUGGCGCAAGUUGCGCAAGUCCUGCUCUAUCUUCCUCUUGACACUGUCACAGAAGUAGUGCGCCAAAAGAAGCUCCUUGAACUUCUUCCAAGUAAUGGCCGCAAGAUCGAUGUUGAGGUUCUCCUGAAUGUCCAACCACCAGCGAUAGGCCCCGCCGUCCAAGUGGUGUGUGGCGAGCCAAACUCGAUCCCUCUCCUCCACGAAAGUGUCGCGAAAGAGCUUCUCCAUGUGCAUUAACCACUUCUCCACGAUCCAGUGGUCGACCUUCUCUCCGUCAAAGAUCCGAGGACUGCACCUCCUGAACUCAUUGAGGCGAUCCAUGAGCCGAUCCCGCUCUGCUCCCUCAACUAAUGCGGAAAAAACUGCCCCCGCCGGAGGCACCUGAGUUGGUGGUGCCGCAAUCACCUCCUCCCGUAGUGCUAGCGCAGGUGUCGUCCGAGAUGUGUCGAGAGCAGGGGAUGACCCUCAGGGUGCGACCACCUCCACCGACGCGGGUGGUGUAGGAACCUGAGCCUCUCUAGUCGCUGCCUGUUGAAGAAGAAAGUCCUCAAGUCGCUUCAUCCGCGCCUCCUGCCGACGCGCCGCAUCCACCUGCUGUUAAGCCGCUGCGGUCUGCUGUGCAACCAAGUCGGUGAGGGCCGCAAACUGGCUCCUCAACUCUCGGACCUCACCGGAUCUGGAGGUAGCGGAGGUAUCAACCUCCUCCAAGUGUGCCGCAUUAUCCGCUUCGACAGAUUGAGAGCGUGUUAUCGGCAUCUCACUACAACAUCAUAAAAACGGAAGUUAGUAAAACCCACGCUAUCGAAUCCCCGCUCAAGAAGAUAAUACCCAAAUCAUGCGAAAGUAAGGAAGUGUUCUUCACUACUAACUCCUGAUGUUACGUUGUCGGCAGCCAACGUAACCUUCCGCGAAGUUAGAAGUCAUACACUUCGAUUAAACUCUAACUUUUUAGAGUUAUCCAAGAUACCCAAUCAUGAUACUUUCGCUUACAAGUCAAAUAGAUCUCGUCUCUCACGAGCCUAUUUCCUAUAGUCCACCGGCUUAAGGUUUGCUAGGUCCACUAAGACUCAACCGUAGGCUCUGAUACCAAAAUAAUCUGUCACGCCCCGGGACGCAGCGGAAGCCCGCCCGGUGCGUGUCCAGACCCGCCAUACGUCUAAAAUAUAUAAGGCGUCUACAAUAAAACAGUAAAUAAAGCAAUAAUAGAAAAAUAUCUAGAAGUAUCAGAGCAACGUACAACUAGAUUUUACAGUAAAGGAAUAAACAAAGGCUAAAAUUCACUAAAAUAGAACCAUAAAGUAGUACAUCCGAAAUCCAAAUACAAGAGCUAAGAGUAAUACAAGGUGGUCUCUAUACAUGGUAACAAAACUCUCCCUCACAACAAAACACAAAAAAGGAGAACCACAUAAAGCAAAAAGCGAACUCCACGCUAUCUAGUGAGCGAUCCCCUUGCCACGGUCCCGUGCCUCCACCGGUGUAGAGGGCUCUGAAAUAAAACCAUAAAACAAGGGGCGUGAGAACUAUUAAAUAAUAGUUCCCAGUGGGCAAUUACUGACUUGAAUGAAAAGCCCCACAAGGCUUGAAAACUAAGCAGAUAAGUGCGAAUAAAUAAGCAAUAUGAAUGACAAGUAUUUAAAUAUGAAUACUUACUAAACCAUGAUAUCUCUAUUUAGCAUGGAUUUGCAUAAGGAAUAAAGCUACUGUAACAUGAAUGUACAUGAGUAUAACUAACAUAAUGUCCAUAAGCUAAAUAGUAAAAUGUCAUUGUUUACUAUUCUAGUCAACGACCUUUCGGUAUACUAAGUCACCAAUGUCCAAUCCUGUAGGACGUACCGUAGGUAGUUCGGCCUGCGCCUUGCCUAAUGGCCCCGUGGUAGUCAACAUUCUCACUCUAGGAAUGCGCCUCCCCCACGGCAUCCUAUUUUGGCUCCCAAUCCCGCACGGGUGAGCAUGUGUCGCGAUGGCUAUCUCCGGAGUGCCGGCUUGUGGGAAGUGACCCUCACAAGCAUGUGCGAAUGAGCACGAUGGCAAGCAAGCGUAAGAGUCCGUCUCAAGUCUUAAGUCAUCAUGUCUAAAACAUGGAAUGUACCAAAUAUCUCAAUGGCCUAUCACUAUGUCAUCAUGUCUAAAACAUGGAAUAGAGUCGAUGUCACAAUGGCCUAUCACUAUGUUUCUAUGUUGCAGUUUCACAGUUUACUAGUUCGGUGCCCCUUUAUGGCAUUUUUAUCCACUAAGUCCAAGCAUGAGUUUAGUGUUCAGGAGUUCAUAAUUCGAGUCAUUUUCAUCACAAGAGACAUGUUGCCAACUCACAAGGAAGAAUAUUAUUCACAUGCAUGAGUAAUACAUAGAGCUCUUUACUACAUAGAGUCAAUUUUUCAUAAAACAUAACACAUGCAUUUUAAGUAUUCUAAAAUUCAUAAAAAUCCUAUCUAGUAUGAAUAUGCAUGCAUUUCGAUGUUAUGACAACUUUUAACCACAUAGGAGAAAAUUCCUCCCAUUCCAAUGAAGCCAAAUCCACCGUGACUCUCGUAACCCUUCGUUUCGCCGAACGAGGUUGCCCACCACUCUCCUAGCACCCUAAAGGUAAGGAAAAGAGAGAUACACAAACGUUACGAACAACCCAUUGUUCAAACAUUAAGCAAUCCAAACAAAGGUGAAGAAAACUCACCGAAAGCGAAGAAACCCCUCUCGAUCUCCAAAAGGGAGUUAGAGGCCCACUAAUCCAACCUAAACAAAGGUUCUAAUAAGAUCAAUUGGGCUUCAAAAGCCUCUAAUCAAAAAUCCCCAUUAUUAACCCUAAUAUGCUCAAUCUAGGGUUUCCACAAGUAACACCUACUAAAACAUGGAUCAAAGGGGGAUUUAAGCUUACUAACCUCAAAUGAAGCUCCAAACAAGGCUCCAAGAUCACUAUGGUUGAAGAUCUUCCUUCCCACAAGCUCCAAUCUUCAAUCCAAUGCUUAUCCAAAGUAGAAAUCCCAACACGGAACAAGAAAAAGCAAAGAGAGAAGAUCAAAAUAGGCUAAAAGCAAGAAAAAGAGAAAGGAAAUCAAGAGAGGAGCUCUUACCUCUCUUUUCCACGUUCAAGGGCUCAAAAGAGCUUCUAAGGGGCUGUGGGGUGUUUUAUAAUAAGCCACAAUUGCAAAAACACCCUCCCAAAAUAAACAGUCUGCGGACUGCAAAGUGUACCGGUACACGAAAAAGUGUACCGGUUCAAAUCCUGCGAGAUAGCAAACCAAAGCCUCAGGUUGGCAGAAAAAUCCACUUGUACCGGUACAACCAUCGAGUUGUCAUCGGCAUACUUUCUGUACCGGUACAACCAUCAAGCUGUACCGGUACACUGCCCAGAAAAAGGCAACCCGAGAGCAGCCUAAGUCCAUCACUUUGGUGGCCUUAGCGCUACUUUAAAUACUACAAUUCUCGGGAUGCAAGUCAUAGGUCGGAACACUGUCAACGACCCUCCAGAAUAUCUGGAAGAACUCGGAACACUGAUCAAACACUCGAACUCCGCAAUUUGUAAAGGUCCAGUGUGUUAAAAGGACCUAGCAGGGUCUAAAUGUUCCCACUUCAUUUGGAAAAGUACAGUGUUGCAAUAUUUUGUAAACCAAACGAUGUAAACUUAACUAAGUUUCAUUCGAGUUGAAUGUUCAAGCUUGUGGUUGUGCUCUGAUAUAUUUAUAUGUACACAUAUCAUGAAUGUUUGUAUUGAUUGUUGUAUAUUACUGUUUCAUUCGAGUGGGGGUUCGUCUUACCUGUUUGGCGGGCCUGAGUGCGUGCCUGAGCGAAUACAAAUUGAGUGGUCUCCGGGCGUGAUAAUACACUUGAUGACGAAGAAAGGAUGAGAUAAAAUAAAAUUCAAAUUUAAAAAUAACUUACGUUCAACUUUGAAACUUGAACUUAAGUUUCAAAUUAUUAGAACAAUUUUACAGCAUAAAUUUGAAUCCAAAUUUAAAUAGUAACGAAAAUUCAAAUUAUAAACUUGCAAUUUUUUUUCACUCUAUCACUGUGUCAAAGAUUCUUCGCUUCUCUCAUUGGAGGGGGCUCAUCCUUUUCAGUUACAAAGAGCACCCAAAGCCAAACCUUGCUCACCAAGUAAAGAGAUUUUAUUGCUCCACUGCCUAGCUUUUGUUUGGUAAUUGACUUGAUGAGGACCCACUUGAGCCAAGGAGAAGAAGAUGCUUUCAAGUUGUACCAUUACUUUUUCUUUCUUUUUCUUUUUUUUUUUCCUGCUUUCGGUUGUACCAUUACUUUUAUUUUUUGCCCUGCCACUAAAUGCCUGCAACUUAGAGUACUAGUGAGUUGAGUGUGGCUUUUGACGCGCGAGCUAGGUCGGGUCAGAUCGGAUCUGCUUGCUUUUAACAUGCAUUGAUUUGAUACGGGCGUCGUUUUAAUUUUGGAUCCAUAGUGCACUGCUCUUGCGACUUUGCAGAACCUGAUACAAUUACGUGAGUCUCGCAGAAAUGCGGGUAAUAGGAGGAUUUUAAUGGAGUGUUACAUGGGAACAAAGUAAAGAUAUUGAAUGAGGUUGAAAUCAAGCCUGUUACAGGAAACGUUCUUUGAAAAUAAUAAAUAUGAUUAGAAAUGGGAAUUGUAUGCCAAUAACAAUAAUUCAACCACCCUGUCACUAAUCUUCAAAAAUAUGGAAUAAAAGGCUUAUGUAAAAACAAAAAUUUUAAGUUCUAAAAAUUUAAGUUCCAUAGAUAAAACAAAUCAAUGAUCAAGGGGGUAAUUAGAACGCAAUAAUCAGAAUGGCAAGUGUUUGUGAUGGAAUAACAUAUUUUUUUAUAGAAAUGUCAUAUUAUCGAACAUAUACAGCAAACAAACCUUGAUCAAGCACCAAAAGCCGGAAUCAUUUCAUGCACAUUUCCAACUAAGUUUAUUUCUAAAUGAAAUAAACGAAUCGGGUAGCGUGCUACCUAUCUCUUAAAAAAAAAAAAAAAAAAAACAUGACCCCUGUAUAAUUUUUAUACGUAAAAGCAAAUAAGUUGGGUAGUUUUCCUCACUUUGGCAAUUUAUUAAAUAACCAUUAUAUUUUAAAUAAUGUAUUUCAAACUCUUCAUAUACUCUAUCAAUAAAUUAAUUUUUAGGAAAAACUUCAAAUAACAUCCUUGUGGUUUCACACUUUAAUACCCUAAACUUCAAAUACUAAAGUAUAUCAAUUUAAUAUUCUGUGGUUUUAUUUUUAUAUUUUUAUUAUUAAUUUUACUAAUUUUUUUUAUUAAAUAGGUGACAAAGUUAAAACUAAAGGAUACUAAAGUAAAUAUUUGAUAAAUGUAGGUGGGGUAUCUAAAGUUUUUUGUCUAUAAUUCAACAAAAUAUUAAUGAAAAUGUUGAUGAAAAGAUAAAAAAUGAAACCACAGUACACUAACUUGAUACACUUUAAAUCAUAUGGUACUAAAGUGAGAAAGCGCGAAACCACAAGGGUGGUUUUGGAAGUUUAUCCUAAUUUUUUAUACCAAUUAAGAGAACAUAAAUUUAUUUUUGGUUACAUUAUAUAAAACCCUUCUGUAAAAAUCUGAUUUUUCAAUUUCCCUCUUGUCAUUUAAAAACCUAUACUUUACCCCUUAUAAAAUAAAAAAUGUUUACAGAGGGGUAUGGUGUGAAAUGUAAUAACAAAGUGGCCAAUUUGUUUCUCACCAUUUUUGUCUCCUCCCUCAUAUCGCUCAUCCACUGUCUCCUCUCUUCGAUUUUUCACGUCUCGAUCGGCCGGAGUUCAUCUCUAUUUUCUUCUCCGCCUACUCCCCUUCUCCUCCUGCCCCCUCGUCGCCCCUUCAUUUUGGCAACAGUAACGAGAAAAUCGAGGUAGGAGGAAAUCGAGGAAAUCGAGGCGGGAAAGGGCGAGGGCAAGGGUGAAGGCAAAGCUAAAGAGGAGGGCGAGGGGGUGUUUAUGAGCGCGGACGGAGAUGUGGGCGAGGGCUAGGCAGCGAAGGAGGGCGAAGCGGCGAGCCGAAAGAGGGCAAGGCAACAUAAGAGAAGACUGAGGGUAUUUUUGGCAUUAAAAAAUAUAAUAAUAUUUAUAAACAGAAUCCUAACGGACCAUUAACGACAGAGGGUGAAGUGAACAUUUUUCAUUUUAUAAGGAGGCAAAGUGUAGGUUUUUAAAUGACAGGGUGGGAAAGUGAAAAAUCAGGUUUUGACUGGAAGAUUUUCUGUAAUUUAGCCUUUAUUUUUUUUAAUACACUCCGUUAAUAAAUGUAUUUAUAAAUAUGUAAAAUUAAUUUGUUUUGUAAACUUUGCUAGUUAAUUAAUACAACAAAGUACAUGUAAACAUAAAUCUUAGUGAUCUUUCAUGUAUUUUUUUUUAUUUUCACAAUGUUUUCACAUUAAUUACGACACUUUCACUUUGUAAAUUUCUUCUCUCAAAAACCAAACAAAACCAAAUUAAAAAGAAUAAUCAAAUAAAAAAUAUAUUACAAUUAUUUUUAAUAAAAUCAAAUAUUUAAAAAAAUUAAUUUUAUUUCAAUUAGAAUAAAAUAGUUGAGAAGAUAAAAAGUUAUUAAAAUUUUUAAAUUACGUGAUCCAGGUAAAUUUAAAUUUUCAUGACCUUUCAUAUAACUUAUUAUUAAAUAUAAUUAAACAAAUCUAAAUUUAAAUCUUUCUAUUAUUUUAUAAACUUUAUAAAUAGUUUCAUAUUAAAUAAAAAUUUCUUAUAUUUUUUCCCACACCUUUAAAUUUAUAUACCUUGAUUUACUUUACUAUAAAAAUUUUAAUAUAUUUAUUAUUUAUGUCGAAAAGAUAUUUAGUACAAACUAAUUUUGAUUUAAUUAAAAUAAAAUAUUUGAGAUAAUAAACUUAUCAAACUUUUUAAAAUAUGUGACACAUAUUACUUGUUAGAAGAAAGGUAAUUUUUAGUGAAUUAUGUUUAAGUGUUAUAGAAUUUAUUUUCAAACUCUUUUCUAUACCUUAUUAAUAAAUUAGCUUUUUAUAUUAAAUUAGAAAACCUAAAUUUAAUUAUUGUCAUAUUCUCUAUUAAUAAAUACUAGUGAAAGAACCCGCGUAUCGCGGCAGGUAUAAAUUAUAUAAGUAAUUAAUAAUAAAAAAAAUAUCGAGCAUUUUCUUAUGUCCCUCACUUGCCACACCCAUCAAAUGUCACUCACUAUUUGCGGUGGGGAUGGACCCGAUGAUGCCAUCUUCGGUGACGGCGAUAGUGACGGUGACAGACCAUACCUUCGACCACAGCGGAGGGGGGGAGGUGGGCGCAUAUUAGAGAGAGAGAGAGAGAGAGAGAGAGAGAGAUAUGACGGUAUUAAAAAAAAAUGAAAAAGAAAGAAUUGAUGAAUUAAUUAGAGAUGGAGAGAAGAGAAUCGUAAAUGACAGUGGACCGUUUGGAUGCAUUAAUUAAAAGUUUGGUGAAGAAAAAAAAAAGGAUCACAAUGAAUUAAUUAGAGAUUGUUGGUAAAGAUUGUAAAAUAGUAGUGAAGCUAUUUAAAUGCAUUAAUUCAAAGUUUCGUAGUGGGACCGUUUGAAUGCGUAUUAAAAGUUUGGUGAAGGAAAGAUAACGUGUCACGUGCUUGUGACGAUAAAAAAAAAAAAAAUUUGCCACGUAGUAAAAAAUAUUAAAAAAAAUUUAAACUCAAAUCUUUUAGUAUGUUCUAUUAAUAUAUUACACUUAAAUGUCUGCCACCUUUCAUAUAGUCUACCAGUAAAUAUAAUCUUUUGUGGAGUAUUUUUAUAUAUAUAUUUUUAAAAUUGAAUCGUUCAUUUUAUUGUCAUGGACGGCUGUGAUCAUCCCUCCAGCCGGUUGCUACCGGCUACUGUCGGUAUUCUGCAGGCGGUACCGGUCAUCCUGUAAACGCAUGAAAGGGUAUUUUGGUCCUUCGGCGUUGUUGGAACUUGGAAAGGCUUAAUUACUCCCCAGUCCCCCACAAUAGUGUUAUUUGCAUCACCCAAUAAGCCGGUAACCAUGUCAUGUCCUGCACAAAUUCCUUCUCAAGUGUGCUUUAUUUUGCUCCAUAUUCCAGGAGCCUGUCUGACCUAAGUUCUGAAAAAAUAAUUUUUAUAAAGUUAAUUUUAAUUUAAAAAAAUUAAUUUUGAUUAAAAAUUGUAAAAUGUUUGACUGAGUUUAGAUAUAAAACGAUUAAAGCAGAAAUUGAGAGUUUGAGACAUAAGAUUGAAAGGGAAUAGGGCACCAAUCUAGUGCACCUCAUGUAGACGAUAAAUGGUUUCAAAAAUUUACUAUUAUUUAAUUUUGCAUAAUAAUUUUCUCAAUGUCUUUUCACUAAAUUAUAAGUUUAUCAAUAAUUUUUUUAGUAUCACCAAUGUUUUUAUAAAUGUGAAAAAUAUUUUCAUACAUUCCUAAUAGUAAAACUUUAUUUAAAUUGGAUGAAUUGUUUCUAAAAUUUUACUUUUACCUCCCGAUGAGCCAAAAACUAAUUAGCAAACUUAUUAUCAGAUUAGUAAUUUCCAGAAAUUUAGUAUGUUUUCUAAAAAAUUUAAUAAAAUACAAAUGAUGGAUCAUACACUUUAUAAGGAAUAAAAAAAAUUACACUACAAGUCAUAAAAUAAAAGAAAAAAAAUCAAAUAAAAAUAUUAAAAAAUUUAUUAUGUAUUAAUAUUUUGCCCUUUAUGAAAGGGUUAACGGAAAAUUUGUUAUUUCAUAUCAUUAGCACUAAUCAUUAAUCCCAAAAACUCGAGUUGUUAAAAAUGCACAAUCAAUUCACUUAAAGGGGCUGUUUGGUUGCACGUAUUUGCAACUUCAGUGCAGUUGCAAAUGUGUGCAACCUCAAUUCCUAUGUUUGGUUUAGUGCAAUUGAGUUCAACUGCUGCAGUUUCAACUGCACAAGAAGGUUCAAAUGUUGCAGUUGGAACUACAUCCAAACUGGCUGCAGUUCCAACUGCAGCAGUUGGUGAGAAAUAGGAUCACCUAUAAGUGAACAAUAAUAAAUAAAUAAAUAAAUAAAUAGGGAAAUAAAUUUUAUAUAUAUAUAUAUAUAUAUAUAUAUAUAUAUAUAUAUAUAUAUAUAUNACAAGCUUUGUGCAAAAAAUUAAAGGUUUUUAAAUAUAUUUUAUUUAAAAUAUAAAAAUAGUUUCUUCUUUCUAAAUUUUUAUAAAUUGCGAUUGUGUAUGUUAACUUAAUAAGUUUUAAUUAAUUAUAAUUAUUAAAUUUGAUAAAAAAAAAAGAGAGAAUCAUUUAAACUUUUUAAGUUUGAUUUACAUAUUAAAAUUAAAUAAAUUAAAAAUUUUAAAUGUGUCGAUUAAUAAGUUGAAGAUUGGUUGAAAAUUAUAAAAAUAUCAUAUAUAUCUACUUAUUUAUUUAUAAAUAGUAAGUUUAAAUGAUUAAUAAACUUAUACAAUUACUGUAUGCAUGGUGAAGGUAAUCUCACUACUCUAUCUCAAGAGGUGACAAAAUUCACAAAUAUAACUAUAUCAGCUUCAUAUCAUCAAAUAGAAGAAAUAUAACUGCAGCAAUUGUAACAGUAUCAAACCAAACAGAUUAGGUGUAGUUACAACUGCAGCAUUUGCAACUGUAUGUAUUUUUAACUAUACUGUUUUUGUAACUACAUCCAACCAAACGGCCUCAAAGUGUACAGAUACAGCGCCCACGGGUCUCGAUUGUGACUCGGCCCAACCAGCUUUAUGCCACUUUGAACAUAACUCGGUCUAAUUCGGCCUCACACAAUUUUGAAUGUGACUCAGCCUACUUGGCAUUCUGGCACAAGGCAGAAUGGUGACUCAUUUAAGCCAACAUGAAGGAUAGAUUUGAAAAUGUCCCCAAUUUUACAAAGCCAAUCACCUGAUUAUGGGCUACAGUUUGCAAUGUCAACUUUAUCCUUUUCGAAUUAAUGGAUGGAUUUGCUUAGGAGGGAAGCAAAUCUUUAAUAUCUUUUUCACAUUAUAUAAACCUCUUUCAAAACUUCUCUCAUGCAUAAUACUCCACUCAUGAUCCUUCCCCUGCUCCGCAUUUGACCACCUCCUCCACCCUUCCCUUUAGAAAAUCUCCAGGUCAGAUCUAUUCGCCUCAGUAAAGUCUAAUAUAAUAUUAUUAUAGCUCAUUCCUCAGUCACUCUGAGUGAUUUAUCUUAGGAGGCUUUUGGAUCGAUGAAGUUACGAUUUGUUUUCUAAAUCAAGUUUAUUAACAACAAAUAUAUUAGUCUUGUCAUCUAUCGUAGACGGCAAGCCAGUUAGUGCUUUAGACUUAAAUUCUCAAAGAAAGAAAAAAAAAAAAGAAGAAAUCAUUUGAAAUCGUUCGAACUCAUCUUUUCAAUAUCCCUGGCGAUAUGCUAAUUGAUGGCAAAAAUCAAUCCAAAUGCCCCCUUAGAUGAAUUUCAGCCUCUGCGGUCUGUACUAUAUAUUUCUUUUUCGUUUUUGCCCUAGAGGCGUGUGAUCGUGGUUGGUUGUAACCUGAAGAACGUUGUAUUUUCUUUUCGUUCCAUAGUGAAAUUCUCUCCUUCCUCGCCCGUAGUUUUUUUCUUGCAAAAGAUUUUCCACGUAAAUAUAUGUCUCUUUAUUUUCUGCUUGUGGUUUGAUUAUUUUUUGUGUUCGUCAUUUCGUUUUCGUUUGUGCGUUUGUCGUAACAUUAUGCAUAUAUACGUCUUCAAAUUAAAAGUGGCUCUCAGCUGCUUUCCCUCCGGUUUGUUAUUGUUUUUUGGGGCUUAUGUUGGUUCUCUAAUUGUUAAUUAGAAUUAUGUAAUCGAUUACAUCAUCAUUUCUUCUUACAGGUAGGUAAACCUUUAAUCUGCAAAUUAACUAGCUAGCAAACAUGGCCAGCACCACAAAGCUCAGUGUGAAGCUCCUAGUCGACACCAGAGCCAACAAAGUCCUUUUCGCCGAAGCCGGAAAAGAUGUGGUCGACUUCUUAUUCGGCCUACUCGCGCUUCCAGUAGGGACCAUCAUAAAGCUCAUAACAAAAGAAUCCAUGGUCGGAAGCGUCGCAAACAUACGUCAAAGCUUAGAGAGCCUCGACGGUACCUACUUCCUCUCCGACCAAGCCAAGGUCGAUCUCCUCAACCCGGAGGUAUCGGUCCCUUCGCUCUCAGAAAAUGGCGUACUCCUCUUGCCUACUUCUGCAUCGUCGUCGUCGUCGACGCAUACGAGUAAAAAGUACUAUAGGUGUUCCUAUAAUUAUAACUCCUCUUGCUACGACUAUGUUACGCGUGUUAGCGGGGCUCAUUGCCCUGGAUGCAAGAAUAACAUGACAAGAGAGGUGCAAUAUUUUGAGCCCAGAUCGGAAGGAACAGUAAAGGCCGAGAAUAAUAAUGGGGAAAUUAAUGUUUUAGGAGUUGUGAAGGGGACGUACACCAUAAUGGAUGAUCUCACCAUCACGCCCAUGUCAACUAUAUAUACCAAGUAUCACCCUGCUUAAUAACCUGCUUAACACCUGUCAUGUCAAGGACUUGAGCGUGCUCCAGGAGACGACCGUACAGCUCGGCGUGGAAGAGGUUCCAUUCUCCUAUAUAUCUCUUUCUUUUUAUCUUUCCUUCUUUGUUUUUUGUUUUUUGCUCUUCUCUAUCUCAAAUAUAUAUAGGCAAGUGAUAAAUUGCAGUCAAAUAUAUAUAGGCAAGUGAUAAAUUGCAGUACUAGCUAGAACCUGAACCUUUAUUAGCCAAGUUACAUUUUGUUCUCCAGCUUUUAAGUUUCACAUUCGCUACCUCCAACUUUGAAAAUUUUUUCACUUCAGUCCUCAUUUAAGAUGAAAAAUAACUACCUACACCUGGUUCAUCCGUAUGUUAUGUGCACCACGUAUCCAUUGUUAAGAAUGUAAUGUGCUAGGGUACGUACUUCCACCUAGUAGUCCGAGGUUUAGUUUAGUUCAAGCCCUUUAAAAUGAUAUCAAAUCUUAGAGGCCGUUUGGUUGCAUGUAGUUGCAACUAUAGUACAGUUGUAACUAUAUGCAAAUGCAAAUUCGAUGUUUGAUUUGAUGUAUUUAAUUUCAAUUACUGUAGGAAAGGUCCCAACUGCAGCAGUUUGAACUACGCCCAAAUUGGUCGCAGUUUUAACUGUAGCAGUUGGAGAUCGAGAGUAAUUUUAAAUAAAAGAUAUGCUUACCUGCUCAAUUAUUUUUUAAACAAAAAUUAUUUUUUCUUUUACAUUGGAGGUACGUAAUCUCACCAUCAUAUAUAGAAAAUAAUAAAAUUUUAAAAAUUAUUUUUCAACUACAUGCAACCAAACAAAUUAUUUAUACUUGCAGCGUUUUCUAUUGCAUCCAACCAAACAGAAUGCAUAUAGUUGUAACUGCUGUAUUUUUAAAUACAUGCAUCUUUAAUUAUACUGUAUUUAUAAUUACAUUUAACCAAACGGCCCCUUAGUUCACAACUUACGUAUUUUUGGUUAGCCAAGUUGUUGUGUGUUAGUAGCACGUAGCACGCGCGUUGGGUUCGCCCCUCAUACUAAUCAAGAGAAGUUGAAAGUUGUAAAGAACAGCUUGCGAGAAUAACAUGUGGUUCCAAUACCUAUGCCUAAAUCAUAUGAAACUACAAAACUGUGUAGGUGUUUGGAUGAAAUAGAAUUAGAUAAUUCUUGAUGUUGUCACUCAGCUUAUAAUUAACAAGGCCUGUUUAACAGCUUUUCUAUGUUGAGAGGGAUAAUUCACAGAGAAUCCGAAUAGGACCUAGUAGUCCCAUAUUAAAUAUUAAAUAGAACAAGAAUUUUUAACUGUAUUUAAUGGGUAAGGGUAUCUUCUUUUGUGAACUUAAGUUUUUUGGAUUGGUUCAAAUCAAUUAACAUCUACUAGCCCUUCAUCAUUAAUCUUGUUGGUAGUCGAAUUUUUCGAUCCUUGACCCGAUCAAAGAUUCUCCUCAGAAAGCGCGCCGGGGUGAGGAGCAGUUGCAGAUAGUAACUCUCGAAGUUUGCGCCCUUCGACAGAUCAAGCGAUUCGGCUGACGAGGGAUCGAGCCAGCUGGGUUCGAAAAUCUUCACUAUAAAACUGGUUCGACUGGAGAAGCUGAAUGUAUGAACUGUGCAGGGAUCGAUGUCGGCAGAAGAGCCGAAUAGAAGAAGUGCACAAUAACUGGUCGGUUGAAAGAGCCGAAUAAAUGAAAUACACAAUGACUGGUCGGCUGAAAGAGCCGAAUGCCUAAAUAUAUAUAUAUUAAUAAAAUAGAGUGUGCCCGAAGAGCAUACAGACUCUGCAAAUAUGUAGUUUACAACGGAGUGAUGCUAGUGGGACUGACAGACUCCAGGGUUCUACUUAAAAACUACUCCUAGGAAAGCAGUAAAUGCGAAAAAGAAAAGAUUAUAUUUAGACUACUCCUAGAAAAGCAAUAAAAUUGCAAGAAAAAUAGGAUGAUAUUCUCGUUCAGGGAGGAAAAAGACUCCUAUUGUAGGUUUCGAAAUUACUAUUUAUAGUAAUAUCAAUCCACAUUAUUGGUUGGUUGAAAGUAGUAGGGGGAGUGGUUGUAAAACCUUCAGGCGCCUUAAUUAUUGCCGACUCCUAGUGUACCACGUGUCCUUAUUGGCUCAUACAUGGAUUAGGUCGGCAUGUUAAUUUCAAUUUUGGCAUCAACAAAUCUUAUAUUUUUGAUCUAACUACUCAAUUUCUAAAUAUAAAAUCUGCAAGUAAAUAGGUGGUAUGACUAAAAUAUGAGACGUGAGAUUAAUUAAGAGCAGAACGCGGUGCUCAACAUGCAGAUGAGAUGCACCGGGUUUAGGCAAAUAAUAUUGUUGGGUUAAUUGCCCCUUCGGCCCUCAAUGUUUGCAUGGCAUUUAACUUUAGUCCUCAAUCUUAUACAUUUUACAAUCGGGUUGCUAAUUACCUUUUUAUUUGUUGAAGUCCUUGUCGCCAAAGACUAAUUAACUUUAACCAAGUUAAUUUGUCAUGUUAGUUAGUAUCAAACAAUAUUUGCCACAACAAUUAAUACUGUUUACUGUAUAUUCCAGUUUUUUUUCUUUAGUAGUACAUAAAGAUAUGGACCAAAAUAUAACGCUGGCAAAUAAUAUUGUUGGAUUCGUUGAAGUUAAACCCAAAUUCAUCAACUGUGAAGAGUGAAUCUGAGUAGAUUAAAUGAAAUCUACUCAUAACAUCAUCACUUGAAAAUUGUUUUCUAUGAAUAGUUUAGGCAGUUUAAUUUUCUCGCAUUUAUCGAACUCUAUAAAUAUAUGAACUUGCAAAUUACAGCGUCUAAGUCGGUAUUUCACUACAAACUCUUGAAAAGUCUUGUUAAAUUGCAUAUGCAUCUUAAUAUAGUAGGGACAUCUACGAGAAAGAGUUUGCGUUGCGACAUAGCCUAACAAGAGCAUGUGCAUAUAUAUAUUGGUAAGAUUUUCAAAAAUACACAUAAAAUUAUCAAUUUUGCAGAUAUAUUUGCAGAAUUUUAUAUAUUUUUAAGAUUAUGCGCGCAAAAGAAACCCACAUAUUUAUAAGUUUUAGGCACAUGAUGGGCAGGGUUUGCAGCUGCUGAAGACAUCUCUGCAGUCUAAGACUGUUCUUACCGACAUUUUCCUUGCGAAGAGGGAGGCAUGAGUGAGGGGGUCGAUCUGAUACAGAAUGGCCUUGUUGAAUACUUGAAUGUUAGGUUCCUUUUUGGUGUGAUUAAUAAUGCUGCAGGGUUUUGUUCCAGCUCCUUUUGUGUCAGUGGACAUGCUCCUUAUAUAUAUAUAUGUGUGUGUUUUAUGACAACUCUAAUGGACAUUAUUAUUAUAAAUAUAAUGUAAUUAGAGAUGUGUGUAGUUGGAAUAGCUCUCACGUGGUUUCAAUGUGUCUUUAUUUUCUCACAUAUAUAUAGUUCAGAAAAUCUAACUUUACUACCUUGUAAUUUUGUUUGUCACAGUUAGAAUCGAUCAUUAAAUCGGGUUAGUGGUUUAUUUUAGAAAUCGCAAGGAGGUGAAGUGCAAAUUAUAACCGGUCCUUUAGUUUGUAAAAUGUAUUACUUUACUAUCUUCUGAUUUAUGAAUAUCCUUACUUAAUAUGACCAAUUAAUUCUUACAGUAAUAUAAAGAGAAAAUUAUAUAUGAAUAGGAAAGUGGAAUUUUUGAAACCAUAAUGUGGUAACGGAAAUGGUUACUAAAAGCGCUAAAUGAAGUUUUUCUUAAUAUUUUGUGGGGAUGAUUGUCCUAUAACUACUCAACCCAUAUUUCAAAAAAGGGGGAAUUAUAUUGAUCUACUAGAAUUUUUUUCCUACAAACUCUGAAAACCUAACAAACUUUUUUCUCCUCGCUUUUCAUUAUCGUCGUUCUCCCUGACUCCCUCGACCUACGCUACAUCCUACUUGUUGUUGCCACCAUUGUCGUGGCUACUAUACCACUGCCAUUGCCUUUGAACCAUACUAAGGGGGCGUUUGGUUCGGUGUAAAAUAAAUUGAAAAUUAUUUUCAGUAUGAAAAAUACUUUUUCGCUUAUUUGGUUCCAUGUAAAAUAAUUUUUUCAUGAAAGUAUUUUUACGAAUUUAGAAAAAAAUAUUGAAGUUUUCAUUUUCCAUUGUUUUUCGGUGGAAAACGAAAUCUCUCAUUUACCCGCUCUUUCUCCUUACAUUAAUAUACUAUUAUAUACUAUUUUAUUUAUAAAUAUAUAUAUAUAUAUAUAUAUAUAUAUAUAUAUAUAUAUAUAUAUAUAUAUAUAUAUAUAUAUAUGUUAUUAUAUAUUAUAAUAUAUGGUUAAUUUCAUAUAGGUCCCUGCAAACAUAAUGAAUGACAAAUAUGUCCCUAAAAAAUUCAACUUUCAUAUAUUGUUCCUACGAGAGUCCUGAUGUUUUCAAAUAUGUCUCUGUCGUUAGAAUCUGUUAGAAAAAUUUAGUUAAUUAUAGGUUAAAUAUUUUAUCCCGGUAAGUUUUUGACAUUUUUACCCCUCUUAUAUUAUACUGUUAUGACUUUUGGAGGAAUAUAUUUGUGAUGACAGAAUUGAAAAUAUAAAUAGUUCUCUAACGGUUCUUUAACAGUAAUAAAACAUAAGAACAUAUUUGAAAAUAUUAGAACUUUUGUAGGGACAAUACAUGAAACUUAAACUUUGUAAGAAUAUAUUUGUCAUUCACUAUAUUUUUUAGGGACCUGUAUAGAAUUAACCCUAUAAUAUAUAUUUAAUAUAAUUUUGAAUAUAUUUAAAUUAUAAAUAUAGAUGGUAAAGAUUAUAAUAAUAAUAAUAUAUAAAUUUUAAUUAUAAUAUAUAUAAUAUGUUAGUUAUUUAUAUAAUUAAUACAUAAUAUAUAAUAUAUAAUAGAAGAAAAUAAUAAGGAUAAUUGCAUACAUAUCCUUCAAAACCUCUAAAAUAUCUUAUUUACCCUUACUUUUCUUUGUUUCCAAUAUACCCCUUAUAUAUUUUUCUAUUGUUUAAAAAUACUCCUGCUGUCAGUGCCUGUUAAGUCAUCUCAGCUUAAAUCUAAGUUAAACUUUUAUCAUAAUUAAAAAAUUAUAAAAAUACAUAUAUUGUUCUAAUUUAUAGGCAAAUAAGAAAAGUUGGUGACGGUAGAAGGUAUAUUUGAAAAGCUAAAAAGUCAAAAUACUUCUUUUGCCCCUAACUUAACAGUUCACUACAUAAUUUAACUUUAGGGGUAUAUUUGAAAAACUUUGGUACUUUAAAAAUAUAUUUUUAAUAUUAGCAUUCUAAAAGGGUUAAAUAAGAAAGUAGGAAACUUUUCAGUAUAUAUAAGCAAUUGCCCCAAAAUUAUAUAAAAUUAUUUUUAUUUAAACUUUUCGUUUCAACCAAACAAACAUAGCAGGCCUAUAGGUCUCUAUUGUGAUUCGGUCUAAUUAGCCUCGCGUCACUUCAAACAUGAAGCAACCCAACCCGAUCCCUACCAUUUCGAACGUGACUUCAUUCAACUUAACCUUACGCCGUAGGUCAGGAUGUAGGGAUGCAAAUGGAUCCGGGUUGGUGGAGCUCUUGCCUCGAUUCGCUCCGAAUGGAGCGGUAAGUGCGAACAAAAAAUAUAGAAAAAUAUAACCUGCCUCGAUCAUCUGCCAAAUAAAUGGAGAGAGAGGCGGGAGACCCAUUUCUUCCUUCAAUCCGCCUUGAUCUGUCAAAAAUUCGUCAGAAACCCGCUCCCGCCCCGAUCCGUCCCGACUGUAGCGGUAAGUAGGAGCCAAAAAGAAAAUAAAAAAUAACCGACCUCGAAUCUGCCCCGCCCUGACAUGAAAUGGAGCGGGAGAUGGGGGAACCCUCCCGCCCCUAGAUCUGCCCCGUUUGCAUCCCUAGCAGGAUGCUGACCCAUUUAAGCCAACAUUUUCAACUUAAUCAACGAGUAUUGUUUGAAGGUUUAUAAAAUUUGUAGAGGCAUAUUAUUUCUCUUAUUAAGCUUGGUGUGUAAAUUAUUUUAAAAAUUUUAUAGGAAUAUACUAAUAAGUGACCUUUUUUCUAAACAAGCGUGUGCACAGCACGAGCGCGAGUCGAGCUGGGUUGGGCGCGGUCUUGGUUUGUUGGUGUGGUUCACCUAUACUUAAACCUUAUCUUUUGUUUUUAUUUUUUGCAAUUCAAAAUAUUUUUAAAGAAAUAUUUCUACUAAACGAAUAGACAGAUUUUUCAAACAGAACUCAUCAAAGAUUCUUUACCAAAAUACUAAAGAUCGUCGGAAUGGAUGGCUAGAGGUAGAAGUUGUUUUGCUGCUUAGUGUCAAUGGCAAUGUGGGUGGUGUAGGCCUGCAAGCGAGCAUCGAGAACGGAGAGGUGAAGACAAAGAAGUCGGGGUUAUUAAUAUCUUGGUCGAAGUUUGUCAUUAGGCUUCGUUUGGUUCGAAAACUAAAUUCUGAGGAUAAUUCUUAUUGUUCCCAAAAGUAAGGGAUUGUAUUUCUUUUCAACUACUAUUGUGAACGUUGACUAUUUAUAUAGCAAUUUGUUCAUUUUUAUGAUUAUAUUUUAUUGAUUAUAACAAAGAUACUAGCCAACUUGUUUUCAUAAAGUCAUACUGUUGGGAAUCUGGUACUCGCUAUGAUACCAGAUUUUGAGAAUUCACAACUUGCUUUGAUACCGACUGCUGUUGAUUUGAUGCCGAUUGUUGGGAUUCCACAACAGAUGCAUCAAAUCGGAUUUUUAACAUAAACCCGUCUUCUCAGCAAAAGCUGAUACAAUCGCAAAAUAGAGAAAAUCUAAUAGAAAAUAUGCGGGUAAAAUAAAAUUCACUAAAUAAGAGAGUAGCUUCAACCCGAGCUCUCUUUCUGAAUCUCUCUCACCCUUCUCUUGUCUUCUAUAAAUCUAGAAGACAACUCUCCACGUGCACUAGGUGCACUCAACUCAUGGCCAAGGUCCUCUAGUAUAUAUAGUCCACCCAAUUAGACCAUACAACAUACCCAAGCUUUAGUCGUACUCCUCUCUCGGGCUCUACAACUUUUAGAUACAUUUGUCUAUAUAUAUAAAGUUCACCCAAGAUGUACCCAAAUCCUACGAUAGUUAGGAAUCCUAGUCUAUUUAAUAUUUAAAUCUAUAUUAAUUUAUCUCUAAUAGAUUUAAAUAUUUAUCCUAAUCCAAUUAGGAAUCAACUACAAAUAUAACCAAAUCCUAACAAUUUCCGCCUUGGUUUGAUAUUUAGUCUUGAACCGCUGCGUCAAGCUCACCAUGCAAGCUCUACCUUGAGCUUGUCUCCUCCACUCGAAGUCGCUGCAUCCGCCGCUCCAUCUCAAGUAGCUGCAUCUCCGUGAACUUUUGGAACCCAAAUUGUCCUCGCUCCUAUUCUAAUUGUGCUCACGUUUAGAACGUGUAGGUUUCCGUACUUGUUCGCCUCACACACGACCCGAUUUUGCUUUCGAACCCUCAUAGCUCCAUCUAAAGCUGAAAAAUCACAACCCUUCGAGUCUAACGCACCUAGCGAGAUCAAAUUUCGCUUCAAACCAGGAGCGUGUUGCACAUUUUACACUUGUUAACGUUCUCAUGACCCCAUCGUGCAUCCGGAUCUUCAUCGUGCCGACUCCUAAAACUUUGCACGUGGUCCCAUUCCAUAUAAGAACUUUUCCACCUUUGAUCCCUUAUAGGAUGCAAAAGACUUUUUCUCCGGGCAGAUGUAAAGGAACAUACCAAUCGAGCACCUAUGCAUCAUCCGAAAUUUCAACACCACCGGUUGCCGCUUACAGCACAUCAGAAUCGAUCACCUUCGAUUCUACUACUUGUGCCAUCGCUGAUGCCUCCUUGUCCUCGUUUACAAUAGUUUUUCCUUUCUGCCACUUCAACUCUUUCAGAUCACUUUGAAGUUUUCGACAUUGCACUUUAUGUGUCCUUUCCUGUGACAGUAGAAAUAUUCUACCUCAGAUAGCGAUUUCUUAUGUUGAUCUUUGGUCGCUGAUGUUGUUGCCUCCUUCUUCGCUCUCACCACUAGCCCUACAUCCUGGCUCUAUGUGCCGAACUCCUGAGUCAUCUUCCGUAUCUCAUUCAAGAGAAGCGUCGCUGUGACUGCCUCUAUGCUUACGGUCUCCUUGCCAUAAAGCAACGCUGUCACUAGAUUCUCAUAUGUUAUCGGUAGUGAAAAGAGUAAAAUCAGUGCCUUGUUCUUAUCAUCCAUGUUGACUCCAUUGUUGGUCAACUAGGUCACCACUUUGUUGAACUCAUUUAGAUGCUCGUGUAGGCUAGCAGUUUCCUGCAUCCGCAAUGUGAACAGCCGCUGCUUCAAAUAUAACCUGUUCGCCAAGGAUUUGGUCAUGUACUGAUUUUUCAAUUUCUUUCACAACUUCGCCUGUGUCGACUCACUAGCUAUGAUGUAAAAAACCUCGCCUGCUAACAAUAGAUGAAGCAUGCUCAGCGCCUUCCACUCUAUUUUUUCCUAUGCCGAAUCCGUGACCUCCGCUGGCUUCGCUUUCUUCCCGUUCAACAUUUCGUCCAACUCUUAUUGUACAAGAAUCGCUCGUACUUUAAUUUGCGACAAGCCGAAUUUGUUUUUGCCGUCGAACUGCUCGAUUUCAAACUUCGUGGCCAUCUCUAUCGAUCUCUCCCAAGAAUUGAUAACCUUAGAGAGAGAGAAAGAGAGAGAGAGAGAGAGAGUCCAGCAAUGGCUCUUUUAAAAGCACCAAGCAUUUGGUGAUUGUAAGUUUUCCACCAUUAGAUCUAUCCCUUUGACUAAUUCCACCCCUUAGAUUAUGUUAUUCCACCAACCAUUCACUCAACCCUAGGAUACCACUAUUAUCCUAACCCAAUAAAUCUUCAUCAAAAGGUCGAAAACCUACAAGAAUUAACGACUUGGUGCUUUUAAAAGCAUAGGAGCUCAAUUCUAUAUAUACAUAAAGAGAGAGAGAGAGCGAGAACGCGAAAGAGAGAGAGAGAGAGAGAGAGAGAGAGAGAGAGAGAGAGAGAGUUGUGCUAGUAUACUAUUAAUAGUAUGAUAUUAUCCACUUUGUAAGCAUUGAAUGUGUAGAGUUGAGUGGGUGGUUGGUGUAAUGUAAUGAUACAAGAGUGAAAAAGUGAAUAGUAUGUACUAUUAAUAGUAUAGCUGAAAUAUAUAUAUAUAUAUAUAUAUAUAUAUAUAUAUAUAUAGAGAGAGAGAGAGAGAGAGAGAGAGAGAGAGAGAGAGAGAGAGAGAGAGAGAGAGAGGUAGAUUGAUAAAAGAGAAAACUGCAAAUAAAUUUUAUUAAUAUGAUUUGCUGUGUACAUGCUUAUACCCCCAUUGUACAUGAAGUUUAUAUAGACUAGAAUACUCAGUUUAGCGACUUGGUGGUUGACUGAGAUCAGAUUGCUCAGUUUAAUGACAUGGCGGUUGUUUGAAAUAGGCUGAGGUUGAGUUUAAUUUUAAUUUAUUCAGUUACGAUAAUGGCGGUCAAAAGGAGUUUGAUUUGAUUUGCUCAGUUUAACGACUUUCGUGGUCAAUAGAGUUUGAUUUGAUUUGCUCAGUUUAACGACUUGGCGGUCAUAGAGUUUGAUUUGAUUUGCUCAGUUAACGACUUGGGUCAAGUUGAGUUGAGUUUGAUUGUUUCAUUUAACGACUUGAUGGUCCAUUCGAUUGUUCAUUUAACGAGUCAUUGAACUCGACUUGAUGGUCAUUUGUUUUCAGCUUAUAGUCGAUUAAGUUGACCUAGCCGUUAAGUUGAAUUUAGGCUCAAUUUGAAACGUUGAUUGCUUCGGUUCGGAUAGAGCCGGUUUACUUAAUUCGAAUCAUCACAGUAGGUUCAAGUUGAAUUGACUUAAACUUCGUGUUUGAUUUGAGUUGGGCGUCCUUUGGUUUGUUUUGGUCAUUCGGGUUGAACCGUUAUACUUUGGUUCGAAACACAUCAAGACUUGGUUUAAGCCGAACUUUUGUACUUAGUUCAAGUCCUUUAAUUUUGGUCAGGUUGAGCCUUAUAUCUUGGCUCAAUUUAACUUCUUAUAGUUCAGUGUGGUUUGGAUUCAAUCCACAAUGAUUUGGUUCAAGAUAUGUUUGAGUUUGAUUCAGAUUGAGCUCUUACAUUCCGACUCAACUGAAAACCUUUUGGUUGAGUUUGAGCUGAACCAGUUUCUAAUUUAAGUCGAACCAACUUAUAGUCUGGUUCAGUUUAGCUCGAUCUUCAUGUAGUUCAUUUAGAUCGGACCCACUUCGGUUCAAGCUGAAUCCUUUAUGGUUCAUUCAGAUCGAUCCAUUUGUUCGAGUCGAACCUUUGUGUUCUGAUCCGGAUCGGACCCACUUCGAUCGAGUCGAUCCUUCACCGGUUUGGUUUGGAUCGGCCCCCACUUCGGUUCGAGUCGGAUCGCUUUAACGGUUAGGUUUCAGAUCAGACCUACUUCAGUUCAAGUCGCAUCCUUUACGGUUCGGUUUGGAUCACUUCGGUUUAAGUUGAAUCCUUUACUGCUUGGUUCAGAUGGGAUCCGGUUCGGUUUGGUUCAGUUCGGUAAUCGGAUCCACUUUGGUUCAAGUCGAAUCUGUUCGGUUCGAUUGGACCCACUUCGAUUCGAGUUGAAUCUUGUGGUUCAGUUCGGAUCGGACCACUUUGGUUCGAGUCAGAUCCUUUAUGGUUCUGAUCGGAAUUGGAACCAGAUUCGGCUCGAGUCUGUUCAAGUCGAAUCCUGUUCGGUUUGGAUUAGACCCACUUCGGUUCAAGCUGAAUCCUUUGUGGUUCAGUUCGGAUUGGACUACUCGAAUCGAGUCGGAUCCUUUAUGGUUCUGAUCGAUUUGAACCAGAUUCGUCUCGAGUCGAAUCUUUUAUGAUUUGGUUUAGACGGGAUCCGGUUCGGUUCAUUUGGAAUCGGCCCACUUUGGUUCAAGUAGAAUCCUUUAUGGUUCG
rnacentral:lncRNA from 1 species